AUGGCAACUGGAAACCUUGACACCGGUGAAUGGCAUAGUAGGAUCCGAUGGCAGUUCGUUCCUAGGCAGUGGCCACCACGGGGAGGUUCAUGUGGUGGGAGACGUCGGCACGACGUGGGGAGGUCGAGACGUCCGGAUUUUCUUUUUAACUGCGGGCCAUAUGGAUUGGGGGAAGAAGGUUGGGUUGGGCAAUUUUUUCUGUAUCUUUAGCAAAUCAUUUUCCGGAUUGGGGAAUAACGGUCGGGUCAGACAUUUCUUUUUUCUUAUGGAUCUUUAGAGAAUCAUUUUCUACCACUUAUGGAUGGGAGCGUUUGGUAAUUGUUUUCUGAAUCUUUAGCAAAUCGUUUUUUGGAUUGGCGAACAAUGGUCGGGUCGGGCAGCUCAUUUUUCUGGAUCUUUAGCGAAUCGUUUUCUACCACUUAUGGAUGAGAGUGGUGUGUAAUUGUUUUUCUCGAUCUUUAGCAAAUCGUUUUUCAGACUAGGGAACAAUGGUCUGGUCGACAGCUCUUUUCUCCGGACCUUCAGAGAAUCAUUUUCUACCACUUUUGGAUGGAAGUGGUGGGUAAUUGCUUUUUCUGGAUCUUUAGCAGAUCUUUUUCCAGAUUGGGUAACAAGGGUCGGGUCGGCAAGUUUUUUUCUGGAUCUUUAGCAAAUUGUUUACUACCACUUAUGGUUGGGAGUGGUGAGUAAUUUUUCUCUGGAUCUGUAGCAAAUCAUUUUCCUGAUUGGGGAACAAUGGUUGGGUCGGACAGCUCUUUUUUUCUUGAUCUUUAGCAAAUUAUUUUCUACCACAUAUGGAUGGCAGUGGUGGGUAAUUUUUUUGCAACUUCAUGGGCAAUUUUAGGACGGACGGGCAGAAGAAAGAAUCCCUUUAUUAGUGUUCAAGAAAACAUUGUGGUAGUGAAGUAUAUUAUGGUCAUUUGUGUUGUGGUAGAGACACUUUCUUUUAUUAGGGCCAGGACAGACGGGCAUAAGCACGCACCACAGAUACAUAAACUUAUGAUUAUUUGUGUUUUGGUAGAGGCACUUUCUUUUAUUAGGGUCAUUUACAUUGUUUCUAUUUGAGGUAGUGAAGUAUAUUAUGCCAAUGAGAUAUUGUACGCAUUCCUUAUUUUUGAGACGUUUUUAAGAGGGAAAGUUAUUACUAACCAACUCCUCGGAUUAAAUUAAAAGGUGUCUAUGAAGGCCAUGUUUUUUGAUUAUUUUUCUCAAGCGGGUAUAGCCGGAUUCGAGUGGCCCAUGCACACGACAAACCAACCCUGCCCCACUCGCAAUAUAUACGGGUCCGGCCCCAUAUCAAACAUAUGGAAAAGAAUAUGUCAUGGAGAGGAUAAGGUUGGGAGAGUUUACGGUGGGUGGGCCCCAUAGGCAGUGCAUGUCUAGCGUAGGAGCAGGUCUACAUGAGGAAAAUAUUAGUCGGUUGAAUAAGGCUGUUCCAUCUUUCAGACGUUUUAAAGAUGGAAAGUGUAUGUGUUAUCAUCUGCUAAAUCUCAAAUUAAUGUGUCUAUAUGAAGGCCAUUAUCUAGUGAGUAUUUUUCUCAAGUGGAGGAUAAUCACCUCAUAUAGAAAUGGUUCGAGCCGCCCAUGGACUCGACGUAGCUAUUCCUACCCUACCCCCAAUAUAUAUGAGUCUGGACCAUGGGACGGUUCCCCUUUGCCUGUUCCGGCACCCAUCUUAGACAACCAGAAUGCCCAGCAUCCUAACCUAGGUGUCCGACGAUCUCUCCCUCCUUUCACCCCCACGACCGUUGAUGUCAUCAGAGCCACCACCUGCAGAGGCGGCGGAGGCUACUAAGGCCGCCGAGCCAUCGGCUUCCUCAUCGAAGGAAUCAAAACCCUCUGACACAAGGGGUGCUACCGCCGUGCCAGGGGCGGACCACGAGGCAAACACGCUAUGCAUCGGCAACCUACCCACACACACAUGCACACAUGGAUGAGGACGACAUCACUACGGCCUUGGCCCUGCAUGUGGCGCCUAACAAAGUCGUCACGCGAGGUGACUCCCGUAGCUACGCCUUAGUCCUCUUUUGCUCACUUGCCGUGUCCUAGGAUUCCCUCGAGGUUCUCCGUGGGUCCAAGGUCAUGGGCUCCUUCAUUUGGAUAAUCUCUCUUCUCCCUUCUCCACUGUCUGGAUCAGCUCCCACCUUGUAUCGCCCCGUGAUCUGGCUGCAGGUUGUCACCCUGCGAUGUGAUUGGUAAUUACGAUUUUGGUGCAUGUGAUAUGGCAUGGCGGCGCACGAGUGGUAGAUUUAUCAUUGCGUGCUCUUGCCAUUUCAUACAUUUCUGGUAGUGUCAACAAAUAUAUGUUUUUAGAUAGUUCUAGAUUGGUAACUGUUCUUGCUCUAGGGUGAUAUUGUUAUGUUGGUGUUGUCUAAAGAUUGAUGCCCUCAUGAUACUUACUGGUGUAAUUCUAGCUUUGCUUUGCCAAGGAGUAGGUCAAUAUCUAGUUACUAUGGUAUGGUCUAAUUAAAGUUUGAAUGAUGUACUAAUACUGAAUGAUCAUUGGUUAGUCAUAGUUGUUUAUUUAUCAAGUGAAAUUGCACCAUUUAUGUGUUACUAUUGUGUAAUGAGUUGUGCACAAGUGACACAAUUUGCUAUUAUUCAAGCUGUGAUUUGAUAUAACUAUGCAGUGUAUUUUAUCUUAGAUCUGUUUCACUUCAAGUUAGACCAUUCAUAGCUAUCUCAUAGUUUUUGUUGCUAGGACUACUUGGAUGAGGAUUUUAUGCAUCUAUUUCAUUAUAGAAAUAGUAUGCCUUCUAAUGGCAUCUGUUCUUUGAUUGGUUUUUACAUGAUAGAGCUAUUAGGAACCUAUGUGUUGGAGGAAUCAUUUCAUCUAUAUCAAAGCAGGAGGUAGAUGAAGAGUUUCAAAGGAUUGGAAAGAUUGAACGUGUUGAAUUAUCCAUUGAUAAAACUUUUGCAUACAUCAACUCUGAGUAGCUGGAAGAUGACAUUUCUACCUAUAAACCUGUGGAUGGGACAAAUUUUAGGGGCCUCAUGAUGCAACAUUCCUCUUCGCCGUAUAGUUUGGAGGGACGGGUCAAAUCCAUAUGGGUUAAUGAAACAUGCUUAAUAAAACAUUAACAUAAACAACAAUGUGCCUACUUGUAUGGUGUAAAGAAAUGUUGUAACCACACUCACAUAAAGUUAUGAUUAUUUGUGUUGUUGUCGAGAUACUCUCUUUCAUCAGGGUCAUUUACUUUGUUUAUUUGUGGUAGUUAAGUAUAUUAUGCCAAUGAGAUAUUGUACACAUUCCUUCUUUUUGAGACGUUGUUAAGUGGGAAAGUAAUUACUAACCAACUCCUUGAAAUAAAUUAAAAGGUGUAUGUAUAAAGUUCAUGUUUUUGUGAGUAUUUUUCUCAAGCGAAGGAUAAUCUGGUUUGAGCCGGCCACACACACGAAAAUGUCGUCCCUCUGCCCCCACCCCCCGGGAAUACAUACAAGUCCUGCCCCAUGGGGAACAUGUGGAGAAGAAUAUGUCAUGGGGAGAGGGUAAGGUUGAGAGAGGUUACGGUUGGCUGGCCCCAUAGGGAACACGUGUGGAGUUGAGGAGGAGGUCCUCUAGAGGAAAAGAUUAGUUGGUUGAAAAAAGGGUUUUACCAUAUUUGACAUGUUUUAAAUAAGGAAAGUGUUUAUGUUGUCAUCCGCUAAAUCUCAAAUCAAUGUGUCUAUAUGAAGGCCAUUAUUUGGUGAGUAUUUUUCUCUAAUGGAGGACAAUCACAUCUCAUAGAAAUGGUUGAGCCGCCCAUGGACUCGGCGCAACCGUCCCGACCCUGCCCGCGAUAUAUAUGAGUCUUGCCCGUGGGUCAGUUUCCCUCUCCCCAUUCCGAACAUCAUCUUAGAUAGCUAGAAUUUUGUGCAUCCUGAUCUAGGCGUCCGGCGAUCUCUCCUUCCUCCCACCCCACACCAUCGUAGAUGUUGUUGGAGCCACCGCCCGCAGAGGCGGCCAAGCUGUCAGCCUCCCUACCGAAGGAAUCAGAAGCCUCUAGCAGAGGGGGUGCCGCCACCGCGCUAGGUGCGGCCCAUGAGGAAAACACGCUAUGGGUCGGCAACCUUCCCACGCAUGUGGGCGAGUAUGACGUCACUGCGGCCUUCAUCUCACAAAGGGCACUUGAAUGCAUCAUCACAUGCGCUGACACUCACAGCAACACCUUCAUCCUCUUUAGCUCGCUCGAGGCACUCCGCGGGUCCAAGAUCAAGGCCUCCUUCAUCCGGAUCAAGUUUUUCCAGCUAGUAAUCUCUUCACUCACUUCUCCAUCAUUCGGAUCUGCAUCCACCUUGGAUCCACCAUGAUCUAGCUGCAGGUUGUCACCCCGUGAAGCAAUUUCUUGGGAAAUUAUGGUUUUGGUGCUGGUGAUUUAGCAUGACGCCGCAUGAGAGGGAGAUUUAUCAUCCCGUGCUCAGGCUCUUUUAUGCGUUUUAGGAUGUGUUGGCUUGUUAUAUAGUCCUAGAUUUGUGAUUGUUCCUUGUUCUAUGUUGAAAUUGUUAUGCUAGUGUUUUGUAAAGACUAUUGCCGUCAUGAUACUUACUAUUGUAAUUCCAGCUUCAAUUUGCCUUGGAAUAGGUCAAUAUCCAGUUACUAUCAUAUGGUCUGGUUUAAUCUAAAUGGUGUACUAAUAUUGAAUGAUCCUUGGUUAGUCAUAGUUGUGUAUCUCUAGAGUGAAAUUUCUCCAUUCAUGUGCUACUGUUGUGUAAUUAGUUGUGCACAAAUGACACAAUUUGAUGUUAUUCAUGUUGUGAUUUCAUAUAACUAUGUGCAUGUUAUGAUUUAUCUGUUACACUUUAAGUUAGAUCAUUCAUAGAUAUCUCAGUCUUUGUUGCUAGGACUACUUGGAUGAGAAUUUAAUUCUUCUAUUUCAUUAUAGAAAUAUCAUGCCUUCUGACGGCUUGUGUCUUUUGAUUGGUUUUGACAUGCUGGAGAUUUUGGGAACCUAUGGGUUGGAGGAAUUAUUCAUCUAUUUCAAAGCAGGAGGUAGACGAAGAGUUUCGAAAGUUUGGAAAGAUUGAAGGUGUUGAAUUCUCCAGUGACCAAACUAUGGCAUACAUCGACUUUGAGAAGCUGGAAGAUGCCAUUUAUGCCCAUAGAGACCUGAACAGGAUAGAUCUAGGGCGCCUCAUGACGCUACAUUCCUCAAUGAUGUAUAGUUUGAAGGGAUAGGUCAAAUCCACAUGGGUUAAUUAAACAUUCUUAAUAAAACAUUAACAUAAAUAACAAUUUGCUUGUUUGUACGAUGUCAGAAAAUGUUGUUACCACACUUACAUAAACUUAUGAUUGUUUCUCUUGUGGCCGAGACACUUUCUUUCAUUAGGGUGAUUUACCUUUUUAAUUUAUGGUAGUGAAGUACAUUAUGCCAAAGAGAUAUUGUAUGCAUUCCUUAUAUUUUAGUCCUUUUAAGAGGGAAAGUUAUUACUAACGAAAUUCUUGAAUUAAAUUAGAAGGUGUCUAUGAAGGCCAUGUUUUUGUGAGUAUUUUUCUCAAGAGGAGGAUAAUCGAGGUCAAGCCGCCCACACACACGGUGGAACCUUCACUACCCCACCCGCAAUGUAUAUGAAUCAACCGCCAUAGGGAACACGUGGAGAAGAAUGUGUCAUGGAAAGGAUAAGGUCGAGAGGGCUUGUCGAUGGUGGUCCCCAUAGGGAACGCGUGCCAAACGGAGGAGGAGGUCUACACGAGGAAAAGAUUUGUCUUUUGAAAAUAGGGUUUUCCAUCUUUGAGACGUUUUAAAGAUGGAAAGUGUAUGUGUUUUCAUCUGCUAAAUCUCAAAUGAAUGUGUCUAUAUGAAGGCCAUUAUUUUGUGAGUAUUUUUCUCAAGCGGGGGAUAAUCACCUCGCAUAGCAGUUCAAACCACCCACGGACUAAGCGAAGCCGUCUGUGCAUCACCUGCAUUAUGUAUGAGUCCGGCGUUUGGGCCGAUUCCCCUCUGCCCGUUCCUGCCCCCAUCUAAGACAAGUAGAAUUCCUAGCAUCCUAGCCUAGGUGUGUGGCGAUAUCUCCAUCCUUCCACCCCCACCAUUGUCGAUGUCGUCAGAGUCACUGCCCACAGAGACGCAGUGAAGGCCACCAAGUCAUCGGCCUCCCACAAGGAAUCAGAAUCCUCUAGAACACGAGGUGCCACCUCCAUCACGCCAUGGUGUCCCACAAGAAGAAGAUGUUGUGGGUCGGAACAUGCUCAUGCAAGUGGGCAAGGACGAUGUCAUGUCGGUCUUCACCCCACAUAGGGCGCUCGACUAUAUUGUCGGGCGCGUCGGCUACCUUAGCUAUGCCUUCUUUCCUUUCUGUCCCCUCGAGGCACUCCACGAGUCCAAGGUCAAGGGCUCGUUAAUCCAGAUCGAGUUUGUGUGGCCAGUAAACUCUCCCCUCCCUACUCCCCCGUCCGAAUCAACUCCCACUUGGAUCCCCUGUAAUAUGCCUCCUGUCACCCUACAUGUGAUUUUUACUGUAAUUACUAUUUCGGUGACUGUAAUUUGGGCUGACGCCACACAAGAGGGAGAUUUGUCAUCUCGUGGUCCUGCUAUUUUUUGUGGUAUGGGUUGUUGAAAGCACACUUGGUUCCUGGGUGGUUUUGGUAAUUCAUGCCAACAUAUAUAUUAUUGGACUAACAAUUUCACCCAGUAUAUUUCAGAUAAGUUCAACAAUGGCAUGGCAAGGCCAUGAGGAUGUGGACCCCUUCAAAAUGCUAAGGACAAGAAUUGGCAAGCUCAAAGACUCUACAUUUUUGGUUAAGUGAUCCAAGAUCCCAUUGAGUCCAUAGGAAAGCCAAUACAAUUAAAAGGGGAUGAGGUUUUGAUCAUGACUCAAUUGCUCAAGGGCUUGGUGAUAUUGCUCCAAAACCUCAACCAAUUUCUCCACAUCACAUCUGUCCAAAACCCUAAAGUAUCAUCUCAGUUCCACCAAAAUUUUCUAUCACAAACUCACCAAGUUGAUCACAUACACUCCCUAAGCCAAACCCUAGCAUUUCGGUUCCACCAACAUGGAUCUCGGUCCCACCGAGAUGGCAUGACCAAGUUUUUGUGAUGAAGUUGCUUAAUUUCCGAAUUACCUAGAUGAAACAACCGGAACUACCAAAAUGAGGUCUUUCCCUAGCUAGUGCACUUCGGUCGCACCGUGAUGUUCUGAUUCGGUCUCAGUCAAACCUCCAAUGUUUGAAUCUUUUACACUAGUCGGUCUCACCAAGAUUUUGGUAUGGUGUCACCGAGUUGGGUCAGGAGGCUUGUAACGGUUGGAUUUUGGGUGAAGCCUAUACAUACCCCUCGACCCCACUUACUCUCUAUGAGAGCCACUAGAACCUAACACUACUUCCAUUACUCAUUUUCUGAGAGAUAACAACACUUCCAUUACUCAUUACUCAUGUUGAUAUCAAGAGAUUCCAAUCCUACCAUUUGAAACAAUUGAUUUAUAGCCUUCCCCAAGUUGCUUUCCAGUCAUGUUGGAAGAUGAACUACAAAUGAAAGGAUUCCUCCCAACUUCAUUCCAUGAGAAUGUACCACAAGUUCAACUACAUGAUGGAUAUUAACACCAAAACCCAAUGUAAGUGCUCACAUCUUAGAGAAGCUUUAUACAAAGACUUGAGUCAAAGCAACUCAACAAGAUGUGAAUACAUUGAAAUCCUUAGACGAAAAGUAGUAACCCCAUGUUGAGCUUUGUGAUGAGUAUUGCCUAUGAUCAAGUGACCUCACUUGACUCCUAAGUCAAUAUGCUAAAUCAUAGGUGACCUAGUUGACGACCCCUCCUCUAGAUGAAGUUCUCUAGUGUCUCUUUAGUUUGCUUUCUUUCUUGUUAGAGUGUUCAUCUAGACCACUUUUUCGUGUUCUUUUUUUCUUUAGCUAGUUUCUUAUCUUCUAGUAAAUUAAUUGCAAAUCUUAUUCGAAUUCCUUGAAUAUAUUUGUGAGAACUUAGUGCCAAGUGAGAUGAGUUGAUUUUUUUCCUUUGCAUUGAAAUCGGUCCCUCCGACUUGAAACAUAUCGGUCGUACCAAAGUGCAAUUAUACACUGCACAUAGGUCAUCUGUACAACCAAACAUGACUAAAUCGGACCAAGUGAUCUAUAUGUGAACUUCAUAUCUCAGAGUCACCGAUCGAAACAACUUGGAGUCACCGACUUCACUCCUGAAAGAAUAUUUCGCCAAAUCAUAUACUUCCUUUCUCCAGCCAGCUCCACUCAAUGAUUCUUCCCCCUGCCUGCAUCUGAAAUUACAUCAUGCCUAGUCGUGCUCUCCAGGACCACACCCACUUGACCAAUAACCUUGAAACUAGAUCCUUCUUGGAAAUUGAUGUCAAAGGGGGAGAGGGAUGCACAUCAAAGCUUAUUACAAACCUCCUCUAUAUUAAAAGAGAUACCUAAGAGAUGCACUUUACAAAAGAGGGGAUAACCUAAAUAUUUCUAAGAGGGGAGAAACAUGUUAAAAUCCCAGUUGAGUCUUUUGCUAGAACUUGCUCAGUUUUUGCUCUGACUCCAUUUUCUGUAAUUUUAUCUCACCCUACAUACUCCCAUUAUCCAAUGCUAGAUUCAGGGGGGGAGGAAUUCAAGAUUAGGGGAUAAAUAUACCUCUUGGAACUCUAUUCGAAAUCUUGUUUAGUCUUUUGGGGACAUGAUUACUCCUAAAGAAGUAUUCACCUAGUGAUACUUAUCCCACACAUGUCAUCCCAAUCUUGGUAUUCUUGUUUGUCUUGUGCCUUUACUCUUGUUGAAAUUAUCUUGUGUUAUCUAACCUUGUUUUCUCAAGCUUAUUUCUUCAAGAAUUUGAUCAAGUACCUCAAGGUAAGUAUAUGCAUCACACCCAUGUGCAUGAUGAUCUCUUGCUUAUUGUACAUAUUGUUUGCAAGAAAUAAUCAUGAACGUGAAAGUACUCCAUUCACCACGUUGCUCUGAUCCAUAUAGCCAAGAUACAUGUAACUCAUUACUCAUUGCUUCCUGUUGUGCACUCACAUUUCAUGAGCUAUUAUCACCUAUAUGUUUGCACACUGGUAGGGGGAGCAUAUGCAUGUUACGUGUUCUCUCAAAGCUUUCAUACAUUAUCUGCUAUAUCCUUACUUGAAUCUUUGAUGUAUGUUGUCAUCAAUUACCAAAAAGGGUGAGACUGAAUGCACAUCGGCUUCCUUGGUGGUUUACCUUGCUCAGAGCAACCGGUUUACCUUGCAUUGCUAGUCCAGGGAUCAAGUCUUCUGGCAAUACACAACAACUUGGUACAGAAAACAACCGUUUUAUUGAUCUCUUCCGGGUACAUAGGUUCAGAUAUUACAUGAUUGUCGAGGCCAAGUGGCACACACGGUGCGGUUGCGGUUAUGUACAUUGUUUAGUAGACAUCUCAAGGGCCUCGAUGAUAGGGGAAACUCCUACUUGGCAGCGAAGCGACGAAGUAGUGAUACUCGUCUCCACAAGGACACUUCUCUAAGACGGCCUAGAUCGUGAUGCACCGAAUGACAUCGACUCCUUGCACGGCUUCUCCUGCAUCUGGCAUGACAUGCCAGGUGAGUAAUUUGAAUGUACUCGCAAGCUCACAUCAAUCAAAGCAAAAUGGCAAACAAUAACAAGGCAUUUAACAAGUUUAAUGCAUGCGCAUGAGCAUGAUACUAUCUCCAAGAAGUUUGCGAGGAUCAUGAUCACGGUCCCUUGGGCCAACUUACCAUCUUGGGUUACCUCGUAACCAUCAUCAAAAUCUUACCAUUGUGAUCAUCAGUCGAUCACGUGAAACCAACCAUAGUGAUCCUCACAAGAUCACCAACGUCUGCAUGUGCCAACUUGGUGUGAUUAAGUGUGCAGGUUAUUUCUUUUCAUUGAGCCACAAUGUGACCUACUACAAACUGUGUCCAUAUCCAAGGACGCGGCUAUUGAUUGAUUAUACACUCUCCGGAGGUUAGUACACUAUUCCCAUGAUGCAGAUUGAAAUUGCAUUGGUAUUUCCCCAAAGAGGAAGGGAUGAUACAGUACGACUAUGGUAGGUAUUUCCCUCAGUUAUGAAACCAAGGUUAUCGAACCAGUUGGUGAACCAAGCAAGACUAUGUAAACGGUACCUGCACACAAAGAACAAAACCUCGCAACCCAACGCGUAAGAGGGGUUGUCAAUCCCUCCUCAGUAAAGAUAGAUUAAGUAAUAUAAUAUUGGAUAAAUAGAUCUGAGUAAUAGACAAAAUAAAAGAUGCAAAUAAAAAGUGCAGCAAAGUAUUUUUGGGUUUUGGGAUAAUAGAUCUGAAAACAAAUGCGGUGAAAAAUAGAUAGGAAAGCAAUAUGACAAAAGAUAGACCCGGGGCCCGUAGAUUUCACUAGUGGCUUUUUUCGAGAAAAUAGCAUACGGUGGAUAAACAAAUUACUGUUGGGCAAUUGAUAGAAGAUCAAAUAAUUAUGAUGAUAUCCAAGGCAAUGAUCAUUAUAUAGAUGAUACGUCUCCAACGUAUCUAUAAUUUUUGAUUGCUCCAUGCUACUUUAUCUACUGUUUUAGGCAAUAUUGGACUUUAUUAUCCACUUUUAUAUUAUUUUUGGGACUAACCUAUUAACCGGAGGCCCAGCCCAGAUUUGCUGUUUUAUGCCUAUUUCAGUGUUUCAAGGAAAAGGAAUAUCAGACGGAGCCAAAACGGAACGAAAUCAACUGGAGAAGUUACUUUUGGAAGGAAAGCCACCCGAUGGACUUGGAGUGCAUGUCAGGAGUUACGGGAGGUGCUCACGAGGGUGGGGGGCGCGCCCCCUGCCUCGUGGGACCCCCGUAGCUCCACCGACGUACCCCCUGCACCCAUAUAUACUCUUGUACCCUAAAACUUCCAGAACAGAAAAUAGAUCGGGAGUUCCGCCGCCGCAAGCCUCUGUAGCCACCAAAAAACCAAUCGGGACCCUAUUCCGGCACCCUGCCGGAGGGGGAUCCCAUCACCGGAGGCCAUCUUCUUCAUCCCGGCACUAUCCAUGACGAGGAGGGAGUAGUUCACCCUCGGGGCUGAGGGUAUGUACCAGUAGCUAUGUGUUUGAUCUCUCUCUCUAUCUCUCUCGUGUUCUCUCUCAUGUUCCUCUAUGGCACGAUCUUGAUGUAUCCCGAGCUUUUCUAUUGUAGUUGGAUCUUAUGAUGUUUCUCCCCCUCUACUCUCUUGUGAUGAAUUGAGUUUUCCCCUUUGAAGUUAUCUUAUCAGAUUGAGUCUUUAUGAGAACACUAGAUGUAUGUCUUGUCGUGAUUAUCUGUGGUGACAAUGGGAUAUCAUGUGCCACUUGAUGUAUGUUUUGGUGACCAACUUGCGGGUUCCACCCAUGAACCUAUGCAUAGGGGUUGGCACAUGUUCUUGACUCUCCGGUAGUAGCUUUGGGGCACUCUUUGAAGUACUUUUAUGUUGGUUGGAUGAAUCUGAGAUUGUGUGACGCAUAUCAUAUAAUCAUGCCCACAGAUACUUGAGGUGACAAUGGAGUAUCUAGGUGACAUUAGGGUUUUGGUUGAUUUGUGUCUUAAGGUGUUAUUCUAGUAUGAACUCUAUGAUGGAUUGAGCGGAAAGAAUAGCUUUAUGUUAUUUUACUACGAACUCUUGAAUAGAUAGAACAGAAAGGAUAACUUUGAGGUGGUCUCGUACCAUACCAUAAUCUCUACGUUUGUUCUCUGCUAUUAGUGUCUUUGGAGUGACUCUUUGUUGCAUGUUGAGGGCUUGUCAUAUGUUCUAUCUAUGUUAUUAUUGUUGAGAGAACUUGCACUAGUGAAAGUAUGAACACUAGGCCUUGUUUCCUAUCAUUGCAAUGCCGUUUACGCUCACUUUUACCACUUGUUACCUUGCUAUUUUUAUUAUUUCAGAUUACAAAUACCUUUAUCUACCAUCUAUUUUGCACUUGUAUCUUCAUCUCUUCGCCGAACUAGUGCACCUAUACAAUUUACCAUUGUAUUGGGUGUGUUGGGGACACAAGAGACUCUUUGUUAUUUGGUUGCAGGGUUGCUCGAGAGAUACCAUCUUCAUCCUACGCCUCCUACGGAUUGAUAAACCUUAGGUCAUCCACUUGAGGGAAAUUUGCUACUGUCCUACAAACCUGUGCAUUUGCAGGCCCAACAACGUCUACAAGAAGAAGGCUGUGUAGUAGACAUCAAGCUCUUUUCUGGCGCCGUUGUCGGGGAGGCUAGGUAAAGGGUACUCACACUCCGUCAACAAAGCUCUUUUUUUUGGCGCGGUGAGUGCUUGUAGGUAUAUCUUUAGAUCUUGCAAUCGAAUCUUUUUGUUUCUUGUUUUAGCACUAGUUUAGUUUAUAAAAGAAAACUACAAAAAAAUGGAGUUAGGUUUGUCUCAUACGCUUCACCUUUUUAAUAUCUUUCGUGAGUAUGAUGGAAAGGAAAAUUGUGUUCAAGUACUAGAAGAAGAAUUACAUAGAAUUCUUGGCAUAAAAUAUGUGAAAGAUGAGCAUGAUUACAAUGUUGUUAGUAUGAAUUCCCUGAAUAUCCAUGAUGCUAAUGAUAUGCAAAGCCACAAGCUUGGGGAAGCUAUGUUUGAUGGAGAUGAUAUUUUUUGUCCCCCAAACUUUGAUGAGCAAAUUUACUAUGAUGAAAGCAUGCCUCCUAUCUAUGAUGAUUAUUGUGAUUACACGUAUGCUUUAAAUAAUAAUGAUAACCAUGAAACGUGUCAUCUUGAUCUUAAUUUUCAAUCACAUGAUAGUUAUUUUGUUGAGUUUGCUCCCACUACCAUUCAUGAGAAGAAAUUUGCUCAUGUAGAGAGUAGUAAAUUUUCUAUGCUUGUAGACCAUGAAAAGAAUGUUUUAGGUGCUGGUUAUAUUGUUGAAUUCAUUCAUGAUGCUACUGAAAAUUAUUAUGAGAUAGGAAAAUAUGCUUGUAGGAAUUGCAAUAAUGUCAAGUUUCCUCUCUAUGUGCUUAAAAUCUUGAAGUUAUGCUUGUGUUACCUUCCUAUGCUAGUUGAUUAUUGUUACCAUAAGUUGUUUGCUCACAAAAUCCCCAUGCAUAGGAAGUGGGUUAGACUUAAAUGUGCUAGUCAUAUUCUUCAUGAUGCUCUCUUUAUGUUUCAAUUCUUAUCUUUUAUGUGAGCAUCAUUGUCAUCAUCAUGCCUAGCUAAAAGGCAUUAAAGAAAAGCGCUUGUUGGGAGACAACCCAAUAUUUACCCUUACUGUUUUUGUGUGUCCACAUGAUUAUGCUACUGUAGUAGUCAUGUUUUAUAGCUUUUGUUUCAAUAAAGUGCCAAGUAGAACCUUUGGGAAGACUUGGGUGAAGUUUAUGUGAUCUUGCUGUGAAAAACAGAAACUUUAGCGCUCACGAGAUUAGCUGCCAUUUUUUACUGGAGAGUUAUUUUAGGUUGAUUCUUUUUGCAAUGAUUAAUAGACAAAAUUUUCAGGUCUAGCAAUUUAUUUCAUAAUUGUUGGGGUUCCAGAAGUAUACGUUUGAUACAGAUUACUACAGACUAUUCUGUUUUUGACAGAUUCUGUUUUCUGUGUGUUGUUUGCUUAUUUUGAUGCAUCUAUGGCUAGUAUUGAGUGGUAUGAACCAUAGAGAAGUUAGAAUAUAGUAGUAUUUACACCAAUAUGAACUUAGAAUGAGUUCAUUAUAGUACCUAAGUGGUGGUUUUAUUUUCUCAUACUAACGGAGCUUACGAGUUUUGUGUUGAGUUUUGUGUGGUUGAAGUUUUCAAGUUUUGGGUAAAGAUUCGAUGGACUAUGGAAUAAGGAGUGGUAAUAGCCUAAGCUUGGGGAUGCCCAAGGCACCCCAAGGUAAUAUUCAAGGACACCCAAGCAACUAAGCUUGGGGAUGCCCCGGAAGGCAUCCCCUCUUUCGUCUUCAUUCAUCGGUAACUUUACUUGGAGCUAUAUUUUUAUUAACCACAUGAUAUGUGUUUUGCUUGGAGCAUCAUUUUAUUUUGUUAGUUUUUGCUUGAUGUUAGUUAGAAUAAUGUUUUUCAUCUUUAGUUUCAACGAAAAAGUCAAGGAUAGCCUUUGCCAUGCUUAUUUUGCUAGUUUACAUGUUGCUGUUUGAAAACAGAAAGUUUACCGCUGUUGAAAAAAUUCCCUAGAAAAGUCAGAGAAUGGUCUAACGUUCAAUCUUUUUGCAUAUUGAGCUCUGAUAAAUUUAUUACAGUUGGAAUUUUAGUUCAUAAUUUUUGGAGUCAGGCAAGUAUUGUUACUCUUGCAUUCUUUACAGACUGUAAUGUUUUGGCAGAUUGCUGUUAUGGUUGCAUUGUUUGCAUAUGUUUGCUUGUUUAAUGAUUCUAUUUGAUGAUAGGAGUAUUAAAUAUGCAGAGACAUUUAGUAUUCAAUGUUGAAUAAUAAUUUUAGUGAUUUGUUACAGUAGAAGAUGAUAAGGUUUUGCAUUGGUUUAUACUAACCUAUCUCACGAGUUCUUGUCGAGUUUGUUGUGAAUGAAGCUUUUAAUAAAAAGAGAAACCAUGAUAUGAGAGGAAUUAAGGAGACACAAAAGUUCAAGCUUGGGGAUGCCCAAGGCACCCCAAGAUAAUAUUUCAAGAAGUCUCAAGCAUCUAAGCUUGGGGAUGCCCCGGUAGGCAUCCCACCUUUCUUCUUCAACAACUAUCGGUUAGUAUCGGUUGAGCCUAAGUUUUUGCUUCUUCACAUGAGUUGUGCUAUCCUUGCAUUGUAGUUUUCUUUAGCUUUGCUUGCUGUUUGAAUAAGUAUCAAGAUCUGAAAUUCUUUAAUGAGAGAGAGCCAUACACAAAUUGGAAUUUGCUAGAAUACUCUUUGUGCUUCACUUAUAUCUUUUAGAGCAUGGUGGUGGAUUUGUUUUAAAGAAACUAUUGAUCUCUCAUGCUUCACUUAGAUUAUUUUGAAAGUCGUUAUUAGCAUGGUAAUUCGCUUAAUGAUAAUAUACUUGGUAUUCAAGAUAUGUGAAACUUUCUUUUGAGUGAAUUGAAUACUAAGAUAAGUUUGAGCUUGAUAAUUGUUUUGAGAUAUGGAGGUGAUAAUAUCAAAGUCGUGCUAGUUGGGUGAUUAUGAAUUUGAGAAAUGCUUGUGUUGAAGUUUGCAAGUCCCGUAGCAUGCACGUAUGGUUAAAGUUGUGUAACAAAUUUGAAACAUGAAGUGUACCUGGCUUGUGCAUCCUUAUGAGUGGCGGUCGGGGAUGAGCGAUGGUCUUUUCCUACCAAUCUAUCCCCCUAGGAGCAUGCGCGUAGUACUUGAUUUUUGAUGACUUCUAAAUCUUUGAAAUAAGUAUAUGAGUUCUUUUGACUAAUGUUGAGUCCAUGGAUUAUACGCACUCUCACCUUUCCGCCUUUGCUAGCCUCUUCGGUAUCGUGCAUUGCCCUUUCUCACCUUGAGAGUUGGAGCAAACUUCGCCGGUGCAUCCAAACCCCUUGAUACGAUACGCUCUAUCACACAUAAACCUCCUUAUAUCUUCCUCAAAACAGCCACCAUACCUACCUAUCAUGGCAUUUCCAUAGCCAUUCCAAGAUAUAUUGCCAUGCAACUUCCAUCAUCAUCAUCAUGACAUACAUUAGUUUUGUCAUAUUGCCAUUGCAUGAUCAUGUAGUUGACAUCGUAUUUGUGGCAAAGCCACCAUGCAUUAUUUUUCAUACAUGUCACUCUUGAUUCAUUGCACCAUCCCGGUACACCGCCGGAGGCAUUCAUAUAGAGUCAUAUCUUGUUCUAAGUUUCGAGUUGUAAUCCUUGUGUUGUAAUCAAUAGAAGUGUGAUGAUCAUCAUUAUUAGAGCAUUGCCCAAAUAAAAAAAAAGAGAAAAAAGAGAAAGGCCAAAAAGAAAAAAAGAAAGUCCCAAAAAAAUAAAAAUAAAAUAAAAAGGGCAAUGCUACUAUCUCUUUUCCACACUUGUGCUUCAAAAUAGCACCUUGUUCUUCAUGUAGUGAGUCUCAUAUAUUGUGCUUCAAAGUAGCACCUUGUUCUUCAUGUAGUGAGUCUCAUAUAUUGGGCUUCAAAGUAGCACCUUGUUCUUCAUGUAGUGAGUCUCAUAAGUUGUCCUUUUUAUACUAGUGGGAAUUUUUCAUUAUAGAACUUGGCUUGUAUAUUCCUACGAUGGGCUUCCUCAAAUGCCCUAGGUCUUCAUGAGCAAGCGAGUUGGAUGCACACCCACUAGUUUUAUUUUGUUGAGCAUUCAUAGCUCUAGUGUAUCCGUUGCAUGGCAAUCCCUACUCCUCAUGUUGACAUCGAUUGAUGGGCACCUCCAUAACCCGUUGAUUAUCCUCGUCAAUGUGAGACUUUCCCCUUUUUUGUCUUCUCCACACAAUCCCCAUCAUCAUAUUCUAUUCCACCCAUAGUGCUAUAUCCAUGGCUCACGCUCAUGUAUUGCGUGAAAGUUGAAAAAGUUUGAGAUUAUUUAAGUAUGAAACAAUUGCUUGGCUUGUCAUCGGGGGUAUAGAAGUUGGGAACAUCUUUGUGUGACGAAAAUGAAGCAUAGCCUAACCAUAUGAUUUUGUAGGGAUGAAAUUUCUUUUGCCAUGUUAUUUUGAGAAGACAUGAUUGCUUUGAUUAGUAUGCUUGAAGUAUUAUUAUUUUUGUGUCAAUAUGAACUUUUAUCUUGAAUCUUUCGGAUCUGAAUAUUCAUAUCACAAUUAAGAACAUUUACAUUGAAAUUAUGCCAAAGUAUCACUCCACAUCAAAAAUUCUUUUUUAUCAUUUACCUACUCGAGGACGAGCAGGAAUUAAGCUUGGGGAUGCUUGAUACGUCUCCAACGUAUCUAUAAUUUUUGAUUGCUCCAUGCUACUUUAUCUACUGUUUUAGGCAAUAUUGGGCUUUAUUAUCCACUUUUAUAUUAUUUUUGGGACUAACCUAUUAACCGGAGGCCCAACCCAGAUUUGCUAUUUUAUGUCUACUUCAGUGUUUCGAGGAAAAGGAAUAUCAGACGGAGUCAAAACGGAACGAAAUCAACUGGAGAAGUUAUUUUUGGAAGGAAAGCCACCCGAUGGACUUGGAGUGCAUGUCAGGAGAUACGGGGGGUGCUCACGAGGGUGGUGGGGGGCGCCCUCCCCCCUGGGCGCGCCCCCUGCCUCGUGGGACCCCCGUAGCUCCACCGACAUACCCCUGCACCCAUAUAUACUCUUGUACCCUAAAACUUCUAGAACAGAAAAUAGAUCGGGAGUUCUGCCGCCGCAAGCCUCUGUAGCCACCAAAAAACCAAUCGGGACCCUGUUCCGGCACCCUGCCAGAGGGGGAUCCCAUAACCGGAGGCCAUCUUCAUCAUCCCGGCGCUAUCCAUGACGAGGAGGGAGUAGUUCACCCUUGGGGCUGAGGGUAUGUACCAGUAGCUAUGUGUUUGAUCUCUCUCUCUCUCGUGUUAUCUCUCGUGUUCCUCUAUGGCACGAUCUUGAUGUAUCCCGAGCUUUGCUAUUGUAGUUGGAUCUUAUGAUGUUUCUCCCCCUCUACUCUCUUGUGAUGAAUUGAGUUUUCCCCUUUGAAGUUAUCUUAUCGGAUUGAGUCUUUAUGAGAACACUAGAUGUAUGUCUUGCCGUGAUUAUCUGUGGUGACAAUGGGAUAUCAUGUGCCACUUGAUGUAUGUUUUGGUGACCAACUUGCGGGUUCCACCCAUGAACCUAUGCAUAGGGGUUGGCACACGUUCUUGACUCUCCGGUAGUAGCUUUGGGGCACUCUUUGAAGUACGUUUAUGUUGGUUGGAUGAAUCUGAGAUUGUGUGACGCAUAUCAUAUAAUCAUGCCCACGGAUACUUAAGGUGACAAUGGAGUAUCUAGGUGACAUUAGGGUUUUGGUUGAUUUGUGUCUUAAGGUGUUAUUCUAGUAUGAACUCUAUGAUGGAUUGAGCGGAAAGAAUAGCUUUAUGUUAUUUUACUACGAACUCUUGAAUAGAUAGAACAAAAAGGAUAACUUUGAGGUGGUCUCGUACCGUACCAUAAUCUCUAUGUUUGUUCUCCGCUAUUAGUGUCUUUGGAGUGACUCUUUGUUGCAUGUUGAGGGCUUGUCAUAUGUUCUAUCUAUGUUAUUAUUGUUGAGAGAACUUGCACUAGUGAAAGUAUGAACCCUAGGCCUUGUUUCCUAUCAUUGCAAUACCGUUUACGCUCACUUUUACCACUUGUUACCUUGCUGUUUUUAUUAUUUCAGAUUACAAAUACCUUUAUCUACCAUCUAUUUUGCACUUGUAUCUUCAUCUCUUCGCCGAAGUAGUGCACCUAUACAAUUUACCAUUGUAUUGGGUGUGUUGGGGACACAAGAGACUCUUUGUUAUUUGAUUGCAGGGUUGUUCGAGAGAGACCAUCUUCAUCCUACGCCUCCUACGGAUUGAUAAACCUUAGGUCAUCCACUUGAGGGAAAUUUCCUACUGUCCUACAAACCUGUGCACUUGCAGGCCCAACAACGUCUACAAGAAGAAGGUUGUGUAGUAGACAUCAAUAGACAUCAUGUCCAAAUUAGUAGACCAAAACGAUUCUGUGUCUACUACUAUUACUUCACACAUCGACCGCUAACCUGCAUGCAUCUAGUGUAUUAAGUUCAUGGAGAAACAGAGUAAUGCAAUAAGAAUGAUGACAUGAUGUAGAAAAGAUCUAUUCAUGUAGGAAUAGACCCCAUCAUUUUAUCCUUAAUAGCUACGAUACAUACAUGCCUUGCUUCCCCUUCUGUCAGUGGGGAGGACACCGUAAGAUUGAACUCAUCACAAAGCACCUCUUCCCAUGGCAAGAAAAAUUGAUCUAGUUGGCCUAAGUAAACCAAAGAUUCGAAGAAGAAAUACAAGGCUAUAAUUAACCAUGCAUAUAAGAGAUCAAGGAAGACUCAAAGAAUAUUCAUGGAUAGAGAUCUGAUCAUAAACUCGAACUUCAUCGGAUCACAACAACACACUUCAAAAAGUCAUUAGAUCAAAUAUAUCUCCAAGAGACCGUUGUAUUGAGAAUCAAAAAGAGAGAAGAAGCCAUCUAGCUACUACCUACGGACCCGUACGUCUAUGGUGAACUACUCAUGCAUCAUCGGAGAGGCACCAAUGACGAUGAUGAACCCCUCAGUGAUGGUGUUAGAUUGGAUCUCAUGGUUCCGGAACUUGCGGUGGCUGGAAUUGUGUUUCUUCUGCUCCCCUAGGGUUUCUAGAAUUUUUGGGUAUUAAUAGAGCUAAGAGGCGAUGGAGGAGACCCCUCGUGGGCCCCACAACCCAUUAGGGCGCGCUGAUACAUCCAUUUUGCAUCAUGCUUUUAUAUCAAUAUUUAUUGCAUUAUGGGCUGUUAUUAAACAUUAUAUAUCAAUACUUAUUGCUAUUCUCUCUUAUUUUAUAAGGUUUACCAUGAAGAGGGGGAAUGCCGACAGCUAGAAUUCUGGCUGGAAAUGGAGCAAACAUUGAAAACCUAUUCUGCACUGCUCCAAAUGACCUUAAACUCCACGAAACUUAUUUUUGGAUUUAAUAAGAAUUAUUGAGUGGAAGAAACACCUCAGGGGGCCCACACCCUAGCCAGGAGGGUGGGGGGCGCGCCCACCCCUACUGGGUGCGCCCCCUGUCUCCUGCCCCCCUGGUGGCCCUCCGGUGUCCAUCUUCUGCUAUAUGAAGGCUUUUACCCUGAAAAAAACGUGGGCAAGCUUACGGGACGAAACUCUGCCGCCACGAGGCGGAACCUUGGUGGAACCAAUCUAGAGCUCCGGCAGAGCUGUUCUGUUGGGAACACUUCCCUCCGGGAGGGGGAAAUCAUCACCAUCGUCAUCACCAAUGAUCCUCUCAUCGGGAGGGGGUCAAUCUCCAUCAACAUCUUCACCAACACCAUCUCCUCUCAAACCCUAGUUCAUCUCUUGUAUCCAAUCUUGUAUCCAAAACCACAAAUUGGUACCUGUGGGUUGCUAGUAGUGUUGAUUACUCCUUGUAGUUGAUGCUUAUUGGUUUACUUGGUGGAAGAUCAUACGUUCAGAUCCUUAAUGCAUAUUAUUACACCUCUGAUUAUGAACAUGAAUAUGCUUUGUGAGUAGUUACUUUUGUUCCUGAGGACAUGGGUGAAGUCUUGCUAUUAGUAGUCAUGUGAAUUUGGUAUUCGUUCGAUAUUUUGAUGAGAUGUAUGUUGUCUUUCCUCUGUGGUGUUAUGUGAACGUCGAAUACAUGACACUUCACCAUUAUUUGGGCCUAGAGGAAGGCAUUGGGAAGUAAUAAGUAGAUGAUGGGUUGCUAGAGUGACAGAAGCUUAAACCCUAGUUUAUGCGUUGCUUCAUAAGGGGCUGAUUUGGAUCCAUAUGUUUAAUGUUGUGGUUAGGUUUACCUUAAUACUUUUGUUGUAGUUGCAGUUGCUUGCAAUAGGGGUUAAUCAUAAGUGGGAUGCUUGUCCAAGUAAGGGCAGUACCCAAGCACCGGUCCACCCACAUAUCAAAUUAUCAAAGUACCGAACGCAAAUCAUAUGAGUGUGAUGAAACUAGCUUGACGAUAAUUCCCAUGUGUCCUCGGGAGCGCUUUUCUCAUUAUAAGAAAUUGUCCAGGCUUGUCUUUUGCUACAAAAAGGAUUGGGUCACCUUACUGCACCUUAUUUACUUUUAUUGCUUGUUACUCGUUACAAUUUAUCUUAUCACAAAACUAUCUAUUACCUACAAUUUCAGUGCUUGCAGAGAAAACCUUACUGAAAACCGCUUAUCAUUUCCUUCUGCUCCUCGUUGGGUUCGACACUCUUACUUAUCGAAAGGACUAUGAUAGAUCCCUUACACUUGUGGGUCAUCACGCGCUAGGGGCCUCUCGCAUGCCUUGGUGUCUUGUGGACCCCACGGGCCUCCCCCAGGUGCUUCCUUGGCUCCCAAGUUGUCUUCUGGUCCCAAAAAAAUCUCCAAAAAGUUUUCCUGCGUUUGGACUCUGUUUGGUAGGGAUAUUCUACAAAGUAAAAAACAAGCAAAAAAGCAGCAACUCGCACUUAGCACUAUGUCAAUAGGUUAGUCCCAAAAAAUGAUAUAAAGUUGCUCUAAAAUGAUUGUAAAAUAUCCAAGAAUGAUAAUAUAACAGCAUGGAAAUCAUAAAUUAUAGAUACGUUGGAGACUUAUCAACAUCCCCAAGCUUAAUUCCUGCUCGUCCUCGAGUAGGUAAAUGAUAAAAAAAUUGGUGUGGAAUGUUGCCUAACAUGUUCAUCACAUUAUCUUUUCUUUUGUAGUAUGGACAUUUGGACUUUUAGAUGAUUCAAAGCAAUAGUCUAUAUUUUACAUGAAGCCUUCAAUACUAAAGCAUAUCAACAAGCAACCAUGUCUUUCUAAAUAUCAACACUAAAGAAAGUUAUCCCUAGCCCAUCAUGCUCAAUCAUUGAUCCAUUCGUGAAACACACUCGAAUAUUAGCUACAACCAUUGCUCAAGUACGAUCAUAGUGCCCCUUAGUUGGUGCUUUAUAAGAGAAGAGGGAGACUCAAAUAAAAAUAAAAAUUGCAUAAAGUAAAUAGAUAGGCCCUUCGCUAAGGGAAGUAGGGAUUUGUAGCGGUGCUAGAGCUCAAAGAAAAAAUUGAGAGAUAAAAACAUUUUGGGAGGCAUGCUUUUCCUGUCAACGAAAACGACCUAGAAUUCCCAACAGUUUCCAUCAUAGAUAUAUCUGUUAGCGCUUUGGGAACGGGGGUACCUAGGCCCACCUGUCUGCGGCCCAACGCAUGACUUCACCGACGGCCCGACAUGGUCCAAUUUCAAGGUCUCACAGACAAGACCCUCGUGAGGGCCCCCUGCCUGACGAGGCGAACAACAUCAAGGCCUCCCAAAGGGCGGCCUCCCAAGGCUGGCUCCCGAGGGGCGGGCAUCUCUAUGCGGGCACCCCGCCUCACGAGGCUCGCGGUGAUGUGAGCCAUGAAGACUAAGGCCAGGCGGGCGCCAGCGGGCCCAGGGCAAGACAAUUUCCUCUUUGGUGCUAAGGAGGCAAGGACAAGCGCAGGUUCCCGAAGACUCCCCCAAAGGUUUCCAUUCCCACAGUUGCGUCACGACCAGAAGCUUUGCAGGCGAAGACCACCUUUAGUCAGGAUAGGGUGUAAUCUUGUCCCCCUUCAAAUUUGGCCACUGUGGCAUCCCUUCCCUCCUAAGUUAUGAGGGAAGAGGACCAGGCCUAGUCUAAGUAUAGGCUAGUCUCCACCAUAGAGGGAGGUCGGCUCAUUCUGACCCGAGGACCAACUCAUUCUCACCCUCUGAGCCCUCGCGAGGCAGCUCACCCAAUGUACUAGUUCAUCCUCAUCCUCCUCGCGAGGCAACCCACCAAAAACAGGAGUAGGGUUUUACACCGCAAGGUGGCCUGAACCUGGGUAAAACCACCUAUCCACUUCUUCCUGCUCGUGCGUACUCGACGAGAUCAGGCCGUGAGGGUGGCGAGCAGUGUCUCAUUGUGAAGCGAGAUCCUCCAUACACGCCCUAGAGUUCAAACCUAGUUUAGGUCCACGGAACCCUAGACUCCGACAUUUGGCGCGCUAGGUAGGACGUGGUCAAGCCUCCGCUCCUUUGACGGCCACGCUCCAUCCUCACUUUGUCGUCCCCAUUGUAGAUGCCAUCUUCCCAGCCUCGCGACUCGCUGCUUAUGGGAGCGCCGCGGGGUGCCCGACCUUCACCCCCGACCUGUGAUGGGUGAGGUUCAGGCCGAUGCUGCUCCCGUGCUAUGAUGGCGCACCAGAUCCCCAGGAGUUCCUCCAGCUGUAUGCCCAGGCCAUCCUGGUGGCAUGCAGUGAUGACAAGGCCAUGGCGAACUGGUUCCCCCUGGCCCUCAUAGAAUUUCCUCGAUCUUGGCUCCGCAACCUCCCGGAUGCCUCGGUUUCCUCUUGGGAGGAGCUCCGCAGUCGGUUCAUCGCACUCUUUGCAGCCCCGGUGCCCCACGUGGUUGCAUGCAUCCUCGGUGGGUCCCAGACACCUGUGUCUAGUCAUCAUGCCAAGAAGCUCUUCCGCCAAGCGGUCGCCGCCCAGCCCGAGGCCUCGCUAGGCUGCACCCGACCCGCAGUCGACAUCACCUUCGACUCCACGGAUGAACCCAAGUCUGCGGCCGCUGCUGGAGCGCUCCCCAUGCUGUGCUCGCCCACCAUCAACAAUGUUUAGGUCAUCAAGACCCUCAUCGACGGCGGCAACGUCCUCCUGGUGGAGGCCUUCAAGAUGCUUCAAGUGCCUGACGACCAGAUCACGCCCACUAGGCCAUUCUCUAGGGUGAUCAGGGGCUUCGCCACCCCCCUAGGACAGGUGCACCUCCCCACCACCUUCAGCACCCGCAGCAACUACCGCACCGAGCUGAUCGACUUCGACGUGGCCCACAUCAGUCUCCCGUACAACGCCAUCCUGGGAUACCCUUCCCUCGCCAAGUUCAUGGCGGUGACCCAUCCGGGCUACAAUGUUGUUAAGAUGCUAGAUGAUAUGUCUCCGUCGUAUCUAUAAUUUUUGAUUGUUCCAUGCCAAUAUUCUACAACUUUUACAUACUUUUGGCAACUUUUUAUACUAUUUUUGGGACUAACAUAUUGAUCCAGUGCCCAGUGCCAGUUCCUGUUUGUUGCAUGUUUUUUGUUUCACAGAAAAUCCAUAUCAAACGGAGUCCAAACGGGAUAAAAACUGACAGAGAUUAUUUUUGGAAUAUUUAUGAAUUUUGGGAAGUGGAAUCAACGCGAGACGAUGCUCAAGGGGCCCACGAGGCAGGGGGCGCGCCCCUGACCCUCGUGGACACCUCGUAAGGAGGUUGUUGCCCUUCUUUCGCUGAAAGAAAGCUAAUAUCUGGAGAAAUAUCGUGUUCAAAGUUUCAAUCCAAUCGGAGUUACGGAUCUCCGGGUAUGUAAGAAACGGUGAAAUGGCAGAAUCUGCAACGCUAAAAGAGAGAGAGAGACAGAGAGACAUAUCCAAUCUUGGAGGGGCUCUCGCCCCUCCCAUGCCAUGGAGACCAUGGACCAGAGGGGAAACCCUUCUCCCAUCUAGGGAGAAGGUCAAGGAAGAAGAAGAAGAAGGGGGGCUCUCUCCUCCUCUCUCCUGGUGGUGCCGGAACGCCGCGGGGGCCAUCGUCAUCACCGUGAUCUACACCAACACCUCCGUCAUCUUCACCAACAUCUCCAUCACCUUCCCCCAUCUAUCUACAAUGGUCCACUCUCCCGCAACCCGUUGUACCCUCUACUUGAACAUGGUGCUUUAUGCUUCAUAUUAUUAUCCAAUGAUGUGUUGCCAUCCUAUGAUGUCUGAGUAGAUUUUCGUUGUCCUAUCGGUAAUUGGUGAAUUGCUAUGAUUGGUUUAAUUUUCUUGUGGUUAUGUUGUUGUCCUUUGGUGCCCAUCCUAUGAGCGCGCGCGUGGAUCGCACCAUAGGGUUAGUUGUAUGUUGAUAGGACUAUGUAUUGGAGGGCAAGAGUGACAGAAGCUUCAACCUAGCAUAGAAAUUGAUGCAUACGGGAUUGAAGGGGGACCAAUAUAUCUUAAUGCUAUGGUUGGGUUUUACCUUAAUGAACGUUAGUAGUUGCGGAUGCUUGCUAAUAGUUCCAAUCAUAAGUGCAUAGAAUUCCAAGUCAGGGAUGACAUGCUAGCAGUGGCCUCUCCCACAUAAAACUUGCUAUCGGUCUAGUAAAGUAGUCAAUUGCUUAGGGACAAUUUCGCAACUCCUACCACCACUUUUCCACACUCGCUAUACUAACUUUAUUGCGUCUUUAUCUAAACAGCCCCUAGUUUUUAUUUACGUGCUCUUUAUAUUCUUGCAAACCUAUCCAACAACACCUACAAAGUCCUUCUAGUUUCAUACUUGUUUUAGAUAAAGCGAAUGUUAAGCGUGCGUAGAGUUGUAUCGGUGGUCGAUAGAACUUGAGGGAAUAUUUGUUCUACAUUUAGCUCCUCGUUGGGUUCGACACUCUUACUUAUCGAAAGAGGCUACAAUUGAUCCCCUAUACUUGUGGGUUAUCACCAGGCAGCAGCAGUGUCAUCACCAUGGUCGGGGACACAAAGGACGCGGUUCGGGCCCCCCAAGCUCGCACACAGGGCUGCGACAACCUCACACCCAGAUCCCGGGAGCUCCCCGGAGACUCUGGAGGAUGCACCCGCAAAGAAGAAAUAGUUGUUCUCCUAGGACCGCACCGAGGCGAAGAAGGUGCCCAUCAACUACAGCGGCUCGGGCCCCACUUUCACCAUUGGCGCCGGCCUUCCCCCGGAGCAAGAGGAGGCGUUGGUCGAUUUCCUCCGAGCAAACAAGGACUUGUUUGCGUGGUAAGCAUCUGAUCUGGUCAGUGUUCCGAGGGAGGUAAUCGAGCACCACCUGGCGGUAUGCCCCAAUGCACUCCCGGUAAAGCAGAAGGCGCGGUGUCAAGCAUAGGAGAAGCAUGCAUUCAUUGUCUAGGAAGUGCGCAAGUUGCAAGAAGCUGGGGUCAUUCAAGAGGUACGGCACUCAGAGUGGUUAGCCAACCCCGUUGUUGUGCCCAAGAAGGGCAGGAAGGAGCGCAUGUGCGUCGACUUCACAAGACUUAACAAGGCUUGCCCUCAGGACCCCUUUCCGCUCCCACGCAUCAACCAAAUCAUGGACUCCACCGCAAAGUGUGAUAUGUUUGCUUUCUGGAUGCUUUCUCGAGUUAUCAUUAGAUCAAGAUGGCGGUAGAAGACGUCGAGAAGAUGGCCUUCAUUUCCCCAUGCGGCGUGUAUUGCUACACCUACAUGCCCUUCGAGAUGAGGAGCGCCGGCGCCACCUUCCAGCGGCUGAUGCACAUCGCACUAGGGUCGCAGCUAGGGAGGAAUGUAGAGGCAUACGUCGAUGACAUCAUGGUAAAAUGUACGUGAGGCAAGGAACCUAAUUGAAUACCUAGAGGAAACGUUCGCCAACCUGCGCAAGGUGAACCUGAGGCUCAACCCAGAAAAAUGCGUUUUCAGGAUCCCGUCCGGCAAGCUGCUUGGUUUCCUUGUCUCGCAUCGAGGGAGUGAGGCCAACCCCGAGAGGAUCAAGGCAAUUGAAAAGAUGCGCCCGCCUCAGACCCUCAAGGAAAUGCAAAAGCUGGUGGAGUGUGUGACCUCCUUGGGGCGCUUCAUCUCUAAGCUUGGUGAGCGCACUGAUACGUCUCCAACGUAUCUAUAAUUUUUGAUUGUUCCAUGCUAUUAUAUUACCCGUUUUGUAUGUUUAUGGGCUUUACUUUACACUUUUAUAUCAUUUUUUGGACUAACGUACUAACCGGAGGCCCAACCCGUAUUGCUGUUUUUUUUGCUUAUUUUAGUGUUUCGAAGAAAAGGAAUAUCAAAUGGAGUCCAAACGGAAUGAAACCUUGAGGAGCGUGAUUUUUGGGAUGAACGUGAUCCAGAGGACUGGGAGUGGAAGUCAAGAAACAACCGAGGCAGCCACGAGAGUGCCCGGCGCGCCCCCUAGGGCUGGGCGCGCCCCCACCCUCAUGGGCCCCUUGGGCGUCCACCGACCUACUUCUUCCUCCUAUAUAUACCCAUGUACCCCAAAAACAUCAGAAGCCACCACGAAAAACUAUUUCCACCAUCGUAACCUUCUGUAUCCGCGAGAUCCCAUCUCGGAGCCUUCGCCCGCGCUCCGCCAGAGGGGGAAUCGACCAUGGAGGGCUUCUACAUCAACACCAUAGCCUCUCUAAUGAGUUGUGAGUAGUUUACCACAGACCUUUGGGUCCAUAGUUAUUAGCUAGAUGGCUUCUUCUCUCACUUUGAAUCUCAAUACAAUGUUCUCCUUGAUCUUCUUGGCGAUCUAUUCGAUGUAACUCUUUUUUGCGGUGUGUUUGUCAAGAUCCGAUGAAUUGUGGGUUUAUGAUCAAGUUUAUCUAUGAGAAAUAUUUGAAUCUCCUCUGAAUUCUUUUAUGUGUGAUUAAGUUAUCUUUGCAAGUCUCUUCGAAUUAUCAGUUUGGUGUGGCCUACUAGAUUGCUCUUUCUUGCAAUGGGAGAAGUGCUUAGCUUUGGGUUCAAUCUUGCGGUGUCCUUUCCUAGUGACAGCAGGGGCAGCAAGGCACGUAUUGUAUUGUUGCCAUCGAGGAUAAAAAGAUGGGGUUUAUAUCAUAUUGCAUGAGUUUAUCCCUCUACAUCAUGUCAUCUUUCUUAAUGUGUUACUCUGUGCUUUAUGAACUUAAUACUCUAGAUGCAUGCUGGAUAGCGGUCGAUGUGUGGAGUAAUAGUAGUAGAUGCAGGCAGGAGUCGGUCUACUUGUCACGGACAUGAUGCCUAUAUACAUGAUCAUGCCUAGAUAAUCUAAUAAUUAUUCGCUUUUCUAUCAAUUGCUCGACAGUAAUUUGUUCACCCACCGUAAUACUUAUGCUAUCUUGAGAGAAGCCACUAGUGAAACCUAUGGCCCCCGGGUCUAUCUCUUAUCAUAUAAGCUUUCAAUCCACUUUUUAUUUUCAUCUUUACUUUUCCAAUCUAUAUCAUAAAAUACCAAAAAUAUAUUUAUCUUAUCAUAUUAUCUCUAUAGAUCUCACUUUCGCAAGUGGCCUUGAAGGGAUUGACAACCCCUUUAUUGCGUUGGUUGCGAGUUCUUGUUUGUUUGUGUAGGUGCGUGGGACUUUUGAGGAGCCUCCUACUGGAUUGAUACCUUGGUUCUCAACAACUGAGGGAAAUACUUACGCUACUAUUGCUGCAUCACCCUUUCCUCUUCAAGGAAAACCAACGCAAGCUCAAGACGUAGCAAGAAGGAUUUCUAGCGCCGUUGCGGGGGAGGUCUUUGCUCAAGUCAAGACAUACCAAGUACCCAUCACAAACUCAUCUCCCUCGCAUUUACAUUACCUUCCAUUUGCUUCUCAUUUUCCUCUCCCCCACUGCACCCUUGCCGUUUUAUUCGCCCUCUCUUUCCCAUUCUCCUCUCUCUUUCACUUUUCUUUUUGUGUGCCUGUUUGCCCUAAUGGCUUUGCCUAAGAACACUGACCUUCAUCUUAGAAGGUUGGAAGAGAUUUAAUCAAACGUUAGAAGUUUUAUGACUUUACAAUUUGAGCAUAAUAAUUUCUUCAGAAAAGAGCUUAAACAACAAAAAGGUUUUAUGGGGUUUAUGAACAAAGAGCUUGAUGAUAUGUCUAAAGAAUUUUAUGGUUUGAACUCGCAAAUUACUCGGCUUGAAAAUUCUAUAGCCCAAAUGUCUGAUAAGCAAGCUACCUUAGUCAAUAAGAAGGCUGCCAAACCAGAAAAGAUAGAUGAAAAUAAUGAUGAAGAACUCAAAGUUAUUGAUGUGUCCCCUAUUAUAUCUUUGUUUUGCAUUACGAAUCUUAAUAAUGGUGGGAAUGGAGAUGAGUCAACUUUUGUUAAAAGGCGUCCCAAUGAUUCGGAGUUCUUAGAUCUUGACGCUAAAUUUGGUAAAAGUGGGAUUGGAGAGGUCAAGACUUUAAAUAGCAUUGAACCCACUAUCUUGGAUUUCAAGGAAUUUAAUUAUGAUAAUUGUUCUUUAGAAGGUUGUAUUUCCUUGUCGCAAUCCAUUUUGAAUUCUCCUCAUGCCUAUAGUCAAAAUAAAGCCUUUACCAAACAUAUUGUUGAUGCCUUGAUGCAAUCUUAUGAUGAAAAACUUAAUUUGGAAGUUUCUAUACCUAGAAAACUUAAUGAUGAGUGGGAACCUACUAUAAAGAUUAAAAUUAAAGAUCACGAGUGUUAUGCUUUGUGUGAUUUGGGUGCUAGUGUUUCCACAAUUCCAAAAAAUUUAUGUGAUAUUCUAGGUUUCCAUGAUCUUGAUGAUUGCUCUUUAAAUUUGCAUCUUGUGGAUUCCACCAUUAAAAAGCCUAUGCGAAGAAUUAAUGAUGUUCUCAUUAUUGAAAAUAAGAAUUUGGUGCCUGUAGAUUUUAUCGUUCUUGAUAUAGAUUGCAAUCUUUGAUGUCCUAUUAUUUUUGGUAGACCUUUCCUUAGAACGAUUGGUGCGAUUAUUGAUAUGAAGGAAGGGAAUAUUAGAUUCCAAUUUCCAUUAAGGAAAGGCAUGGAGCACUUUCCAAGAAAGAAAGUCAAAUUACCUUAUGAAUCUAUCAUGCGAGCUACUUAUGAAUCAAGUGCCAAAGAUGGCAUAUUUAGAUCUAUCCUCGCUUUUAUGCCUAGCUAGGGGCGUUAAACAAUAGCGCUAGUUGGGAGGCAACCCAAUUUUAUCUUUGUUUUCGCUUUUUGCUUCUAUUUAGUAAUAAAUUUAUCAUCUACCUUCUGUUUAGAUGCGUUUUCAUGUUUUAGGUAGUGUUUGUGCCAAGUAGAACCUAUAGGAUAACCUAUGGUGAUAGUUAAUUUGAUUCUGCUGAAAAAGAGAAACUUUGCACGCACGAAAAUAAUUUUAGUAAUUCACAGAGACGUGUUUUUGCAUUUAUGCUUUUUUAUGUAGAUCAAUAGACAAAUUGCCCAGUACUUCCUAUUUUGGUAGGAUCUUUAGAGUUCCAGAAGUAUUCCAGAGUUACAUAUUGCUACAGACUGUUCUAUUUUUGACAGAUUCUGCUUUUCUUGUGUUGUUUGCUUAUAUUGAUGAAUCUAUGGCUAGUAUGUAGGGGUAUGAACCAUAGAUAAUUCGGAAUAUAGUAGAUUUAACACCAAUAUAAAUAAAUAAUGAGUUCAUUACAGUACCUUAUGUGGUGGUUUUGCUUUCUUGCACUAACGGAGCUUAUGAGAUUUCCUGUUGAGUUUUGUGUUGUGAAGUUUUCAAGUUUUGGGUAAAGAUUUGAUGGACUAUGGAAUAAGGAGUGGCAGGAGCCUAAGCUUGGGGAUGCCCAUGGCACCCCAAGAUAUUCAAGAAUAGCCAAAAGCCUAAGCUUGGGGAUGCCCCGGGAAGGCAUCUCCUCUUUUGUCUUCGUUUAUCAGUAACUUUACUUGGAGCUAUAUUUUUAUUCGCCACAUGAUAUGUGUUUUGCUUGGAGCGUCUUGUAUGAUAUUAGUCUUUUCUUUUUAGUCUACCACAAUCAUCCUUGCUGUACACACCUUUUGGGAGAAACCCACAUGAUUGGAAUUUAUUAGAAUACUCUAUGUGCUUCACUUAUAUCUUUUGAGCUAGAUAGUUUUUGCUCUAGUGCCUCACUUAUAUCUUUUAGAGCACGGCGGUGGCUUAAUUUUGUAGAAAUUGUUAGUCUCUCAUGCUUCACUUAUAUUAUUUUGAGAGUCUCUUAGAACAGCAUGGUAUUUUCUAUGUUUAUAAAAUUGGUCCUAGAAUGAUGGGCAUCAAAGUUGGGUACAAUAAAAACUAUCAUAAGAAGUGAAUUGGAUGCUAUGAUCAAUUUGAUACUUGAUAAUUGUUUUGAGAUCUGGAGGUAGUGAUAUUAGAGUCAUGCUAGUUGGGUGAUUAUGAAUUUAAAGAAUGCUUGUGUUGAAGGUAGCAAGUCCCGUAGCAUGCACAUAUGGUAAAAGUUGUGUAACAAAUUUGAAACAUGAUGUGUUCUUAGAUUGUGUAUCCUUAUGAGUGGCGGUCGGGGACGAGCGAUGGUCUUUUCCUACCAAUAUAUCCCCCUAGGAGCAUGCGCGUAGUGCUUGGUUUUUUAUGACUUGUAGAUUUUUGCAAUAAGUAUAUGAGUUCUUUUGACUAAUGUUGAGUCCAUGGAUUAUACGCAGUUUUACCUUUCCAUCAUUGCUAGCCUCUUCGGUGUCGUGCAUUGCCCUUUCUCACCUUGGGAGUUGGUGCAAACUUCGCUGGUACAUCCAAACCCCGUGAUACAAUACGCUCUAUCACACAUAAACCUCCUUAUAUCUUCCUCAAAACAGCCACCAUACCUACUUAUUAUGGCAUUUCCAUAGCCAUUCCGAGUAAUAUUGCCAUGCAACUUUCCACCGUUCCGUUCAUCAUCAUGACACACAUCAUCAUUGUCAUAUUGCCUUGCAUGAUCAUGUAGUUGAUAUCGCAUUUGUGGCAAAGCCACCAUGAAUAAAUUUUCAUACAUGUCACUCUUUAUUCAUUGCCCAUCCCGGUACACCGCCGGAGGCAUUCAUAUAGAGUCAUAUCUUGUUCUAGUUUUGAGUUGUAAUUCAUGAGUUGUAAACAAAUAAAAGUGUGAUGAUCGUCAUUAUAAGAGCAUUGUCCCCCAGAAAAGGCCAAAAAAAAGAAAGGCCAAAGAAAAAAUAGGGAAAAGAAAAAAAAGAAAGGCAAAAAAAGGCCCAAAAAGAAGAAGAAAUUAAACAUAAAAAGGGGGAAAUAUUACUAUCUUUUUCCACACUUGUGCUUCAAAGUUGCACCAUGUUCUUCGUAUAAAAAGUCUCAUAUGUUGUCACUUUCAUAUACUAGUGGGAAUUUUUCAUUAGCGAACUUGGCUUGUAUAUUCCUACGAUGGGCUUCCUCAAAAUGCCCUAGGUCUUCGUGAGCAAGCAAGUUGGAUGCACACCCACUAGUUUCUUUUGUUGAGCUUUCAUGCAUUUAUAGCUCUAGUGCAUCCGUUGCAUGGCAAUCCCUACUCCUCAUGUUGACAUCAAUUGAUGGGCAUCUCCAUAACCCGUUGAUUAUCCUCGUCAAUGUGAUACUUUUCUCCUUUUUUGUCUUCUCCACACAACUCCCAUCAUCAUAUUCUAUUCCACUGAUAGUGCUAUAUCCAUGGCUCACGCUCAUGUAUUGCGUGAAAGUUGAAAAGUUUGAGAUUAUUUAAGUAUGAAACAAUUGCUUGGCUUGUCAUCGGGGGUGUGCAAGAUGGGAACAUUUUUGUGUGACAAAAACGAAGCAUAGCCUAACUAUAUGAUUUUGUAGGGAUGAACUUUCUUUAGCCAUGUUAUUUUGAGAAGACAUGAUUGCUUUGAUUAGUAUGCUUGAAGUAUUACUAUUUCUUAUGUCAAUAUGAACUUUUAUUUCGAAUCAUUUGGAUCUGAACAUUCAUGCCACAAUAAAGAAAAUUACAUUGAGAAUUAUGCUAGGUAGCAUUCCACAUCAAAAUUUUUGUUUUUAUAAUUUACCUACUCGAGGACGAGCAUGAAUUAAGCUUGGGGAUGCUUCAUAUGUCUCCAACGUAUCUACAAUUUUUUAUUGUUCCAUGCUAUUAUAUUACCCGUUUUGGAUGUUUAUGGGCUUUACUUUACACUUCUAUAUCAUUUUUGGGACUAACCUACUAACCGGCGGCCCAACCCGUAUUGUUGUUUUUUUUACUUAUUUUAGUGUUUAGAAGAAAAGGAAUAUCAAACGGAGUCCAAAUGAAAUGAAACCUUCGGGAGCGUGAUUUUUGGAACGAACAUGAUCCAGAGGACUUGGAGUGGAAGUCAGUAAACAACUGAGGCAACCACGAGGGUGCCUGGCACCCCUAGGGCUGGGCGCCCAACCACCCUCGUGGGCCGCUCGGGCGUCCACCAACCUACUUCUUCCUCCUAUAUAUACCCAUGUACCCCGAAAACGUCAGAAGCGACCAUGAAUCUGUUGGCAUAGGGUACCUUUCCCGACAGAUAAAUUGUAGGUAAGACAUAUGCUGACAGAAGAUAAACAGUCGGAGGACUUGCUGUUGGGAAAGAUAUUGCCGACAGAAGUUCACUUGCCGACACUUUUUUUGUCAGCAUACACCCUACCUACACCGACACAUGGUAAGUCAAUGUACACUACCUACGCCGACACAUGGUAAGUCAAGGCACACCCUACCUAUGCCGACACAUCGUAAGUCAAGGCACACCCUGGCUACCUAUGCCGACACUUAGCCUGUCAAAAUAGGUGUUUAACAUGCCGACACAUGGCUUGUCUAGUUAGCGGGAUACUUUUGCCAACACUUGCUGCGUUGUAAUGUUUUUGCCGACAUAUAAAUUGUUGGUAAGAUGGUGCACAACCAAAACAACAAUUGGAUAUUGUUGUAAUUCAAAUGUUAUAUAAAUGUACAACUAUUGUCCACAAGAUCAAGAUGAACACAUAUUUCACAACCAUUGAUAAUAUGGUAAUAAGAAUACACACAUAUAUAUUGUUCACACGUUCAAACACGAGUCAAUCUACACAAAGCAAAGUUUGGCUAUCUUGGCAACCAUCCAGAAAACAAAAGUCACAUUAAAGGACCCCUAUUUGCUGGUCUAAAAUAGUUCAAACACUAAAUGGUCCAAAACACUUGAGUCACAUCCAUGAGCACAAGAUUUCUACUCCAUAAUACUUGAGCACCAAAUGGUCCAGAACACACAUACGUUCAUGAUUACAAUUAAGAUUGCUGGUCCAAAAUACUGUAGACAGCCAAAUGCUCCAUAACACUUCCAAGCCAUCACAUCCAUGCAUACUAGGUUGCUGAUUACGUGAAAAUACCCCACAAGAAUUUGGUAGAAAGUGGAGUCAGCUCAAGUGCUUUGAAGCUCGUAGGGAAAUUGGCAGCCAAGAGAAGCACAAGAAUUAAGUAUUUAUGACAUAUGUCCAUAACACACAUAACAUAGUUCUGUCAUACAUGAGGUAAGAUAUUUAUAAAAUGAUAAAAGGAAUCAUCAUGCAGACAUAUCUACAUAUAUAUAGAAUAUGCAUUUUUCCAUGGCAGACAAAUCUACAAAUUUUAUUCAACAUCUUACAUGCAACAAACUGUAGUAGGAUCAGCCAAUCUGAAGUUGUAUUUGUUCUACUACAAAGUUAGCUGAUGUAAUCUUCAAAGUUUGAAAAUAAUUGUGUUUGUACGUUAUCUGAUGAAGUAGAACGGAAAUGUACAACUUCUGACCCCAAAAACUGUAGUAUGUGAAGUUCAGUUUAUGCCAUGUGAUCUUCAGAUUGUGACCACCAAAGGGAUAACACCAAACUGAUUUGUGUAUGUUAACUCCUAUAAGCAAUGUAUGUGCGCUUCAGAUCAUGUUGUGUUAUUUUCAUAUUUUUUAUUAUAAACUGCAGUAUGUGGAGUUCAGUUUUAUGAACAAGAUACAAAAUGUUAUCUAGUAAUGCUAUAGGUUCAGGCAGAAAUGUCGCGCUUUAGUCAAGGCUCAAAAUGAUCUAGGUAUAUUUCUAAGAGAGAAACAAUAAACUUAAUGUAUGUAUUAUGUUGUAGUACCUGCACCUCCUGGUACAUUAGUUGCCAUCUUGUCAUCCUUCAUCUACAACAAUAACCAUUACUUAAUAGAAAUAAAUGUUGCCUUCUUAUCAGUUUUUUUCUAGAAUAAUCCUUAUCAGUUUGAGGCUGCUUCUUUCACUGCAAAUUGCUCUGAAAAAAUGUGUAGACAUGUAUCAACCAUCCUGCAAAAAAAAGAAAAUGUGUUCAAUAUAGAUAAAUCGGCUUCCGAAAUCAAAUCAUAAAGUAAAGGCCAAAGGUCUGCAAGUUAUUUUCAUAUUGUGUUAUUUUCAUAUUUUUUAUUAUAAACUGCAGUAUGUGGAGUUCAGUUUUAUGAACAAGAUACAAAAUGUUAUCUAGUAAUGCUAUAAGUUCAGGCAGAAAUGUCGCGCUUUAGUCAAGGCUCAAAAUGAUCUAGGUAUAUUUCUAAGAGAGAAACAAUAAACUUAAUGUAUGUAUUAUGUUGUAGUACCUGCACCUCCUGGUACAUUAGUUGCCGUCUUGUCAUCCUUCAUCUACAACAAUAACCAUUACUUAAUAGAAAUAAAUGUUGCCUUCUUAUCAGUUUUUUUCUAGAAUAAUCCUUAUCAGUUUGAGGCUGCUUCUUUCACUGCAAAUUGCUCUGACAAAAUGUGUAGACAUGUAUCAACCAUCCUGCAAAAAAAGAAAAUGUGUUCAAUAUAGAUAAAUCGGCUUCCGAAAUCAAAUCAUAAAGUAAAGGCCAAAGGUCUGCAAGUUAUGUACUUGGUUAGUAUAAUGAAUGAACUUGUCAAAAGAACAAAUAUUAUGCCAACAACCAGAAUGAACACGAACAUCUCAUAUAAGUAUUGAAUGUCUGAAUCCUGAAAUUAUCUAGCCACUGCACCAAGGUGGCGGACUCUACAAUUUGAAUUCACAUGUCCAAGCAAUGCGGUGUGAGGCACUAUGAGAAGGUGCCUCUAAGGUUUGAAUGUGAUCGGAACUUGCAAUUCUCCCCGCUGGAAACCAUAUGCAGCUUCAAGUAGUUGAAGGUAUGUGGAUGUAGAGGAAGAUGAGAGUAUAUGUUGAGCCUAAGGUUUGAAUGCUAAUGCCAUAUUCAUGCAAAAGGAAAACAACACCGUGCUCACAUAAAAAAAUUAUAUCAAAAGAUGACACUGUUAUUCAUAAAUAUUAUGUGUAGAUGACGAUGUAAUUCAAAAGUGAUGGAGAAUAAAAUUGGAAUGUGCCUCCUUAAACAUUGACUGGACUUUGGGUCCACCUCGGCGCCCUCCGCUCGCCCACCUCUCGUCCUUGCUGCCAGGUAGUAUCGCGUACUCGCCGCCCUGCAAGCUCACCAUCAUGUACACCCGCUCCUGCAGCACCAAGCCCGUUGACCCAAAAUUAAACCAUGAAGCAUCAGAAACUACAUGAUGUUACAGCACAAACAAUAUUCAGUUCUACAGCAAAGUUGAAGCCAACUCAAUCGUUUGCACUAUAUAACUUAGAAAUAUGUAUUGACAAUCAAAAGUGCUUCCUGUAAAAAAAAUCUCAGAGGUUAUGCGCCUCCAGGAGCCUCCGUUUGACCAUGCCAACUCACCCAAAAAACUGGACACAAUGGGUCACGGCUUUAAAUAACAAAACUGAACCACCUAGAAAUCAGGAAGUCAGACAAUGCUAACAACAUAUGAACUUCCACCCAUAUCAAAUGUUAAAUGAAUAAUCACUUUCUAAUUUAAAGGAGAUAAAGAGUUCAUAAUAAUAUGAUGAAUAUAAAAAUGAAAAACAGCUAUGAGACAUGGAUGUCAGAUGGCUUGCUAUGUUUUGUAGCACCAAUCUGUGUAUCCAAAUUGGGAUGCUGAGAAAUAGGAAUCUGAACUAUAAAAUCAACACAUCUUAGCACAAGAUAUCAAAGUGUUGCCCUAAUUUUCAGAGUUCAGCAAUGACAUAUGGUUCAAAGUUCAGCAAUGUACAAGCACGCAUCAUGCAGCAGCACAGAAAAGGAUAUCUUAGCAGGAGCCGAUGCGUACCUAUUGGAAAAGACGAGUCUUGUGACGAGAUCUGCAGCAACGGACGGCUGGCUUCGGGAGGGGCGCAACGGGAUGGAGAGCUCACGGAUGGAUCUCUACCGGCGGCAGAAAUAAGAUGGCGGACGAGGUUGGGGGCUGGAGGACGGGGAUGGGGGUGGAUCCCUGAACGUGAGGGCCGAUUUCGCCUGGAUCUCAGUCGGAUUGCGAGGACGGCGGCUGGAUCUCGGGCGGAGCGCGAGGACAGCGAUGGGAUCUCGGGCAGAGUGCAAGGACGGCGGAUGGAUCUCGGGCGGAGCGCGAGGACGGCGGCGACAGUAGCAGGACCGUGGGGUGGAGCAUGGAUACGGUGGCGACGGCGUGAGGGCCGUGGGGUGGAGCGUGGAUACGGUGGCGACGGCGUGAGGGCCGUGGGUUGAGCGCUAGGAUGGGGGGAUAGGGAUGGGGUGCGAGGGCGGCGGUGGCGGCUGGCACGGGUAAGGUUAUGGACUUGGUCCGAUUUGGGGGCUAUUUUGCACGGGCCAGCCGAAAUUCCAAAUUCAUUCCCGUCUCGCGCCUAAAUGGCGCGCCAACUUUCCAAGCUUCAGGAUUCUCAAAAAAAAAAUCCAAGCUUCAGUCGCUUGACACGUGUGCACAUACGCUGACACUUAUUUUGUGUCCAUACAUCCUACAUAUGCUGACAUAUUGUAUAUCACUAAACACGUACCUACGCCGAUAGAUAAAUUGUUAGAGCCCACACAUAUGCAGACACAUAGCAUGUUGUUAGCGAGUUGCCGACAGGUAAGUAGUCGCUUAGUGGUUGCUGACACAUAGUGUGUCCACAAUGAUGUAUCUAUGCCGACACAUGGUCCGAGGACAAUUCUUCAUAGCUACACCAACAGUUUUUUUGUGGAGACCAGUGGACUUUUCCCCACAUAAGUGUGUCACAUAAACUCUACCGUCGUGUAGUGCUUGGAGCCUUCGCCGGAGCCCCGCCGGAGGGGGAAUCGACCACGGAGGGCUUCUACAUCAACACCAUAGCCUCUCUGAUGAGUUGUGAGUAGUUUACCACAGACCUUGGGGUCCAUAGUUAUUAGCUAGAUUGCUUCUUCUCUCUCUUUAAAUCUCAAUACAAUGUUCUCCUCGAUCUUCUUGGAUAUCUAUUCGAUGUAACUCUUUUUUGCGGUGUGUUUGUCGAGAUCCGAUGAAUUGCGGUUUAUGAUCAAGUUUAUCUAUGAGAAAUAUUUGAAUCUCCUCUGAAUUCUUUUAUGUGUGAUUAAGUUAUCUUUGCAAGUCUCUUCGAAUUAUCAGUUUGGUUUGGCCUACUAGAUACAUCUUUCUCGCAAUGGAAGAAGUGCUUAGCUUUGGGUUCAAUCUUGCGGUGUCCUUUCCCAGUGACAAUAGGCGCAACAAGGCACUAUUGUAUUGUUGCCAUCGAGAAUAAAAAGACGGGCUUUAUAUCAUAUUGCAUUAGUUUAUCCUUCUACAUCAUGUCAUCUUUCUUAAUGCGUUACUCUGUUCUUUAUGAACUUAAUACUCUAGAUGCAUGCUGGAUAGCGGUUGAUGGGUGGAGUAAUAGUAGUUGAUGCAUGUAGGAGUCGGUCUACUUGUCACAGACAUGAUGCCUAUAUACAUGAUCAUGCCUAGAUAAUCUCAUAAUUAUUCGCUUUUCUAUCAAUUGCUCGACAGUAAUUUGUUCACCCACCGUAAUACUUAUGCUAUCUUGAGAGAAGCCGCUAGUGAAACCUAUGGCCCCCGGGUUUAUCUCUUAUCAUAUAAGCUUUCAAUCUACCUUUUAUUUGCAUCUUUACUUUUCCAAUCUAUAUCAUAAAAUACCAUAAAUAUAUUUAUCUUAUCAUAUUAUCUCUAUCAGAUCUCACUUUCGUAAGUGGCCUUGAAGGGAUUGAUGAUACGUCUCCAAUGUAUCUAUAAUUUUUUAUUGUUCUAUGCUAUUAUAUUACUUUUUUGGAUGCUUAUGUGCUUUACUUUACACUUUUAUAUCAUUUUUGGGACUAACCUACUAACCGGAGGCCCACCCGUAUUGCUGUUUUUGCCUAUUUCAGUGUUUCAAAGAAAAGGAAUAUCAAACGGAGUCCAAACGGAAUGAAUCCUUCGGGAGCGAUCUUUUUGGAACAAACGUGAUUCAGAGGACUUGGAGUGGAAGUCAAGAAACAAGCAAGGCGGCCACGAGGGGGAGGGCGCCCCCCUACUAGGCACGCCCCCUGCUUCGUGGGCCCCUCGAGCAUCCACCGACCUACUUCUUCCACCUAUAUAUACCCAUGUACCCCGAAAACAUCAGAAGCGACCACGAAAAACUAUUUCCACCGAUGUAACCUUCUGUAUCCGCGAGAUCCCAUCUUGGAGCCUUCGCCAGCGCUAAGCCGGAGGGGGAAUUGACUAUGGAGGGCUUCUACAUCAAUACCAUGGCUUCUCCGAUGAGUUGUGAGUAGUUUACCACAGACCUUCGGGUCCAUAGUUAUUAGCUAGAUGGCUUCUUCUCUCUCUUUGAAUCUCAAUACAAAGUUCUCCUCGUUCUUCUUGGAGAUCUAUUUGAUGUAACUCUUUUUGCAGCGUGUUUGUCGAGAUCCGAUGAAUUGUGGGUUUAUGAUCAAGUUUAUAUAUGAGAAAUAUUUGAAUCUUCUCUAAAUUCUUUUAUGUGUGAUUAAGUUAUCUUUGCAAGUCUCUUCGAAAUAUCAAUUUGGUUUGGCCUACUAGAUUGAUCUUUCUUGCAAUGGGAGAAGUGCUUAGGUUGGGGUUCAAUCUUCCGGUGUCUUUUCCCAGUGACAGCAGGGGCAGCAAGGCACGUAUUGUAUUGUUGCCAUCGAGGAUAAAAAGAUGGGGUUUAUAUCAUAUUUCAUGAGUUUAUCCCUCUACAUCAUGUCAUCUUUCUUAAUGCGUUACUCUGUUCUUUAUGAAUUUAAUACUCUAGAUGCAUGCUGGAUAGCGGUCGAUGUGUGGAGUAAUAGUAGUAGAUGCAGGCAAGAGUCGGUCUACUUGUCACGGAUGUGAUGCCUAUAUACAUGAUCAUGCCUAGAUAAUCUCAUAAUUAUUCGCUUUUCUAUCAAUUGCUCGACAGUAAUUUGUUCACCCAUCAUAAUACUUAUGCUAUCUUGUGAGAAGCCACUAGUGAAACCUAUGGCCCCCUGGUCUAUCUCUUAUCCUAUAAGCUUUCAAUCUACUUUUAUUUGCAUCUUUACUUUUCCAAUCUAUAUUAUAAAAUACCAAAAAUAUAUUUAUCUUAUCAUAUUAUCUCUAUCAGAUCUCACUUUUGCAAGUGGUCGUGAAGGGAUUGACAACCACUUUAUUGUGUUGGUUGCGAGUUCUUGUUUGUUUGUGUAGGUGUGUGGGACUUUCGAGGAGCCUCCUACUGGAUUGAUACCUUGGUUCUCAAAAACUGAGGGAAAUACUUAUGCUACUAUUGCUGCAUCACCCUUUCCUCUUCAAGGAAAACCAACGCAAGCUCAAGACGUACCAAGAAGGAUUUCUGGCGCCGUUUUUGGGGGAGGUCUUUGCUCAAGUCAAGACAUACCAAGUACCCAUCACAAACUCAUCUCCCUCGCACUUACAAUAUUUUCCAUUUUCCUCUUGUUUUCUUCUCCCCCAAUUCACCCUUGUCGUUUUAUUCGCCCUCUCUUUCCCAAUCUCCUCUCUCUUUUGCUUUCCUUUUUGUUUGCUUGUGUGUUGGAUUACUUGUCGUGAUGGCGCAAGAUAAUACCAAAUUGUGUGAUUUUUCCAAUACCAAUAAUAAUGAUUUCCUUAGUACUCCGAUUUCUCCUCUUAAUGAUGUUGAGUCUUGUGAAAUCAAUGCUGCUUUGCUGAAUCUUGUUAUGGAAGAUCAAUUCUCCGGCCUUCCUAGUGAAGACGCCGCUACCCAUCUAAAUAACUGUGUUGAUUUGUGUGAGAUGCAAAAGAAGAAAGAUACGGAUAAUGGUAUUGUUAAAUUGAAGUUAUUUCCGUUUUCACUUAGAGAUCGUGCUAAAGUUUGGUUUUCGUUUUUGCCUAUGAAUAGUAUUGAUUCAUGGAAUAAGUGCAAAGAUGCUUUUAUCUGUAAGUAUUUUCCUCCCGCUAAGAUCAUCUCUCUUAGGAAUGAUAUUAUGAAUUUUAAACAACUUGAUCAUGAGCAUGUUGCCCAAUCUUGGGAAAGAAUGAAAUUGAUGAUUCGCAAUUGCCCUACUCAUGGUUUGAAUUUAUGGUUGAUCAUACAAAUUUUUUAUGCUGGAUUGAAUUUUGCUUCUAGAAAUCUUUUAGAUUCGGCUGCGGGAGGCAUGUUUAUGGAAAUCACUUUAGCAGAAGCUACUAAACUCCUUGAUAACAUUAUGGCUAAUUAUUCUCAAUGGCACAUCGAAAGAUCUACUAGUUAAAAAGUGCAUGCUAUAGAAGAAAUUAAUGUUUUGAGUGGAAACAUGGAUGAACUUAUGAAAUUGUUUGCUACUAAGAGUGCUUCUAUUGAUCCCAAUGAUAUGCCUUUGUCUACUUUGAUUGAGAAUAAUAAUGAAUCUAUGGAUGUGAAUUUUGUUGGUAGGAAUACUUUUGGUAACAAUGCUUAUAGAGGAAACUUUAAUUCUAGACCGUUUCCUAGUAAUUCCUCUAAUAAUUAUGGAAAUUCCUACAAUAAUUCUUGUGGUAAUUUUAGUAAUAUGCCCUCUGAUUUUGAGAAUAGUGUGAAAGAAUUUACGAUAUCUCAAAAUAAUUUUAAUGGCAUGCUUGAAGAAAAAUUGCUUAAAGUUGAUGAUUUGGCUAGGAACGUUGAUUUUCUUUCGCUUGAAGUUGAUUCUUUGAAACUUAGAUCUACUCCUCCUAAGCAUGAUAUCAAUGAGUCUCUCAAAGCUAUGAUAAUUUCCAUGAUGAGUGCAAAGAGAUUGCAUGCUAGGAAAGAUUGCUUUGUAAAAGCAUGUUCUUCUAGUUUCCAUGAAAAUAAUGAUGAAGAUCUUAAAGUUAUUUAUGUGUCCCCUAUUAGAUCUUUGUUUUGCAAUAUGAAUCUUUAUAAUGAUAGGGCUGGAGAUGAGUCAACUUUAGUUAAAAGGCGUCCCAAUGAUUCAGAGUUCUUAGAUCUUGAUGCUAAAUUUGGUAAAAGUGGGAUUGGAGGGGUCAAGACUUUAAAUAGCAUUGAACCCACUAUCUUGGAUUUCAAGGAAAUUAAUUAUGAUAAUUGUUCUUUAGAAGAUUGUAUUUUCCUGUUGCAAUCCAUUGUGAAUUCUCCUCAUGCUUAUAGUCAAAAUAAAGCUUUUACCAAACAUAUUGUUGACGCCUUGAUGCAAUCUUAUGAUGAAAAACUUAAUUUGAAAGUUUCUAUACAUAGAAAACUUAAUGAUGAGUGGGAACCUACUAUAAAGAUUAAAAUUAAAGAUCAUGACUGUUAUGCUUUGUGUGAUUUGGGUGCUAGUGUUUCCACAAUUCCGAAAACUUUAUGUGAUAUUCUAGGUUUCCAUGAUCUUGAUGAUUGCUCUUUAAAUUUGCACCUUGCGACUUCCACCAUUAAAAAUACAAUGGGAAGGAUCAAUGAUGUUCUCAUUGUUGCAAAUAGGAAUUUGGUGCCCAUGGAUUUUAUCGUUCUUGACAUAGAUUGCAAUCUUUCAUGUCCUAUUAUUCUUGGUAGACCUUUCCUUAGAACGAUUGGUGCGAUUAUUGAUAUGAAGGAAGGGAAUAUUAGAUUUCAAUUUCCAUUAAGGAAAGGCAUGGUGCACUUUCCAGGAAAGAAAGUCAAAUUACCUUAUGAAUCUAUCAUGCGAGCUACUUAUGAAUUGAGUGCCAAAGAUGGCACUACUUAGAUCUAUCCUCGCUUUUAUGCCUAGCUAGGGGCGUUAAACGAUAGCGCUAGUUGGGAGGCAACCCAAUUUUAUCUUUGUUUUUUGUUUUCGCUUCUAUUUAGUAAUAAAUUUAUCAUCUACCUUCUGUUUAGAUGUGUUUUUAUGUUUUAAUUAGUGUUUGUGCCAAGUAGAACCUAUAGGAUAACCUAUGGUGAUAGUUAAUUUGAUUCCGCUGAAAAACAAAAACUUUGCACACACGAAAAUAAUUUUAGUAAUUCACAUAAACAUGCUUUUGCAUUGAUUAGUUUUGAUGCAGAUCAAUAGACAAAUUGCCCAGGACUUCCUAUUUUGGUAGGAUUUUUAGAGUUCCAGAAGUGUUCGAGAGUUACAGAUUGCUACAGACUGUUCUGUUUUUGACAGAUUCUGUUUUUCGUGUGUUGUUUGAUUAUUUUGAUGCAUCUAUGGCUAGUAUGUAAGGGUAUGAACCAUUGAGAAGUUGGAAUAUAGUAGGUUUAACACCAAUAUAAAUAAAGAAUGAGUUCAUUACAAUACCUUAUGUGGUGGUUUUUCUUUCUUGCACUAACGGAGCUUAUGAGAUUUCCUAUUGAGUUUUGUGUUGUGAAGUUUUCAAGUUUUUGAUAAAGAUUUGAUGGACUAUGGAAUAAGGAGUGGCAAGAUCCUAAGCUUGGGGAUGCCCAAGGCUCCCCAAGAUAUUCAAGAAUAGCCAAAUGCCUAAGCUUGGGGAUGCCCCGGGAAGGUAUCCCCUCUUUCGUGUUCGUUUAUCGGUAACUUUACUUGGAGCUAUAUUUUUAUUCGCCACAUGAUAUGUGUUUUGCUUGGAGCGUCUUGUAUGAUAUUAGUAUUUUCUUUUUAGUCUACCACAAUCAUCCUUGCUGUACACACCUUUUGGGAGAAACCCACUUGAUUGGAAUUUAUUAGAAUAAUCUAUGUGCUUCACUUAUAUCUUUUGAGCUAGAUAGUUUUUGCUCUAGUACUUCACUUAAAUCUUUUAGAGCACGGCGGUGGCUUAAUUUUGAAGAAAUUGUUGAUCUCUCAUGCUUCACUUAUAUUAUUUUGAGAGUCUUUAAGAACAUCAUGGUAUUUUAUAUGGUUAUAAAUUUGGUCCUAGAAUGAUGAGCAUCCAAGUUGGGUAUAAUAAAAACUAUCAUAGAAAGUGCAUUAAACACUAGGAUCAAUUUGAUGCUUGAUAAUCGUUUUGAGAUAUAAAUGUGGUAAUGUUAGAGUCAUGCUAGUUGGAUAAUUAUGAAUUUGAGAAAUACUUGUGUUGAAGUUGGCAAGUCCAGUAGCAUGCACGUAUGGUAAAAGUUGUGUGACAAAUUUGUUGCAUGGAGUGCUCUUUUAAUUGUCUUCCUUAUGAGUGGAGGUCGGGAUCGUGUGAUGGUUAACUCCUACCAACCCUUCCCCUAGGAGCAUGCAUAGUAGUGAGGGCAAGUAGACUUUUGCAACAAGUAUAUGAGUUCUUUAUGACUAAUGUGAGUCCAUGGAUAUACGCACACUCACCCUUCCACUUUGGUAGCCUCUAUUAUGCCGUGCAACUUUCGCCGGUAUCAUGCACCCAUUAUUUACCUUCCUCAAAACAACCACCAUACCUACCUAUUAUGGCAUUUCUAUAGCCAUUCCGAGAUAUAUUGCCAUCCAACUUUCCACCGUUCUGUUUAUUAUGACAUGCUCCAUAAUUGUCAUAUUGCUCUUUGCAUGAUCAUGUAGUGGACAUCGUAUUUGUGGCAAGGCCACCUUCAUAAUUUUUCAUACAUGUCACUCUUGAUUCAUUGCAUAUUCCGGUACACCAUCGAAGACAUUCAUAUGGAGUCAUAUUUUGUUCUAAGUAUUGAGUUGUAAAUUCAAUAAAAGUGUGAUGAUCUUCAUUAUUAGAGCAUUGUCCCAGUGAGGAAAGGAUGAUGGAGACUAUGAAUCCCCCACAAGUCGGGAUGAGACUUCGGACUUUAAAUAAAAAAAAGAGGCCAAAGAGCCCACCAAAAAAGAGAGACCAAAGAGCCCACUAAAUAAAAAAAGAGAAAAUAAAUAAAUAAAUAAAAUGAGAGAAAAAGAGAGAAUGGACAAUGCUACUAUCUCUUUUCCACACUUGUGCUUCAAAAUAGCACCAUGAUCUUCAUGAUAGAGAGUCUCCUAUGUUGUCACUUUCAUAUACUAGCGGGAAUUUUUAAUUAUAGAACUUGAAUUGUAUAUUCCAAUGACGGGCUUCCUCAAAAUGCCCUAGGUCUUCAUGAGCAAGCGAGUUGGAUGCACACCCACUUAGUUCUUUUGUUGAGCUUUCAUACAUUUAUAACUCUAGUGCAUCCGUUACAUGGCAAUCCCUACUCACUCACAUUGAUAUCUAUUGAUGGGCAUCUCCAUAGCCCGUUGAUACGCCUAGUUGAUGUGAGAUUAUCUUCUCCCUUUUUGCCUUCACAACCACCACCAUAUACCACAUAUAGUGCUAUGUCCAUGGCUUGCGCUCAUGUAUUGCGUAAGAGUUGAAAAAGCUGAAGCGCGUUAAAAAGUAUGAACCAAUUGCUUGGCUGAAACCGGGGUUGUGCAUGAUGGGAGUAUUUUGUGUAAUGAAAAUGAAGCAUGGCCUAACUAUAUGAUUUUGUAGGGAUAAGCUUUCUUUGGCUAUGCUAUUUUGAUAAGACAUGAUUAUUUGUUAGUAUGCUUCGAAGUAUUACUAUUUUUAUGUUUUAUAAGCUUUUAUCUUGAAUCAUUUGGAUAUGAACAAUCAUGGCACAAUAAAGAAAAUUACAUUGAGAAUUAUUCUAGGUAGCAUUCCACAUCAAAAAUUAUGUUUUUAUCAUUUACCUACUUGAGGACGAGCAGGAAUUAAGCUUGGGGAUGCUUGAUACGUCUCCAACGUAUCUAUAAUUUUUGAUUGUUCCAUGCUAUUAUGUUACCUGUUUUGGAUGUUUAUGGGCUUUACUUUACACUUUUAUAUCAUUUUUGGGACUAACCUACUAACCGGAGGCCCAACCCAUAUUGCUGUUUUUUUGCCUAUUUCAGUGUUUCGAAGAAAAGGAAUAUCAGACGGAGUCCAAACGGAAUGAAACUGUCAGAUGUUGGGUUCCGGUAGACCCUUGAGGUUCGAACUCUGGGGUGCGCGCGAAGAUCUCUCCUCUACCGACCUACGUCCCAAAACCAACCCAUAUUGCUCUACAAGAAUCUAGGCUAGCAAGAUGAACAACACAAGGGACACAAAGUUUAUACUGGUUCAGGCCACCAUUGUGGUGUAAUACCCUAUUCCAGUGUGUGGUGUGUGGAUUGCCUCAGGGGCUGAUGAUGAACAAUACAAAGGAAGAACAGCCUCGCGAGGGAUGUUCUUGUGGAUGUGUGGGGUGGCUCUGCUUGGGAAGGAUUUGAUCCCUGGGUGCCAGAUGAGCCGUCCCACCUACUGUGGUGGCUAGCCCUAUACAUAGAGGCCCUGGUCCUCUUCCCAAAUAUUGAGCGGGAAGGGCGCCAACAACGGCCAUUUUGAAGGGGAACAUCUAGUACAACUUAUCCUGACUAAAGUUGGUCUUUGACUCCCAAAGACUCUGACGAUGACGCCGUCUUGGGCUCCAUGAUGACCUCCAUCCUGCCGCUCUGCUGGUCUUGGUCUUGUUGCACUGAAACGGUAGCCUUUGCCAGAUGCCUUGGUCUGUGCUUGCUCCUUUGCACCAAAGAGGAAACAAGGUCACUGCGUAGGCCGGCGCUCGCCUGGCGCCUGCCUGGUCUCGAUCGUCAUGGCUUGCGUCAUGAGUACCUCGCGAGGUACCCUUGCCUUGAUCUCUCCGCCUCCUCGCGAGCCUGCCUGGUGAGGCCGUUCCUGAGGAAGCUUCCUGUCGUCCGCCCCGCAAGGCUUGGCCCCUCACAAGGGUCUUGAGCUUGAGUCGAUGAAGAUGGGCCACACUGGGCCACUACCCGAGCCACGCCGCAGGCCACAGACAGGCAAGUCUGGGGACCCCUGUUCCCAGAACACCGACAGUAGCCCCCGGGCCCAAGGCGCGAUCGGACUUGGCUUAGCAGAGAAGCGAAGGGGCAAUUGUGAAGCGCCGCGGGCCCCAACAGCCUGCAGCCUUGGGUGCCGCAUGGCGGUUGAUUGGACGUGGGCGUCUUCGUUUCCCCACGCCCCUCAUUACGCGCCCAGCUAGGCGGACCCGUGGUUGCACAUAGUUAUUCCUCUUUCGCUGUUCGCGCGCUCCCUGUCCUUCCUUCUUCCUCGAGCUCCAGCCUCCGCCUCCAAUCCAACUCGAGCUCUCCCCCCCUUCCCAUCGCCAUGGCAUCAACGAAUAAGGAAAAGGGGAAGAAGCCCGUGCCUUCGCCCCGCUCGCCUCCGGCAGCUACUCCCACCGUCGAUCAAUCGACCAUACUCAACCUCGAAGCCUCGGACAAGGUCCGCUCCGCCCUUGCUUCCAUCUUCAACGAGUGCGGGAGGACGACGGUUUGGCCCGCGUCCCACGCCUCCUUCGAUAGGGUCGUCAUGGAGGUCCAAUUUUUCGCCGAUGCCCUAUGGGCGGGUCUGGUUCCCCCCAUUUUCUGCCUUCUUCAACGUGGUGCUCUCCCAUUACCAGAUCCACAUGAUGCACCUUGGUCCCGAGUCCAUCAUUCUCCUUGCUGUCUUCACCUUUGUUUGCGAGGCCAUGGUGGCAUUCCUCCCUCCAUUGCCCUCCUACGCCACUUCUUCUCCCUGCGCCUGAGUGACCCCACUCAAUGCUCGGGGUGCGUGAGCUUCCUUGCCGUGCCAGAGAAGGCUGCUAUGGGGAUCGAUUUCAGCCUUCCUCGUCCUGUGACCGGGUUCCGAGAGCUGUAGAUGUAUGUGGAUGUCGGGGUGCCCAGCCCCCUGUUCUCUCACCCAACAUUGCCUGCUAUUCCCAACCUAGGCUGGGAUCAUGAGAAGCUCACGAGCCCCCGGCUUGCCUUCAUCUGGCGCCGCUUUGAGAGUUUGAGGGCGCUCGUUGUGACGGCGCCCAAGGUGGUGAAGGAGUUCCUUCAAUGUCGCAUUGCUCCUCUCCAACGCCACUCCCGUAGGAUGUGGCCCUUUUCAGGGCGCGAAGACCGCAUGAGGCUCCAGGAGGAGGAUCUGGUGCCUGAAGCGCUAAGGACGGUGCUGAGGGUCUUGACCGGCGACCCUUCUCCAAGCAGCAUCCGGCACGGGGCCGCUCUCUUGUAUCUUUGCUCGGGCAGGGCCGAUUUUGUGAGGCAGAUGCCCAGCUUCGACGAAUGGGGGUUGCGCCCGGUCGGCCUCAUGGGGCCCCGCGAGAACCCAGUUGCUGUGGUCACUCUCCCGGUUGCCCACGGAGGUCGUGCCUCAGGGGAUAGAGCAGGGAGACGAGAACCGCCGGGAGCUGAGGGGGCUGAUGUUGAGAUGCUGAUGCCGCACGGGGCUCCCAAGGCGUCAUCUUCCGAGGUGCAUCCUGGAGUGGUGGCAGAUGAGGAGUCGCGACCUGAGGCUCCCGAGGCCAGAACUUCCGAGGCCCGGACUGAUCUUCAAGAGGCGGCGCCCUGCGACGCCUCCCAGUCUGGCGCCCUUGGUGCAAGUCAUCCUGAUGUUUCUCCUACGCCGCGUGCUGGCCCUCGCGUCGGGGGAUUAGGCUAGUUCCGCAUAGACUUCGAUGCCCUCCGCAAGAGGAAGGAGGCCUCGGGUGGCAAUGACCGCCCUUGUCGCCCGUUGAAGUGCAGGAUGUAUUUUUCCAUCGACGAGUAAGUCCUUUUCUCUCUUAGUUCCUUAUUUUACCGUUCCUUCUGCUGAUUGUGGCCUUUCAGGGCCCUUCAUGCCGAGUUUGCGGAGACGACCGAGGAGCCACCCCCAAGCCUUAUCGUCAUCGCUGACCUUGAGCGCCCCGAGCUCGAGCGCCACCCUCGCCGCGGGGCCGGCUGGAGAGGCGGGCCGUCCCGCUGGGUACCUUGAGCCCGCGCGUCUACCGCCCCUCCUUCGCGAGCUCUCUUGGGGCACAGCCAGCUUGCUCCGUGCUCCUCCCCUGAUCGUGGAUGGCGACUGGCUGAGGUCGAUCUUGGGCUCCACUUCAGGAGAUGGAGCGGCACUGGGCUAGGUCCCUGGCGGGGCCCGUCCGGCGAUUGCUGGGGCGCCAGCCCCUAGCCCCCUGCCGAGAGGGGGUGUGCCGCCUCGGGGUCCUCCGCCUGCGCCGAUGGCGGAGGAGGACGCGGAGGAUGUGCUCAGGCGUGCUCGAGAGCAUAGCGCCCUCCGCCGAGAGUUUCUUCAGAAGGCGGCAGAUGCAGUGAGUCAGCUUGGCGUGGAUCUCGCGAGCUAGGAUGCGCGCCUUGAAGCCGAAGGUCUGCGCCUUGCUGAGGAGAGGCACAAGCCGAUGGUGGCUGUCAGCCUUGCGCGUCACCAGCGUGAUCUUGACAAUGCGAAGGCUGAAGCGUCACUGGCGGCCUCGCGGAAGGCCUAUUCCCAAGCCGUCGAAGAGGCCCAGGAGGCAGACCGACGAUGCGAGGCUGUAGAGGAGCGCGCGUGGGAGCUCCAAGCCUGGAACAACUCUCUGGAGCAACAAGUGGAGCUGCGUAAGGUUGCCCUUGCGUCGCUGAAGGGGGCACCCGUCGAAGAGGUGGAGCUCCUAAGGCGCGAGGAGGCGCUGACGCUGGAGGCUGCCGAGCGCAACCUUGACCUUGAGCGGUUGGAGACGAGGGAGCGCCUAGUGACCCAGGCGGAAGAUGAUGUCGGCGCGCGGGAGGCCCGAGUCCAAGGAGAGAUCGACCACCACGUGGCGGAAGCUCGUUUUGGUCUUGAGCGCGAGUAUGAAGGGAGGUUGGAGUUGGUUAAGGCCGAAGCUGAGGGCAGGACCACCACCCUCAGGGCCAAGCUGACUGAAGUGACGCGGCACGCGGAUUCCUCCGCAGCUGCCCUUGGCGCAGUGCAGGCUGAGCUGGCCUCCUCCCGUGCUGAGCUGCUUCUUCUCCAACAGAGGGUUGAUGACGCCAAGGCCGUCGCACGGCGGAACGAAGAUGAGAUCCGUCAGCUGCAGACUCUGGAGCAUGUGCAUGCCCCAUGCUCCGAACACUCAGGGAAAGGGCCAACGCGGCCCUGGGCUACAUCUGCGAGGCGGCUGCUGUGGAGCCUCGUGUAAUCAACUACGCUGGCAAUCUCCGAUUCUUCACAAAUGUGGUGACGCAGCUGGAGAAUCGCUCUGACAGGGCCCGCUGGCUUGUUGAGGAGAGGAGCCGAGUCCUGCUUGAGCGUGCCUUCUACCGUGUCUUCAGCCAUCUUCAGGACAGAUAUCCCCACUUUGAUUUCGCCGCUGCCAUCGCACCGGUGCCCAUAGCCAUCCGGGGCGAUCUGGCGCAGUGGGUGGAGGACAAUGUGUAUGCCCUCGUUAGGGCCUUCGCUUCUGAUGACGACGGCGUGGUCGUGGCUGCUGACGAAGGCGGCAUUGUGAAUGAGCAUGGUGCUGAUGACAGCGAUGGUGAUGACAAUGACGAUGCCAAUGACGCCAGCAAUGCCUCCGGAGGCGUCCCAGAGGACACGGUGAUCGAUAUGUCUGACUGAUUAUACGCCGCCUCCGCUGCUUACCCUGCGCGGAAAAGUUCAGGUGCGGCUCUGAGAGUUGUGAGAGCAUUUUCGGGAGGGGGGGGGGGCUCAUGUAAAGGAUCGUAAUUGGUACGUUUGUAGACAUAACGCCGUAUGUGCUUAUGCGGGGCCACUGACCCCAUGGUGGGUCAGCUGGCUUAUUUUACCUUUGACCCCGUUUGGCCUCGAGCGAGCCUGCGGGGGCCGCAGCGUCUUGAGUGCCUUCUGGGUGAACCCAUCGAUAUCGCGAUGAGAGCCUUCUGAGGGGGUGCGGCGACAGCGGUUCAGAGAGUUUGCACGCUUGGCCCGGCCCGGCUCGUGAGGGGCUCGCGAGGGGGAGGCAACCGAUGCUAACUUUGGACGCAAAGCCGAAAUCAGAACGCGAGAAAUUGCUUGAAUGAGACUAAACACCCCUCCCCCAAACACACGCAAGUCUCAAGCUCAAAUCCAACUUAAAUUCAAAUCAAAGAAGCUUGACAACAGAGAAAGAAGCAAAAGGCAAAGGCUGCGUCUGACACGUAGUCUAGUCUUCGACGUCUUCUCAUGAGCGCGGAGCUAAGUGCUGCCACUGGGCGUGGGCGGAAGCCCCCGAGGCCCGAGGGCGGCUCUCCGGAGACUCCGGGGUGUGUACAACCCCAACUCAUUAUUACGUGAGAGUGUCAUGGGUGGCGAGCUUCACAGGCACUGGGCCUUCUUCACAGGUACCGGCCUUGCUUCAUAUCACCAGACGAGGGGCCCGCCUUGCGCCACACUCUACCGCCAUCGACGGCGAUCGGAAACCAAGGACGACGCCAACGGGGUAGAGCGGUCGCCAGCGGUUCCCCGGACGACCACGGGUCCUCUGCUGGGGGCAGGCCCUGAGGCACCUCCCCGGUAGAGGGCCUACCUCCUGGGAACACCUUGCUCCGAGCGCCGCACGGGCGAGCCUGGAUCCCGGCCCCUCUCCUGCAGCCCCCGGUGCCCUCCUCCUGAGGGGUAGGAGGCUGCAGCAUUGGGGCCGCCAUCUGUUGCGGCGACCUGUACUUCCUGCAACCCAUGGUUAACAUAAGCUUGCUCCUGAGGAAUUAGUGGUACCUGAUAGCCGCUGCCGCCAGCGCGGUCAUCGAGGCCCCCUUGGGGUUCCUGAAAGAGCUCGGCUUCUGGCGUCUCUUCCACCCAGCCUGGCCCGAGGAACGAGCCAUGGUCUUCCUCUAGCGCGCACUCUUGAUCCACCAUGUAGGGCACAUAGGCCUCUAGGGGCGCCGCCCCGAGGGCCUCACCGUAGCGCUCUAUGCGCCAUGCGGUCCGGCUCGCAGCGCUGUGUUGGGGAUGGUAGCGUGACGGCUCGCCUGGGCUGUAGGCAGUGAUGUGCGCUCCCUCGCCUGUUGGAGGCGGAGCUGGCACGGCCUGUCGCCCGGCGCUGAUGGCCAAGCCGGUGUUGACAAGGCCUUGGGAUAUGCUUGGAGCUACGCGGGCGCGUAUGGGGCCACCAUACGACCCGCCCAGGGCCCGGGAUGAUAGCUAGACGCAGAACGGAGGUGCUCCCGAGGCGGCUGCGUCCAGGAGCUCGGCAACGCGGUCCAACAGCACGUCGUGGCCGCUUUCCUGUAGCCUACACCGUAGCAACUCCCGGGCCACCGUGAGUGCGGCUCUUGUGUUCGCCUGCUCCCGUCGGGUGUGCGGCACUGUGACAGCAGCGUGGUAUUAGGCCCUCGCUGCUGACCGUACCUGCCGCGGUGUGAGGGCACGAGGUUGAGGUCGCCUUGAACAGGCGGCACAGCGUGGGCGGGCCACGCUGCCCAGUGGUCGAGGUUGGUCGUCGGGUCGCUGGACAUGGAGACAACGAAGCGAUGGAGCACGAGGCGAUGGAAGAAGGAUUCCGGCGCACCCCUACAUGGCGCGCCAAAUGUCGGAUGUUGGGUUCCGGCAGACCCUUGAGGUUCGAACUCUGGGGUGCGAGCGAAGAUCUCUCCUCUACCGACCUACGUCCCAAAGCCUCGCAAGAAUCUUGGCUAGCAAGAUGAACAACACAAGGGACACAGAGUUUAUACUGGUUCAGGCCACCAUUGUGGUGUAAUACCCUACUCCAGUGUGUGGUGUGUGGAUUGCCUAAGGGGCUGAUGAUGAACAAUACAAAGGAAGAACAGCCUCGCGAGGGAUGUUCUUGUGGAUGUGUGGUGUGGCUCUGCUUGGGAAGGAUUUGAUCCCCGGGUGCCAGAUGAGCCGUCCCACCUACUGUGGUGGCCAGCCCUAUAGAGAGGCCCUGGUCCUCUUCCCAAAUAUUGAGCGAGAAGGGCGCCAACAACGGCCAUUUUGAAGGGGAACAUCUAGUACAACUUAUCCUGACUAAAGUUUGUCUUUGACAGCCAAAGACUCUGACGAUGACACUGUCUUGGGCUCCACGAUGACCUCCAUCCUGCCGCUCUGCUGGUCUUGGUCUUGUUGCACCGAAACGAUAGCCUUUGCCUGAUGCCUUGGUCUAUGCUUGCUCCCUUUGCACCAAAGAGGAAACAAGGACACUGCGCAGGCCGGCGCCCGCCUGGCGCCCGCCUGGUCUCGAUCGUCAUAGCUUGUGUCAUGAGCACCUCGCGAGGUACCCUUGCCUUGAUCUCUAUGCCUCCUCGCGAGCCUGCCUGGUGAGGCCGUUCCCGAGGAAGCUUCCUAUCGUCCGCCCCCGCGAGGCUUGGCCCCUCGCGAGGGUCUUGAGCUUGAGUCGAUAAAGAUGGGCCGCACUGGGCCACUGCCCGAGCCACGCCGCAGGCCGCAGGCAGGCAAGUCUGGGGACCCCCGUUCCCAGAACGCUGACAGUAGCCCCCGGUCCCAAGGCGCGCUCGGACUUGGCUUAGCAGAGAAGUGAAGGGGCAAGUGCGAAGCGCCGCGGGCCCCAACAGCCUGCGGCCUUGGGCACCGCGUGGCGGUUUAUUAGACGUGGGCCUCUCCAUUUCCCCACGCCCCUCAUUACGCGCCCGGCUAGGCGGACCCGUGGUUGCACACAAUUAUUCCUUUUUCGCUGUUCGCGCGCUCCCUGUCCUUCCUUCUUCCUUGAGCUCUAGCCUCCGCCUCGAAUCCAACUCGAGCUCUCCCCCCUUCCCAUCACCAUGGCGCCAAUGAAGAAGGAAAAGGGAAAGAAGCCCGUGCCUUCGCCCCGCUCGCCUCCGGCAGCUGCUCCCUUCAUCGAUUAGUCGACCAUACUCAACCUCGAAGCCUCGGACAAGGUCCGCUCCACCCUUGCUUCCAUCUUCAACGAGUGUGGGAGGACGACGGUUUGGCCCGCGUCCCAUGCCUCCUUCGAUAGGGUCGUCACGGAGGUCCAAUUUUUCGCUGAUGCUCUGUGGGCGGGUCUGGUUCCCCCCUUUUCUGCCUUCUUCAACGCGGUGCUCUCCCAUUACCAGAUCCACAUGAUGCACCUUGGUCCCGAGUCCAUUACUCUCCUUGCUGUCUUCGCCUUUGUUUGGGAGGCCAUGGUGGGCAUUCCUCCCUCCGUUGCCCUCCUGUGGCACUUCUUCUCCUUGCGCCUGAGUGACCCCGCUCAAUGCUCGGGGUGCGUGAGCUUCCUCGCCGUGCCAGAGGCGGCUGCUUCGGGGAUCGAUUUCAGCCUUCCUCCUCCUGCGACCGGGUUCCGAGAGCGGUGGCUGUAUGUGGAUGUCGGGGUGCCCAGCCCCUGCUCUCGCACCCAACAUUGCUUGCUAUUCCCAACCUAGGCUGGGAUCAUGAGAAUCUCAUGAGCCUCGGCUUGCCUUCGUCUGGUGCCGGUUCGAGAGUUUGAGGGCGCUCGGUGUGACGGCGCUCAAGGUGGUGAAGGAGUUCCUUCAAUGUCGCGUUGCUCCUCUCCAGCACCACUCCCAUCGGAUGUGGGCCUUUUCGGAGCGCGGAGACCGCAUGAGGCUCCAGGAGGAGGAUCUAGCGCCCGAAGCGCAGAGGACGGUGCUGAGGGUCUUGACCGGCGACCCUUCUGCAGGCAGCAUCCGGCACGGGGCCGCCCUCUUGUAUCUUUGCUCGGGCGGCCACGAGGGUGGAGGGCGCCCCCCCUACUGGGCGCGCCCCUGCCUCGUGGGCCCCUCGAGCGUCCACCGACCUACUUCUUCCUCCUAUUUAUACCCAUGUACCCCGAAAACAUCAGAAGCUACCAUGAAAAACUAUUUCCACUGCCGUAACCUUCUGUAUCCGCGAGAUCCCAUCUUGGAGCCUUCGCCGGCAUUCCGCCGGAGGGGGUAUCGACCAUGGAGGGCUUCUACAUCAACCCCAUGGCCUCUCCGAUGAGUUGUGAGUAGUUUACCACAGACCUUCGGGUCCAUAGUUAUUAGCUAGAUGGCUUGUUCUCUCUCUUUGAAUCUAAAUACAAAGUUCUCCUCCAUCUUCUUGGAGAUCUAUUUGAUGUAACUCUUUUGCGACGUGUUUGUCGAGAUCCGAUGAAUUGUGGGUUUAUGAUCAAGUUUAUCUAUGAGAAAUAUUUGAAUCUCCUCUGAAUUCUUUUAUGUGUGAUUAAGUUAUCUUUGCAAUUCUCUUCGAAUUAUCAGUUUGGUUUGGCCUACUAUAUUGAUCUUUCUUGCAAUGGGAGAAGUGCUUAGCUUUGGGUUCAAUCUUGCGGUGUCCUUUACCAAUGACAACAGGGGCAACAAGGCACAUAUUGUAUUGUUGCCAUCGAGGAUAAAAAGAUAGGGUUUAUAUCACAUUGCAUGAGUUUAUCCCUCUACAUCAUGUCAUCUUCACUACAAAAAAAAGACACAUCCGUGACAUUUUGGGCCGAACGAAUUUUUUUCCUGUCAUACAUAUGACACUUCUAUGACGAUAAUUGUGACAAAACCCGUUAUCAUCAUAGAUGUGGUGGGCUCCUACUUCUAUGACAAAAAAUCAUGACAAAAAAUGGGCUUUUCGUCCUGGGCUGGCCGGAGACGCGGCUGCAUGACAUUCUUUGGGCCGUCCAUGAUGGAAAAAACCGUGGUAGAAGCAAGGGGGAGGAAAAUUUCAGGGAGUUGCCGGUUACGGUGGGAGGUCGGGGGCGGAGUGAUGCACGUUUCUCUCGUACAUACGCGCGUGUGCGCGAGGCGUUGGCUCUAACUGAAGCCGAGCAAGGCGUUGAGCUCUAACUGAACCCGAGCGAUUGCAUUGCAUGCUACGCGUUACUGAACCCGAGCGAUCGAUCGAUGGCUGUUAACUGAACCCGAUGGAGCGAUUCCUUCGCUACUGCUGCUAACUGAAGCCGAUCGAUGCUGCCUCUGGGAUGAACAGUGAGCGUUGCGCGGGGGGUGGGGGGUGGAUGAACAGUGAGAGGUGGCGUUGCCUCUGGAUGAACAGGAACCCGUGGUGUGGAGGGCUGGAUGAACAGUAGACGGUGGAGGGGUGGCCAUGGAGGGGUGGUUGAACAGGACCCCGUGGUGUGGAGGGCUGGACGAACAUUAGACGGUGGAGGGGUGCCCGUGGAGGGGUGGUUGAACAGUAGCCGGUGGAGUAGCGCGCGGUGGAGGCUGGAUGAACAUGAGCCCAUGGAGGCUGGAGGAGGUCGACGGUAGCCCGUGGAGGCUGGAGGAGGUCGACAGCGGAGAUGAACAGUAUCCCGUGGAGUCCCGUUUUGCGGUACGCCACACCCCUCCCGAUGAAUAGGACCCCCGUUUCGACCGUAGGAGGUCCGUUUUGUCCGUUUUGCGGUACGCCAGACCCCUCCCGAUCAACAGGGCCCCCGUUUUGACCGUAGGAGGUCCGUUUCGUCCAUUUUGCGGUACGCCACACCCCUCCCGAUCAACAGGACCCUCGUUUCGACCGUAGGAGGUCCGUUUCGUCCGUUUUUUCACAAAAUACAAUGCCCCGUCCGGUGGGUCCUAGCUGUUAGGUGGAGGAAUCAUUAUUUUCCGUGUAAUAAGGAGGCACUUCCUUGCUGCGGCCGUGGACCCAGCUGUCAGCCUCUCCACGUACAGUCCACGUCCGAUGGAAGUUGUUCCUUGACCACGUUGACCAUGUUGCGCCGAGAGCACCAGGGUGGUGGACGACGGCGAGGCCUAGGAAGGGGACGACGGGGAGCCGGGGAAGACGCGACAGUGGAAGCCCGCGCGGAGAGGAGUACGAGGGUUCACUGAUUCGGCUGCGGUGUGAGGCUGCCGUUGCCGCAGGGCCUGGCCAGCGAUGGGAAUAGUAGGGGGCGGUGAGGCCUCCGCGGCAGCACAGCCGGCCACGGGAGGCAGGAGCAUGCGGCACGACCGGCGCUACUUUGGGCGGCUAGAGCAAGAAGACAAGAGAUUGAAGAAGCACUACAGCCAUUGGAUGGACAUUGUACGGUCACUGGAGCUAGAAUCGUUCAUAUUGACUGAAGUUGACAAAGGCCCCCGUCCCAAUCAACUUAGUAGGCCCACAAGUCAGCCUCCCACCAUGGUGGGUCCCAGCUAGCAAGGGGAGUAUUCAUUUUUUUGUGCGUAAUAAGGAGGCACUUCCGGUGGGUCCGAGCUGACAGCGCGGGGAAUGUUUUUUUCUUGAAAUACGCUGUCCCAUCCGGUGGGUCCUAGCAGUUAGGGAGGAAAUGUUUUUUUCGCGAAAUAAGGUGGCCCGUCCGGUGGAUCCCUGCUGUCAGGUGGAGGAAUAAUUAUUUUGCGCAUAAUAAGGAGGCACUUCCUUGCAGCCGCCUGGAACCAGCUGUCAGCCUCUCCACGUACAGUACUCUUUCGAUGGAAGUCAGUCGUUUACCAUGUUGACCAAGCCACGCCGAGAGCACCAGGGCGGUGGUCUGGACGACGGCGAGGCCUAGGAAGGGGACGACGCGGGGCCGGGGAAGAUGCAUCAGUGGUAGCCCGCGCGGAGAGGAGUACGAGGGUUCACUGGUUCGUCUACGGCGUGAGGCUGCCGUCGCCGCAGAAUAACAUGGGGUGUGGGUGAGUAGAGGGAUACCUUGGGCCAGCGGUGGGAGUAGUAGGGGCGGUGAGGCCUCUGCGACAUCACAGCCGGCCACGAGAGGCAGGAGCAUGCGGCACGACCGGCGCUGCUUUGGGCGGCUGGAGCAAGAAGACAAGAGGUUGAAGAAGCACUACAGCCGUUGGAUGGACAUCGUACGGUCACUGGAGCUAGAAUCGUUCAUAUUGACUAAAGUUGACAAAGGCCCCCGUCCUAGUCAACUUAGUAGGCCCACAAGUCAGCCUCCCACCAUGGUGGGUCCCAGCUAGCAAGGGGAGUAUUCAUUUUUUUGUGCGUAAUAAGGAGGCACUUCCGGUGGGUCCGAGCUGACAGCGCGGGGAACGUUUUUUUCUUGAAAUACGCUGGCCCGUCCGGUGGGUCCCAGCAGUCAGGGGGGAAACGUUUUUUUCGCGAAAUAAGGUGGCCCAUCCGGUGGGUCCCUGCUGUCUGCUGGAGGAAUAAUUAUUUUGCGCGUAAUAAGGAGGCACUUCAUUGCAGCCGCCUGGACCCAGCUGUCAGCCUCUCCAUGUAUAGUACUAUUCCGAUGGAAGUCGGUCGUUGACCACGUUGACCACGCCGCGCCGAGAGCACCAGGGCGGUGGUCUGGAUGACGGCGAGGCCUAGGAAGGGGACGACACGGAGCCGGGGAAGACGCAGCGGUGGUAGCCCGCGCGGAGAGGAGUACGAGGGUUCACUGGUUCGGCUGCGGCAUGAGGCUGCCGUCGCCGCAGAAUAACAGGGGUUGUGGGUGAGUAGAGGGAUACCCUGGGCCAGCGGUGGGAGUUGUAGGGGGCGGUGAGGCCUCCGCGGCAUCACAGCCGGCCACGAGAGGCAGGAGCACGCGACACGACCGGCACUGCUUUGGGCGGCUGGAGCAAGAAGACCAGAGGUUGAAGAAGCACUAUGGUCGUUGGAUGGACAUCAUACGGUCACUGGACCUAGAAUCGUUCAUAUGGACUAAGUUGACAAAGCCCUCCGUCCCCGUCAACUUAGUUGGCCCACAAGUCAUCCUCCCACUAUGGUGGGUCCCAUCUAGCAGGGUGGGUAUUCAUUUUUUUUGUGCGUAAUAAGGAGGCACUUCCUUGCAUGUGAAGAUAUAGCUGGUGGGUCCGACAUGUCAGCGGGAGGAACGUUUUUUUCGCGAAAUACAGAGGCCCUUCCGGUGGGUCCCAGCUGUCAGGUGGAGGAAUCAUUAUUUUGCGCGUACAGUCCACGGCCGAUGGAUGUCGUUCGUUGACCACGUUGACCAGGCCGCGUCGAGAGCACCAUGGCGGUGGGCGGCGGUGAGGCCUAGGAAGGGAACGACACGGAGCCGGGGAAGACUCGGCAAUGGUUGCCCAUGCGGUGGGGAGUACGAGGGUUCACUGGUCCGGCUGCCGUCGCCAGAAAAUAACAGGAGGUGUGGGUGAGUAGAGGAAUGGCCUGGCCAACAAUGAAGUAGGGUGGGGCGGUGCGGCCUGUGCGGCAGCACAGCCGGCCACGGGAGGCGGGAGCAGGCAGUCCCACCGGAGCUGGUUUGGGCGGCUGGAGCAAGAAGAUCAGAUAUUGAAGAAGCAGCACGGCCGUUGGAUUAACAUCCAACGGUCAUUGCUGCUAGAAUCGUUUGUGGACUAAGUUGACAAAGCCAAAGUACACGUCAACCUAGUAGACCCACAAGUCAGCCUCCAAAUCUGUCGCAAACAGCAUACAGCCCGAAAUUUCUAGCCGGAUUCAAAUUAAUUUUAAAUCUAAAUAUACCUUAAUUUAAAUUCAAUGAAAUUUUACACGCACAAAAACAAUGAAAUUUAAAAUAUCAAAAUCCGAAAGAAAACAGUAUUUGGGAACUAAUUGCCUGUUUGCUGUAUUUUUUUCAUUUUACAGCCCAUUUAUUAUUACUUAUAGCCCAUUUAUUAUUACAUAUAGCCCAUUUAUUAUUACUUAUAGCCCAUUUCUUAUUACUUAUAACCCAUUUCUGGGCAAAAUGCAUCCCUCCUCGUCUUGAAAGAUUUCCGGCCCAGCAGGGCGUAGAAAAGCAAGUAGGCCUAUGUUGGUUAUUCUGCAAAAAACAAAAUAGCUGGCUAGCCAUUUUUCAGAAAGGAAAAAACAAACUGGGUUGGUCAUGUGCUAAACAUAGGAAAUAAAAGACUGGGCUAGACGGGCCACGGGUCCCGCACAACCCAGUUGAUACCCUUCUCCGUCCCGAAAAAAAAUUACUGCGCUCGCUGCUGGGUCCCUACUGUCAUCGUCACCAUGUACAUUCAUCUCCUUAUUCCUCUCGGUGGUUGACCAUGUUGACAACACCGGAGGGCGGCGCCGCAACAAGCGCGGAGGACGAUGGUGAGGCCUCGAACGGGAACGAACAGGAGCCGGGGAAGAUCACAGCCAGCCGUGGGAGGCGGGAGCAGGCGGUCCCGCCGGCGCUGGUUUGGCUUUGGCGGCUCGGGGAAGAAGAGACUGAAGAAACGCGACAGACGUUGAAUGUCAAUCGAACGGUCAAGGUUGGCACAAUUGUUUUUUGACUAAGCGGACACCAAGUAGCAUACUUUUUUAUAUAUAGGAAGAAAACUGCGAGGAAAAUGCGUUCGUCUAUCGUCCUCCUCAUAGGGAACGUUCGUCACAUAAGUGACUAGCACCCUUGGUUUUCAACCGAGAGGUCUUGGGUUCGAGUUCGAGGAACUCUCAAUUUUGUCCUCCUUCCUUCCUCGCAAAAAAGGGAAAGAAAAUCAAAGACUUGGGAAGGCGUACAGAACAAGCUAGUGUACCAGUAAAGAGACGUUGUUGAGUUUUAGAAAAAAGAAAGACGUGCUCCUGUAGCUGGUUCGAAUCCAAACCUAGACUAUUACUAUAUAUUGUGCUAUCCUACUCUGCAAGUAAUGAAACUGACAUAUCCAACGUUCGCUUCUCCUCUUCUCUACUUACUCUGCCUAGCAUUGGAAGCUCUGGCCGCAGCAACCAUGUCCGCUGGCUGCUCGUCCACCUGCUCUUCAGCAGGCAACAACCAGAUAUGCGCCAAGUCGCCACCCGUACCAUCGCUUGUGGGUCUCAUCACACCCCCGCCGGCAUGCACACCGUAGCCGAUUUCUCAUCGCAACCUGCUGCCGUUGGUGUGGUGCCACUACUGCAAAUCACGCAGAGUCAUCCGUCGCGUCUCAACCACAAUCCGCAACCCUGGCCGAGUCUUCUACAAAUGCCCAAAUCAUGGGGUAAUAAUAUGUUUAAGUGUUGUUCUGCUGCUUUCAAUUGCUGAUUUUUUUAAUAGUUUGGUUGAUGAUCUUCCAAUUUGAUUCGUGCAGAAAAGGGAAGAUUCGUGUGAUUUGUAUUUCUGGGAAGUUGCUGAUGUGGGGGAAUGCAACUACGCUGAUUAUUUCGUUAGCCGAGGAAUCCCAAUACCAACAGAUUGGGGUGUUGGACAAGUAACUGAAGGAACGAUAGAAGAGGAAGAUGGAGAGUAGAAGGUUAAAGACGCAGUUCCUCUGAUCAUGGCCAAGCAACAGCUACUGAACGGCCUUGACAGCAAUGAGGAGAUGAAAGAGCUUGUGAAGAUAAUGGACAAAAUCGAUGUGCUUUGUAGGAUGAUUGUCUCUUUAUUUGCAGUGUAUGUAGCACUCGUGAUGUAUUUAGUGGCUACGACAUGAGCACUUUGCUGAAACUAGUAAUGAAUGAAACCUGUGUAGCAGGCUGGGUGUAGUGUUGUGAGCAUCUAAUGAUUUCUAUUAACGGAAACACAAAUCAGCAUACAUAACAAGUGAUGUUCUCAUAGCAAAAUACUAAACAACAUGUUCAUCAGGUAUCAGUUGUCAUAGCAAACACAAUUUCACAUAGUAGAUAAAAAAACGUCUUCUGACAGGCAAAUACGACAAAAGCAAUGUAAUCAUCAUCCGCAGCAGCAGCGUCAACAUCUUCCCAUGUGUAUCAGUCUGAAUCAUAAUUCCGUAUGGUGUCAUCUUCUUCUUCGUCCUCAACAUCCUCGAACAUUGGCUUCUUCUUGAUCAACUCUUGUAUGUCCACAACACGACAGGCAAUCUUUUCGCCGGCGUCAUUGACAUGAUGGUUCUCAAAGAUAUUAGGAACAUCUGUGUUAUCUUGUACAUCAGGAGCAGUGUAAGCAUCAUCUUGUUGUGCAACUUCAUUAAACAAAUUCCUCUGCUCAAACCUUUGCAAUACUCUCCAGUCAUCGCUACGUGCAAAUGUGUCUUCCAAGAAAAAUAUCUGUGUUGCUUGAUUUGCCAAAAUAAAAGGCUCGUUGGUCUGGUACGCUGCCUUGACAUUGAUGGAUUUGAAAUAAUCAUCAGCUCUGGGUUUUGCGAUCCUAGAAAACAUGUUAUAGCAACGACAGCACAACAGAACCACACACCGAUGAUCCUCGAAACUGGAGAUAUACUGCAACUGAACAAUGUCUGUUAUGUUAGCAUACAUUUCAGUUGUCUCUUUGUCAUACGUAUCCGUGCUCAUGAUGGCACUAUUUUGUGUCUUCCUGCCUUCGUCUCGUGCAAGGGUGUUGUAGCGCACAUCUCCAACAACGCAAGAUUCAUAAUGUCUUACCCGAGUAUCAGGACCCAUUGCUAGUGAGUAAAGGGCAUCAUCAACUGCCUGCCCAUCCUCCCGCAUCUUCUUAACCUAUGGUUAGAAAAUAGACAAGCUGGUCAUCUUAUGUACUCAAUAUAUUAAAAAAAACUGACAGUGCACUUCAAAAGCUUACAUGGUUCUUGAACCAUUUCGCAAAUCCUGCCAUAACCAGUUUGUCAAUGUUUCUUGGAUUUUGCGGCAGUAACUCCUCUUUGUACAUGCUGCACAGCAUAGUGAUCGCGUCAAACAUCUAAAUAUAUAAGAAUGUGCUGCAAGUUUAGUAGAUUACGAUAUAUAAGCUGUAGUACUGCACUUACUUGAUAUAAGGUAGUAUCUCAGGACAGUUAUUCAACACAUACCAAACCAUUUUGUCCAAAUCUUUAGGUUUGUCCUCUUGUCGACUCUUCCCUAUAACUCGAAUAGAAUAAUCGAAAACAUUGAGCCCGGGAUUGUCUUCACCCACCUCUUUGCUAAGCUGAUCAGCUGUUUCAAUGUAUUUUGAGCAGAAUGUCAACGCUUCUGUAGCAAUGUAGGCCUCUGCAAUGGAACCCUCAGGUCUAGCUCUGUUCCUAACAUAGCCCUUGAAAGUGCCUAGCCGCCUUUCAAUAGGGCACAUCCAGACAUACUGUACUGGGCCUCUAAGUAGUGCCUCAUCAGGUAGAUGAAUAGCCAAAUGCACCAUCACAUCAAAGAAGGCUGGAGGAUAUAUCUUCUCAAGGUCGCAUAGGAUAGUUGGUAUCUUGUCUCUAAGACGCUCCAAAGAAUCUAUCCUGAUAUUUCUACUGCAGAGUUCCCUGAAGAAUUGUCCAACCUCUGCAAUUGCUCUGUAUAAGUCAGGGCGGCCCAAUCCUCUAAGGAUAACAGGUAAAACCCUUUGAAGUAGGACGUGGCAGUCAUGAGUUUUCAACCAUUGUACCUUGUUUCCAUCUGCACUGACUCUCCUUUAAGGGUUUGAAGCAAAUCCAUGUGGGAAUUUCACACGUGACAGGACCUCACAAAAUUCUUUUCUUUUUACCUUGUCCAAGACAUACACAGCUGAUGCCAUAUCCCGUGGUUUACCUUCAUCUUGCACUUGCAAAUCCUUUCUGAUACCCAGGUGUGUCAAAUCAAUCCUAGAUUUUAAGGUAUCUUUCGUCUUGCCUUCAAUGUUAAGAAGUGUGCCGAUAAUGCUGUCACAUAUAUUUUUCUCGAUGUGCAUCACAUCAAGAUUAUGACGCAAAUCCAAAUUUUUCCAAUACUCCAAGUCCCACAAAGUGGACCUGCGGGUAAACAAUAAUCUCUCUUCUACCGUGCCACACUUCCUUUUCCCCCUACCAUUACCAGGAUGGUUUCUUGGUGUAAUGCCUGACCUUCUCUAAUUCCACUUGCAACUCAUCGGCGGUGAGCCUCUUUGGUGCAUCAAGGGUUUCAUGAUUUGCAUUGAACACAUGUCUUCGGUAUUUUCUAGGAUGCGGCUUGUCCUUGGCAAGGAAACGGCGGUGUCCAAUGUAACAGAUCUUGCUAAGUAUUGCGUAUGACAGCGGAUUCCUGUCACAGCGAACACAUGCAUUGUAACCAUGUGUCAUUCGCCCUGACAUAGUGCCCAAAGUCGGAUAAUCAUGGAUGCACCAAAUUACAACAGCACGCAGAAAGAAAUCAGCUGGUGGGCUGCUAUAUAGGUCUCGAGUGAGAAUACCCUUCCAUAGCUGUUGAAGUUCCUCCACAAGAGGCUCCAUGAACAAAUCAAAAUCCUUUCCAGGACUUUUUGGACCUGGGAUGAGCAAGGCCAUCAUGUAGUUUGAUUCUUUGGUGCAGACAUUUGGAGGCAUGUUGUAAGGGAUAACAAGCACUGGCCACAUGCUAUAUGUGGCGCUCUGGUGGCCAAAUGGGUUAAAUCCAUCUGAAGCUAAGCCAAGUCUAAUGUUUCUCGGGUCAGCAGCAAACUCUUUGUGUUUAUCAUUGAAGCUUUUCCACUCACUACCAUGAUAUGGAUGGCUCAUUACAUUCUGAUCUCUGUACUCCUGGUUCCUAGAAUGCCACAGUACAUCCUCUCUUGUUUUAGCAUCAUGAAACAACCUCUGCAAUCUUGGUGUAAUUGGAAAAUGUCUCAGAACAUUAUGAGGAACCCCUCUUCAUAGCAUCGCCAUCUUUCCAUCUUGAUGAUUUGCAUUUCGGGCAUUCACUUAAGUUGGCAUAAUCCUUACGGAACAGAACACAAUUAUUCUUACAAACAUGGAUCAUAUCAUAUCCAAUUCCAACUGCAUGAAGGAAAUUCCUUAUUUUACUGUAGGUGUGUGGCAGCUCAGACGCAUCUGGGAAAGAUUUGCUGAAAGCAGCCAACAUCGCAUCGAAUGAUUUGUUGGUCAUCCGCUCAGAUGUCUUCACCUGAAGAAAGGUGACCAUAGCUGAGAAUACUGACAGCUUAUUUCUUGGGGUGACAGCAACGUUGCAUUGUUCCAACAUGCGGGCCCAUCGUUUUUCUUCUGCAUGUGAAAGUUCACGGAAUGCACGAGCAUUUCGUAGCAUUGUUUCAAUGUUGGUCAAACUCACUAGCUCUGCCACCACCACCUCCUCCUCCUCUUCCACCUGAGCAUCAGGCAGAUCAAGAUGGUGAUCUACUGCUUCCACAUAGUCAAUAAGAUGGACGUUCAUAGCUUCACCAUGAUGAACCUACCUAGUAUAUGUGACCGACAUCCCAUACAAGUGUAGAUGAUUUUGCAUAGUUGACUGGGGUCUUGUAACUGAAUUCAUACAACUGCUACACGGGCAGAGCACAUCUGAUUUCGGACCACCGUACUCAGCUCUUAUAAAGUUCAUGAUGUUUUCAACCCCCUCGACAUAUGCAGCGGAGAAUCUUCGAGCAGAAGUUAUCCAAGUCCUGUCCAUCUGUUAGACAUACACAUUAGUUCUUCUACCAGAUAUUACAGGAAAAACAUAUAUGCUUUUUUAUGAAGUCCAGAAAAAAAAUACCUAGGUCGAUGUCUAAAGCUAUGGCAAGAUAUUUUGACGAGCAGAUCUAAGUAACGAAAUAUAUGUAAAGCUAAUUCAGCAACCAGAUUUGAGUGCUAAAUUAUGGCAGGCUGUUUCAGCAGUCAAUGAGCCCGAGCACACAACCAUCGAACUAUCGAAGGCCAUCGCAGCAACAAAGAUCGAGUAUAAAAUGUUGUGGAGCUAUUUCACCUAACAGAUUGGCUACUAGACCAUGGCAAUCUACGUCACAAUAAAUAUAUGGCAGGAUAUUUUAGCAACUAAUCGGCCUUGGCAUGCCACCUCAGCUAAGAAGAUUGAGUGCAGAAUAGGGCAAGGAAGCUUCUUAAGCAGAGCAUAUUGACAGUAAACUACUUCGGCAAACAGUGAGAUUAACAACGUCUAUCAGCUAACAUUCAGCGCUACACCGACAUGAAACGGGGCCUCAGUCUAGAAUGCGCGUACCAUGGGAGAAGCUGACCGCCGUGCGUCUCCACACGAACGUCGCCAGCGGUGGCGGAGCUGACCGCCGUGCGCCUCCACAAGAAUGUAGCCAGAGGUGGCGGCGCGGCUAGAGGACGACAGUCUACGAGAGCGUACUGUGGGAGCGAGAGGAUCGCUGUGCGUCCCCUCGACAAACCGCGGCACCGACAUAUCGGCGCGGCAGGCAGNNNNNNNNNNNNNNNNNNNNNNNNNNNNNNNNNNNNNNNNNNNNNNNNNNNNNNNNNNNNNNNNNNNNNNNNNNNNNNNNNNNNNNNNNNNNNNNNNNNNNNNNNNNNNNNNNNNNNNNNNNNNNNNNNNNNNNNNNNNNNNNNNNNNNNNNNNNNNNNNNNNNNNNNNNNNNNNNNNNNNNNNNNNNNNNNNNNNNNNNNNNNNNNNNNNNNNNNNNNNNNNNNNNNNNNNNNNNNNNNNNNNNNNNNNNNNNNNNNNNNNNNNNNNNNNNNNNNNNNNNNNNNNNNNNNNNNNNNNNNNNNNNNNNNNNNNNNNNNNNNNNNNNNNNNNNNNNNNNNNNNNNNNNNNNNNNNNNNNNNNNNNNNNNNNNNNNNNNNNNNNNNNNNNNNNNNNNNNNNNNNNNNNNNNNNNNNNNNNNNNNNNNNNNNNNGGGGGGGGGGAGGAUUUUCGCGCGGUGGGCGGGGGGAGUUUGGCGCAUGGUCGGUUUCUCCAAGUGCAAUCCCACGUGUCAGUGAAGAGGCAAGCCGAAGCGCAUUCUGUUUGCGUGAGCCGUGUGCAGGACCGAACGUGUGUGGGGUGCAAUGCGAUCACGACAGGAGUGCUAUGAGUGUACCACCUUUUUUCCUUUUAAACUAGGUGCUUCGCCCCCUCAAAAAAAAUGUUGCUUCGCGCGAUCCAUCGAUACUACUACUAGUAAUCCGGUAAUCCUGACUAAAAAGGCGCGGCCGGGUCUUUUCCCGCGCGAUAUGCUGGGAGGUUGGCUUAGUUGGGUUUUUUAGAUUUGUCUGGGUUCAAUAAAAAGCAGAGUUGGUGAUGAUGGUGUGCCUGUCAUCCUGCAAUAUAGGCCGUCUGAUCUAUAUCUAAUGGAUAGGAAGGAAACUAUGACAAUUUACCCGCACUCCUCUCCACAUUUGUAGAUAAGGCUUUCCCUCGUUCAUCCUUUUCUCCUACAAGAUCUUGAUCUUCCGUGCACUAGUACUCCUACAAUAUGUAUAUUAUUGUGAAAGUUCAUAUACACCGGCCGAGAUUAAUGCAAACACGGCAGAUUUUCAUUACAUUUCGAAGUUUUAUAAGACAGAAAAAUAAAAGAAACCCGACCCUAAACCUAUUCUACGAUGGUGACCAACGUCCUCCAUCUGCGAUCUCUAUGUAUGGGGGCGGGGUUCAAGAUCCGUGAAGUGAAGGUGCGGUCUCCGGCAAGGAAGAGUAGAACACGGGAUACGGACCGGCCAGCUGGCACACCAUGCGCUGCCGCCUCCCAUGCCCUACUCAUCCUCGGAGGAGUCCCCGACCUCGGCAGUGCCGGACGUUGGACGACGACAAGUAGGACGCGUGGCUGACGGUGCUCCCGUCGUCGGCCGCCAGCGUGGCCAUCGUUUGUGCGGUCGCGUCCGCAUCCGGCUACGCCGCUAUUGCGUCGCGAGAGGUGACUUGAGCGAGGGCGGCGACCUCGAGAUUCAUCCCCGACGACAAGCUCUCCCGCAGAGUGUUCGCACUAGCAGUCAUGGCGGAUGUGGUGUCAGGUAGGAGGACGAUGCGCUAUGGUGUGGAGGUUAGCUGGGCGUUGCCGCUUUAAGUAGCACAUUCCGGUGAGGCCAAGCGUUCGGGUGCGUCAUUAAGUCGCCGGAGUUGGUUCCUCGGGCACCGAGCCUCUUAACGACGACAAACGAACGGAUGGCAUGAAUGCGGGAAGCUGACGCCGGCUGGGAAUGCACCGCGUGACGGCGCGAGGGAUGAGGGCUUUGGUGUGCGAGGGUAGUCAGCUGCGGUCGUGGCAACGUUGGAGAUGCCCUUUGCUCAAAUGCGAUCCCCGCAUGUCAUUGAAAAAGCAAGACGACCCGGCAUGGUCUCAGGUCCAGAGGAUGCAGUUGGCCGCGCUACACCACUCUAUGGAUGCGUCGCGGCGCCCCGUGCAUCCGUGACGAGCUGGGUGUUGGGGUGUGUUUGGAUUGUGGCCAAAGUGCACCUUACCAAAAUUUUGGUCAUGACCCAAAGAUUGGUCUUUGUUUGGAUGGUUGCCAUUUCUUUGGCAUGCCAAUGAACUCUAGCCAAUUAUAGUUCAUUUUUCUUGCCAAUGUCGGCCAAAUCAUGGGCAACCAAUACCUCAACCAAAAUUUUGGCUACCCAAUGCUUUGAUGGGGCAACCUUGGGCACAAACCAAACAUACCGUUGGUCGUGCCACAGCACAAACGCCACCCUUGGCACACUAAAACCGACCGUGUCUAUCGACGAUAUGAGCAUGUCGCUCACCGCGGUCGCCGUGUCCAGAGGCGGUGCUGGAGCUGCGCCCCGUUGUUGGCCCCAAAGACCCACAUGAAAGGUUGUCGGUGGCGAGGAGGUCGUGGGCCAGCUCCUCCAUUGGACUAGUCUGCGCUACGUCGUCCCGACGGGUGUGCCCCACAUGUCGGUUUCCCUGUUUUACUGGCCAUAUUCGAGCGUGAGUGCUCCUUGUUGCGCAUUAGGCCUUUCACUAUGUAGGCCAAGCGAGACAACUUAUUGUUUAUUUGAGCCAUUCAAGUGUAAUCAUGUGGCGUUUGCUUAUUUCUCAUUCCUAUCCAACCCUCUUCUCCAUCGAUCAUGUCGCCCUCCAGUCGAGUCCAUCCUCCCGCAUGCCUCAUUUGAACAUUCCGCCGAGUAUCAUUCGCAUGUACCCACCCUAGUCCUCUUUCAAUAGAUCUCCAGACCCCGAGAUGAAAUCGAGAGGGAACGAGUGGGGGCACGUGAUACCUAAGGCGGAUUCAAAAUUUUGAACCGGUGAUCAUAGCAUCCGCAAAUCAUAUAUAAAGGGUAUUCAAUGUUCGUUUCGUUUUUGAACGUACAAUAUACUCCCUCCUAUCCUUUCUACCUUACAUAUAAGUUUUAUGUGUAGUCAAAGUAUCUCUACUAUGAUAAAAAAAGGUAUCAACAUUCAACAACGCCCAAUCAAUAUUGUUAGAUUCGUACGUACUCCUAGAUUUGUACCCGAGAUGGUUUCCAAUUUGACUAUUGACAAGAUUAAUAGUACUCCUUUCACAUAGGUGAGUAAGUCAUCUUAGGCUGUGCACCGUGACCAAGGAGGAGGGGAAAACGAGAGACAUUAAUGUUUAUUUGCUAAUUAAUAGUAUUGCAUGCAAUGAACUAACCACUGCAUAUCAUGUUUGAUAGUCUUAGGUCAUUAAAAGCAUGCACACCCUCAUCUCUUAUUGGUUCAUAUGUCAAGAAACAAGAAACGAGGUAGAAGUUAAUGCACCGCGCCUACGUGUUUUGGGAUUAUUUGGUUUUCUUAAGAUGACUUACACACCUAGACGGAGGGAGUACAUGAGAUGUAUAAUGUGAAAAUUAUAUCAUUGGAAACUCCUUUCACAUACGAAAUUGACCAUAUGCUUUGUGUAAGUUGCAUGUCAUAUAUUAUUACUCUAACAUUUGGUCAAAGUUAGCCUCGAAAAACGCAUUAGACCCUGUAUGCUUUGUGUAAGUUGCAUGUCAUAUAUUAUUACUCUAACAUUUGUGUAAGUUGCAUGUCAUAUAUUAUUGCUCUAACAUUUGGUCAAAGUAGUAUAGUGGAAGUGGAUCCUCUGAUGUAGGUAUCCCUGCCUUACCCUCCCUUUCGGUCACUUACUGGCGGACCCCAUGCUUGCUAGGCCCCGCAUGUCAGUUACUCAAUGGGUUCGACCACGUCAGGGGAUCCUCAUCCGUAGUAUACUCCCUCUGUUUUUAUUUACUCCACAUAAAACGGAGGGACUAGUGGUAUAAUAAAUGACGCGGGCCGGGUAGGGGGAGGGACGUCGGUUUGCUCUCAACUGCGGUCCCACAAGCGAGCGAAAACGCAAGACGAAGCGCGUUCCAUUCGGUGAGCGACAUGGAGGGUCCAGCGUGCCGGGCUGCAAUGCGAACACGACAAGAGUGAUGUACAGUCAAAACCGAUUGACCGAUCGUCACCGGAACCACUAUUCACACCAGAACCUUCGCUGGUUGGCCUACGCCAGCCACUGCCCUAAAACCACACAAAAUCUCCAGCCCAUUCCCCCACCUUUCGAUCCCCUAGCCCACAUCAAGCGUCCCCUAGUUCGCCGGAAAGCCAUGGUGCGCCGCAGGAUCACUUACUACAAGAUGCUGACGCCGGAGCGCCGCGCAGAAAUCGCGGCGGCGGUCGGCGCCACAAACCUCUGUUCCCAAGCUCGCUUUGCGGCGGGCCAAUCCCCGAGUUCUUUGGAGCCAAGCUACGAGGAGGAGGAAGCCGAUCCAAUGUUCACUGUGGAGGUCGCGGCGCAGAAGGCCCUCGAUGGGUAUGAUAUGAUGGACGUCGACUUCGUGCCGGCGUCCGAGUCCCCCAUGGUGCAGGCGGACCAGCGGUUUAACAUGGCGAUACUAAAGGAGGAUCGGGAGGCAGAGGCUCAACUCGAUGCGGAGCGCGCGCAUGCCGCUGGCAUCGAGGCUGUCCUGCAGGCAGAACCGGAUGUCAUGGAUGUGAAUCGGGCGGCGGAGGAUCAACUUGAGGCGGAGCGCACGGAUGCCGCUGCCAUCGAGGCCCUCCUGCAGGCGGAACCGGACGUCUUGGACAUGAACCGGGUGGCAGAGGCUCGACUCAACGCAGAGGGCGCGGAUGCCGCUCUCAUCGAUGCCCUCCUGCAGGUGGAACCAGAAGUCCUGGACUUGAACCGGAUGGCAGAGGCUCGACUCAACGCGGAGCGCGCGGAUGCCGCUCUCAUCGACGCCCUCCUACAGGCGGAACCGGAAGUCCUGGACUUGAACCGGGCGGCGGAGGCUCGACUCGACGCGGAGCGCGUGGAUGCCACUGCCAUCGAGGUCCUCCUGCAGGCGGAACCGGACGUCCUCGACUUGAACCGGGCUGUGCUCUCGUCCGUGCAGAGCACCUGCACGCUCCGCUUGAACGAGUAGCUGGAGGCCGAGGACAACCACGGUGCAGAGACGCACGUCGGCAGCGACGGCUGGUUCGUGCUGCCAGCCAAAGACGACGAGGCCGUCUCUUUCCGCGAGCAGUGAUAGUUUUUCUUUAUGUUGUUGUUUUUAUUAUUAUGGAUCUUUUGCUGUGUAAAAACAUACUAUUUGUUAUGCAAGUGGCCUGAGUCUACCAUUUCAGACGGUUGGAUGAAUAUCCUACGUCUCCUAACCCUUCUUUCCUUCUUCUUUGGCAUGGUUCUACAAGCAAACAACCGAGUUGGUUGUCCUAAAGGAUUUAAUAAUGUGACUUCCAUGGUUGCUCAAUUGAUAUAUACUUGAUGCUUCGUCAACCAAUCCAUUCCCAAAAUUACAUCCAACUUUGCAUAUUUCAAUGGAUAGCAGGGUUAUGGGGAAAAUGACUCCAUUGAUUGCUAUUUCCAAUCCUCGACAUACAACAUUUGUUCCGAGCAUAGAUCUUGGGGAUUGUACCACCAUAAAUUUGUCCAGAAGAGUGCAAGAAAGCUGGUGCUGGGCAACAAAACUCCAUGAAAUAAAAGAAUGGGAAGCCCUGGAAUCGAAUAACAUUGUUGUAGGUAUGUUAUUAAACGGAAAUAUACCAAUGACCACCUUCGGUGUUUCUUGGGCUUCGGAGAGAUGAUGAACUUGCCCUUGAAUAAGCUUCUGGUUAGGGAAGGGUCCCAUGUUGUUGACUUGUGGCUUGAGGUUUGCGGGUGGCUUUCCGUUCUUGGGACACGUUUUGGCAUAGUGCCUAGUUUUACCACAAGUGAAUCAUGCAUUGUUACGCUGAUAGUCUUCCCUUACAGGGUUGGUAACAAUGUUCUUAACUCGAUUCUCAGUAUUGGUGUCGCCCUGAUGCCAUGUUGGCUUGAACUCAAACAGCGGCUAAUGCUAGGUACGAUCCUUCCUAAAAACUUGUCCGUCUUUCUUGGGUUCAAACUUGCAUUUACGAUUUCAUAAGAAUACUUGUGAUCAUUGGCAAGCUUGUGCUCCCUUUAGGCAUUGAGAGAUUCUUUUAACAAAGUUUGGAAAUAUAGAAAGUCCAACAUGCUGAGCGUGCAUCGAAGGGUAUGACUGAGCCCUCCAAGAAACCAGUCUAUCUUUCUUUCUUUAGUGGCUACAUCAUGAGUGGAAUAAGGGGCCAAGUUAUUGAACUCAUUUAUAUAUGCACGGAUAUGUUCCCUUGUAUAAGAGCAAGGAACUCUCGCUACUUGACCUUCAUAAUACCAGCAGGAAUAUGAUACUUGCGGAAUUUAUCUCUGAAUUUAUCCCAAGUAAUAUUAGCUUUAGUAGGCCACAUAAUUUUAGUAUUGUCCCACCAUAUAGUGGUUGGCCCUUCAAGAUAAUGAGUGGCAAAAGGAACCUUAUCGGCAUCCUCAGUACGAGCAAUCUCUAGCUUCUUCUCGAUUAUCAGUAACCAAUCAUCGAUAUCGGUAGGAUUGGUGCCUUGACUGAAACUUGGCAGUUUGGUCCUCUAAAAAUCUGAGAACUUCGAGUGAUUACCACUAUGCUUAUUAUGCCCAACCAAAGUCUGCAUGCUUCUUAAGAACUCCAUCAAAUCAUGAUUCCUCUUCUCCUCAAUCAUUCACAUAAUCUGCUUUGUUGUGGGUGCUUGAGGUGGAGGAGGGGGUCGCUAAAAUGGUUCUGGAGAUUGUCCUGCUUGUCUAGCGGAUCGACAAAUUGAGAUAUCGUGGCCACCAUGACUAUUGCUGCCACACCUUGUCAUCCUAUAUUUGUUUCCCAAUACGAAGCAUUGAGAUGAUCAACAUCCAUUAAGAGGAAAAUUUAUGGAGAGGGCAAAUCAACGCCCCCAGAAAAAGGCAAAGAAAUAAAAACCAAGGAGAAUAAAAGACAACAACAUAAUUAUACGUAGCAUCGCACAUCAUACAAAGAAAGACGACAUCAUGGAUAGUACUACAACACACAUACAGCCAUACACCACAUCAUACUCAUCUAACUGUAGUGGCAAUGAUCACAAUGGCACUCUGAUGGUCCUGCUGAUGUCUCGUCGGUCUCGAACUCUGAGUCAGAACUGAUAAUACUAACGGAGACCUCCGGAGCGAAAGAAACACGAUACCGCUGACGAGGUGGCUCUCCCUCAGGGUCAGGAGCAGAUUGGCUCUGAAGCGUAGGAGUGGUGGGAGUAGUGAGAAGUAAAUCCCACUCGGCGGGGGACUCAUGAGGACACACCAUCAAAGUAUACGAGUUAGUCUAAGAGGGGAUAGGGGUAACUAGUGUGGGUGGCGAUAAAGUAGUUGGAGGAACAUGUGGGGUAUAAAUAAGUGAAGGUGGAGCAAACGCAGAUCGAACGGCAGCAAGUGCGUCUCAAGUAUGGUUCAACUCCUAACAUAGGCUGUGAAUCAGAAGAUACCAGCCGUAAUGUAGCGAGAAAGCUGGAUGACAGAACGAUCACACUCCGGGUCAAUGAUAGGGAAGCGGAUACGUCCUGUGUCAAACAUGGACAGGAAAAAAUAGAAACCUGGGUGUGUCUGCAUCUGGAUCUCAUUGUAACACAAAUCAGUGAGAGCCUUGAAAGCUGUGAACUGGACUACCUGAUCGGGUGUAGAAGCUGUCCCGCCCUUGGAGGAGCGGGUGUAGGUGCCCACCAAGGUACGGUUGUGCAUGAUGAUCUUUGUGUGAUACUCGUACACAUCAUCAGCAAGCUGCUCUUGGUACACCUGAUACACCGGGUCAUCACCGUCGGGGUAGAGUCAGCGCCAUAUGAUACGAAGCAGGUGAGGAAAGGUAGAAGGUGUUGGCUCAGGCUGAUAUGGAUACAGAACUGGUGCUAUCUACACUCAAAACAUUAGUUGGUCGGCAACAAAAAUAGCUAUAUGCACACAAUGCAACAACCAAGUGCAAAUGCACACUCAAAACAACCAAUGACUUCUAUCUACUGUUUUCUAACGUGUCGGCUGUCUAGGGCGUCCUAUAGUCAACAUGGCUAUGAUACCAAGCAUUGUGGCACCCGGCUUAGAGCAGCCAGUUUACCUUGCAUAAACAGCCUAGAGAUCAAGUCUUCUGGCAAAACACAAUAACUUGGUACAGAAAACAACUGCUUGAUUGAUCUCUUGUGGGUACAUAGUUUCAGAUAUUACAUGAUAGUCGAGGCCAAGCGGCACGCACGGUGCGGCUACAGUUACGUAUAUUAUUUAGUAGAUAUAUCAGGGGCCUCGGUGAUAGGGGAAACUCCUACUCGGCAGCGGAACGACGAACUAGUGGGACUCGACUGCACAAGCACACUCUUGGAACACAACCUAGAUCGUGAUGCAUCGAAUGACAUCAACUCCUUGCACGGCUUCUCCUGCGUCUGGCAUGACACGCCAGGUGAGUACUUUGAAUGUACUCGCAAGCUCACAGCAAGCAACGCAAGUAUGAACAUGAUACUAUCUCCAUGAAGUGUGUGUGGAUCAUGAUCAUGGUCCCUCAGACCAACUUGACAUCUUGGGUUACCUCGUAACCAUCAUGAUCAUCACUCGAUCAUGUCAAACCAACCAUAGUGAUCCUCACAAGAUCACCAACAUCUACAUGUGCCAAGUUGGUGUGAUUAAGUGUGCAUGUUAUUUAUUUUUGUUGACCCAUAGUGUGACCUACUACGAACUGUGUCCAUAUCCAAGGAUGCAGCUAUCAAUAGAUUAUACACUCUGCAGAGGUUAGUACAAUGUACCCACACCACGAAACUCAUGGUCUCGUGCUCCCAUACGGGUGGACCAACAACAUUCCGACAAAGCUAACCUAUUGCCUGACACUCUCCCAUCCACUCUGACAAACUCCCCUUUGGGCUAUGCCCUGGGUGGCCCCGGGUGCCAACUCUUGACAUAUGCCACCUAUGUGGCCGGCCACCGUCGUGGCAAAACAAAACAAAGAGUCCCAAAUGGGGACAAUGGUACCAUACAACUUUAGGCACAAAGGGGUAUGCCUGGCUACUGUGCCAGGGUAGCGUAAGCGCAUAACCUUCCCUAACUGGAGGCACCAACGAGAGGCAUGACAGUAGACCGAAUUAGGGCCUCCCCAUCCAGGCAAGUGUGGUUGCACUGGUGAGCUCGAUUUGGUGGCACCAUGAAUCCAUCAACAACUUGUUCAAGUUGAAUUUAACAUCAUGUUCAACUUGAAUUUGAAAUGAUUUGAGCCAUAGUAUGCAAUGAAGUGCACGGGUCAUGUGAAUAUGAAUGUGGGUGAUGAAUGCACCAUAUUCAAUAUAAGCAUAUGAUAUGAUCUAUACUGCACAUAUUAGCAAGAUGACAAGUACUCUACUUCAUAACUAAAAUAUAACAACAACAACUCAAAAGCUAGGCAUGGCGUGUUUGCUCCCUGGUAAUCGAAACCCCAGUAAUUCCAUCACAACUAGACGUAGGCUUUUACCUUCAUCAUAAAGGGGCCGAACUAGUAUAAAACCCUCGUGUCCUUUGUCUAGUUUAACCCCUUCAAGCUAACCCGUCAAGAUGGCUCCACAACUAAGUCCUUUCAUGAGGACAUCUGACGUGAUAUUUCCACGAUAGUUGGCGCCCACCGUGGGGCUACCGCAUGAUGGUUUUGAGUUCUUGAAGGGCAGCUUUGAAGGACUCAAAGGGUACGCAGUUGGCCGGAUGACCAAGAGUCGUCGCGACAAGCUCUACAUCGACGAUGCAGGCUGGGGCUCCGACGCCGGCUCAAUCGAGUACGGGUACCGGGUCCCCUUCGGAGGAAUUCACGUCUUCAUCGGCAAGAUCGGCGAACCGGGCCCUGAGCCAGACAUAUGUACCGACCUCAUCGAGACGGCUCAGCGUGCGAGUCCCGCCCGGAUUCAGCCCGCAAUGAAGUGUGCGUUCAUAGGAUGUGUCCAUGGGAUCGGGUCUAAACCGGUGUCCGAAGGUGAGACGGUUGCUUAUUCCGACGGCGAAUCAUCCACUGGUGAAACCGAGUCCCUGUACCAAGUUCAUGGCGGUGUGUUUGAAGGGUAUUCCGAUGGCACUAGUAUUCCAGAAUUUCUUGAACCUCCAACCCGAGUCGCAAUCUUCAUGGCCGGUACACAGCCAACCUUGCAAAAUUCUACUGCAGCGGCAUUGGGUUCCGGACCAGCAGCUGGGGCAGGAGGCCUCGCGCGCCGGCCGGCUCAAGCUCUGUCCGGUUUGUUGGACGCCUAGACGAUGUUAUUGGCCACAGUAGUUACCCCGGAGACUCAAGAUCGGCAUAACGCAGAGGUCACUAAGCUACGGGAUCAGAUAACGCAGGCCAAGGAGGACUUGGUGGCUGAGGAAACCAGGAUGGCUGAGGAACGUGCCUCUUUAGAUGCCCAGGUGCAGAGGAUUCAGGCCGAGAAUUAUUGACUUUUGCUAGAUCAAAACGCCUCGAAUGAAGUAUUGAGGAGGAGACAUCAGUCUCGCUUGCCGGCGGAUUAUAAUGCAAUGAACCUCUUUAGUACGCCAGGGGCAGGAACCAGCAACCCGGCAGCGGUAAACCGGACUAUCGUGCCAAGGACCGGAGCAUCAGAUCAACCUCAGGUGAUGGGUCCACCCCGACGAACAGACAACCCACCGCGAUACACAACACCCCCGCCGGGUCACUUCUCUACCCCUUUGGAUAACAUGAUAGCAGCGGCAUCUCGGCUGGCAGCUAUUCCGAUGGAGGGUGAAUCGCCAGCGGCGGUUGAGGCAUGGCGGGCCAGGGAUCUUCUUUAGACUGCUAUGGUGUAGCAGCAUGCUUACUCAUAUAGCUGAUUCAGGAUUCACACAACCCCCCGUCCGAGAAAAAGCUAUAGUAGGCACAUAGAUGAACCAGAGGUGUCCAGCAGUGCGCUGCACCGUAAUGUCCCUCAAGGACCCAAUCUGGCGCGCGGUGAAGUAAAUGCUCAGGACAUGGUGGAUAAUGGCAGAGCAUGAAGGGACGCCGCUUUAGCAUCACAAUAUGUGGGUCGUUAUCAACCCACCCCGGUUCAGCCAGCAGCGUAAGUAUACCGAGGCAUCGGGCUUGCCUUCAGUUCCUGGGGAGUGCCGUGUCUCAUUCCGGCUCUCCGUAAUAUGCGGCUGCCCAAGGAUUUCAAGGGUCCACGUAAGGUGCCUAAUUACAUCGUCGAUCAACCACCUGAGGUGUGGGUUGAAAGUUAUGAGAUGGCGAUGGAGAUGCUGGAUGUGGAUGAAGCGACAUGUGCAAAAUACUUCACAAUGAUGUUGGAAGGGACGGCCCGUACAUGGUUGAAUAACCUGCCAGCUAACUCCAUCGAGUCAUGGGACCAAUUGAAGGCCCGGUUUAUAGAAAAUUUCAAGGAUACAUGCAAACAGCCAAUGUCCAUUGUAGCUCUGGAUGCCUGUGUUCAAGGAGAGAAUGAGUCAACAACUCAUUGGGUGCACUGGGUAUCAGAAGUUUUGCAUUCGUCGGACCAGAUUAAUGCUGGCUAAGAAAUCAUAACACUGGAGUGUAACUGCCGGUUUAAGUCAUUAAAUAUGAAGUUGGGACGGCUCAAGCGCCACGGCGACGACAUGGGAACACUUAUGGCAGCCUUGGUCAAAUAUGCUGAUUCUGAUAAUACCAAGGAUCCCGAUUCUAAUGAGGAGAAACCGGAGAAGGGAAAGAAGAAUGGCGGUGCAAAGGGACAACAACACAACCAAGGGGGAUAUGGGAAUAAUGGUAAGAGCAAAGCAGAUAAUUCAUAUUUUGUGGCUAACACUAAUAUGCAGCAUCGUAAAGGUAAACCGCCCUAGCGCGGUGGCGGUAUGAAUCUGGAACGACUGUUAAACCAGCCCUGCCCAAAGCAUGGGACCAAGGAGGUUCCAACAACACAUCUUUGGAAGGAUUGUUUCAUCAUGAAGGAGUUCAAAAACUCAGAUCUCUUCCAAUAUGAUCGGGGUCUGUCAGGCGGUUCAGGUCUAGGUUUUCAUGGUGGCGGCGGUUCAAACUCUCGAUUUCAGAAUAAUCAGGGCAACCAGAACAAUCAAGGUGGCAAUAGCCAACAGAAUAAUUAGGGGAAUCAGCAGCAAUCAGGUUUUCAGACUCACCCAAAGCAGUUGAAUGGCGGGCAGUAUCAUGUGUUCACUACCAGCUUGUGCAAGCAUGAUCAGAAGCUUCACAAGAGGGCAGUUAAUGCUGCUGAACUGGCAGUACCAUGUUGCUUGCGGUGGUCCGAACAACCCAUUAUGUGGAGUAGAGAGGAUCAUCCGCCCCGGGUUGAUAAUCUGGGUCACCUGGCUUUAGUGGUGGCACCUCAGGUGGGAGGAUAUAAGUUUACUAAAUUACUGAUGGAUGGAGGGAGCAGUAUCAACAUCCUGUACUAUGAGACCUUCCGUCGCAUGGGGUUGACAGACAGAAGUCUUAAACCGUCGAACACUGUUUUUCAUGGUGUAUUACCAGGUAAAUCGGCAUAUCCUGUUGGCAAGAUCGCUUUGGAGGUUGUGUUUGGGGAUGAGCACGAUUCCAAGUCUAAAACAUUGACCUUUGAAGUGGUGAAAAUCCAGAGCCCAUAUCAUGCACUGUUUGGACGGCCAGCUUAUACAAAGUUCAUGGCGAGGCCCUGUUAUAUUUAUUUGAUGCUCAAGAUGCCGGGUCAUAAGGGGACCAUCAUAGUCCAUGGAAGUCGUAAGAUCGCUUUGGAUUGCGAGGAAGGUGAUGCGGCCUAUGCUGAAUCGGUUUGUGCUACAGAGGAGUUGAAGUUCUAUAAGGACAAUGUUGAUCCGGCAACCAUGACCCCUCUGAAGAAGCCCACCACUGAGCAUGACCCGACCCUAAAGUUCAAAUAGGCAGAUGAAACUAAACUUGUUGAUUUUGUUCCUGGCGAUUCAUCCAAGCAGUUUAGGAUCAGCACGAAUCUGGAUCCGAAAUAGGAAAGCGCGCUCAUCGAGUUCAUCCGUGAGAACCGGGACAUUUUUGCAUGGAAACCUUCUAACAUGCCAGGUGUACCGAGGGAACUCGCUGAGCACACUCUCAAUAUUGAUCCCAAGUUUAAACCGGUCAAGCAGUUUCUUCGCCGCUUUAACGAGGAAAGACGCAAGGCAAUCGGUGAGGAGGUAGCCAGGCUGUUGGCUGCUGGUUUUAUCAUCAAAGUAUUUCACCCUGAGCGGUUGGCUAAUCCGAUGUUGGUCCUUAAGAAAAACGGCACUUGGCGCAUGUGUGUGGAUUACACGGAUUUGAACAAGGCUUGUCCAGCAGAUCCUUUUGCUCUCCCACGUAUUGAUCAGAUCAUUGAUGCGACGGCGGGUUGUGAGCGUUUGAGUUUCUUGGAUGCUUAUUCAGGUUAUGAUCAGAUCAAUAUGGCAGUUAAGGACCAGGAGAAGACAGCCUUCAUCACUCCCUUUGGAGCCUUCUGAUAUGUUUCUAUGCCCUUUGGGCUCAAGAGUUCCCAGGCAACUUAUCAGCGCUGUGUGCAGAAUUGUCUUCACACUCAGAUUGGGCGCAAUGUUCAUGCAUAUGUGGAUGACAUUGUAGUAAAAUCCAGGAAGAAGGAGACAUUGAUAGAUGAUCUCAAGGAGACCUUUGACAAUCUUCGAGUUUAUCAGAUGAUUCUUAAUCCGUACAAGUGUGUUUUUGGUGUUCCGGCAGGCAAGCUUCUAGGCUUUCUGGUGUCCAACAGAGGCAUUGAAGCUAAUCCAGAAAAGAUCAAGGCAAUUACAUCUUUGGCUAAACCGGCAUGUAUUAAUGAUGUUCAGCGCCUAGCAGGUCGAAUUGCAGCUCUAAGCUGGUUUAUUAGCCGCUUGGGAGAGAAGGCAAUCCCUCUAUAUCAUAUGUUGAAGAAAACAGACACUUGUGUCUGGAGUGAUGCGGCUGAUGCGGCGUUUGAAGACUUGAAGUGGCAAUUGGCUGAACCGCUGGUCCUUGCUGCUCCGUUCGGCAAGGAGCCCUUGUUAUUGUAUGUGGCUGCUAAUGCCCAUGCUGUCAGUGUGUCAAUUGUGGUUGAGCGCAAGGAGGCUGGAAAGGAAUAUCUGGUUCAACGGCCGGUUUACUAUAUCAAUGAAGUGCUUAUCGAGUCAAAGCAAUGAUAUCCGCAUUGGCAGAAGCUGGUAUAUGGGGUUUUUAUGGCGAGUCGGAAGCUCAAACAAUACUUUCAAGGCCAUCCCAUCACGGUGGUCAGCUCUGCUCCCUUGGGCGAUAUAAUUCAGAACCGGGAAGCAACUGGCCGAGUUGCAAAGUGGGCAAUUGAGCUUGGUCCACAUGGGUUGAAGUAUAUGCCUCGAAUGGCCAUCAAAUCUUAGGCGCUUGUUGACUUCAUCAAUGAUUGGACCGAGUUACAAGCACCAGAGGACAAACCGGAUAACACAUACUGGACUAUUCACUUUGAUGGAUCCAGGCAAUUGGAGGGCUCGGGGGCUGGAAUUGUCCUUACUUCCCCUCGAGGUGAUAAAAUUCAUUAUGUUCUCCGCUUAAUGUUUCCUUGUACUAACAAUGCAGCUGAGUAAGAAGCGUUACUCCACAGUCUACGUGUAGCCAAGGAAAUGAAUUUAAGCCGAGUACGAUGCUUUGGAGAUUCUGAUCUGGUGGCCUAGCAAGUUUCUGGCACUUGGGAUUCUAAGGAUCCACUCAUGGCGGCUUACAAACGCGAGGUGGAUAUUGUGGUGGGUCACUUUGAAGGUUAUCAGGUUGAGCACAUUGACCGGCGCAAAAAUGAAGCAGCAGAUGCUUUAAGCCGUCUUGGAUCUCAGCGUAAACCGGUACCACCCAAUACCUUUUUAGAUAUCUUGCAUAACCCGUCUGUUAAAUUGCCUACAGAGGAGGAUUUAGUUGUUCCUGAUCCGGAGGCCCAAUUGGUAGCCGCUUUACAUGUAAUUCCGGAUUGGACGGUUACAUAUUUGGCAUAUAUGAACUGGGGCAAGCUACCAGACGAUGAGGUCCUAGCCAGACAGAUAGUCCGGCGAUCAAAAUCCAUGGUUAUUCACAAUGGCGAGUUACACCACUACAACAUUUCAGGCGUAUUCCAGCGUUGUGUUUCUCCUGAAGAAGGCCAAGAGAUUCUAUGGGAAAUCCAUGAAGGGGAUUGUGGUCACCAUGCCGGUUCAAAGUCCCUGGUGGCUAAAGCUUUUCGUCAUGGCUUCUAUUGGUUGACAGCUCAUGUUGAUGCCGAGGAUCUGGUAAAGCGGUGUGACGCUUGUCAGAAGUUUUCACACCGAGCUCAUGUUCUGGCUCAAGAGCUACGGAUGAUUCCUGUCGGUGUUCUAGGAAUGGGGGUACCCAGACAUGCCUGCCUGCGGCCUGCAGCAUGGCUCAAGGAGUGGCCCAGUAUGGCCCAUCUUCAUCAACACAAGCUCGAGACCCUCGCGAGGGGCCAAGCCUCGCGGGGCAGACGACAAGCAGCUUCCUCAGGCGCAACCUCGUCAGGAAGGCUCACGAGGAGGCGGAGAGAUCAAGGCAGGGGUACCUCGUGAGGUGCCCAUGACGCAAGCCAUGAUGACCGAAGCCAGGCGGGUGCCGGCCUGUGUAGUGUGCUUGUUUCCUCUUUGGUGCAAAGGGGGCGAGCGCAUGCCAAGGUAUUAGGCAAAGGCUACCAUUUCGGUGCAACAAGACCAAGACCAUCAGAACGGCAGGAUGGAGGUCACCGUGGAGCCCAAGACGGCGUCAUCAUCAAAGUCUUUGGCAGGCGAGGACCAUCUUUAGUCAGGAUAAGUGUACUAGAUGUUCCCCUUCAAAAUGGCCAAUUGUUGGCGCCCUUCCUACUCAAUAUUUGGGAAGAGGGCCAGGGCCUCUUACUCUAUAUAUAGGGCUAGCCACCAUAGUAUAGAGGCAUCUGGAAUCGAGCCCUCCACAGGGACAACACCACCACAAGAACAUCCCUCGCGAGGCUGUUCUUCCUUUGUACUAUUCAUCAUCAGCCCCAGAGGCAAUCCACCACACCACACACUGGAGUAGGGUAUUACACCACAACGGUGGCCUGAACCAGUAUAAACCUCGUGUCUCUUGUGUUGUUCAUCUUUGGUAGUCUAGAUCCUUUGCAAGGUGACGAGACGUGACUCGGUAGAGGAGAGAUCUUCGCGCGCACCCCAGAGUUCGAACCUCAAGGGUCUGCCAGAACCCGAAAUCCAACAUUUGGCGCGCCAGGUAGGGGUGCAUUGGAGCUCUCCCUGCCAGCGGCCCGUUCUCCGUCAACCUCGCGCUUCGCCACCAUGGCCAGCAAUGCACUGCCCGCUCCAGCUGCGGAGGCCAGCCCGGGGCCCCGGGGGCUCCGGGCACUUACCCCCGCCCUGCGACAGGUGCGGUGGCCGGACAAGUUCAAGCCAGAGAUGCCGCCGCGCUACGACGGCAUGGCAGACCCGCUAGCUUUCCAUCUAGCGUACGAGGAGGCCGUCCUCGAGGCCGGAGGCGAUGGCCAGGUCAUGGCCAACUGGCUGCCCAUGGCACUCACUAAUAUCCAGCGCAUGUGGCUGCUCCAUUUGCCAGCAUCUUCAGUGAAUUCCUGGGAGGAGCUCUGCGGCCUCUUCCUCGCCCAUCACGCAGCCCCGGCGCUCCCGGUCGUCGCGGCACUCCUUGGUGGCUCUCAAGCACCGCCCUCGAGUCUCCACAUUAAGUCGUUCGUCCGUCAGGUUGGUGCGGCCCUGACUCGCCGCUUGGCUGCUCCAGGAUGGGCGUCACCCAAGGCCGACUUAACCUUCAGUUUGGAUGAUCACCCUGCCAACACCGCUUGCUCAGGCGCACUCCCGAUGCUGUGCACUCCCACCACCUGCCAGGUGGCCGUCCCCAGGACCCUGGUCGAUGGCGGGGCCGGCCUCAAUGUACUCUCGAUCGAGGCAUUCAGUCUCCUCCAUGUGCUGCUGGAGCGGCUUCGACCCAGCCAGCCCUUCUCGGGUGUCGGGGCAGCCCCACCGGCUCUUUGGGGCAAAUCCACCUCCCGAUGACAUUCGGGACCCAAGCCAACUUUUGAUAGAGAUGGUUGACUUCGACAUCGCCCCCAUUGGCCUCCCGUACAACGCCAUCCUCGGCUACCUGACACUGGCCCAGUUCAUGGCAGCAACUCACUCAGCUUACAACCUGAUGAAAAUGCCCGGGAAUAACAGUGUCCUUACCAUAGCCGGAGAUGCGAAGGAUGCCCUGCAGGCACUCAAGCUCGCUUUCAAGGCAGCAGCAGCAACGCAGCCCACCGGUGCCGAUCCCCUUAAGGCUAAGGGGCUGCGCCCACCAAAAACAGGAAGUUGUUCACACAAGACAAAGCAGAGACCAAGCAAGUACCAGUCGACGAGGAUGGGUCCUCCGGCGCCUCCUUCACCAUAGGCGCCAAUUUAGAACCGAGCAAGAGGAGGCCCUAGUAAAGUUCCUGCACACAAACAAGGAGGUGUUCGUGUGGGAACCCAAACAGCUGGUAGGGGUCCCCAGGCAGGUGAUCGAGCACCACCUGAACGUCUGUCCGAACGUAUGCCCAGUGAAGCAAAAGGCAAGACGGCAGUCCACAGAGAAGCAAGCUUUCAUCAUCCAAGAAACCCGCAAGUUGGAGGCCGCGGGAGUCAUACGCGAGGUCCGCUACCCGGAGUGGCUGGCAAACCCCGUCGUCGUGCCGAAGAAGGGGGGGGGGGAAGGAGCGCAUGUGCGUCGAUUUCACGAACCUCAACAAGGCAUGCGCACAGGAUCUGUUGCCGCUCCCCCGCAUCGACCAUAUUGUCGACUCUACUGCAGAGUGCGACCUGUUAUGCUUUUUGGACACCUUCUCCAGUUAUCACCAAAUCAAAAUGACAGUCGAGGAUGUGGAGAAGACAGCUUUCCUGACCCCGUGCGGGGUAUACUGCUACACCUACAUGCCGUUCGGAUUGCGCAAUGCAGGUGUGACCUUCCAGCGGCUGAUGCACAUCGCAUUGGGCCGUUAGCUCGGGAAGAACGCUGAGGCUUAUGUCGAUGACAUAGUAGUGAAGUCUCGGGAGGCGAAAACCCUGAUAUAGGACCUGGAAGAAACCUUCGCGAGCCUGUGUGAAGUGGACCUGCAGCUCAACCCAAAGAAGUGUGUGUUCGGUGUUCCCUCGGGCAAGCUUCUGGGUUUCCUCGUGUCCCACAGAGGGAUCGAGGCUAACCCAGAGAAAGUCAAGGCAAUUGAAGACAUGACUCCGCCUCAAACCCUCAGGGAAAUGCAGAAGCUUACCGGACGGGUAACUGCGCUGGGGCGCUUCAUCUCCAAGCUAGGGGAACGCGCCUUACCCUUCUUCAAGCUGAUAAAGAGGAAGGGCCCAUUCAAAUGGACUCAAGAGGCUGACGCCGCGUUUCAAGACCUCAAGAAGUACCUGACCAGCCCCCCUGUGAUGGUCGCACCACGCCCACAAGAGCCCCUAGUGCUCUACCUCGCAGCCACACCGUACUCCACCAGCACUGCCCAAGUGGUCGUCCGAGAGGAGCGCCGAUCCAAGACUAUGCCCGUCACGGCAACCCCGGGGGAGGAAGAUCGCUCGAGUAUCGCGCCCUCGGUGGAUACAAGCCAGCCUCAGCAAGGAGGCGUCGUCACAACAGAGAAGGCUCCACCGGUUUGUCAGGAGCUAGUGACUCCUGCACCUCAGGAGGCGCUCGGCCCUCCGGAGGGUGCAGACUCCGCCAUUGUGCCCACCCUCGUCGAGCACCCCAUGUACUUCAUCAGCAUAGUGCUGAGAGACGCAAGGGCACGAUACCCCAUACCUCAGAAGCUCCUGCUCGCGCUGUUGGUAGCCUCGCAGAAGCUGUGACAUUACUUCCAGGGUCAUCCGAUCAAGGUCGUUUCAGCGUACCCAUUGGAAAGGGUACUCAGGAGUCCCAACUCAGUAGGAAGGGUCGCUGAGUGGAACAUCGAACUGCAAGCGUUUCAGUUGGAGUUCAGCACAACUAGGGUCGUCAAGGGAGCAGCGCUAGCGGAUUUUGUAGCAAAAUGGACAGAGGCACCGGGGCUUGAGGUAGGCGAGGACCGUUCACUUUCCCCAGGAAGCGAAGCGCCGGAUGGCUGGGUCAUGUACUUCGACGGAGCUUUCUCGCUGCAUGGUGCAAGGGCUGGAGCAGUGCUCAUAUCCCCCACUCACGACAAGCUCCACUACGCAGUGCAACUCUGUUUCCAGCAUGGUGAAAAGGUUUCCAACAAUAUAGCAGAAUAUGAGGGGCUGAUAGCAGGCCCGAGGGCUGCAGUGGCCUUGGGGGUAAAGCGCCUAGUCAUUAAGGGCGAUUCACAGCUCCUCGUCAACUUUUCCAACAAGGUGUAUGAGCCGAAGGACGAGCACAUGGAGGCAUAUCUGGCAGAGGUCCGCAAAAUUGAGAAGCAGUUUUGGGGUUUGGAGCUGCAACAUGUGCCACGCAGCACCAAUCAGGAAGCUGAUGACAUCACGAAAAGGGCAUCCAGAUGGCUGCCUCAGGAGCCCGGAGUCUUUGAAGAGAGGCUCUUUAAGUCCUCGGCGAUGCCACCACCAUCGGACAGAACGCAACCUCAGGUGGAGCUUCCCCAGCCGCCUGCCUCGGGAGCCCCGGCCUAUGGGCCGACCUCGGGAGCACGCCUGCUCCUGGAGCUGGAGCCUCAGGAGGGGUGUUGGACCAUAGAACUCAAGAGCUACUUGGUGCAAGGGGCCUUGCCGGAAAAGGAGGAAGACGCAGAGCAAGUGGCGCGACAAGCCACGGCGUACUGCAUCCAAGAUGGAGAGCUCUACAGGAAGCGACCGAACGACGUGUCCCUAUGUUGCAUAUCCAGGGAGCAGGGGAAGGAGCCGUUGGCGGACAUACAUGGCGGAGACUAUGGGCACCACCCGUCGUCACGGACCCUUGUCGGCAAGGCGUUCCGCAGCGGGUUCUACUGGCCCACAGCACUCAAUGAUGCCGUCGAGCUGGUAAGAGCUUGUGAAGCCUGCUAGUUCCACGCCAAGCACAUCCAUCAGCCAGUGCAGGGCCUGCAGACCAUACCCCUCUCGUGGACGUUCGUGGUUUGGGGGCUGGAUAUUUUGGGCCCGUUCCCAUGAGUGCUAGGGGGCUAUCGCUACCUCUACGUUGCCGUGGACAAGUUCACCAAGUGGGCUGAGGUGGAAGCUGUCCGCACCAUCCCAGCAGGCUCUGCAAUCAAGUUCAUCAAGGGCCUCGUGAGCCGAUUCGGGGUGCCUAACCGCAUCAUCACCGAUAACGGUUCGCAAUUCACCAGCAAUCUCUUCAAAACAUACUAUGCUAACCUUGGAACGCAGAUAUGCUAUGCUUCAGUGGCGCACCCUCUGAGCAACGGCCAGGCUGAGUGAGCCAACGCAGAAGUCCUGAAGGGCCUCAAGACCAGGACCUUCAAGAAGAAGCUGGAGGCUUGCUGCAGGGGCUGGUAUGACGAGCUCCAGUCCAUACUGUGGUCUAUUCGCAUGACCGCAACCAAGUCAACUAGCGAAACCCCGUUCUUCCUUGUCUACGGAGCUGAGGCCGUCCUCCCCCAUGAGGUUAGGGGUCGCUCCGCGUGGGUCCUGGCGUUUGAUGAGGCGUAGCAGGACGCCAUUCGGGGGAUAGACCUCGUGUCGGGGGAGGAACGCCAUCAAGAGGCCGCGCUGCGGGCGGCCUGAUACCAGCAGGCGCUGCAAUGGUACCACUGCCGCCACGUCCGCCCCAUGACCCUCGAGGUACGCGACCUCGUGCUCAGGCGGGUCCUCUCUAGGGAAGGGCUGCACAAACUCUCUCCCAUGUGGGAGGGCCCGUUCAUGGUUGUUCAUGUUUCCAGGCCCGGCUCCGCGCGCUUGGAAACCCAGGAGGGGGUGCCCAUCCCGAACUCGUGGAACAUUCAAUACCUCCGGAAGUUCUACCCUUGAGCGAGGCCCAGUGCCUAUGGAAAAGGCCUAGAGCCUGUGAAGAAGGCCAAUGCCAGUGAAGCUUGCCGUUUUGAAAAGGCCCGGUGCUUGUGAAGCUCUCCCCUCUCAAGAAAAGGCCAAGAGCCUGUGAAGAAGGCAAACGCCUAUGAAGCUCGCCGCCCGUGACACUCUCACGUAAUAAUGAGUGGGGCUGUACAUGCCCCGGAGUCUCCGAAGAGCCGCCAUGGGCCUCGGGGGCUCCCGCCCACACCCAGUGGUAGCACUUAGCUCCGCGCUGGUGAGAAGACGUCGAAGACUAGAUUAGGUGCCGGACGCGACUUUUCAUUUGCUUUCUGCAGUUGGCUAAGUUUUUCGUUGCUUGGAGCUUUGAGUUGAAGUUGCUUUCGGUGUUGUGCGGCACCCGGCCUGUGUUUCCCAUUUUUGUCGCUCGCCUGACCCUGCUUUCUUUUUGCGACCCUCGCGAGGGAAGCCGUGCGGUCACCCUCACGAGCGUCGCCUGGUUUGAUUUCGUGAGGUUCCUCGACCUAAGUUUGCAGCGGGAGCACUCCUCCCAGUCAAUGCCCCACAGGCAUCGCGACGCGAACGCUGGGCCCGAGCAGGCCACCCCUGCGGAUGGGAAUUGAAUCCUAACCUACCGGCAAGUCCUUUUUGCAGGCCUCGAGACCCGUGACGCGGCUUCUAGCCAGGGCCUCCUGAGGCUGGCGCCGCAACAAACCCUUCCCACUAAGCUAAGUUGUUCCUACUCGUGAGCACGCGACACCGUAGCACGACACAAAAUAAGAACAACAUGAUAUUUAAAAGCAAUGGUCUAGCAUGCCCCCGUGGGGCCCCGUACUUCUCUCUCCAUGCAGGUAAGACAAAAUGUGCACGACUCAACCAACUACAGCCCGGAGAAGAGGACCUGCGUCACCCUUUGGAGCUCAAGCAGUUCCCUCUUCAUGCUUCACCUGGGCGCGGCAGCGGGAUGAUCCUCCUCCCCCCUCGAGGCGAGCACGGCGGCGCGGUGGCUAGUCGCGGCCGCCGCCGGAGGAGCUACCGUCUGAAGGGGAAUCGCCGAAGCUUGAAGAACCGCGGGCGCCACCGGGCGCAUGCCCGGCCUCGUCUUCGCCGCUGCCGUCGCCGAGGAUGAGCGUGCGGCCGUCGUCAUCACCUUCGGGGCAACACCCAGCACGGCGGCCAUCACCUCCGAACGCCCUCACGAAGAGGGUAGUGUUGCCGUCAAACUUAAAGUGGAGAGUGCAUCAACGGCCAAGACCACGCACGCAGGCGAACGUCUGCCAGCUGCGGGUCAGCGCCAUGUUCCUGGCGAUAGAAACCUCCACCGCCACCCAUGAGACCCUGCUGCAGCAGCCGUCUGCCUGGAGCCAGAGCCCCCCUGUGGUGCCAGCCGCCAGCUUGCCAGCGAAGAAGCGAGGAAGUUGGAGCCAGGUACUAGUCGGGUCCGCCGACCAGACGGCGAACUCCGACCGCAUCUCCGUAGAUUGGAAUCGGGGGCGGGGAGGCCAAGCGGCCGUGGCACUUCUUCCCCUCCGAUCGAGCGGCUUCUACCAAGCGAGGGGCCUCCACCAAGGCCUCGGGCGGCCGUCGCAGGAGUUGCGGGAUGCUUGCGGGGGCGACCCUGGUCGCGUUUGGCAGGAGGAGAGUCAGGCCCCUCCCAGCAGGUCUUCCCCUUCUUCGCGGCCGAGAACCUCUUUGUGGAUGCCAUGGGACGCGGCGAGGUUAAGGGGAGAGGUGGAGAAGAAGGAGCAUAACAAGGAGAGAUGGACUGGAAGGGCACGCGCCGUUCCAUACUUAUAGCCGGAGGAGGCCAAACGUCUGCCUCCAUGAUCAUGGGUAAUCAUGACUCAUACUGCGUGCAGGGACUUGUCACGUCGGACGGUUUCCGAGGCGUCGUCGGGGAGCAGAGGUGCCCACGUCCAAUCAACCGCCACGCGGCGCCCAAGGCCGCAGGCUAUUGGGGCCCGUGGCGCUUCGCACUUGCCCCUUCGCUUCUCUGCUAAGCCAAGUCCGAGCGCGCCUUGGGCCCGGGGGCUACUGUCGGCCUUCUGGGAACGGGGGUACCCAGACUUGCCUGCCUGCGGCCUGCAGCGUGGCUCAAGGAGUGGCCCAGUACGGCCCAUCUUCAUCAACACAAGCUCGAGACCCUCGCGAGGGGCCAAGCCUCGAGGGUUGGACGACAACUAGCUUCCUCAGGCGCAGCCUCGUCAGGAAGGCUCGCGAGGAGGCGGAGAGAUCAAGGCAGGGGUACCUCGUGAGGUGCCCAUGACGCAAGCCAUGACGACCGAAGCCAGGCGGGCGCCGGCCUGCACAGUGUCCUUGUUUCCUCUUUGGUGCAAAGGGGGCGAGUACAGGCCAAGGUAUCAGGCAAAGGCUUCCAUUUCGGUGCAACAAGACCAAGACCAGCAGAAUGGCAGGAUGGAGGUCACCGUGGAGCCCAACACGGCGUCAUCGUCAGAGUCUUUGGCAGGUGAGGACCAACUUUAGUCAGGGUAAGUGUACUAGAUGUUCCCCUUCAAAAUGGCCAAUUGUUGGUGCCCUUCCCGCUCAAUAUUUGGGAAGAGGGCCAGGGCCUCUUACUCUAUAUAUAGGGCUAGCCACCAUAGUAUAGAGGCAUCUGGAAUCGACCCCUCCACAGGGACAACACCACCACAAGAACAUCCCUCGCGAGGCUGUUCUUCCUUUGUACUAUUCAUCAUCAGCCCCAGAGGCAAUCCACCACACCACACGCCGGAGUAGGGUAUUACACCAUAAUGGUGGCCUGAACCAGUAUAAACCUCGUGUCUCUUGUGUUGUUGAUCUUUGGUAGUCUAGAUCCUUUGCGAGGCGACGAGAUGUGAGUCGGUAGAGGAGAGAUCUUCGCGCGCACCCCAGAGUUCGAACCUCAAGGGUCUGCCGGAACCCAAAAUUCGACAAUUCCCAUCACUUGGCCGUUUGCUACCUGGGGGCUUAAUAUGGUGGGACCUUUUAAGCGCUCCAAGGAUAAGAAGACCCACCUAUUGGUGGCGGUUGACAAGUUCACUAAAUGGGUUGAAGCGGAGCCCGUAAGCAAGUGCGAUGCAGCUACGGCGGUUCAAUUUCUCAAUAAAUUAUCUUCCGCUUUGGCUUUCCACACAGCAUCAUCACGGAUAAUGGCACAAACCUUUCUAAAGGUGAGAUGGAGGACUUCUGUCAGAGAGAGCACAUCCGGCUUGAUAUAGCAUCCGUGGUGCACCCCUAGUCCAAUGGUCAAGCUAAGAGAGCCAAUCAAGAAAUCUUGAAGGGUAUCAAGCCCCGGCUCAUGGUUCCUUUAAAGCGGACGCCAGGUUGUUGGGUGGAAGAAUUACCUUCUAUGUUAUAGAGAAUCAACACCACCCCCAACAGAUUAACGUGUUAGAACCUUUCUUCAUGGUUUACGGGGCAGAGGCGGUCCUCCCAAGUGAUAUUCAUCAUGAUUCGCCCCGGGCUGCCAAUUAUGUUGAAGCGGACAAUGAGCAAGCACGCCAAGAGGCGUUGGACCUGUUAGAUGAAAAAUAGGACAUGACUUUGGCUCGUUCAGCGGUUUAUCAGCAAGACCUGCAGCGUUAUCACAGCCGCCGGGUUAAAACAAGAACCUUUCAAGAAGGUGACUUGGUGCUCCGGCUCAUCCAUGAUCAGACCGAUAUGCACAAGUUAUCCCCACCUUGGGAAGGGCCCUUUGUGGUCAGCAAGAAUCUGCACAACAGAUCAUACUGCCUCAUUGAUGUUCGAGACAACUCACACAUUUCUAAGGAGGAGACUCGGUGGCCGUGGAACAUAGCUCUCCUUCGGCCUUACUACACUUGACCCAUAGACUUCUCUUAUGUACAUAUUUUGACAAUGUAUAUAUUAUGAUCAAUAUAAUAAACCGGCAUCCUUGCUAUAAGCAACGUCUCUGCUGUUUUCCUCAAAUAUCUUUUGGUUACAUGGGGGCUUCAGCUGACAAAGCAGAGUACUGCCUGUUAAACCGGCUAUCAUGCCACAUUACAGCUUGGGAGCUUCACACCCAAGGGGCCAAAGAGAGUCUGGAUGCUAUGCACAGCUCAAAUAUAGGCACCCAUUGAGCACAGCUCACAAAGUUACUUGGGGGCUCUUUGUGCACUGCAACAAAGAGUUUGAAAGGACUGUUGUAAUAUGCUAUCAAGCACGGCUUGGAAGCCUGGUGUAUUCACCUAAAACCCUGGGUUAACCUUCCUUCAUCAAGUAAGCCACUCCUAUCCAGGUAAUCCUGGCAGGACCCGCCGAACAUUUGACAAGUCAAUCUUAUACAGACCCUGAACUUGUCAAAGUUAAAACAACGAUUGGUUAGUUGGAGGUCCAUCUUAAAAGCUUAGCGAAAUGGUUUAACUCAGCGGCCUGGCAGCCCUUGAAAAGCCUCGACUACAUGGUUUUAUUUGCUUUUUGCCAAGUAUUCCCGUUCUGUUAAAAUUUAUGUUAAACCGGUGUCAGUUGACCCGGUAUGGCUUUUCAGUCGUUAUAAUAACCCGGUGUUUGUUAACCCGGCUUGGCUUUCAACUACAAGUUGUCUGACCAUAUUAAUUAUCAAACUGGUGUUACAAAACCUGGUCUGGCUUUGACUACAUGUCGCCAGUUUGUUCAUCUGGUGUUCAUCGUAACCCGGCAUGACUUAUUACACACCAGCAUUGCAUGGUGAGAGUUAUCAUUACUCAAGAUUUGGGUUUUCACCCUUACUACAAUCAAAGUUGGUAAACCAACUAAGUGAUUUAAUAUCACAGGUAUGAUCUAUUUCAUAUUUUAAUAUUUAUUCAGCCUUGGUAAUCAACCAGGCUUUGUCUUGGGCAUUAUGACCUGUUCGGCGGUAAACCGACUAGACAAUUCUUUUUAUGCAGACAUCAGAAUCGCAUGAAAUUACCAAAGUAUAAACAAGCACAACAAAUAUCAUGGCAGAUCAACAAAGUCAUGCAUCAAUGCCACAGAUCAAAGUAUUUUAACUAGCCUAUUACAAGGCGCUUUGAGGCCCAAAAUAAUGAUUGUUUUUCCACAGAACAAAGUCUGUGACAAUAACCAGAUUGCCGGAUCAAGACUCAUCGCCAGGUUGACGUGAUGUUGAUGGAUCUUCAGGCGUCGGUUCAACCUCCUCCUCCUCCCCACACAGUGGCUGGAAGUCAACGGUGGUCCAGUCAAUCCGGGUUAUAGCUUGAAAGACAUCCUCUUCACUUAUAAGAUUCGAAGGUUCAACAUCAGGGGCAUAAGUGUGCUUAUGAAUUGGCGGAAUAAGAUUCUGCACUUCCUUCACAGCAGUGUCAACUCGAUGGUUGUUAGCAUCGUAGAAGGACCGAUGAGAAGUCAAGUUCACCUCUUCAGCCAAUUGACUUGCUACUGGACGCAUCUCCUUAGUUAGGGCUUUGAGGGCUUCAUUAUCAAAUGCUGAUCCAUUUUCUUGUUCAUCCUGAUAGCCCUUGGCGAUAUCAACUGGAUCCAGGUCAGCUAUCAAUGAUUUGGCACGAGUCAGUGCUAACAAAGCACCAGCCCUGGCAGCAGAUUGCUUCAGCUCCUCUAUCUGAGCAGGAGUCAUUGAGAGCCUGGCCAAAGUAUCCUUGAUCAAGGUUGGUGUCGGUUUGUUGUACGAAGCUGCACAGAUGACUCGUUGUGCACCAGUAUAUAGUUGCUCAAUUAAUAUGUAAGCUGCCUUCAACUUCAUCCGCAUAUCUGCGCCUAGAUGAGCAAUGCGAUUACCUGCAACGGUUUAAGAACUUAAGGUUAAACCGGCGGAGUUGAAGAUACUUCAGAACUGGCUAUUAUAAAGUACUUACCAAAAAUUGCAGCUAUCAUGGCGUUCACUUGAUGUUUCAGCCCAGUCAGCUCUUCCUCCACCGGUUUAAGAGCUGCUUCGGCGUCUUCAGCCCGCUUCAACAAAGCAGCCUUUUCGGUUUCCUAGUUGGUGUGUUCAGUUUUGAAGCCAUCCUUCAAUUGUUCCAUGGCUGUCAAAGUGCCCUUUAGCUACUUUUUGGCUUUAGAGGUCUCUUCUUGCUGGGAUUUGAUGUUUUCUUGAAGAUCGGCGAUUUGAGACUCUUUGGUAUGUAUAUCAGUCUGCAAAAAUCUGAAGAGGAAGUUGUCAAAAUUUCUCUCAAAGUCCCAAGCACAUAAAAUCUUCAGAGCGCAGUAGUGCAUGCCUUGAAAAUUUGGAGGCAUUAUAUCAUUCGGAAGAGAUGUCAAAUCUUCACCUAUCACAAGAGUCUCAAAUACAUAUUCACCCUACCGGAUUUGAAUCUCUGACAAACAAGAUGGCUUGAACUGGUCAAAGAUUAUGAUCUUGGUAUCAACUAUCAUCUGGGAAAAGAAAAUGUGGUCGCCGAUGCUCUGAGUUGCAAACCAGCCACUGUAAAUGCAUUACUUGAGUCCUUGCCUCCCGUGCUCCAAGAAGAGAUAACUCAGCUCAAUAUGGUCAUUUAUGAGGCAACAUGCGCAUCUAUUUGGAAAUCACCGCUACGCUGGAAGAUAAGAUCCGCAAGUCUCAAACUGAGGAUCCAUUUUUUGCUUAAGAUGAUCUCCUGAAUGCGAGAAGGGAAGACACAAGACUUUCAUAUGGGCGAACAAGGUACUCUAUGAUUUUAGAAUCGAGUCUGUGUACCCACUCAGGGGGAUCUAAAGCAGCAGAUAUUGAAGGAAGCUCAUGAGUCAGCAUAUUCUAUUCACCCUGGAGGUACAAAGAUGUAUCAAGAUUUGAGGUAGACAUUCUGGUGGGAUGGUAUGAAGAAAGACAUUGCAUAUUUCGUCGCCUGCUGUGACAUAUGCAACAAUGUAAAGGUGGGACACUAGAACCUGUUGGACUAUUACAACCUUUGCCUGUUCCACAAUGGAAGUGGGAUGAAAUUUGUAUGGACUUCCUCAUGCGUUUGCCAAAGAUACCACGAGAAAAUAAUGCUAUAUGGGUUGUGGUUGACAUGCUUACAAAAUUGGCUCAUUUUAUUCCUAUAAGGACCACCUACCAUGCAGACCAGCUUGCUCAACUCUAUGUAUCCAAAAUUGUCAGUCUUCCCAGGACCAUCACUUCAGACCAAGGAUCUUUGUUUACCUCUGCAUUCUGGGCACGCCUUCACCAAGCUUUGGGAACCGCUUUGAAGCAUAGAGCCGCUUAUCAUCCACAGACAGAUGGACAGACAGAGUGAGUAAAUCAAAUCUUGGAAGACAUGAUUCGAGCAUGUGCUCUUGCUCAUGGACCCAAAUGGGAAAGCAGUUUGCCCUAUGUGGAGUUUUCUUACAACAAUGGCUAUCAAACUAGCCUCAAGAUGUCACCAUACGAGGCUCUAUAUGGACGUAAAUGUUGCACACCUCUGAACUGGUCUCGGAUAGGAGACAUCUGCAUAUUUGGGAAUGAUUUGAUGAUGGAAGCAGAACAACAAGUAAAGGAAAUUUGGGACAGAUUGCAAGUAGCAAAGUCUUGCCGAAAGAGCUACUAUGAUUCAAAAUAUCGACAUAUCAGCUUUGAACCAAGAGAGUGUGCCUAUCUUCGAGUCACCCCUAUGAAAGGAAUUAAGAGGUUUCGCACUCGGGGAAAGCUCACACCCAAAUACACCGGUCUGUUCCUAGUCAUGACAAGAGUUGGCAAAGUGGCUUACUAGUUAGAACUACCACCCGAGUUAUCCGUGGUUCACGAUGUCUUCCACGUAUCUCAACUCCGGGAGUGCAUCUCACAGCCUACAAAACAGACAGAUAUGACUGAACUAGAGCUUGCUAAGGAUUUAACAUAUGAGGAGAAACCUUUACGAAUGUUGGAUGAGAUGGACAGAGUCACCCGCAACAAGGCCAUGAAUUUUUACAAGGUGCAAUGGGAACACCAUACCGAGGAUGAGGCCACCUGGGAAUGAGAGGAGUUCUUAAGGACUGCAUACCCAUAUUUGUUUCCUGAGAAAACGAAUCUCGAGGACAAGAUUCAUCCUAGGGGGGAGGUUUGUGACACCCUGGAUUUUUCCUUUUCCUUUUUAUUGGGAUUUAUGGAAUAUUUAAUUUGCAUUUGGGUUUUUCGGUCAAUUCUUCUGGAAUUACCACUUGGAAAUCAUUUUGAUUUUCGUCCAAGUGGGUUCUAUCAUCCUUAAACCCUCCCAAGUCAUCAUCCCACUCACAAUAUUGCCAUCCCAUAAUUUUCUUUUAUGGCAUAAUAUUCAUUUUCUCUCUGAAAAUGAAUAUUUUCCCUCUUUGAUAUGAAGCAAACCUCAUUUUUCUUGCUCAAUAAAUCCCAAAACUUUUGGCACUAUCCUUUGAAAAAUUUCAGCUAUGGAAAUGAUUUUGCUUCAGGUCAGAAAUGACACCUUCUGAAGCAAGUAUAUUUUUUUUGAUCUGUUGGAGCUGAAAUUUUUACCACUUCAUCACCUUCCUAAGAGAAUCUUAACCACUAAAAUCCAGACUUUUCACCAAGUCAUUUGAGCACAGCUUGUUGAACAAGUUUCUUUCUAGAAAAUUUAUGCUUGGCUCAAGUCUUGUCCUUGGAGCUAGGUGGCAAUCCAAGGGCACUCCUCUGACCAGCUUUGAAAGGACUACCCGCCAGACAUUGUUUGCACUUUGCAAAAGCAUCGCGUGUGCCAGUGCACACGGUGACCACACUGGGCGCGAGGUGUUCGACAUGCAGUCGCCGCUCUCUAGGCAUCGGGGUCCUCUGCUGCCGUUCGUUCCUCCUCCUCGUGCCACCGCAGCUUGCCUCCGCGACUGAACACCCUCCCACAUGUCCACCUCACCUCGUUCUGCUCCUCCCCGAUGCCGGCAAGCUGCACAAUGCCUAUGUACUGAAGUUUGGGUACUUUAGUACCCCAAGACUUGUGCACAGGCAGUGGGAAGCCUUAUUGAUGGCAAGGCUUGCUGGAGGACAAUUCAAAACAAGUCCAGGACUAGUUAAACUAUGAAGAAGACAUCCAAGCAGUUAAUCGAAUGUGCUAAGGAGAAGCAAAGAAGACAACAAGGUCCUUAUUGGCAAGCAAGUGAAGACCCGGCAAGCUUCGAGCCCGGCAAGAUCCCACUGUUCUGCCACUGCUCCAGCUCAGUGACCAGCUUGUCAGUUGUCAUAUAGGUGUCAAGUGGGCAUGCAGUUUGGUGAGCUCUUUUUGGGCACAUAUCAGCUGGAUGCUUAAGAGACAACUUUAAUGACACUCGUCCCAGGGGCAUGUCAAAGGAAUACAAGGUAGGUCGGGGAAUGGCACAGAAGGAGAGACAAUUCCUAGCAGGGAGACUCAUCAGCACGAGACCUCAUGGCAGAUUUAAUGUGUUUGUCCUAACCUGUCAAAGUUAGGUAUUCCGCACUCUAGCCACUAUUUACCUUAUCUAAAGACUGUUUUGCCACUGUGAUAACCCCUUUCCCUAUAAAAGGAGGUCCAUGGCUACCUUUACAAGGGUUGACAAUUUGCACUUUUAUGCGCGUAGCAGCACUUCCCGUGCAACCUUGCCGGAAGUUGUGAUCCUUGUACUUGUGCUUUCCACAUAAUUCCACCAAAGCACGAGUAGGGUUUUAUGCUUCACAGUGGCUCAAACCUGAGUAAACCACUAUGUCGAUUGCUGAUUCUACUCUUUGUGCUUGCUGAUCUCCCAAGUCAGACCGCAAAGAGUCUUUGUUAGUCCCAUAGAUCAUCGUAUGCACGACAUCCAUGGGCUGCCUGGUAGGGGGAUCACUUGCAUGAACCUGAUUCAGCAGUCAGCCAGCUUCUUCAUCAUCUUCGUCACCAUGACGCCCAAGAACAAGGGCACCAUGGCGAUCGGUUCGUCUACAUCCAAGGCACUGACGCCUACACAGACAAGCGAUGGCACGGGCGGCGGUGGAGGAGGCAGAGGCGGUGAACAACUUCCAUGACAUUCUGGCGAUCAGAGCCAUGCGAGCAGCAUCGUCCACGACGGGAAGAACGUCACACAUGCCACCAAGUCUAAGGAGGAGUCGUGCUACCUGUGGGCGGUGUGGCAAACUCAAAGGAGGGUCGGGCGCUAUCCAAGAUGCCCACGCCGGCGCACACGCCGCGGCCAUCUUAGGUCGCGCGUGAUAAGCCGCGCCAUGGCAUCGGCGACCCCGAGUGUCCCCACGGCAAAGCCCCCGUGUAUCACUCCCAAGAUGCAUAGGGCCAGCAUGCAUGCCAGCACACUGGUGGGAGUGGACUAUGACGGCAAGAGCAUGCCAGAGUUCCUUCUGGCUCUGUCAGAAGUAAGAACACCUCCCGUUCUUUGCACCUGUCCACUCCAGCUACCUGUCAGAAGCCCAGGCACAUGCUCAAUUGCUUCUAGAGUUUCCCCUGCUGCAGACAGGAUGGAGGAAUGGACAGCCACAAUUCAAAGUCUUGUUGGCUUCACCAACAUUGACAAACCGCAGCAGGCUGGACCAUCAUAGUGGCAACCCAUUGUUCCGGUGCGUGCGCUGGUGACCGAAGGAGGUGCGGCCACGGUGCAGUCCCCUCAACGGCAACAACAUCGGCAGAACCAGUGGGUCAACGCCCAUGAUGACGUGUCCAAGGCAUCGUUCGAUCCGUGAGGCCAUUGUGAUCAGUGCCAAGUUCUUCAAGAACAGUGCAGAGAAGACGCCCGCACGACAAUCGAAUGAUGGCAGGAAGCACACUGUCAAUCUGACAGGCUUGCAGGGCCCACUAUCGUGGACUUAACAUGGCAGAUGCCCUAGCAAGAGGACUUAGAAGUGGGGCCAUCGCCGCUAGGUUAGCUUGAAGGGGUUAAACGGGACAAAGGACACAGAGAGUUUACCUAGGUUUGGCCCCACUCAACGAGGUAAAAGCCUACUCCUGCUUUAGGUUGUAUUGCUUGGGUUUCGAUUACCAGGGAGCGAAUACGCUUGACCUAGUUCUCGACUUAUUAUUUCUUGAGUUAACCCACCGUCGGGUCAACCCUUCAUAUACAUAGGCUAAUGCCUAGCCAGUUCAUACACAACGUGUCCGGCUCGGUGACUAACUAAGCUUGCCUUACAAUACAAGUUACACAUACGGCGGUUUAUCCUCUUGGGCCUCAAGUCGCCUCUGGAUCUUGGGCCUUCAAUAGGCUUGCUUCAUAACCCUCCAUCUUCAUCCUUGAGUCGCCAAUGGUAUGACCCGGCCCUCCUGGGCGGGUCAUACCACUUAGUUAUAUCCCCAACAUCAGACCCCAGGUUGAUUUGAACUUGUUCAUAUCAAUCUUCGGUACUUAACUUAGCAUAAUCUUUCAUCAUCAACUUUAUGAAUUUGUGCUAACCCGCCAUGACAUCAUACCUCAAAAUGGUGUUAACCCGCCAUGACAUCAUCUCACAUUAACUUCGCACAAAGCCCAGAAUAUCUCAACAUAUCUUUAUCUUUAAUGACCUUCCCAAAAAUCGAGGCGUCGGUGUAGCCACAUAAUCAUUUUUUGGCCUUCUCGAUUCCCGCGCAUGCCAUCUAUUCACUACCUUAUAAAUAGGGAUAGGGGCCCCUAUUUUCACUUUUACCCCUGCCGCUACCUCUCUUUCUUCCUCUCAACACCACUGCGACCAGAGCUCUGCGGCCUCUGUCGUCCUUCUUCAAUAGCCCGAACCAGGCCAUUGCAUCAACCUAAACGCGUCCAGAAACCGCGGAACUUCUCCACUGUCCAUCAGCACCAACAUGUAUUCAUCGUCCCUUGCUACAUAUCUACAUUAGGGUUCUGCUGUUCAUCGGAGUUCCUCACUGUUCUUUUCUAGAUCGUGUAGUUCAUUCUGAACAUGAUACUGAAAAUGCACGGUAAUAGCUUUAGCAUAUUUUUCCAAUCACAGUAGAUACUUUUUCCUGUACAAGAUCCAUCUGAACACAUGGGUUCUUUCGUUGCCCUCACUUUAGGUCUUGAAUUUAUUUUGUUUUCUAAACUGAUACAGAUCCAAAAUGAUAACACCAAUCUUUAGAAUCUGUUUGUCCAACACUUAGCAAUCCCUCACUUAUAGAUCUGAAAUAUGACAAUUGUUUGGGCGGCUUAGCUGAUAAACCGUAACCCGCCAUAUAGCAUGAGUCCCCUUUUAAGCCGCCAACAUACCUAUCUGCAUAACUCAGUGCUGUCUUCCGGCUUAACAUGUUGGCUAUUUAUGGCUCUUACCUUUGAAUCAAUGGCCGGCUUAAUAACAUAGUCCUAAACCGGCAAUAUUUUCUUUUCUGACCUUCAUCCUCAAAAAGUACCAAGACUAUCACUUCAUGCAACUAGGUAGCUUUCCGGGUCACCGAGGAGGAUUUGAACAAGUUCGUACAGACAGGCGUCUUAUCGAACAAAGAUGUCAUCCAUUGGAGGGUCCCAGACACUGAAAAAAACCUGAGCCCAAGGAGGGCGAAGUAAUUGUUUUUACUAAUCAUAUGCUCCGGGGGUUCACCCCGCCCGGUUCAAAAAAAUUUGUGACGUACUACACUUCUUCAAACUUCAUCCGCAAGAUAUCCGGCCCAACUCUGUUUCAAACAUCUGUAACUUCCAAGUUUUUUGUGAGCUUUAUCUUCAAGAACAGCCCACUGUCUAACUGUUCAGGGAAUUCUAUUACUUUAACCGGCAGACUGAAUUCACAGACGGGCCCAGCCCGGAGUUAGGUGGAAUUUCAAUUCAGAGGCGGAAAGAAGCACCUUCCCAGCCGCCAAGCUGCCUAGUCAUCCUAAGGACUGGAACCAGACUUGGUUUUACUGCCAAGAAACAUCUCCAGAGGGUGAAAAUCCCCUGCCGGGCUACCGUGAACACCGGCUUAGCAACCAAGACCUACUCCCAGAUCGGAUCAGCACCAAGGAACAGGCCAAAUAUGCGCCCAUUUUUUCAAAAAUUAGAGCCUACAUGGCUAACGGCUUAACUGGCAUCGACCUUGUCCGUUGUUGGGUUCCAUGGAGAAUCUUGCCCUUAAGCCGUCGUCCUGGCUUAAUGUGUGAGUAUACGGGCGACUUGAAAGACAUGCUACGCUGCUGCCAGAUAGAGAUAACUAAAGACGACAUCAAUAAUAUGACCAAGUCAUUGCUGAACGAGAGUUUGGCGGACUACAACAAAGCUGGACUGAAUCCUUUCUAUGUUCUCAACCAGCCGCCAGCUGUAAGCUUUUAAGCUAUUUUCGGUUUAGUCACUCAUUUAAACUGUCUGGUAACCAACUUUACUCCCAUAGACCGACUCUCCUUUCUGGAAGAGGAAAUUGCAAGAAAAGCCGGCCAAGAAGACCCGGACAAAGAACAAGGCUACUAAAAAGCCUGCCAAGAAGAAGACCAACCCCUCCGAGUUAUUUAACUUGGAUGAAGAUGAUGAUGAAGAGUCGGAGGUAGAACUUGACUCUCUUGGCUCAUUUUUUGUACAUCUCAUUGACAAUGACCAUUAUCAGGAUGAUGCAGAGGCCAGCCGUGCCGAUGAUGAAGAGGUAAUUGUUCUUUCCUCCGGCUCAAAACCUCUGCCAAAACAGAAAACUCGACAAGCAAGCCGGAAAGUAAGGUUUUCUCAUCCUUUAGCUUAUUUGGAUCCCAACUUUAUUUUGAAGAAGCAGCAACAUGAAGCUCGCCGCACGUCCUGGAACAGCGGAGGCGGGAUUCUCUCCUCCAGCUUACCGAACACACCAGCUCCUCACAAGCAUCGUCCAGAGGUUUCAUCAAUUUCUGACUUAGCUUAUCCCAAGGCAGGUCUUUUUCGACAACCUCUUAAUCCUUCUGACUCAAAUUACCAGGGAACAUCUCAUUCCUCCUCUGGCGGCUCAAUGGGGACUCACACCCCAGUCUUCAAGACUAUGCCUGGGUAAGAAUAUUAAGUUUCUGCUUUCAAUGAUGUACUCAAUUGUCGUUUUAACACACAUGAGCUGGUGUGGUGAUUAUACACACACGUACGCUUGCACACGAACUGCAUGCACGCAACACACACACACACGAAUACACGCAGCCACACACGCACGCAACACUCACACGUACACACACAGCCACGCACGCACGCAACACUCACAUGCACACACGCACGCAUGCAUGCACACACCACACGACCAACACAUACUCUCACUCUCAAGUGCUCAACCUACACGUGCAUGCGCACACAUCAGGCCCUGAAUGACACAUACACAACCAGGUGGUUCCCGCGCACGGUUUGGAGUCUUGUCAUGCAUGCGUAAAUUUGUGUUUAUCUAACAUUUUUCCUAUGCGAACUAACACGUGGGACCCACAAGGAACAUGGUCAAUUUAACUAGUCAACAUAGUGCCACGCAGAAUAUUUGGCCGGUCAAUAGAGUGUAAUCCGAUGCUGAACGGUGAGCAAGUGAACGUAUAAUCACCGCAAAACGAAUAUAGUGAGCGUAAUGAGCGCAUUCCAAAAUCCGGUGACCGUAUUACGCUUUUUGCUUGAAAUACACUAACCGCCCAUGUAUUUAUCUCUUCUCUUGCUCUCAUUGUGGAGCCGGGUACGGCAAUGUGCCAGUGCCUAAAUUGGCGCACGCCACCCCAUUAUUGUUUGUAAGAGCGAACAAGCAUUCAUGUCGACUAUACAAACUGUAGAUAUGAGUUACAAAUGCUAUGAAGACGAAUACAAAUAUUUGAAUCCACUUUAUGCACAAUUUCUCUCUGUAGGCCCUCCAAAGUACACCUCUACACGUUCUCGCAUGUUACAUCUAAUAACCAUGCAAUACAUCACUACUACUACUACACUCUAACACAAUAAAUUAUAUGUGUUUUUAGUUUUACUAGAUCUCAUUUUGUUACUUAAUUAUUCAGUUUGCAUACAUCAAAAUUGCCUUUGAAAUGUAUGGCUAGUAUCAUCUACCGCGUGGGAAAAAUCCCACCCUUGCAUGUUUAAUCGGGUUUCAUUGAUGGAUCGUGUGAAACAGCAAACUAUAGUAGUACUACAUUACAAGUAACAGUUCACUGGGCCGCCGUGUCGUGUACUCCUCCGUCGUAAGAGUGGAGUGCUCGCUUGCACAAAUGUUCUAGUCCCUUUCGCCGAGAUGUGGGACAUCAAGCAACCGGGUCCACGUGCCAUACUAAUAUAAUAGUGCAGAGUAGCAGGGGUGAAGCAUCCCAAUCAUGGCGUCGGCAUAGUAAUGAGCAAUGAGGCGUCAAAUCACAAAGCCGCACCUUUCCCGCAGUUAAGUUGGAGGGACGAAGUAAUCUCUACUCCUAUGAAAGACUCAGUUGGUGAUGAUGGUGUGUCUGCCAUGCGCCAUUUCUGACCAUUAGAUCAGCAUCUAAUGGUUGUGAUGUAAGUUGUGGCCUUUUUGCAACAAUUCACACUUCUCUGCUCCAGUUUACACAAAACCCCUUAGUAUCUUGAAACCAACCACAUUCCUCCCUUACCUCAUCAAAAUAGCCCAAAGAAUAUAUUUGGAGUGAAACAUAAGAUAUUUUAAGUGAUAUGUCUAUCAAAACUAAACUGUUUUCUUUCAAAUUUGUGAAUAUGUAUUAUUCUACUUUGGAUCUGUUGCAUCAUUGAUAUAGUGAUAUUUCUCUUGCAUCGUCACAACGAACAUCUAUUGUACUUGUCCGGGCUGGAUGCUUGCAACAUGACGACCUAAGUUCGAAUUCUGUUCUAAAGUUUAGUUUUUUAUAUUUUUAAUAUAUACUUCUUUUGCUAUUGUACUAACAGUGGAACCCAUAGACACUACUAGGGAAAAGCCUAUAACAGAAUGUUACCAGCAUCACAUUUUAAAAUAAGGCGCUACUGCAAUGUAGCAGUAGCGCGCCCCAGCAGAACUCACUUCUGAAAUAAAAGUAGCAGUAGCGCGCCUCCUAUAAGACGCGCUACUGCUAUAAUUCCCACGCCCCCACCGCGAAGCUAGUUCAAGCAACAGCGCGUUAAUUCAAACUGCACUACUGCUAGGUCGUUUAGCAGUAGCGCCUUUCCCUAUAGCGCGCUACUGCUAAAACUAUCUCCCACCACCCACGCUCUCCUCUAUCUAAUCCACUCACACUCACNNNNNNNNNNNNNNNNNNNNNNNNNNNNNNNNNNNNNNNNNNNNNNNNNNNNNNNNNNNNNNNNNNNNNNNNNNNNNNNNNNNNNNNNNNNNNNNNNNNNNNNNNNNNNNNNNNNNNNNNNNNNNNNNNNNNNNNNNNNNNNNNNNNNNNNNNNNNNNNNNNNNNNNNNNNNNNNNNNNNNNNNNNNNNNNNNNNNNNNNNNNNNNNNNNNNNNNNNNNNNNNNNNNNNNNNNNNNNNNNAUUGGUCCUCCCCCACCGGCCGCCCUCACCCCCGCCGGCCGCCCUCGCCUACCCUUCCUCCCUCUAUGCCGGAGUCACCUCCUCCUCCUCGCCAGACUCGAUACCACCCUCCUCCUCCGUCCUCCCUCCACUCACCGCCGGCUGGCCCCUCCUCGCUCCGCCCUUCCUCCUUCGUCCUACUCUCUCCUCCCUCCUCCAGUCGCCCCUCCUUCUGCCUCCUCCCUCCUCCAUCCACAACCCCUCCUCCCUGCUACAUUUUUAUUUAGUGGGCUAGUUCAUAUGCAACAUUUUGAUUUAGUUCAUAUGAUUUAGUUGAUUUAGUAGGCUAGUUCAUUUAGUUGAUUUAGAACAUUUUGAUUUAGUUGAUUUAAUAGGCAAGUUGACUUACUAGGCUAGUUGAUUUAGUUGAUUUAGUACGCAAGUUGAUUUAGUAGGCUAGUUGAUUUAGUUGAUUUAUAGAACAUUUUGAUUUAGUUGAUUUAGUACGCUAGUUGAUAGCUCUGAAGAUUUGGCACCACCUAGCUAGAUCUUAGGAUUAUAGUUGUCCAUCAAAUUGCUUCUCGCGAAAGAAGAAUCAAAUUGCUUCUCGUGGAAGAUUUGACGUUUGCCUGCUAGCUGUUGGUUCUAUUCUAGAAGGUGUUAGUAAGCUACGAAAAUAUAACUAAAGAAGAACCAAAAAUAUCACAUACUACUGUUUUUAUUUCUUGUGAAGUGGAUAAUUAAUCCUUUGCUCAUAUUUCUUUAGGAAAAUGGCGCCACCACCACCACCACCGUGUCAACUGUGCAAGUCAAGGUGCGCUAGCAGCCUUGCAACUGGCAAGUUGUUCGACAUCUACUUCCAGCUGAGUUUUCGUCAUGCGGCGGUAAGAAAUUAUACGAAAUGUAACAACUAUUUUAUUUUUAGUGUUGGCAUUACUGCAUUGUGUCAUUUUGCUUUUUUACACAGAUCGUCCCAUGCAAUGUGAGGUUGAAAUUCAACAAGCUGACAGGAGACACUAUGACAUUUGAGGCUCCUGGGGGCCGUACACUAUAGAGGUCGAGAAAGGACGCAAUAUGUCGCAAAUUGGAGGAGAUGGAUGGGCCCGUUCCCUCGCCCGCAUGCAUCUUACUGGUGGUGAGUUGAUCAGCUUCUCCUUCAGAGCAGAAAGACCCAGGCUGGCUGUCUUUUAUAUCAACCUAGUGGAAAUUGAUGAAGAUGACGAAGAUGAUGUAGAUAAUGAGGACCCACUCGAUGAAGAUGAUGAGGACCCACUUCAUGAAGCCAUUGUAGCUCAAAGAAUGAGGUUGAGCGAGGAGGAGGUGCGCAGCCUAUGGGACAUAAUUCCGCCACGUGAUGACUUUGUCGGGGUGCCAUUCGUAACCCGCCUGAUAAGUACCAUGGCCGAUCGACAUGAUAUGGUAUGUUAUACUUAUAAAAGCAAAUUAUCUGAUGAUAUGCUUAGUGUAGAGUCCGAUGAUAUGUUGUGUGGAAUCUAGUCGAUGAUAUGCUUUAGUGUAGAGUCCAAUCACAUGCUUAUUAGUUUAGAAUCUAAGGAACUAUUAAUAGUGUAGAUAAUCCAUAUAUACUUAUUUGCAAGAGUAUGUGCGAGGCGGGCUCCAAUCAUGGCGACUCCACCACCCUCUCCCUCCCUUGGCGACUCCCAUGGCGACUCCGGUCUCUGACCUAAGUCUCCACCGCCGGUGUCACCAAUGGAUGGCCUCCUCCAUUGGGACUUCUCACCCGGUCUUCGUGUGGAGGAAUAGGUGCGUUCAUGGUUUGGAUCUACGGUCCAUUUCGUCCCCAACCCCAACUCCAAGGAAUUCUUCCUUGAAGUUUCCUUCUCCUCAGCCUCCUUUCACCUCUCGGAAGAAUCAGUGGGCUUCACCUUGCAAUCUUGCAUUGGAGGUCUCUGUGAUGGUUUCAAUGUGCUUCGUUUGGGUGAUCGCCAUUUUUGGUUCUCUGUGGCCUCGAAUCGAGUGGGGCAUUUCAAUUUUGGCCUAAGAGAUCGCAUCUGGCCGGACUUUGUUUGUCACUUUCAUCUCCAUAGAGGUGCGAAUUCUACCCCUCCUCAGAUUAUGGGGUGGCAUGCAGAUGCUUGAGCUUAAUGAUUUGGCUUCUUCCCUGGGUCCGGCGAUUAAAUCUAAAUGGCUCACCAAUCAAUCUAAAGAUGUUAUUGAUCCCACAUCGUUACCAGUUUUCCAAAAUUUGGGGCUCGCUCCAUUGCCGACGGUAAGACAUUCCGGCGAGGGUUCUUUGCCGACGAUCACAUUUGGAAGUUUUUCGGGCCCGGAUUCUCAGGAGGAUAUCUCUCGUUUUCGUUUUGGGUCCAUCAAUGUACCGAUAUUGCCCGGAUCUCAUGUCACGUUGCCAUCUUUUCGGGGACAUCGGUUUUUUCACAAAGUUUGGGAUGAUAUUCCUGAGGAUACGCUUUUCCAUAUCCUUGAUGGAUGGCAGGCUGGAUAUGAUAACACCAGCAUUCAGCUCAUGGUGGGCCUCUCUUCUAUACCCUCAAAGGAAUAUAUCUAUGAACGGCUUAAGCACUGCUCUAACUGUGAUAGGUUUGGUCACUCGCCAUCAAUUUGUAUUGGUUUUUUCUGUCAAGCUUGUGGUGAUACAUCUGGAUCGUGCUCUUGUUCUUCGUCGAUCUCCGGCCAGGAUUCAAACCGAGCUGCUCACACCUCGUCUCGUCAUGAGCCAUGCAUAAUGGGCCGGUCUGAUCAUUCCGUCACCUGUUUGGCUUGCUCUGUUAUUGGCCACCGGACUGUGAACUGCCCUGGGCUGCUCCGAUGUUCCUUUUGUAACCAUCUUGGUCAUAGGGCCCAUAAGCCCACUCAUUCCCGCAGGCUUAAUAAUCUAGGUUGGGUACAAAUGUGACUACACGGAACUAAAUCGGCUGAGAUCCGGUCCCAGCAUAUCUCGGCAUCUUCUAAGAUGGAUAAUUCUGAGGUUGUUGGUGUGCCCUGUGUUUUUCGGAAACCACAGGCGUGUAUGGUCUGGGUUAAAAAACGGAAAAUCCCUUUGGACAUGGCUCCUUCCCAUUGCUUGUCGAUACGCCUCCCUUUUCCACGGGCAGUCAAUUCCACCAGCCAGAAUCACCAAUCGACCGCAGUAACAGCUCCCUCGAGCACACCACCUCUGCCAUCGCCUAAAACCACCGCCUGGGCUGUGCCGCCGCUCACCUUCGCCCCAGCCGGCUGCUCUUCGACACCUACGAUGGCUAACUUCCCGGUGCGCCCGUUCGCCUUUGCUCCUGAGGGUUCAACCUUUGACAGAGGCCCAGAUCACCGCGUGCAGCGCCAUGUCAUGGUGGUGGAUGACCCCCCGCUCAACCAUGAUAGGUACGCCAUUGUUUCUGUUCACCCUCCUGUCCCCGAUCAUCAGAAGGAGUUCUGGCUCGCAGAAGUUUGCCGCAUCAUCACCAUUAAUCCUGAGUAUGACCUGCUGGAUGAUUUUGUUUACCCGCUUGGUAUUGGGUGCGUGGUGUUUGCGGAUAUGGAGAGUAGAGAUGCUGCGAUUAGGGAAGGGCCCCAUGCUCUCACUGAUGACUCAAACUUUUCAUUAGUUCCGCACGACGAGAGCAUCAAUAUGCGCAUGCCUGCGUUUGAGUACGAAGUCUGGAUUAUGUUUCUUGCUUUUCCCAUGGAUUAUCAGACUGAACAAUAUAUUCACAAGGCAGUCUCCAAUUUCGGUAAACUUUUGGUUUGGCCGCAUCCGGGUCAGAACAAGGCUCGUGUUCUUGUCAAGUGCCACAUCAAAGAUGUUGCGGAAGUUCCUCAGAGUUUAUUGGUGACUCGAGUUGGUUUGUUGCCUGGUCUUGGACGCUCUUGGUCUGUUCCCGUGUAUGUGCUGAAUGGGAGAAACACUAUCCCUGGCUUGUUGGGCACGGAGGAAGCUCCUCCCCUCCUAAAUGCUUCUCCGCAUCCUUACGAAUUGCCAUUCUACACUCUCAUGCAGCAAGCCCGAAUUGAUGAGAUGGCUGCGCAAGACGCUCUGAAUGAAGCUGCCUGGAAAGCUACCUGGAAUGCUCCGGAGCCAAAGCAGGAAGAGCUGCAGGAGAAUGGAUGGCGAGCCUGGCCAGUCAUCCCCCCUCCCUAUUCUGGUUUCAGUUUCAGAAUUUUCUUUCAGUAUGAGGGGCCAUCUCUAAUGGAUGGAGUGGAUCCGGAACACAAUAUUCAAGAUAAUCGUCUGAUGUGUGGUCGUCUGAAGCUGAGAUUGAGGUAGUUGAAGCUCUCGCUGACCGUUUUGUCCUUGGUAACCCUACUGCACAAUUGGCCUUUGGCAGAGCUGGAGGUGAUGCUGUUAAUCUACUGAUUGUGAUGGAUAUGGAGUUCUUGACUUGGCUGGGUGGUAUGCUUAAACGCAUAUACACACGAACCCUUACAGAUGCACACAGAGGCAGUGUGAUGCUCCCGCUAAAUCCUUUUAGGGUCAUCCAGAAUCACUUCAAUUCCAUUGCUGUUGCCUAUGUGAUGAAUGUCGUUCCUGAGCCUGAUGUCAUGGCACGUAUCUUUAGUGAUCGUUUUCAGUCAGGAGUUUGUAUUGGUCCUCGUCUCUUGCUGCAAGGUGGCCCACAUGUUGCGGUUGAAACGGCAGUUAUGGAUUGGGAGGAGGCUGCCCACUCCCCUGGGCUCAAGGCAAUCUCUGCGCAAUUUGCUCCCGAGCCUGUGUGCACUGAACCCGCUCCUGCAGUCCGGAUGGGCCAUGGGUCUACUCUACAGAUGAUUGCCUCCUCGUCCUUGUUUGCUACCAGAGCUUCCAGUUGCACCAGGGUCCCCCUCGACACUACUGUUGUCAGAAGAAGUACGAGAUCCAACAAAUAUGAUGGCUUUAAGGUCAACCAGAUCUCUGACAACAGACAACCUAAGUCACGAGUGAAAGCUCAUGUGGUGCCAACAUUGCGUGCUAUUUCUAUGGCUGCUGCUCCUACUUCUUCAGCUGCCACUGCUUGCCCUGCCCCCACCUCUGUCGAAGAAAUUCAGCAGGUCGGCGCCCGGUGUGGUAUUCCUCCUGAAGAUCUCUCUGCCGAGAAACUGCUGGAUGACCAGUCGUCGGCUCCUGACGGCGGCAACUGAUCUUCGUCUUCGUCAUGAAUAAAUCUUGGAAUGUCUUGUCGUGGAACAUCAGAGGCAUAAACUCUCAUGGUAAACUUUUGGCUCUUAGGAACGCUAUUGAAUCUAGCGGGUGUUCGGUGCUAUGUAUCCAAGAAACUAAGCGCGAGUCCUUUGAUCUAGCUUUUAUUAAAAUGUUCUGUCCUAAGCGUUUCGAUAAAUUUGUCUUUGUGCCUUCGGUAGGUGCCUCUGGUGGCCUGAUUACUAUUUGGAACAGCUCUUUGUUUGUGGGCACACCGUGGCUUACGGAAUCUUUUGCUUUGGGGAUUUCUUUUGUUUCAACACAAUCGAAUGAAUCUUGGAAACUUGUCAAUGUCUAUGGCCCUUGUACUGGUCAGAAACGUGUGGAUUUUAGCUCUUGGCUUUUUGAUCUUCAUAUACCUGAUGAUGAGAACUGGCUAAUCCUCGGUGACUUUAACUUCAUCCGCUCACCGUCCAACCGAAACAAGCUAGGAGGAGACGCUAAUGAUAUGCUUCUGUUCAAUGAAAUAAUACGUGCACAGUCUCUGAUGGAACUGCCAGUUAAAGGCCAAUAGUUCACCUGGAGUAAUAUGCAGGCGACCCGCUGCUUGAGCAACUUGACUGGUUUUUCUCCUCCUCUAACUAGACCACGUCAUAUCCCAACACCAUGGUGCUGCCUCUGGGCAAACCUGUAUCUGAUCACACUCCUUGUGUUGUGGCUAUCGAAUCCAAAAUACCCAAAUCCAAACUCUUCUGAUUUGAGAACUAUUGGGUCAAUCAUGCAGGUUUCCUUGAUGUUGUUGCUGGCUCCUGGUCCAAACCAUGCUAUGCCCCUAAUUUUGCGGCCCUCGUCUGUAAGAAGCUCAAACACUUACGUUACGAUCUUAAACAUUGGAACCGGGGUAUUUCUAAUCUGAAGAUCAUGAUUCAGAACAGUAACGAGGCUCUUCUCAGGUUGGAUGAUAUUGAGGACAAGCGUCUCCUUGUCACCCAAGAAAAGAAUUUCAGGUGUAUUCUCAAAUCACAUCUCGCUUCUUUGUUGAAAUAUCAGAAUGAGUACUGGAGGAAAAGGUGCACUGUCAGAUACUUUUGGUUUGCCGACGAAAACACUAAACUCUUCCAGUCCCUUGCGACCGAGAGGUUUAGGCAUAACUCUAUUGCUAGCCUGAGAGAUGGGGAUACUAUCAUUAACGAUCAUGUUGGAAAAGAUGGGAUCCUUUAUAAAACAUACAAGGAUUGCUUGGGCACUUCUAAACCCACCUGUAUGCGUUUUGACCUCGCCCGGAUCAUCAGACGGGUCGAUGGCUUGGAGGAGCUGUCGGCGCCUUUCUCAAGAGGCGAGAUCGAUGCAGUCAUCAAAGAAAUGCCAGCUGAUAGAGCCCCUGGUCCGGAUGGUUUUAAUGGGUGUUUUCUUAAAAGCUGUUGGCCAAUCAUUAAAGAGGAUUUCUAUAAAUUGUGUGAGGAUUUUCAUGAGGGGAACUUGGAUAUUUCCAGCAUUAGCGAGGGGUAUAUCACCUUGAUCCCCAAGAUCUAUUCCCCGCAAACCGCUAAUGAGUACAGGCCAAUAACUCUGCUUAACUGCUGCCUCAAGAUCAUCACCAAGAUUUUGGCUAAUCGUCUGCAAAAAAUUAUUCUGAAAAUCAUCCAUAGGAAUCAAUAUGGAUUUCUUAAAGGGAAAACCAUUCAAGACUGUCUGGUGUGGACAUUUGAGUAUAUACAUCAAUGCCAGGCAUCCUCUCGACAGAUUAUACUGCUCAAACUUGACUUUGCCAAAGCCUUUGAUACAAUUGAACAUGCACCAAUGAUGGAAAUCAUGUGGCACAUGGGCUUUGAUGCCAAGUGGCUAGACUGGAUGAAAACCAUUUUUGGUUCAGGUGUCUCUUCUGUACUUCUCAAUGGAACUCUGGGCAGAAAGUUAUCUUGUAAAUGUAGGGUGAGGCAAGGAGACCCCCUAUCGCCACUAAUUUUUGUGCUCGCAGCUGAUCUUCUGCAAGUUGCGGUUAAUGAUGCGUUCGUUCAAGGGCUGUUGGACUUGCCAAUCCUGAAUAACCGCUGUGGUGACUACCCAGUAGUUCAAUACGUGGACGAUACCAUCUUAGUGAUGCCAGCCUAUCUUGAUCAAGCAACCUGCAUGAAAAUCAUUCUGGAGGACUAUGCCACUUCUGUUGGACUGAAGAUCAACUUCCAUAAAUCUACAUUGAUCCCCAUUAACAUAGAUCGGCCAUAUGUGAUUGAAUUGGCACAGGUUUUUGGUUGCACUGUUGGGAGUCUUCCGUUCACAUAUCUUGGCCUCCCCAUGGGCACGACUAGACCCACACUUCUGGAACUCAUGCCUCUAGUGCAUAAUGUGGAGAGAAAGAUGUCCACAGCUCUGUCCCUAAUGUCGUCCGGGGCCAAACUCACGUUGGUCAAUUCGGCAGUGACUUCGAUGCUGAUCUAUUCCAUGUGCAUGAUCAAACUGCAUCCUAGAGUGAUUGAACAUUUGGAUAAAUUGCGCAGGUACUGCCUUUGGGCUAAAAACUCUGAAGAUGGCGUUAAAAAUAACUCAUUGGCUGCCUGGGAGUUAGUCUGCAGACCAAAACACAAGGGUGGCCUGGGGGUUAUUGACAUCAAGAUGCAGAAUAUGGCCCUUCUCUUGAAGCAUCUCUUCAAAUUUUACAAUCAUGAUGAUGUACCCUGGGUGACCAUGAUUUGGGAUGUGUAUUAUACUGACAAGAUUCCGCACGCUGUGGAUCCGGUUGGUUCUUUCUGGUGGCGUGAUGUUCUGCAACUCUCUCACGUCUUCCGUGGGAUUACCACUGUCACGCUGGGAGACGGGUCCUCCUCCCUAUUUUGGAAAGAUGCCUGGUUCGGUACUGACCGCCAGGCCCCCCUCAUGGAGCUCUUCCCCCGAGCCUUCUCAUUCUGUUUGAAUGAAGAUGCAUCUGUCGCUGAUGUCCUCACGACCACGGACUCCAACUUACUCUUCCAUCUGCCACUGUCAACACAGGCCAGGGGAGAGGUUAGAGAGAUCCAACAGGGCUCGUUGCAUACAGCCUUGGAUAAUGAUCAAUAUGAUGCCUGGGAGUGCACCCUCGAUGGAACUUACUCCUCGAAGAAGUUUUAUGAACACUGUUUCAGGGAGGUUGUGGCGGACAAGGCCUUUAUCUGGCUCUAGAAAGCUAAAUACCCAAUCAAAUUCAAAAUGUUCGGGUGGCUGUUGCUAGUUGAUCGCCUGAACACAAGGAACAUGCUGAGACGUAGACAAUAUAAUGUGGCUAACAACGUUUAUACCUGCAUGCUUUGCCAAAUCCCACCUGAGGAAACAGUGGAACACCUAUUCUUCGCCUGCCCAUUUAGCCAGCGCUGCUGGGCCAAAGUUGGCAUGCUUUGGCCAGCGAUAGGAGACAGAAUCUCUUUGAUUCAUGGAGGCAGAGAAAGCUGGCACCAUCCUUUGUUUAUGGACAUAUUCUUGAUGGCAGCCUGGAGUCUGUGGAUGGAAAGGAACAAUGUUUAUUUCAGAGGGGUCCAACAUUCACUUGACUCAUGGCUUGCUAGAUUCAGAAAUUUGUUGUGCCUUCUAUUGCAUAGCUGUAGAGAGGAUCUCCAUCCCUACCUAAACGCUUACAUACAAAGCCUGUAACCUCCCUUGUAACACUUGCCUAGCUUUGUUUCUUCUGAGUUUGGCCGGGGGGCCACCAAAAACCCACUUGUAACCUUGAUGUAAAUGUUCCCUUGUGAGUAAUAGAAAGUCAGUGGGAGCCUCUCCCACUGUCGUUAACCGUAAAAAAAAGAGUAUGUGCAAGGCUAUUUAUUAAUUGAUAUGUUUUUCUUAUUCAUAAAUUGGCAAAGAGCCUAUCUGUGAGUUGUGGUAUCGAGCCUGAUGAAGAAGGCUCAGCUAGACUACGCCUUACCGCAAGGGGUUCCGUCACAACCUGUACUUACCGCAUGGACACGGACGGUCGCACACAAUUAUACUCGGUUGGGUGGAAGAGAUUCCUCGUUGGCAAGAAUCUUCGUGUUGGACAUGCCAUCCUAAUUACUAUUAGGAACACCCACCAUCCAGGCUUGAGGAUGAUGAUCGUCGUUGAUACAUCUAGAACUACAUAUGUGUGUGUGUGGCUAUAUCAUCUAAAACUACAUAUGAUGAUCGUCGUCGAUAUCAUCUAGAACUACAUAUGAUGAUCGUCGUCGAUAUCAUCUAGAACUACAUAUGAUGAUCGUCAUCGAUAUCACCUAGCAUUGCUUGAGGACGCAUGUUGACUAUAUAUGAAAUUGUUAUCUAGUACUCCCUCCAUUCCAAAUUACUCGUCGUGGUUUUAGUUCAAAUUUGAACUAAAACCACGAAGAGUAAUUUGGAAUGGAGGGAGUACUACCUAGUACCUAUAAUGCUUUAUGAAAUUGAUAUCUAGUAGUACCUAGUAUCUGGAAAUUGCAGUUUAUUGAAACUGAAACGGGGUAGGACGCGGUGGGAAAAUGAUGAAAGAUAUAGCAGUAGCGAGGGGCUAGGAAACCACCACAGCUAAUUAAUAGUAGCGCGUUCCAGAAAAGCGCUGCUGAUAUAGUCAACAGUAGUAGCGCGGGUGCGGACCGCGCUACUACUAACACUUAGCGUAGUGUCGUGGUAGUAGCGCAACUGCCCGCGCUGCUGAUAGCCUCAAAAUCCGUGCUACUACUAGGGUUUUCCCUAGUAGUGAGAGUGCUUAGAAUACAAGAUUAAGGACGGAUUUGUUUCUUUUUAAAUUUCUGUACGAAUCUGUAGCCAGCCUGCAAGUCAUGUAUACACUGUACUGACAAUGGAACCCACAGAGUACUUAAAAUACAAGAUUUCUCGGUUUGCAUGCAGGUUUAACGAGGGCAUUUGAUGGAGGACAGGAGGCGUGUUAAGCUAGGCAUGCAGCGGGCGGCACAAUACUAUUCGAUUUGACAGCGGGCGGCACAGUUCUUGAUACGGCUUUAAUGCAGAUGAGAGAGAGGGUAGCGGUUCCCGAAAUAUUGAACGGCCAAUGGUGCAUCCUCCUUCAAUUAGAAUCGUGAAUGCAUGAGGGAAGUAAUUGGAGGAAGACCGGGAAAAGAGGCAGCAUGAUGUGAAUGCAACGCAGUUUGCACUCAUAUAAAGGCGCCCCUCUGUUCCAAUGCAUCUACCACAUCGUACGCACCUAAGCACCUACACUAAGCGCAAAAGUGCUCACUCCAAACCCAUGAUAGCGAUGCGCGUGAGCGGCCAGCGGCUGUGCCAGAUGGUCCACGACGCCGGCCUGCGUCAUGCACCGAGGUUCAUCUCCAGACGGUGUUGGUGACCGGCUGGUGGAUGGCUAGCAUCGACGCCAGCUACGACUCUCAGUUGGACAAGAUGAUCAUUACCACCAUCAACAAGUUCACCGUCGUCAAGAAGCUCACGGACGACAUCGCCAUACUCCUCUAGCCCGCGCGCCCGGGCUCCUCAUUGCCUGUCACCCCAAUCGGCCUCCAUGGCUAGAACCUCUUUCAAGCACUGGUGGUCCUGCGACUGCCCGCCGAUGCAACGAAUAAUGUCCACCAGGAGGUCGUGCUCACCGCGAGGUGCCUCGCCCUGCAAGAAUUUGUCGACCUACACAUCCACGUGUACGAGUUAGUCGUGUACAUAGGUAUUGAUGUCUGCUAGAACUACGUCGGUAUUUCCCCAAAGAGGAAGGGAUGAUGUAGUAUAACGACGGUAGGUAUUUCCCUCAGUGAUGAGAUCAUGGUUAUCGAACCAAUAGGAGAACCUCGUCACACCAUGUAAACAUCACCUGCACACAAGUAACAAAAUACUUGCAACCCGACGUGUUAAAGGGGUUGUCAAUCCCUUUCGGGUAACGUGAGGUAAAAGUGGUAGAUAGGAUAAAUAGAUCGCGGAACAAAUAAAUUCCAGCAAGGUAUUUUUGUAUUUUCGGUUUAAUAGAUCUGAAAAUAAAUGCAAGGAAAAAAGAUCACAAGGGCAAAUAUGAUGAAAAGAGACCCGGGGGCCGUAGGUCUCACUAGUGGCUUCUCUCUAGAAAAAUAGCAAACAGUGGGAAAACAAUUACUGUUGGGAAAUUGAUAGAACUUCAAAUAAUCAUGACGAUAUCUAGGCAAUGAUCAUUACAUAGGCAUCACGUCCAAGAUUAGUAGACCGACUCCUGCCUGCAUCUACUACUAUUACUCCACACAUCGACCGCUAUCCAGCAUGCAUCUAGUGUAUUAAGUUCAUGAGAAAACGGAGUAAUGCAAUAAGAAUGAUGACAUGAUGUAGAUGAGAUCCAUUUAUCUAUUGCGGAGAUAUAGAUCUCAUCUUGUUAUCCUUAGUGGCAACGAUACAUAUGUGUCGGUUCCCCUUCUGUCACUGGGAUCAAGCACCGUAAGAUCGAACCCACUACAAAGCACCUCUUCCAAUUGCAAGAUAAAUAGAUCAAGUUGGCCAAACAAAACCCAAAUAUUGGAGAAGAAAUACGAGGCUAUAAGCAAUCAUGCAUAUAAGAGAUCAAAGAAGACUCAAAUAACUUUCAUGGAUAAAAACAUAGAUCAGAUCAUAAACUCAAAGUUCAUCAGAUCCCAACAAACACACUGCAAAAGGACUUACAUCAUAUGGAUAUCCAAGAGACCAUUGUAUUGAUAAUCAAGAGAGAGAGAGAGAGAGAGAAAGAGAGAGGGAGAGGAAGCCAUCUAGAUACUAACUAUGGACCCUGUAGGUCUACAAAGAACUACUCACACAUCAUCGGAGAGGCACCAAUGUAAGUUGUGAACCCCUCCAUGAUGGUGGCUAGAUUGGAUCUGGUGGUUCUGGACUCUACGACUGCUGGAAUUGAUUUUCGUAGACUCCCCUAGGGUUUAUGGAAUAUUUGGGUAUUUAUAGAGCAAAGAGGCAGUUCAGGGGGCACCCGAGGUGGGCAGCACCCACCUGGGCGCGUCUGGGCCUCUUGGCACGCCCUGGUGGGUGUUGCUCCCCUCGAGCAGCCCCCCGGGUGCUUCCUUGUCCCACUGGCUUUCUUCUGGCCCAAAAAAUCCCGCAGGACUUUUGUUGCGUUUGGACUCAGUUUGAUAUUGAUUUCCUGCAAUGUAAAAACAUGCAGAAAACACUAACUGUCACUGGGCACUAUGUCAAUAGGUUAGUACCAAAAAAUGAUAUAAAAUGACUAUAAAAUGAUUGUAAAACAUCCAAGAAUGAUAAUAUAACAGCAUGGAACAAUAAAAACCAUAUAUACGUUGGAGACAUAUCAGCAUCCCCAAGCUUAAUUCCUGCUCGUCCUCGAGUAGGUAAAUGAUAAAAAUAUAAUUUUUGAUGUGGAAUGUUGCCUAACAUGUUCAUCACGUUUCUUUUCUUUGUAGCAUGGACAUAUGGACUUUUAUACGAUUCAAAGCAAUAGUCUAGUUUUGACAUGAUGACUUUAAUACUCAAGCAUACCAACAACCAACCAUGUCUUUCAAAAUAUCAACACUAAAGCAAGUUAUCCCUAGCCCAUUAUGCUCAAUCAUUGAUCCAUUCAUGAAAUACACUCGAAUAUUAGCUACACCCAAUGCUCAAAUACGAUCAUAGUGCCCCUUAGUUGGUGCUUUUAUAAGAGAAGAUGGAGACUCAAAUUCAAAAUAAAAAUUGCAUAAGUAAAAGAAAGGCCCUUCACAGAAGGAAGUAGUGAUUUGUAGAGGUGCCAGAGCUCAGAGCUUAAAUUGGGAGAUAUUUUUUUAGGGGCAUACUUUUCCCACCAACGAAAAUGACUUGGAGCAUCCCACCACUUUCCAUGCUAGAUACAUCAUAGGCGGUUCCCAAACAGAAAAUAAAGUUUAUUCCUUUUUCCACCAUAACUUUCACUUUCCAUGGCUAACCGUAUCCACGGGUUCCCUCCAUACCAACACUUUCCAAGGAAUUUAUUAUUUGACAACAUAAAGUAAAUUCAUUAUUCAUUUCGAGACUGGGCAUCCCUAAUAACUUUGCCAUACUCUCGUGCAAUGACAAGUGAGUAAACACUCAUCGUGAGAAUAACACAUCUAGCAUGGAAAAUAUUGGCUACCCUUUACCGCUUCGCGAGUAGUAGAGCACACAAAAGAGAAAUUUAUUUUGAACAUUAGAGAUGGCACAUGCAAAUUUUCUUAGAACGGCAUGGAAAUACCGCAUAUAGGUAGGUAUAGUUGAAUCAUAUGGCAAAAGUGGUUUAAAGGAUUUUGGAUGCACAAGUAGUGAUCAUACUUAGCGCAAAAUGAAGGCUAGCAAAAAGAUUGAGAAGCGACCAACCAAAAAGCAAAAAAUCUCGUACCCAAGCAUUAAGCAUAAGUAACACCGAAUAAUGCACCAUAAGUAGGAUAUAAAUUUCAUUGCAUAACUAUUGACUUUCAUGCUUGCAUAGGGAAUCACAAACCUUAACAUCAAUAUUCUUACUAAAGCACAAUUACUCAUCAACAUGACUCACAUAUCAUAUCGUCACAUCUCAAAACCAUUACUAAGAAUCAGGUUUAUUUUGUCCAAUGAUCUUCAUGAAAGUUUUUAUUAUAUCCUCCUUGGAUAUCUAUCACUUUGGGACUAUUUUCAUAAGUUGCUUUUGAUAAGCUCAAACAAAUAUAAGUGAAGAUCAUGAGCAUAAUUUUUUUUCUUCCUCUCAAAAUAAUCUAAGUGAAGCAAGAGAGAAUUUCUUAAAAAUUUACUAACUCCCAAAUAAAUCUAAGUGAAGGAUGAGAGCAUUUCUUCAAAAUUAACAAAGCACACCGUGCUCAAAAAGAUAUAAGUGAAGUACUAGAGCAAAUCCAUGGCUCUAAAAAUUUAAGUGAAGCAUAGGAACAAGCAUAUAAUAAUUUUUGGCUCUAUUAAAAAGGUGUGUCCAGCAAGGAUUCAACACUUAAAACAUAAAUCAAAACAAGCAAAGACUCAUAUCAUGUGAUGAAUAAAAAUAUAGUUUCAAGUAAAAUACCGAUGGUUGUUAGAAGAAAGCGGGGAUGCCACUCGGGGGCAUCCCCAAGCUUAGUUGCUUGCUACUUCUUUGAAUAUUAUCUUGGGGUGCCUCGGGAAUCCCCAAGCUUAGCCUUUUUCUUAUCCUUAUUCCUUCACCCAUCGUAAGAUAACCCAAAACUUGAAAACUUCAAUCACACAAAACUCAAACAAAACCUUCGUGAGAUCCGUUAGUAUAAGAAACCAAACCACUACUAUAAGUACUGUAGAAAACCUAUUCUUAUUUUGUUUUUGCAUUAUAUAUACUGUAUUCCAACUUUCCUAUAGCAAAAACUCAUCAAAGAAAACCAUAGAAUCAUCAAAACAAGCACACAACGCAAAGAAAACAGAAUCUGUCAAAAACAGAAUAGCCUGUAGGAAUCUGAAAAUUUCGAAUACUUCUGUGACUCCAAAAAUUAUGAAAUAAGUUGGUGGAUGUGAGGAAUUUGUCUAUUAAUCCUCUGCAAAAAGAAUCAACUUAAAAGAUCUCUUAUGUAAAAAAAUGACAAAUAAUCUUGUGAGCACAAAAGUUUCUGUUUUUCAGCAAGAUCAAAUAAACUUUCACCCAUGUCUUCCCAAACGUCUUGCUUGGAAAAAACACUAACUAAAACACAAAAAACACAAUCAUAGCAGUAGCAUAAUUUUUCUAACACACAAGAACAGAAAGAAAAAAGCAAAAAUAAAAUGUAUUCAUUGGGUUGCCUCCCAACAAGCGCUAUCGUUUUACGCCCCUAGCUAGGCAUAACGCGUAGGGUCUAAGUUUUGUCACUCUUAUCCUUGUUUUCCUUGGAGGUAUUUGUGUCGGGAGGCUUCGUAAAUAAGACAUAAAACACAUUGUCCAUGGAAACCUUAGCACUAUCAAGUUGCUUUUUAUCAUAACCCCUUUCAUUUCCGACGGUGAUCCACGAAUAGUGUUGAUUAACAUCGCUAAAAACUUGUUGGGUCAUAUCUAGAACGGGGACUUGCUUUUUAAGAUUCUCAUCAAAGAUUUGGUUAUCUCCAAGCAAAUGUCUCAAACCAUAAUCACUAUUAUAAAGAAUUUCAUCAAUCACAGGUUUUUCACGAUUCAUGCCAUGAAAAUCAAAGAUUUCCCUAGCUUCCCAUAUUAUGAAGUCAAAUUCAUUCAUCAAAAAAGAGUGGCUAACUUUUUAGCUUUAGGAUCCUUUAUAACAGGCAACUCAUAAAACAAUCUUUGCAAGGUAGGAUGAGUACGAAUAAAUCUGGUUUCAAGUUUCAAAACAAGUGCCGAGAUAGCUUCCGCAUAAGAUUUAGUCCUUUUAAGUAUAGGGAUAUCAUCAAGACGUCAUUUUCCGACACAAUUGAAAAAUUCUUGUAUAUGUUCUUCUCCCAUAAAAUUUCCUUGCCCCAAAACAAAAGUUUUGGCAUCCAGAUUACCUGUAUGCUCCACUUUAGGAGAUAGGCCAUCAUCUGUUUCUGCCAUACAAAAGUCACUCAUGGUGACAAGUUAAAACAAAUAAAAGAUCUGACGAGAAAAUGGCGAACGGAAAAGAGGGCGAAUAAAACGGCAAAUGGUUGUGAAGUGGGGGAGAGGAAAAAGAGAGACAAAUGGAAAAUAAAGUAAAUUGCGAGGAGAUGAGAUUUGUGAUUAGAAACCUGGUUGAUGUUGAAGAUCCUCCCCGGCAACGACGCCAGAAAUUCCUUUUGAUGUCUGCUAGAACUACGUCGGUAUUUCCCCAAAGAGCAAGGGAUGAUGCAGUAUAUCAACCAUAGGUAUUUACCUUAGUGAUGAGACCAAGGUUAUCAAACCAGUAGGAGAACCUCCUCACACCACGUAAAUAGUACCUACACACAAAUAAAAAAUACUCGCAACCCGACGUGUUAAGGGGGUUGUCAAUCCCUUUCGAGUACGGCGCCUCAAGAUAGGCAAAUAACGUGAGGUAAAAGUGGUAGAUAGGAUAACUAGAUCGUAAAACAAAUUAAUUUAAGCAAGGUAUUUUGUAUUUUUGGUUUAAUAGAUCUGAAAAUAAAUGCAAGAAAAAAUAGAUCGCAAAAGAAAAUAUGAUGAAAAGAGACCCGGGGGCCAUAGGUUUCACUAGUGGCUUCUCUCGAGAAAAAUAGCAAAUGGUGGGAAAACAAUUACUGUUGGGCAAUUGAUAGAACUUCAAAUAAUCAUGACGAUAUCCAGGCAAUGAUCAUUACGUAGGCAUCACAUCCAAGAUUAGUAGACCGACUCCUGCCUGCAUCUACUACUAUUACUCCACACAUUGACCGCUAUCCAGCAUGCAUCUAGUGUAUUAAAAUUCAUGAGAAAACGGAGUAAUGCAAUAAGAACGAUGACAUGAUGUAGACGAGAUCCCUUUUGUAUAUUGCGGAGAUAUAGAUCUCAUCUUGUUAUCCUUAGUAGCAACGAUACAUACGUGUCGGUUCCCCUUCUGUCGCUGGGAUCAAGCACCGUAAGAUCGAACCCACUACAAGGCACCUCUUCCCAUUGCAAGAUAAAUAGAUCAAGUUGGACAAACAAAAACCAAAUAUCGGAGAAGAAAUACGAGGCUAUAAGCAAUCAUGCAUAUAAGAGAUCAAACAAGGCUCAAAUAACUUUCAUGGAUAAAAACAUAGAUCUGAUCAUAAACUCAAAGUUCAUCAGAUCCCAACAAACCCACCGCAAAAGGACUUACAUCAUAUGGAUCUCCAAGAGACCAUUGUAUUGAUAAUCAAUAGAGAGAGAGAGAGAUAGGAAUCCAUCUAGCUACUAACUACGGACCCGUAGGUCUACAAAGAACUACUCACGCAUCAUAGGAGAGGCACCAAUGGAAGUGGUGAACACCUCCAUGACGGUGUCUAGAUUGGAUCUGGUGGUUCUGGACUCUGCGGCGGCUGGAAUUGAUUUUCGUCCACUCCCCUAGGGUUUAUGGAAUAUUUGGAUAUUUAUAGAGCAAAGAGGUGGUUCAGGGUCCACCCGAGGUGGGCAGCGCCACAUGAUUAUACUUGAACGGCUCAAAUAAAAAAUAAGUUGUCUCGUUUUCCCUUCCGUCUUGGUCAUGGAGUAAGAUACUCCCUCCUUUUUUAUUUAAUCGGCAUAUUAGGUUUGACUGAAGUCAAACUUCAUAAAAUUUGACCAAUUUUUUAGAAAAAAUAUGAACAUUUACAAUAGGAAAUCUAUAUGAUGUGAAAAUAUAUUCAAUAAUGAAUCUAAUGGUAUUGAUUUGUUAUUGUAUAUGUUAUUAUUUCUGUCUAUAAACUUUGUCAAAGUUUACAAAGUUUGACUCUGAGCAAAGCUAAAAUGCGGAGUAAAUAAAAACAGAGGGAGUACGCAGGGACUAGUAUAGUUUCUACUGCGGAACAUGGUAACUCGGACCCCUAAAUGCGGGCACGGACCGGGCACACCUCAAUUAUUCCUACAACAGUCGGACACCUACAAUUGCACACCAUCUGGCUACUUAAUCAAGUGUUACACUUCAUUAGUUGAAAAGGAAAAGGGUGGUACCGUACCCAAAACUUCCACAAUUGGGGCUAGGGUAAGAACUUGGUACUGUACCACAUUUGAACCAGGGCACAAAAACCACCUGUUCUGCGCCUAAUGCCCAAUGCAGAGCACUGGCGCUUGAAUUUGGUCGGGAAAAUAAUGAAACGGACAUGUGGGGCACACCUGUCGGGAUGAUGUGGUGCAGACUAGUCCAAUGGAGGAGCUAGCCCACAACCUCCUCGCCACCGACAACCGUUCAUGUGGGUCGUGGGGGCCAGCAACGUGGUGCAGCUCCUACACCGCCUCUGGACACGGCGACCGCGGUGUGCGACACACUCAUUGUCACUGGACAUGGUCGGCUUCAGGGUGCCGAGGGUGGCGUUAGCGUUGUGGCACAACCAGCAGAUCAACACCCGGCUCGUCUAGGAUGCAUGGGGCGCUGAAGUGUGCGCGCGCUGCGACGCGUCCGCAGAGUGUUGUAACGCGGCCAACUGCAUUCCCAGGACCUGAGACCAUGAUGGUCCGUCUUGCUUUUUCAAUGACUUGUGGGGAUCGCAUGUGAGCAAAGGGCAUCUCCAACGUUGCCACGACCGCAAUUGACUACACUGGCACACAAAAAACCCUCGUCCCUCGCAUCAUCACGCAGUGCAACCCAGGUGGCGUCAGCUUCCUGCAUUCAUGCCGUCUGUCCAUAUGUCAUCAUUAAGAGGCUCGGUACCCGAGGAACCAACUCCGGUGACUUAAUGACGCAUCCGGACGCUUGGCCUCACCGGAAUGCGCUACUUAAAGCGGCAACUCCCAGCUAAACUCCACGCCAUAGCGCAUCGUCCUGCUAUCUGUUACCACGUCCGCCAUGACCGCGAGCGCGAACACUCUGUGGGAGAGCUUGUCUUCGGGGAUGAAGCUCAAGGUCGCCGCCCUCGCUCAACUCGCCGCUCGCAAUGCAAUAGCAGCGUAGUCGGACGCGGACGCGACCGCACAAGCGGUGGCCACGCUGGCGGCCGAUGAUGGGAGCACCGUCAGCCACACGUCCUACUUGCCGCCUUCCAACGUUCUAUGGCACAUGUGGCAGGUGAAGCGACGGACCGUCCACGUACAUCAUCAACGACCUCACGUCCACCUGCACCACCAAGGUUGUGGACUCCUCUGAGGAUGAGUAGGGCAUGGGAGGCAAUAGGGCAUGGUGUGCCAGCUGGUCGGUCUAUCUCUCGUGUUCUACUCUUCCUCGCCGGAGACCGCACCUUCACUUCACGGAUUUUGAACCACACCACCGUACAUGAAGAUCGCAGAUGGAGGAUGUCGGUCACCGUCAUAGAAUAGGUUAAGGGUCGGGUUUCUUUUAUUUUUCUGUCCUAUAAAAGUUCGAAAUGUAAUGAAAAUAUGUCAUUUUUCCAUGAAUCCGUUCCGGUGUAUAUGAACUUUCACAAUAAUAGUAAGAUAUAUUGUAGGAGUAUGAAAAUGUAUGGAAUGAUGAUUCGUUUUUGUGUGUAUAAACUUAGAAGGUUUGACCCGAGACAAAGCUAACAUGCGAAGUAAAUAAACAAAUAGGGUCUACUUCCCCAAUUUAUCUUAGGCACUCCAAUAGUACGUCCACUACACAUUCACGCAUUUCACAUCUUUCUACAUCUACGGGAACGUACGAAAGGGUUAACCUAAAUUGCCUCUCUCUCUCCCCCCUGAUUUUCAUGGUGGUGGGCCCCUCCCUCCCCCAAUCUCCAAUCAACAGCUCACACGUUUCACAUUAUGUUAAUUAUGUAACUGGGAUUACAUAGGUGUAGCAUUAGUCAUCCAAAAUAAACCAACUAAGCCAACCUCCCAGCAUAUCGCGCGGGAAAAGACCCGGCCGCACCAUAUUAGCCGGGAUUACCGGAUUACUAGUAGUAGUGUCGAUGGAUCGCGCGAAGCACCAAGUUUUUUUUGUUUUUUUGGGGCGGAGCACCAAGUUUAAAAGGAAAAAAGGCGGUAAGCUCACAGCACGGCGGCCACGGUCACAUGGUCGUUCCGGCACAUGGCUCACGCCAACGGAACGCGCUUCGGCUUGCCUCUUCACUGACACGUGAGACUGCACUUGGAGAAGCCGACCAUGCGCCAAACUCCCCAGCCUACCGCGUGAAAAUCCCCCCCCCCCUAAAAUUUCACACAAAUCCCAAAUUCGACCGCCCUUCGGUGAACUAGACAAUAAUAUUCCCAAACCCCCUCCCCUCGGCCCCCUCCACUCCAUUCGCUCUGCCAGAGCCGCCCUCCCCACCAUGCCGAUAUGUUGGCGCCGCGGUUCAUCGAGGGGACGCACGACGAUCCUCUCGCUCCCAUAGUACGCUCUCGUAGACUACUGUCCUCUAGCAGCGCCGCCACUGUUGGUGACGUUCUUCUGGAGACGCAUGGUGGUCAGCUUCUCCCACGGUACGCGCAUUCUAGAUUGAGGCCCCGUCCAUGUCGGAGUAGUGCUGAAUGUUAGCUAAUAUACGAUGUUAAUCUCACUAUUUGCCGAAGUAGUUUACAGUCAAUGUGCUCUGCUUAAGAAGCUUCCUUGCCCUGUUCUGCACUCAAUCUGCUUCUCUGAGAUGGCAUGCCAUGCCCUAUUAGUUGCUAAAAUAUCCUGCCAUAUAUUUAUUGUGACGUAGAUUGCCAUGGUCUAGUAGCCAAUCUGUUAGGUGAAAUAGCUCUACACUGUUUUAUACUCGAUCUUUGUUACUGAGGUGGCCUUCAAUGGCUGUGUGCUCGGCCUCAUUGACUGCUGAAACAGUCUGCCAUAAUUUAGCACUCAAAUUUGUUUGCUGAAUUAGCUUUACCAUAUAUUUCAUUACUUAGAUCUACUUGUCCAAAUAUCUUUCCAUAGCUUUAGACAUUGACCUAGGUAUUUUUUUCCUGGACUUCAUAAAAAAGCAUAUAUGUUUUUCCUGUAAUAUCUAGUAGAAGAACUAAUUUGUAUGUCUAACAGAUGGACAUGAAUUGGAUAACUUCUGCUCGAAGAUUCUCCGCUGCAUAUGUCGAGGGUUUGAAAACUUCAUGAACUUUAUCAGAGCUGAGUGUGGUGGUCCGAAAUCAGAUGUGCUCUGCCCGUGUAGCAGUUGUAUGAAUUCAGUUACAAGACCCCAGUCAACUGUGCAAAAUCAUCUACACUUGUAUGGGAUGUCAGUCACAUAUACUAGGUGGGUUCAUCAUGGUGAAGCUGUGAACGUCAAUGUUACUGACUAUGUGGAAGCAGCAAAUCACCAUCUUGAUCUGCCUGAUGCUCAGGUGGAAGAGGAGGACAAGGUGGUGGUGGCGGAGCCAGUGAGUUUCACCAACAUUGAAACAAUGCUACGAAAUGCUCGUGCAUUUCGUGAGCUUUCACCUGUAGAAGAAAAAUAGUGGGCCCGCUUGUUGGAACAAUGCAACGUGGUUGUCACCCUAGGAAAUAAGCUGUCAGUAUUCUCAGCUAUGGUCACCUUUCUUCAGGUGAAGACAUCUGAGCGGAUGACCAACAAAUCAUUCGAUGCAAUGUUGGCUGCUUUCCGCAAAUCUUUCCUAGAAGCAUCUGAGCUGCCACACACCUACAGUAAAAUGAAGAAUUUCCUUCGUGCAGUUGGAAUUGGAUAUGAUAUGAUCCAUGUUUGUACGAAUAAUUGUGUUCUGUUCCGGAAGGAUUAUGCCAACUUAAGUGAAUGCCCAAAAUGCAAAUCAUCAAGAUGGAAAGAUGGUGAUGCUAUGAAGAGGAUUCCUCAUAAUGUGCUGAGACAUUUUCCAAUUAUACCAAAAUUGCAGAGGUUGUUUCAUGAUGCUGAAACAAGAGAGGAUGUACUAUGGCAUUCUAGGAACUAGGAGCACAGAGAUCAGAAUGUAAUGAGCCAUCCAUCUCAUGGUAGUGAUUAGAAAAACUUCAAUCACAAACACCAAAAAUUUGCUGCUGACCCGAGAAAUAUGAGACUUGGCUUAGCUUCGGAUGGAUUUAACCCAUUUGGUCACCAGAGCGCCACAUAUAGCAUGUGGCUAGUGCUUGUUAUCCCUUACAACAUGCCUCCAAAUGUCUGCACCAAACAAUCAAACUACAUGAUGGCCUUGCUCAUCCCGGGUCCAAAAAGUCCUGGAAAGGAUUUUGAUUUAUUCAUGGAGCCUCUUGUGGAGGAACUUCAACAACUAUGGAGGGGUGUUCUCACUCGGGACCUAUAUAGUAGCCCACCAGCUGAUUUCUUUCUACGUGCUGUUAUAAUUUGGUGCAUCCAUGAUUAUCCGGCUUUGGGCACUAUGUCAGGGCGACGACAUAUGGUUACAAUGCAUGUGUUUAUUGUGACAGGAAUCCGCUGUCAUACGCAAUACUUAGCAAGAUCUGUUACAUUGGACACCAUCGUCUCCUUGCCAAGGACAAGCCGUGCCCUACAAAAUACUGAAGAUAUGUGUUCAAUGCAAAGCAUGAAAACCGUGAUGUGCCAAAGAGGCUCACCGCCGAUGAGUUGCAAGUGGAAUUAAAGAAGGUCAGGCAUAUUAAAUCAAGAAACCAUCCUUAUAAUGGUAGUGGGAAAAGGAAGCAUGGCAGGGCAGAAUAGAGAUUAUUGUUUACCCACAGGUCCACUUUGUGGGACUUGGAGUAUUGGAAAGAUUUGGAUCUGCAGCAUAAUCUUGAUGUGAUGCACAUCAAGACAAAUAUAUGUGACAACAUUAUUGGCACGCUUCUUAAUAUUGAAGGCAAGAUGAAAGAUACCUUAAAAUCUAGGAUUGAUUUGACACACCUGGUGUCAAAAAGGAUUUGCAGGUGCAAGAUGAAGGUAAACCACUAGAUAUGGCACCAGUUGUGUACGUCUUGGACAUGGUAAAAUAAGAAUUCUGCGAGGUCCUGUCACGUGUGAGAUUCCCACAUGGAUUUGCUUCCAACCCUGAAAGGAGAGUCAGUGCAGAUGGAAACAAGGUACAAGGGUUGAAAACUCAUGACUGCCACAUCCUACUUCAAAGGGUUUUACCUAUUAUCCUUAGAGGAUUGGGCCGCUAUGACUUAUAUAGAGUAGUUGCAGAGUUGGGACAAUUCUCCAGGGAACUCUGCAGUAGAAAUAUCAGGGUAGAUGCUUUGGAGCGUCUUGGAGACAAGAUACCAACUAUCAUAUGCGACCUUGAGAAGAUAUAUCCUCCAACCUUCUUUGAUGUGAUGGUGCAUUUGGUUGUUCAUCUACCUGAUGAGGCACUACUUAGAUGUUCGGUACAGUAUGUCUGGAUGUACCCUAUUGAAAGGCGGCUAGGCAUUUUCAAGGGCUAUGUUGGCAAUAGAGCUAGACCCGAGGGUUCCAUUGCAGAGGCCUACAUUGCUACAGAAGCGUUGACAUUCUGCUCAAAAUACAUUGAAACAGCUGAUCAGCUUAGCAAAGAGGAGGGUGAAGACAAUCCCGGGCUCAAUGUUUUCGAUUGUUCUAUUCGAGUUACAGGGAAGAGUCGUCAAGACGACAAACCUAAAGAUUAGGACAAAAUGGUUUGGUAUGUGUUGAAUAACUGUAAUGAGAUUCUACCUUAUAUCGAGUAAGUGCUAAGUACUGCAGCUUAUACAUUGUAAUCUACUAAACUGGUAGCACAUUCUUAUAUAUUUAGAUGUUUGACGCGAUCACUAUGUUGUGCAGCAUCUACAGAAAGGAGUUACUGCCACAAAAUCCAAGAAACAUUGACAAACUGGUUAUGGCAGGAUUUGCGAAAUGGUUCAAGAGCCAUGUAAGAUUUUGAAUUGCAUUGAGAAUUUUUCAAUAUAUUGAGUACAUCAGAUGAUCAGCUUGUCUAUUUUCUAACCAUAGGUUAAGAAGAUGCAGGAGGAUGGGCAGGCAGUUAAUGAUUCCCUUUAUGCACUAGCAAUGGGUCCUGAUACUCGGGUAAGACAUUAUGAAUCUUGCGUUGUUGGAGAUGUGCGCUACAACACCCUUGCACGCUACGGAGGUAGGAAGACACAAAACAGUGCCAUCAUGAGCAUGGAUACGUACGACAAAGAGACAACUGAGAUGUGUGCUAACUUAACAGACAUUGUUUAGUUGUAGUAUAUCUCCAGUUUCGACGUUCAUCAGUGUGUGGUUCAGUUGUGCUGUCGUUGGUAUAACCUGUUUUCCAGGAUCGCAAAAUCCAGAGCUGAUGAUUAUUUCAAAUCCAUCAACGUCAAGGUGGCGUACCAGACCGACGAGCCUUUUAUUUUGGCAAAUCAAGCAAUACAAUUAUUUUUCUUGGAAGAUACAUUUGCACGCAGUGAUGACUGGAGAGUAUUGCAAAGGUUUGAGCAUAGGAAUUCGUUUAAUGAGGUUGCACAACAAGAUCAUGCUUACACUGCUCCUGAUGUACAAGAUUCCACAAAUGUUCCUAAUAUCUUUGAGAACCAUCACGUCAAUGAUGCUGGCGAAAAUAUUACCUGUCGAGCUGUGGACAUACAAGAGUUGAUCAAGAAGAAGCCAACAUUCGAGGACAUUGAGGAUGAAGAAGAAGAUGACACUAUGGGGAAUUAUGAUUCAGACUGAUACACAUGAUAAAGAUGUUGACGCUGCUGCUGCGGAUGAUAAUUAGAUUGCUUUUGUCGUAUUUGCCUGUCAGAAAACGUUUUUUAUCUACUAUGUGAUAUUGUGCUUGCUAUGACAACUGAAACCUGAUGAACUUGUUGUUUAGUAUUUUGCUGUGAGAACAUCACUUAUUAUGUAUGUUGAUUUGUGUUUGGUGAUUGUAUGACGACUAAAACAUGGUGACAUUGUUGUUUAGUUGUACUCAUAUUUGGCUAUGAAACUUGAAUUUGAUGACAUAGUUUGUUAUUGGACUGCAAUUUGCUCGACGUCUUUGAAUGGGAACAAAGCUGACCCGACAGGGCCUCUGCUACUUUAUUUAUUUAUUAGCAAAAGGGCCUCUGCUAUUUAUUUAUUUAUGAGCAAAAGGGGAUACCCCCCGCUUUCUGUUACUAGAAAUCAUUAGAUGUUCACAACACUACGCCCAGCCUGCUAAACAGGUUUCAUUCAUUACUAGUUUCAACAAAGUGCUCAUGUCAUAGCCACUGAAUACAUCACGAGUGCUACAUACACUGCAAAAAAGAGACAAUCAUCCUACAGAGCACAUCGAUUUUGCCCAUUAUCUUCACAAGCUGUUUCAUCUCCUCAUUGUUGUCAAGGCCGUUCAGCAACUAUUUCUUGGCCAUGGUCAGAGGAACUGCCUCUUUAACCUUCUGCUAUGCAUGUUCCUCUUCUGUCGUUCCUUUAGUUACUUGUCCAACACCCCAACCUGCUGGUAUUGGGAUUCCUCGGCUAACCAAAUAAUCGGCAUGGUUGCAUUCCCCCACAUUAGCAACUUCCCAGAAAUACAAAUCACACGAAUCUCCCCUUUUUGCAAGAAUCAAAUUGGAAGAUCAUCAACUAAACUAUUAAAAAAAAUCAGCAACUGGAAGCAGCAGAACAACACUUAAACAUAUUAUUACCCCAUGAUUCGGGCAUUUGUAGAAGACUAAGCUAGGGUUGAGGAUUGUGGUUGAAACGCGACGGAUGACUGCGUGAUUUGCCGUAGUGGCACCAGACCAAUGGCAGCGAGUUGCGUUGAGCAACUGGCUGCGGUGCAUGUGCCGGCGAGGGUGUGAUGACACCCACAGGCGAUGGUACACGUGGUGACUUGGCGCAUAUCUGGUUGUUGCCUGCUGAAGAGCAGGUGGACGAGCAACCAACGGACAUGGUUGCUGCGGCCAGAGCUCCUGAUGCUAGGCAGAGUAAGUAGAGAAGAGGAGAAGCGAACGUUGGAUAUGUUAGUUUCAUUACUUGCAGAGUAGCAUAGCACCAUAUAUAGUCAUAGUCUAGGUUUGGAUUCGAACCAGCUACAGGAGCACGUCACUCUUUUUUCAAAACUCAGCAACGUCUCUUUACUGGUACACUAGCUUGUUCUGUACACCUUCUCAAGUCUUUAAUUUUCUUUCAUAUUUUUUGCGAGGAAGGAAGGAGGAAAAAAUUGAGAGUUCCACCUUCGUUCGCUCGCCGCGGUGCUGCCCUUCGGUUUUGUCAACAUGGUCAACAAUUGAGAGGAAUAAGGAGAUGACUGUACAUGGUGAGGAUGACAGUACGGACCCACCAGGAUCAUGGAAGUAGGCAAGCAAGUGCCUCCUUUAUUACAAGAAAAAGGGGUUCCUCCUGAUGGUUUCCUGACAUCUGGGUCGCACGCCACUGUCAAUGUAGUCAAUAAGCGAGAUGAUUACAUAAGGAGCGGCAAACACCCGGGACCCAGUAGCCUGUGUAGUAAUUCUUUUUGUUUUCGGGACGGAGAAGGGUAUCAAUUGUGUUGUGUGGGAGCUGUGGCCCGUCUAGCCCACGCUUUUAUUUCAUAUGUUUACCACAUGACCAGCCCAGUUUUUUUUCCUUUCUGAAAAUGGUUAGCCCAGUUAUUUUUGUUUUUUGCAGAAUAACCAACAUAGGCCUACUUGCUUUAUGCCCUGCUGGGCCGGAAAUCAUUCAAGACAAGGAGAGAUGCAUUUUGGCUUGCCCAGAGAAUGGGCUAUAAGUAAUAAGGAAUGGGUUGUAAAAUGAAAAAAAUACAACAAAUAGGCAAUUAAUUUCAAAAUACUUUUUUCUUUCUGAUUUUGAUAUUUCAAAUUUCAUUGUUUUUGUGCGGGUAAAAUUUCUUUGGAUUUAAAUUAAUGUAUGUUUAGUUUUUAAAUUAAUUUGAAUCUGGCUAGAAAUUUUGGGUUGUAUGCUGUUUGGGACAGAUUUGGAGGCUGACUUGUGAGCUACUAGGUUGACGUGUAUGAAAGGCUUUGUCAACUUAGUCCACAAACGAUACUAGUAGCAGUGACCGUGGGAUGUUAAUCCAACGGCCGUGCUGCUUCUUCAAUAUCUGCUCUUCUUGCUCCAGCCGCCCAAACCAGCGCAGAUGGGACUGCCUGCUCCUGCCUCCCAAGGUGGCUGUGCUGCCGCACAGGCCGCACUGACUCACCCUACUCCAUCGCUGGCCAGGCCAUUCCUCUACUCACCCACACCUCUUGUUAUUUUCCAGAUAUGGCAGCCGAACCAGUAAACCCUCGUACUCCCCACCGCGUGGGAAACCACUGUGAUAAUCCCCAAGUGCAGGGAAUCAUCGUACCAAAUCCCAAAGGUGGAAGUGAUAAGUUUGGAGUGUCGAACCCACAAGGAGCUAAAGGUAAGAUCAAUGUUCUCUCAAGUCCUAUCUGCCACUGAUACGACUCUACGUACACCAAACAUUUGCUUCCAACUAGAAACCAGAAAUAAAACUACGUUGUGGGUAUGAAGAGGAUAACUUUGUAUGAUAUGGGAGAGCUAAAAUAUAAAAGUAGGUGCUGUUAUCAUAAAGUUAGAAUAAAUUACUAAAUAUUAUAAAUAGCGAGUGUGGAAUAAUGAUUGGUCGGUGUGCGGAAUUAUCCUAGGCAAUUGUUAACAAGUCCGGUAAUCACUAUUGCAAUUUUGUAUGAGGGAGAGGCAUAAGCUAACAUACUUUCUCUUCUUGGAUAAUUGCACUUAUGAUUGGAACUCUAGCAAGCAUCCGCAACUACUAAAGAUCAUUAAGGUAAAACCCAACCAUAGCAUUAACAUAUCAAGUCCCCUUUAUCCCAUACGCAACAACCCCCUUACUCGGGUUUAUGCUUCUGUCAAUCAAGCAACCCACUAUAAGCGAAUCAUGAACGUAUUGUAACACCCUAUAGAGGGAAUCCCUCAUGCUUGCGCGACACCGAGGGCACAAUAGGACAACACCAAAAUAAAACAUACAAUUCAUACAAAUCUAGAUUAUCAAUCAACCCAAAUACAAAGGAUAUCUACUCAAAACAUCAUAGGAUGGCAACACAUCAUUGGAUCAUAAUAUGUGGCAUAAAGCACCAUGUUCAAGUAGGGAUCACAGCGGGGUGCAGGAGAGUGGACCGCGUCAAAGAGAUGAGGAUGGUGAUGAUGAUGGUGAUGUUGAUGAAGAUGAUCACCACGGCGAUGAUUCGUCUCCCGAUGGCACUCCGGCGCCAGCAGGAGAGAGGAGGAGAGGUUCUCUCCCUUGUGCUUCUUCCUUAAUGUCCUCCCCCUGGUUGGGGAGAUGUCCCCCCUCUGGUCCUUGGCCUUCAGAGCGAUGAUGGCCCCUCCGAGAUCCUUCCCCUCGGCCUACAGUGAUGAUGGCCCCCUCCGGUAGGGUGCCAGAGAGGGCCUAGAUUGAUUUCUCAUGGCUACAGAGGCUUGUGGCGGUGGAACUUCCGAUCUAGGUUAUUUUCUGGAGGUUUGGAUAUUUAUAGAAGAGGUUGGCGUCGAGAACAAGUCGGGGGGACCCACGAGGAGUCCACAAGGCACAGGGGCGCGCCCCAAGGGGUGGGUGCGCCCCAGGGGGUGGGCGCGCCCCCCACCCUCAUGGGCCCCGACUCCUCUCCGAUAACUUUUUGUUCCAGUAUUUUUUAUAUUUCUAGAAAAAAUCUCCGUUGAUUUUCAGCACAUUCCGAGAACUUCUAUUUCUGCACAAAAAACAACACCACGGUAGUUCUGCUGAAAACAACGUCAGUCCUGGUUAGUUCUAAUCAAAUCAUACCAAAAUCAUAUAAAACUAUUGUAAACAUGGCAUGAAUACUUCAUAAAUUAUAGAUACGUUGGAUAUGUAUCAGCAUCCCCAAGCUUAAUUCCUGCUCGUCCUCGAGUAGGUGAAUGAUAAAAGAAAUAAUUUAUGAAGUUUGAAUGCUAGCAAGUGUUGAAGUUUGAUCAAUGACAGUUCCAAUCACUUUUUCUAGCAUCAUUAUAUAUCAUAACAGUAUCUCAACUCAUAAAACUUCUCAUGAUCAAGUAACAAGCUAUCCACAUGUUAAAGUAUAGAUCAUAAACUUUCUUGAAAACUAACAAACCAUGCUCUUAGUCAUCUGACAAUUGCAAUUCAUCUUAUUUUUGGGAAGGGUCUAUGUAAGGGCUUUGAUUCAGCAAACUCCACAUACUCAACUAUUAGUUAAUCUUUCACAAUUGCUAACACUCAUGUGAUAUUUAUGGGUUCAAAGUUUCAAUCGGACACAGAGAAAGAUAGGGGCUUAUAGUUUCGCCUCCCAACCUUUUACCUCAAGGGUAAUGUCAACAAUAAUAAUUUAUGAAAACCUACAUCCAAGUGGGUAUAUAUAUCCGGAUCGCUCCAACAAAAAGUGCUUGCCAAAGGAAAAAGUGUAAAAGGAAAGGUGAUGAUCACCAUGACUCUUUAAUAAGGGUAGAAGAUAAAAGUAAAAGAUAGGCCCUUCGUAGAGGGAAGCAGAGGUUAUCAUGCGCUUUUAUGGUUGGAUGCACAAAAUCUUAAUGCAAAAGAACGUCACUUUAUAUUGCCGCUUGUGAUAAAGACCUUUAUUAUGUAGUCCAUCGCUUUUAUUUCUCCCCUAUCCCAAGUUUGUAUAAAGCUUAUUUUCUUCACACUAAUAGAUCAUACAUAUUUAAGGAGCAAUUUUUAUUUCAUGCACGAUGACAACUUACUUGAAGGAUCUUACUCAAUCCAUAGGUAGGUAUGGUGGACUCUCAUGGCAAAACUGGUUUAAGGGAUGUUUGGAAGCACAAGUAGUAUCUCUACUUGGUGCAAAGAAUUUGUCUAGCAUGAGAGGGAAAGGCAAGCUCAACAUGUUGUAUGAUCCAAGACAAUAUAACGUUUUGGAUAUAGGAAAACAUAAUCCAUUAAGUUGUCUUCCUUGUCCAACAUCAACAUUUUAGCAAGUCAUAUUUUAAUGAGUGCUCACAAUUACGAAAGAUGUCCAAGAUAGUAUAUUUAUAUGUGAAAUCUCUCUUCCUUCAAUAUUCUUUCAUGAAUUGUUCAACUGACCAAUUCUGCGUUUGCUAACUUUUAAUAAGUUUACUACCUAUACUUAUUAUGUGUGAAGUCAUUACUCCCCAUGUUAUAAGCAUAUGAAACAUAUAUAAAUUCAGAUUUAUGAUAUUCAAUUCAUUCAACCAUUUACUCAUAAGAUAUACGUGAAGCACGUGAGUAAAUGACAAACUACUCCAAAAAGAUAUAAAUGAAGAACAAUGAGUAGUCAAAUAAUAAACUAGCCAUGGGAGGUUCUUUUUCAUUCAAGAUUUCAGAUCCAAUGAUUUUAUUCAAAACAGCAAGUAAAAUUGAAAAUACGCUCCAAUCAAAACACAUAUCAUGUGACGAAUAAAAAUAUAGCUCCAAGUAUGGUAUACCGAUAGUUUUGAAGACGAAAGAGGAGAUGUCUUCUGGGGCAUCCCCAAGCUUAGGCGCUUGAGUCUUCCUUAAAUAUUACCUUGGGGUACCUUGGGCAUCCCCAAUCUUAGGGUCUUUCCACUCCUUAUUCUCCUCAUAUCGAUAUCUCACCCAAAACUUGAAAACUUCAAUCACACAAAACUUAACGGAACUUUGUGAGAUGGGUAAAUCAUUCACUUUGGUACUAUCAAAGACAAGAUUCAUAAUUGUUCUCACAAAAUGCCUACUGUACCAUAUCAUUUCUAAAAUUUAUAUUGAGAAAUAUAAGCCAUAGAAACUAGAAAACAAGCAAACUAUAAAAUGAAAACAGAAUCUGUCAGAAACAGAACAGUCUGUAAUGAUCUGAAUAACAACCAUACUUCUGCUACUCCAAAAAUUAUUAAAUAAAUUGGUGGACGUGAGGUAAUAUUCUUCAAAAAGAAUCAACUCAAAAGCACUCUUCUGUAAAAAAAUUGACCGCUAAUCUCGUGAGUCCAAAGUUUCUGUUUUUUACAGCAAGAUCACAUUAACUUUCACCCAAGUCUUCCCAAAGGUCUUACUUGGCACUUUAUUGAAACAAAAGCUAUAAAACAUGAUUACUACAAUAGCUUAAUCAUGUGAAGACACAAAAACAGUAAGUGUAAAUAUUGGGUUAUCUCCCAACAAGCGCUUUUCUUCAAUGCCUUUUAGCCAGGCAUGAUGAUUUCAAUGGUGCUCACAUAAAAGAUAAGAAUUAAAACAUAAAGAGAGCAUCAUGAAGAAUAUGACUAGCACAUUUAAACCUAACCCACUUCCUAUGCCUAGGGAUUUUGUGAGCACACAAUUUAGGAACAAUAAUCAACUAGCAUAGGUAGGCAAAACAAGUAUAACUUCAAAACUUCAGGCACGUAGAGAGGAAACUUGAUAUUAUUGCAACUCCUACAAGCAUAUAUUCCUCCAUCAUAAUAAUUUUCAGUAGGAUCAUGAAUGAGUUCACCAAUAUAACCAUCACAUAAAGCAUUCUUUUCAUGAUCUACAAGCAUAGAAAAUUUUCUACUCUCCACAUAAGCAAAAAUUCUUCUCAUUCGGAAUAGUGGGAGCAAACUCAACAAAAUAACUGCCAUGUGAGGCAUAAUCCAAUUGAAAAUUAAAAUCAUGAUGACAAGUUUCAUGGUUAACAUUAUUCUUUAUAGCAUACAUGUCAUCACAACAAGCAUCAUAGAUAGCAACUUUGUUCUCAUAAUCAAUUGGAACCUCUUCGAAAUAGUGGAAUCACUACUAACUAAAGUUGACACUCUUCCAAAUCCACUUUCAUAGAUAUCACACUAAUAUUAAACAUCCUCCAAAAUAGUGGGAUCGUUAUUUCCUAAAGUUGACACUCUUCCAAACCCACUUUCCAUGAUAGUCUUAUUCAUACUCCAAAAAAUAUAAGUUAAGUUCAUGGAGCAUUCUACAAUCAAUAUAUACUCCCACCGUCCCAAAAUAAGUGUCUCAACUUUGUACUAGCUCUAGUACAAAUUUGUAUUAAGCUCAAGACACUUAUUUUGGGACGGAGGGAGUACUAACCAAUAUCCAAGCUCAAAAUAUAUAAGUGAAGCACACGAAGCAUUCUAUAAAACCAUACUCAAAAGAUUUAAGUGAAGAAGGGCUAUCUCAUACUAGCAUGGUUCCUAAAGAAAAAGAAAAACACAAAGCACACAAAUCAUGCGAACAAAACAAAAACCGAGGUAUACCGAUAAUUGUUGAAGAAGAAAGAUGGGAUGCCAACCGGGGCAUCCCCAAGCUUAGAUGCUUGAGUAUUCUUGAAAUUUUACUUGGGGUGCCUUGGGCAUCCCCAAGCUUGAACCCUUGCCUCUCUUUAUUCUUUUUGCAUCAGUAACUCCUCGUUCUUCGUACACUUCAUCCACACAAAACUUAACGAAAACUUUGUGAGAUCCGUUAGUAUAAUAAAGCAAAUCACUACCUUUAGGUACUGUUGAAAACUCAUUUAAAUUUAAUAUUAGCACUUUAUCUACUGUAUUCCAACUUCACCAUGGUUCAUAUCCCCCGAUACUACCCAUAGAUUCAUCAAAAUAAGCAAUCAACACAUAGAAAAUAGAAUCUGUCAAAAACAGGACAGUCUGUAGUAAUCUAGAAAUUUAGUAAACUUCUGUAACUCCAAAAACUUCUAAAAAAAUAUGAAAUUUUAAAAAAAUUGUACAAAAGUAAUGUGAAAAAAAAUUCUGACCCAUUUGACUUUCCAGUAAAAAAAUGUAAAUUCAUGCGCUACAGCCAAAGUUUCUAUUUUUGUACUGCACAAAGUAAACAAGCAAUCUAAUCAUCAUAAAACCAAAGCUUGGCACAUUAUUUUUAUAAUACAAUGGAUAUAUACAAGGGGAUAAUUAUUUACAGAUAAACUUCCAUGAAAAAUUCUACAUUGUUUCCAUGAGCAUGAACACAAGUGUUCAAGGUCGACCCUCACUUCUCCAAUGUAUAACUUUCCAAUCACUUCUCUUUUUGAAAAACUUUGUAUGCAUAUGAGGCAAGUGAAUCUUUUGGUAUUUUAACUUUUUAAUUUUUUUCGUAUGUUUAACCCACAACUAAGAAAAAAAAGGGAAAACAAAAACUACAUAGUGAAGAAAGUAACCAAGCACACACGAGAAUAUCAACCCCACUCUAUUGCUCCCAGCAACAACGCCAGAAAAGAGCUUGAUUAUCCCCAAGUGCAGGGAUUCAUCGUAGCAAUUCCCAAAGGUUGAUGUGGUAAGUAUGGAGUGUCGAACCCAUAAGGAGAUAAAGGUAAGAUCAAUAUUCUCUCAAGUCCUAUCUGCCACUGAUACGACUCUACGUACACCGAACGUUUGCUUCCAACUAGAAACGAGAAAUAAAACUAUGUUGUGGGUAUGAAGAGGAUAAAUUUGUAUGAUAUAGGAGAGCUAAAAUAUAAAAGUAGGUGCUGUUAUCAUAAAGUUAGAAUAAAUUAUUAAAUAUUAUAAAUAGCGAGUGUGGAAUAGUGAUGGGUCGGUGCGCGGAAUUUUCCUAGGCAAUUGUUAACAAGACCGGUAAUCACUAUUGCAAUUUCAUAUGAGGGAGAGGCAUAAGCUAACAUACUUUCUAUUCUUGGAUCAUAUGCACUUAUGAUUGGAACUCUAGCAAGCAUCUGCAAUUACAAAAGAUCACUAAGGUAAAACCCAACCAUAUCAUUAACAUAUCAAGUCCCUUUAUCCCAUACGCAACAAUCCCCUUACUCGGGUUUAUGCUUCUGUCACUCAAGCAACCCACUAUAAUCGAAUCAUGAACAUAUUGCAACACCCUACAGAGAGAAUCCCUCAUGACUCCGCGAGACGGAGGGCAAAAUAGGACAGCACCAAAAUAAAACAAAUAAUUCAUACCAAUCUAGAUCAUCAAUCAACCCAAAGACAAAGGAUAUCUACUCAAAACAUCAUAGGAUGGCAACACAUCAUUGGAUCAUAAUAUGUGGCAUAAAGCACCAUGUUCAAGUAGGGAUUACAGCGGGGUGCGGGAGAGUGGACCGCAUAAAAGGGAUGAGGAUGGUGAUGUUGAUAAAGACGAUCACCAUGGCGAUGAUUCCCCUCCCGAUGGCACUCCGGCGCCACCGGGAGAGAGGAGGAUAGGUUCUCCCCCUUGUGCUUCUUACUCCAUGGCCUCCCCCUAGUUGGGGAGAUGCCCCCCCUCUGGUCCUUGCCCUUCAUAGCGAUGAUGGACCCUCCGAGAUCCUUCCCCAUGGCCUCCGGUGAUGAUGGCCCCUCCGGCAGGGUGCCAGAGAGGGCCUAGAUUGAUUUCUCGUGGCUACAAAGGCUUGCGGCAGCGGAACUUCCGAUCUAGGUUAUUUUCUGGAGGUUUGGGUAUUUAUAGAAGAGGUUGGCGUCGAGAACAAGUCAUGGGGACCCAUGAGGAGUCCACAAGGCACAGGGGCGCGCCCCCCACCCUCGUGGUCCCCACGGGACUCCUCUCCGAUAACUUUUUGUUUGAGUAUUUUUUAUAUUUUCCAAAAAAAAUCUCCAUUGAUUUUCAGCGCAUUCCGAGAACUUUUAUUUCUGCACAAAAAACAACACCAUGGUAGUUCUGCUAAAAAUAGCGUCAGUUCGGGUUAGUUCUAAUCAAAUCAUACCAAAAUCAUAUAAAACUAUUGUAAACAUGGCAUGAAUACUUCAUAAAUUAUAGAUACGUUGGAUACGUAUCACACUGUCGAGUCUUCCCAGGCUCCAGGUCGUUCCCUUCCUAGGCCUCGCCGUUGUCCACCGCCCUGGUGCUCUCGGCGUGGCGUGGUCAACGUGGUCAACGAACAACAUCCAUUGGAAGAGGACUGUAUGUGGAGAGGCCGACUAUAGGGUCCACGACCGCACGCAAGGAAGUGCCUCCUUAUUACGCGCAAAAUAAUUAUUCCUCCACCUGACAGUUGGGACCCACUGGAAGGGCCUCUAUAUUUCGCGGAACUAAUGUUCCUCCCACUGACAGCUCAGUCCCACCAGCUAUAUCUUCGCACGCAAGGUAGUGCCUCCUUAUUAUGCGAAAAAAAUGAAUACUCCCCCUGCUAGUUGGGACCCACCAUAGUGGGAGGCUAACUUGUGGGCCUACUAAGUUUACACGGACGGAGGGCUUUGUCAACUUAGUCAAUAUGAACGAUUCUAGCUCCCGUGACCAUACUAUGUCCAUCCAACGGCCGUAGUGCUUUUCAACCUCUGGUCUUCUUGCUCCAGCCGCCCAAACCAGCGCCAGUCGUGCCGCCUGCUCCUGCCUCCCAUGGACGGCUCUGCUGCCACGCAGGCCUCACCGCCCCACUCUACUCCAUCCUAUGGCCAGGCCAUCCCUCUACUCACCCACAACCCCUAUUAUUUUGCGGUGACGGCAGCCUCACACCACAGCCGAACCAGUCAACCCUCAUACUCCUCUCCGCGUGGGCAUCCACUGCCACGUCUUCCCUGGCUCCGCGUCGUCCCCUUCCUAGGCCUCGCCGUCGUCCACCGCCUUGGUUCUCUCGGUGCGGCAUGGUCAAUGUGGUCAAGGAACAACUUCCAUUGGAAGAGUACUAUAUGUGGAGAGGCUGACAGCUGGGUCCACGACCGCAGCAAGGAAAUGCCUCCUUAUUACGCACAAAAUAAUUAUUCCUCCACCUGACAGCAGGGACCCAUCGGACGUGUCACCAUAUUUUGCGAAAAAACGUUCCCCCUGACUUCUGGGACCCACCAGCUACAUCUUCACACGCAAGGAAGUGCGUGACAUUCGAGACCCACCUGGUCGAAGCAUACAUAGCGUUGUCAUUCUAGUCGCGAACGUGUACGUCCAUACUGUCGAUCGGUCUGUCUGUAGGCUGUAGCGAUGAACCGUGACCAAGUAAGUAAGGGCACGUGUCGUAGUAGAGGCACGCACGUGUCGUAGUAGAGGCGCACAUGUAGCAUGUACACGUACGUACAGCCAGGGUGCAAGAAAGUAAAUAUGGCCACGUACGUACAUACGGGCGGGGUCUGAACGCCUGCUCACGCAUACGUACGGCCAGGGCUCGUGUACAUGAAGAGGCAGCGACGACGUCUGAUAACCCACAAGAAUAGGGGAUCGCAACAGUUUUUGAGGGUAAGUAUUUAACCCAAAUUUAUAGAUUUGACACAAGGGGAGCCAAAGAAUAUUUGAAGGUAUUAGCAUCUGAGUUGUCAAUUCAACCACACUUGGAGAUUAAUUAUCUGCAGCAAAGUGAUUAGUAGCAUAGUAGUAUGAUAGUUUUGAUGAUAUCAGCAUUAGUAGUGGUAACGAUAACAGUGGUAACAGUGAUAUUGUAGUUGUAACGGUAUCAGUAGCAAUAGUAGUAACUUAGCGAGAACAAUAUGAGAUAAAUUCGUAGGCAUUGGAUCGGUGACUUGUUGGAUGUUAUUCAUCAUGUGAUAGUUAUAAACUAGGGCGAUACGGCACUAGCUCCAGUUCAUCGAUACAAUGUAGGCAUGUAUUCCGUAAAUAGUCAUACGUGCUUUAUUAAAAGAACUUGCAUGGCAUCUUUUGUCCUACCCUCCCGUGGCAGCGGGGUCCAUAUUGGAAACUCAGGGAUAUUAAGGCCUCCUUUUAAUAGAGAACCGGAACAAAGCAUUAACUCAUAGUGAAUACAUGAACUCCUCAAACUGUGGUCAUCAUCGAGAGUGGGCCCGGUUGUUGUCACUGCGGGGUUGUCGGCUCAUAACAUGUAAUAGGUGACUAUAACUUGCAAGAUCGAAUCUAACACAUGGAUAUAAUGAUGAAUUCAUAAAUGGUUCAGAUCUGAAAUCAUGGCACCCGGGCCCAAAGUGACAAGCAUUAAGCAUAGCAAAGUCAUAGCCACAUCAAUCUAAGAACAUAGUGGAUACUAGGGAUCAAUCCCUAACAAAACUAACUGGAUUACAUGAUGAAUCUCAUCCAACUCCUCACCGACCAGCGAGCCUACGAAGGAAUUACUCACUCCCGAUUGGGAGCAUCAUGGAAUUGGCGAUAGAGAUGGGUUGGUGAUGAUGAAGAAUGAAGACCCCCCUCUCCAGAGCCCCAAAUGGACUCCAGAUCUACCCUCCUGAGGAAGAACAGGGCUUGGUGGCGGCUCCGUCCCGUGGAUCGCGAUAAUUGUUUCUCCCUGAUUUUUUCUGGAAUAAUGUGAUUUUAUAGUAUCAUGGGGAUCAUCAAUGGGGCCACUAGGUGGGUACAACCCACCUGGGCACGCCAGGAGAGGGGCCGCGCCCUGGUGGGUUGUGCCCACCCAUCCAAAAAUCCUCUUUAAUUCCAUAAAAAUUCCUUGCAAAGUUUCGUUCCAUUCCGAGAACUUUUAUUUUUGCACAAAAACAACACCAUGGUAGUUCUGCUAAAAACAGCAUCAGUCCGGGGUUAGUUUCAUUCAAAUCAUGCAAAUUAGAGUCCAAAAUAAGAGGAAAAGCGUGAGAAAAAGGUCGAUACAUUGGAGACGUAUCAACUCCCCCAAGCUUAAACCAUUGCUUGUCCUCAAGCAAUUCAGUUGAUAAACUGAAAGUGAGAAAGAAAAACUUCUACGAACUCUUUUGCUCUAGUUUGCAUAAAUAAGCUUAAACAACACCUAGGUUUGUAGCCAACAUUAUUACUAACCAUGUCAACAAUAACAUUUAAAGAUUAUAAUGACUCAUGUCAAUGACAUAAUCAGCUAGCGAGCAAUAACAAAAUAUCUCAAACAGCAACACAUUGUCAAAACAACAGUGAUAUAAUAUGACAAUAGUGGUAUCUCUCUAGCCCUUUUUGAGACCGCAAAACAUAAAUGCAGAGCACCUCCAAAGUUCAAGCAGCGACUAAACAUUGUAAUUCAUGGUAGAAAAGAUCCAGUCAUGAUGCACCUAACAUGAGCUACACAUAAUGCAUAAAUCAUACCCGAUGUGCUCUACUCAGUUUCUGGCGCUUGUUUUAGAAGGUGGUGAGACAACAUAAAAGUAAAUAGAUAGUCCCUUCGCAGAGGGAAGCAGUGAUUUGCAGAGGUGCCAGAGCUCAAUUUUUAAAACAGAUAUAAAUGAUAUUUUGAGACAUGCACUCUUCCUAUUCACUUCACGAUCAUCAUUUAUCAAUAUCUUCCAUGCUAAGCAUGCUAGUGGCAAUUCCCAAGUGGAAAUGUAAAGGUUUUGACUCCAUUGGGAGGUUUUUGUUUGAUUAUUUCAGAGAUGAACUCUUUUUCAUGUUUGCAGUUUGGGACUGGGCAUCCCUAUUACCGCUCAUUUUCUCAUGCGAUGGCGAGUGAAUAAACACUCGAUCUGAGAAUAACCCGCUUAGCAUGGAAGAUAUUGACCACCUCCUGUCGUUCUAUGAACAAUCCAGAUACACAAAAAGGAUAAUUUUUUAGAAGUUUUUAGAGGUGGCACAUGCAAAUUUACUUAGGACAGCAGGGUAAUACCGCAUAUAGGUAGGUAUGGUGGACUCAUCUGGAAUAACUUUGGGUUCAAGGUUUUUGAUGUACAAGCAGAGUUCCCACUUAGUACAGGUGAAUGCUAGCAAUUUAGAUUGAGAAGCGGCCAGCUAGAGAGCAACAACUAUCAUAACCAUGCAUUAUGCAUAAGUAACAUUGGACACUAGAAUGAGUAGGAUAUGAACACCAUGAACAUAAAUAUCAUAGAGGUUAUGUUGGUUUUGAUUCAACUACAUGCAUGAACAUGUGCCAAGUCAAGCCACUCGAACAUUCAGAGGAGGAUACCAUAUCAUCAUAAUACAUCACAAUCAUUUCAACGCUAUGUUGAUAUCCAAGAUAAAUCAUUAUCAACUCUCAGCUUCUUAUGCAUGGCAUGAGAAACUAUAAUCUCUAAUUAUCAUUCCAAACAUGUUUAAUCAUAAUGGUCUGAAUCAUGGAUACUAGGUUAAACAUAUUUACAAAAAACAGAACAAGUCGAGUCCAUACCAGUUUCUCCCUGCCACAGCCAGUUCAUCGGAUGUCGUCAUUAUUGCCCUUCACUUGCACGACCGAAUGAUAUGAAAAUAAUAAUGGUGCAAGAAUGCCAUGGACUAAGCUGGAUUCUGCAAACAUUUUAUUCAAUAGGAGAAGAUAAGGUAAAAUGUCCUCUUAUUAGUUCAACAAUUAUUCGUAUGAGAGCCACUCAACAUUUUCAUCGUGGUCUUCUCCUUGGUAAGACUCGAAUAAAAAGAAAAGAACUUCAGAGAAAUACAUUGAAAUAUUUUUGGAGUUAUUGAUUUUCUAGAAUGGGCAAAUAAAAAGGGAAAGCGAAAACGAGAAAAAACAUUUACACGGGAAAGCUCCCAACAAACAAAAGAAGAACAAGGAAAUCUUUUUGGAUUUUCUUUUUUAAUACUAAUACUAAGCAUGCAUAGAAAGUAAACUAGCUACAACUAUUUUUUUGUUUUUUCUAAAGUUUUUCAAACACACAAGAAGAAAGAAAGAAAGAAAAAUCUAAGCAUGGAUAAUACAAUGAAAAAGUGUGAACACCGACAAAUGAAGUAUGCGGACAUGAAUGUUUGGACGGUGAAAACACAUACUCCCCCAAGCUUAGACUUUUGGCCUAACUUGGUAAUCGAUCAGUAGCCUGGAGGGUAGAAGGGGUGCUGAGGAGCAGGCAUCCACUUAUCCCAGUGCUGAGGCUCCUCAUGUGCUGCCUCUGUAGCAGCCUGAGCGUUCCGGUAGGCAAUGAUGUCUGCAGGCAUAAUCCUGUAUCCGCCCCUAGCAAUAGGAUCAAACAAAGCAGGAGUAGGCAACAGAAUAAUUUCAUGAGUCUUUACACUAAAAACCAGGUUAUACGGAAUAUGGAUGUUAGGAGAUCUGUCAUCAGUAAAAUGGUGGUGAUCCAUGGCUGCUCGGUCUAGGUAAACCCUGGUCAGAGGGUAGUCAUGAGGGAGUAUCUCAACCUCAAAGUGAGCCACCAAACGAGUAGCAAAAAUCCCACCAUGUAUUUGACCCUGAGAUUUAUUAAGAUGCAGACGACGAGCCACAAUAGCUCCCAAGCUAUAAGUGUUGUCACCCUCCAGUGCGCGGCGUAAAACAGCAAAGUCUGGUGCAGUGAGCGCGCCUACUUUCUUUCCAGCAAGCAGACACUUAGCAACAAAUAAAGAAAAAUAAUGUACCGCACGAAAGUCUAAGCUAGCAGUCGUGGUGGCCGACACUCCUCUCUCAUCUCCCACCGUCAAAGUGCGAUAAAAGGCCUCAAACUCGACCGGCCUAGGCUCAGCCAAGCCCCCAUCAGAAGGGAUCAUGCAUAUGUUACAAAAUUCAGUGAGUGGUAUCUGAUGAUUUUUAGCAUAUAAAUCAAAGCUCACUUCAGGAGGAUUAUUCCUAGGCAGGAAAGUAAAACUUUCAACAAAGAUGUUUGUGAGGAUUUGGUGCUGAUCACACUCAUCUGCAAUGAAGUUGGUGAGGCCGGCAUUAGCAAUAUAUUGCAUGAACUCCUCAAAAAUUCCAUCCUCUUGUAGAAAUGGGAUGUGCGGCUAUUCGCACGGUCGUACUUCCGCCAACCUCCGAGGGUGGAGAUCACUGUCAGAAGACUCCCUAAUAACACCCUUGGAGUUCUUCCUCGAGCCAAACUUUCUGAAGAUAUUCAUGUUCGCGUACAAUUUCUGAAAAAUAAUAAUUUUGAGGUGACAAAAAUUUGUCAACAAAACUUCACAAAAUUGAUAGCAACUAAUCCUAGGGAUACAUAGAGGCCAUAGAAAGCAUUCAAACUACUUAGAACACUAAGAAUUCAUCAUGCAAGCUCAUCUACAACACCACCAAGAGUAGCUAAUUAUUAAAAGUAUAAACCACUAAAACAGAAACUAAUUGGACAAGUGGUGGAGUCACAUACCAAGCAACAAUCCCCCGAAACAGUUUCAAAAACGGAGGUUCGAGCUAAGAGAUCGAAAUCCGCGGGUUUGAGCUCAAGAACAUGGAAGAGAGCAAUGGGGAUUUUUUUCUAGAGGUAAGUGAUGAUGUGGGCUAAAGAGAUAAAUGAGGGGGGGGCACGUGGGGACCACAACCCACCAGGGCACGCCAGGGAGUCCUGGCGCGCCGAGGUGGGUUGUGCCCACCUGGUGCACCUCCCUCUGGUAUUAUUUGCACCAAAAAUUCUUAAAUAUUCAGAAAAAAAUCAUAUCAGGUUUUCAUAACAUUCUGAGAACUUUUAUUUUUGGGUCAUUUUUUAUUGCACGGGAAAUUCAGAAAACAGACAAACCAUGGAAUUUUAUUUUAUUUAACUAAUAAAAGCAGAAAACAAAAGGUAGGGACAGAAGGUAGUGCUUACUAAAUUCAUCAACUUCAUACCGUUCAAAAAUGAUUCAUUAAUAAGGUUGAUCAAGUCUUAUUAACAACCACUUUCGAUUGGCAUGAAACCGAAGAACUUUCGUAAAUCACUAAGUUACCUCAAUGGGGAUAUGCAUUUCCCCAACAAUAAGCAUUUCAUAUUUCUUUUUGACAGUAGGUAGAGGUAUUUUAAACUUCCAAUAGUGUUUGUCGGAGAUUUUUCAAUAACAUUAAUACCAUUCACUUGGAAUUGUUUCUUAGAAAAGUGCACCAUAUGCUCAUUACCAUAAUAUGAAAAGUGACUUCGCUUUGAUUGCAAUCAAUAACAACCCCUACAGUAUUCAAGAAGGGUCUACCAAGGAUAAUCGACAUGUUGCUGUCCUCUGGCAUCUCAAGUAUAACAAAGUCAGUCAAAAUAGUGACAUUAGCAAGAACAACGGGCACAUCCUCAAAGAUACGAUAGGUAUGAAAGUUGAUUUGUCAGCAAUUUGCAAAGAUAUUUCAGUAGGUGUGAUUUUAUUCAAGUCAAGUUUUUUAUAUAAAUAGAAAGGCAUAACACUAACACCAGGUCCUAAAUCAAGCGAGUGCGCAAAAAGAUUGGCCUCAGGAUCUCAGCAAAGCGUUCAAAUUCUUCAUCAUCCUUCUUUUAGUUGACUUGGGUGGAAAAGGCAUAGGUUUUUGAACCCACGGUUCUCUUUCUUUACCGUGUUUUCUAGCAACAAAGUCUCUUUUAUCAUAUCUUUUAUUCUUAGGUUGUGGGUUAUCAAGAUCAACAGCUGGUUCUAUCUCAACAUCAUUAUCUGGUUCCUUAUCAUUAUUUGGUUGAUUGUCUUCAUGAACCUCAUCAUUGUCUUUUUCAUUAUCACUAGGUGGAUGUUCAUUACCAGAUUGAGUUUCAGCACCAGAGAUAGAAGUUUCAUUUUCAUUAUCAGGAGGUUUGUCUAUUUCAGGUUCACUAGAAGCAUGCAAAGUCCUAUCAUUUUUCUUUUUAUUUUUAUUUUUAGAAGGACUAAGUGCAUUAGCAUUAGCUCUUUGUGCAUCUUGUUCAAUUCUUUUUGGGUGUCCCUCAGGAUAAAGUGGUUCCUGAGUCAUUUUACCUCCUCUAGUUGCAACUCUAACAGCAAAGUCAUGUAUAUUAUAAUUCAUUUCAUCAAGUAAUUCUCUUUCUGAUUUAGCAACUUGUUCUAACUAGGUUUGAACCAUAGAAGCAUGUUUUCCAACACCUCUAACACCAUUUGAGAUUCUAUAUAACAAGUCACUCAAGCGAGCAAUCAUAUCAGAAUUAUAUUUCAAUUGUUUCAUAACAUUUGCAUUAAAGUGAUCUUGCUUUCCAAUGUAAUUGUAAAACUCAUGAAGGCAUUGACUAGGAUGUUUAUUAUGAGGAUCAUCACUAUCAUUGAAUUUCAUUAAAGUUUUUACCUCUACCACCUUAGGUGGUGGUGGUGCUUCAAGCCCAUGUAUUUCUUCGAUAGGUGGUAAAUUUUUAACAUCCUCGGCCUUAACACCUUUUUCCUUCAUAGAUUUCUUUGCCUCUUGCAUAUCUUCAGGACUAAGAUAUAAGAUACCCCUGUUCUUCAGAGUGGGUUUUGGCGGUGGUUCAGGAAUAGUCCAAUCAUCAUAAUUUUUCAAUAUGUUAUUCAAUAAUGCUUCAGCUUGAGCAAUAGUUUGUUCCCUGAAAACACACUCAACACAACUAUCUAGGAAGUCCCUAGAAGCAUCGGUUAGUCCAUUAUAGAAGAUAUCAAGUAUUUCAUUUUUCUUAAGAGGGUGAUCAGGCAAAGCAUUAAGUAACUGGCAAAGCCUCCCCCAAGCUUGUGGGAGACUCUCUUCUUUAGUUUGAACAAAGUUAAGUAUUUCCUAUAAGGUAGCUUGUUUCUUAUGAGCAGGAAAAUAUUUUUCAGAGAAGUAGUAAAUCAUAUCCUGGUGACUACGCACACAACCAGGAGUAAGAGUAUUGUACCAAGAUUUAGCAUCACCCUUUAAUGAGAAAGGAAAUAAUUUGAGAAUAAAGUAGUAUCAAGUUUUCUCAUCAUGAGUAAAAAGGGUGGCUAUAUCAUUCAACUUAGUAAGAUGUGCUACAACAAUUUCAGUUUCAUAACCAUGGAAAGGAUCAGAUUCAACCAAAGUAAUCAACUCUGGGUCGACAGAGAAUUCAUAAUCCUUAUCAGCAAUAGCAAUAGGUGAAGUAGCAAACUUAGGAUCACAUUUCAUUCUAGCAUUCAGAGAUUUUUCUUUAUACUUGUGUAAUAAUUUCUCUAGACCAUCUCUAUGCUUACAAGCAAGAAUAUCUCUAGUUGCCUCUUCACUCAUAACAUAGCCUUCCGGUACCUUAGGCAAUCAUAUCUAGGAGGGCUAGCUCUAGCAAGUGUUUCCGGAGUUUCAGUUUCAAGAUCAUCAUCAGAUUCAACAACAUCAUGUUGUAUUACUCAGGCAAUUUGUUCAUCAAGAAAUUCACCAAGUGGCACAUCAUCAUUAUCAAGAAUGGUACUAGCAUCAUGAUAAGCAUCAUUCAUAGUAUAAGUAGCAUCAUCAAUAACUUGCGACAUAUCAAAAUUAAUAGCAUGUGGUGGUGGUGUUGCAAGUUUACUCAUAAUAGAAGGUGAAUCUGCAAAUCUAGGUUUACUGGCCAUGAAAAAACCUCCUGUCAAGUCCUAUUUUCGCUCUGCUUCUUCGUCUGGCCAUGCUAAGAGGCUCAGAUUUGAUGCAUUCAUGAAGUAUGAUGCUUGUAAGGGUUAUCGUUAUUGCCCUUCUGCUGACGAAGUUUUGACUGUUCACGAGGCUGGUUAUAUAGUUGACUCUCAUGCAAACUCGGCCACCCCAACGCCGGGCACCCCUCCAUUACCAACCUCGGUGCCGGCCAGCUCGUCUCUGCUCUCACCGCUGAUGACAAUUUAGUUUGGAUCCUUUCCACCAUCCCCGGGAUCGGUUGGUUCGUUGAGCGGUAACCCCAGAUCUCCCGGGAUCUCAAACUCCCCUGGGCCCAUUCCAAUAGUUACCAUCCGGGACAGCCCUAGCACUCCUUCAAUUGCUUUGGGCCUGGCCCAUGGAUCCUCCUUGGACAGCCCAAUUAUGUUAUCUGAUGAUGAUUCGCUUGACAUUCCAUCUCCGGCUUGUUUUCCGUCACCACACGAGAUUGUGGACGAUUUGCAGAGUUUCAAUGAGAUGAUUGAGGAUUUUGCAGUAAAAUACCGGGAUUGUCAACAUUGUCCGGGUAUGGGACAUCUCUCCGAUACGUGCACGAACCGUGUACGCUGCAUAUUGUGUUUUCUGUCUGGUCACGUUAAGAAAGACUGCCCUAGUAUUAAUGCUGGUUCCACUGUUUGGGUCCCUAAAGUCACGUCGCCAGUUUCAAGCCUCGCGCUUUGACAGAACCCCUCCCCAGUGCUUCGGGUCCGCAGCCAUCACUGCUCAACUCCCCCUCCUCCCCUCCACAGAACCAAUCCUCCCAAGAACCCCAAUCGCCACCACAAUCGCCGAUUGCAGCUGACACACCACCAAUGGUAGUCUACGAGCUUGAUCCUCGGCGAUUUCUACCUACUAGCCAUGACAUCAUAGAUGGGGGGCAGAGCGUCUGCCACAAACCUACUACACUCGGAUGCAGGCUCCCCCUAGAGCUCACAACCAGUUCAUGGUGGCCAUCGUCGAACCUCUGCCGCUGGCGCAUUUGGUGGCCAUUAAACGAGAGAAAGUGCUCCACUUCUUGCAAGAUGAUCUCCAGGUGAUUGUUCACUCUGCUCAGACCUCAUUCCAGGGGGUUGGCUUAUUUGAGGUGGCUAGUCCUAUGACGAGAUCUUGGUUUACUCAGCAUCCUCCAUUUCCCAUGGGCUUAGAUGAAGACGGCAAUGAGUUCUUUGUGCGGUUCAUACCACAUAACCAGGGGGAGGGUUUUAGGGCCAUACAUGGGCACAUAAUAGGAUGGUUAAUGUUUAUCGGAGUACCUUUGGAUUAUAGGAAUACCAAUACUUGUCUGAUGUUGUUAGCACUUUUGGUCAGUUUCACUACUGGGAUGAGCCGGAUUGGCGUCUUGUUAGGUCUUUGGUAUAUGCUUCUUUUCCGGAUAACAAUAUGGUACCUCGAUCUGUGGUUUUUCGUGAAUAUGAAAAUUGGGGAGGUACUAUCGUCUCUUGGUUUGCUGAAGGUUACAUCCUCACUGACAACUUUGCUGAAGCCAUGCUGGGUGCUGACGAAGAUCCCAUGCCCCUGGAUGGAAACCCUCAUCCUAUGCCAGGUCAUGUGCCACCGCAGCCUUUUUGGGGAAUGCCACCUUUUCCUGCUUUGGGAUGGGACAUUGUUCCUGCAAAUGGCUCGAAUCAACAUGUUCCUAACUAGCACAAUGCUUGGGGCGCUAAGCAACUGGAGCAACAUAAUGAACCAGAGCAAAACGCUGAAGGUUGGGGCCCCUGGGAUGCAGUUGUGGAUGCUUAGAAUGUUCAACAGCAUGAGCCUGAAGUGCAAGUUGCUCAAGAUCAGAACUCCAUGGUGUUAAAUCCUUCCCUGGGGUCCAACAGCUCCUCUGAUAGCCAGCAAGGAGACGUCAAAGUUGUCCAGCACGUUGUGGUACAGGAGAAUUUGGAAUGGUAAAUUGUUCCCUACCUCCCUCCAGUUGUCCACCCCCCGAUUGUUAAUUUUGAUCCAAUUCAUCUCGGUAUUGUCAGGGUGGUGUUUGGACCUGUUUUGCCACCUGCCAUGGUGUGGGAAAGAACUUUCAGAAAUCUCUUGCCUGAUUUUGAGGUUCACAACAUACAUAGGCCAGUUUGUCUCUCUGUGCUCCCACCUGAUGUUUUGCCUAUGAGGAUUUGUCCACAAGAGUUUGAGCAAUCUUUGCAGUCUUUGAUUGGCAAGAAUACUGAUGGGAAAUUUGAGGUCUCUGCAAACCAAGAGGAUUUACAUGUGGACUUCUCUAUGGAUUCAGUGCAGGAGGAUGAUUUUGAGUUUACCUCCAAAACACCCUCCCUGUUGGGAAAGCAUAAGCGUGGUCAUUGUCCGGGAGACAAGCUGGUCCUAUACCCAGAGGAUUUUUCCACCAGAAGAAUGACACAUUGUUGUGCCAAGAAACUUGGCUUUAAACCUACCUCUGCAAUUCCCAACAAGCCUUCUGCUCUUUGGCGACCUAGAGCUAAAAAGCCUAGGUAUGAUUCUGUUUCUCAGGAGGAGAGCCCGUCUUCCGUGGCGGCGAAAGACAAUGGUUCAGACUCGGCAGUUCCACCACCAACCCCAAUUCGUCUCAUGCAGCACAUUGGGGGCAUCUCUAGGGAUCUCACCGGAGAAGCUCACUAAGGACAAGCUUAUGGCAAGUCCUCAGGAAGAAGACCAGCCCAAGGAUCAUGAUGAUAAGUGAAGCUCCAAGCAGUAUGUUCGGCGGGAAUGUUUUGUCGUUCCUUUUUUGCUGCGUGCUUUAUGUCUGUUAGUCCUUUCUUUCGUAUUUCCAGUCUGAACUCCCCUAUGUUUAUCUCUGUCAUGAGUCGUGGUCUUCCUAUGAUCUUUGCACUAUCAGAACUUGUUCCGUGUCUGAACUUCAGUUAGCAAUUUUCCUGUAUGACUAUGUCGAUAGUUAUCUCCUCUGUUAUGAAGUAGAGAUGUUUGGUUACUUUCUAUUAUUUUUCAUGGAUAAUCCCCUCUUUCGUAAUUGGAAGGUUCUGUGCUGGAAUGUGCAUGGUUUAAAUUCUAAGAAACGCCAGAGGGAUGUUCGUGCUAAGAUUGAGGAAAGUAAUUGUUCCAUAGUCUGUCUACAAGAAACAAAGUGUGAAUCUUUUAACCUCAAGUUUAUCCGUCAAUUUUGCUCUAGGAGAUUCGAUAAUUUUGCGUUUGCUCCCUCGCCAGGGGCAUCUGGAGGCAUUUUGGUGGUAUGGAAUUUUGCCAUUUUUUCAGGUUAUCUCAUAGAAAUUCAGCGCUUCUCUGUGGUGGUCUCAUUUACUUUGGUUCACAAUUCUGAAGUUUGGACAUUGGUUUCUAUGUAUGGCCCAUGCGAUGGCCCUUUGCGUGAUGAUUUUGUGCACUGGUUAUACCACCUUCAGAUACCCGUUGAUGAUAACUGGCUCUUGCUGGGGGUUUUAAAUUUUAUCAGGUCUUUGGAAAAUAGGAAUCUACCUAGUGGCAAUGUGAAUGAUAUCUUUUUGUUUAAUGAGAUUAUUGGGCAUCUUGGUUUAUUGGAACUGCCACUGAAGGGUAGGGCUUAUACUUGGUUUAAUAUGCAACAACAACCUCUACUUGAACAGUUGGAUUGGUUCUUCAUGACUAGCUCAUGGAUUACCUUAUACCCUAACACGGUUGUUCUUCCCCUUGCUCGCACUGGCUCUGAUCAUAUUCCUUGUGUGGUCUCGAUUCACACCACCAUCCCAUGGGGUAAGGUUUUUCGUUUUGAAAACUAUUGGGUGGAUUUGCCUGGUUUUAUGGAGUGUGUCACGGCCUCAUGGAAUGCUCCUAUAUCUUGCUCUGGUUUGGCGGCUGUUGUUAUUUUUAAAAAGUUCAAGCGUCUUAGGAGUGACCUUAAGAGAUGGCACAUUAAUAUUGCCUCCAUAAAGAAAGUUAUUCUUAACUACUCUAAAGUGAUCCUAUGUUUGGAUACUCUGGAAGAGUGUAGGCCCCUCACUAUUCCUGAGUUUAACUUCAGGAAACUUGUCAAGCUCCACCGUGAGGAUUUGCUAAGGUAUAUUUACUAGAAGCAAUGCUGCACUAUUUGUUACAUUAAAGUUGGAGAGGAAAACUCUAAAUUUUUCCAUGCCAUGGCGUCUGAAAGGCUCUGGAAAACAGUAUUGCCAGUCUGGUGUAUGAUGAAGGUGUUAUUGUUCAUGAUCAUGACCAAAUGGCUGGAGUUCUUUGGCACUCUUUCAAAUCCAGGAUGGGCCAAACUAGGGGCAUUCAAAUGGGCUUUUGUCUUGCUGAUCUGAUCCAUCCCAUCGAUGGCCUGCAUGAUCUUUCAAGGCCUUUCUCACAAGCAGAAAUUGAUACGGUUUUGAAGGAAUUGCCAACGGAUAGGGCUCCUGGACCUGAUGGGUUUAAUGGUCUAUUUGUUAAGAAAUGCUAGCCCAUUAUUCAAAAGGAUUUUUUGAACUUGAUAGAUCAAUUUGUUGCUGGCUCUGUGGAUGUUGGGUUCCGUCUAACCCUUAAGGUUCAAACUCUGGGGUGCGCGCGAAGAUCUCUCCCCUGCCGAUCCACGUCCCAACGCCUUGCUAAGAAUCCAAGCUAACCGAUGAACAACACGAGGGACACGAGAUUUAUACUGGUUCAGGCCACCAUUGUGGUGUAAUACCCUACUCCAGUGUGUGGUGUGUGGAUUGCCUCAGGGGCUAGUGAUGAACAGUACAAAGGAAGAACAUCCUCACGAGGGGAGUUCUUGUGGUGGUUUUCUACUUGGGAAGGAUUCGAUCCCAACCUGCUCAAGAUGAGCCUCCGUUUGAGAUCCGUUCCUCCCAAACUGGUUGAGUUGUCCUCCUACUGUGGUGGCUAGUCCUAUAUAUAGAGGCCCUGGUCCUCUUCCCAAAUAUUGAGCGGGAAGGGCGCCAACAACGGCCAUUUUGAAGGGCAACAUCUAGUACAACUUAUCCUGACUAAAGUUGGCCUUCGACUGCCAAAGGCUCUGGUGAUGACGCCGUCUUGGGCUCCACGGUGACCUCCAUCCUGUUGCUUUGCUAGUCUUGGUCUCGUUGCACUAGAAUGGCAACCUUUACUUGAUGCCUCGGUACUCCGCGCCCUGCGCUUGCCCCCUUUGCACCAAAGAGGAAACAAGGACACUGCACAGGACGGCGCCCACCUGGCGCCCGCCUCGUCUCGAUCGUCAUGGCUUGCGUCAUGAGCACCUCACGAGGUACCCUUGCCUUGAUCUCUCUGCCCCCUCGUGAGCCUGCCUGGUGAGGCCGCUCCUGAGGAAGCCUCCUGUCGUCCGCCCCGCGAGGCUUGGCCCCUCGCGAGGGUCUUGAGCUUGAGCUGAUGAAGAUGGGCUGCACUGGGCCACCACCUGAGCCACACCAUAGGCCGCAGGCAGGCAAGUCUGGGGACCCCCGUUCCCAGAAUGCUGACAGUAGCCCCCGGGCCCAAGGCGCGCCCGGACUUGGCUUAGCAGAGAGGCGAGGGGCGAGUGCGAAGCGCCGCGGGCCCCAACAGCCUACAGCCUUGGGUGCCGUGUGGCGGUUGAUUGGAUGUGGGCGUCUCCACUUCCCCAUGACGCCUCAGCAACCGUUUGACUUGACAAUACCCUGCAUGGCAAUCGAGUCAUGAUUACCUGCAAUCGUGGAGGCCGACGGUUGGCCUCCUCCGGCUAUAAGUACGGAAGGGCGCAAGCCCUCCCAGUCCAUCUCUCUUUGCUCCGUCUCUUCUUCCUUGCUCCCUUUCCACCAGAUCGUUGCGUCUUAUGGCGCCUACGAAGAAGUUUUCGGCUGCAGAUAAGGGGAAUGCUAGGCGGGAGGGGCCUGGCUCCCCUCCGUCCAAGCGCGGCCGAGGUCGCCCCCGCAAGCGUCCUGCAAUUCCCGCGGUGGCUGCUCGUGGUUGCAGCGGCGGUCCCUUUCUCGGUGAAAGCCGCUCGAUUGAUGGGGGGAGGCGCGCCAUGGUUGCGCAGCCUCCCCGCCCACACUUCCACUCGGCGGAGGUGUUGCCAGAGUUUGUCGUCUGGUCGGAGGAUCCGACCGGAACUUGGCUUUAGCUUCCCCGCUUCUUCGCCGGUGAAUUAUCGGCCGGUGCCACUAGCGGGCUAUGGCUUCAGGCGGACGGCUGCUGCAGCAGAGCCUCCUAGGUGGCGGUGGAGGUUUCCGUUGCCGGGAACGUGGCGUUGGCUCGCGGUUAGUAGACAUUUGCCCGCGCGCGUGGCCUUGUCCAGCAGUGCACCCUGCACUUCAAGUUCGAUGGUGACGCCACCCUUUUUAUGAAGCCGUUUGGAGAAGAUGGCCGCCGCGUCGGGUGCUGCCCCGAAGAUGACGACGGCGGACGGAUGCUCGGCUUCGGCAAUGGCCAUGGCGAAGACGGAGACGAGCCCGCGUCGGGCGGCGCCCGCAGCUCGCCAAGCUUCGGUGACUCCCCCUCUGACGGCAGCUCCUCCAGCGGCGGCCGUGACCAGCCACCGCGUUGUCGCGCCCGCUUUGAGGGGGGUGGCGGAUCGUCCCACCAUCGCGCCUUAGUGAAGUGUGAGGAGGGGUCCGCUUGAGCUUCGGAAGGCGAUGCGGAUCCUCUUCUGCGGCUGUCGUUGGGCGAGUCGUGCCCAUUUUGUUUUACCUGUAGAGAGAGAGAAGUGUGGAGCCCCAUGGGGGCGUGCUAGACUGUCGCCUUUAAUUAUCACGCUGUUUCUAUUAUUUUCAUGUCGCGGUACGGUGUUCCAUGCUCAUGCAUAGGAAUAACUUAGCUCGGUGGGGGAUUCGUUGCGGCCUUUGCCUCGGGAGGCUUCGGCCAGAGGCCCUGUUGCAUGUCUUAAGGCCUGCAAAAAUUAGUUGGAGGGACAGGCUCUGUCCCCCAGCUGCGGGGUGACCAGCUCGAGUCCUACGUUCGCGUCGUGAUGCCUGUGGGGCAUGGACCGGGAGGAAUGCUCCCUCUAUGAACUCAGGCUGGGAGACCUCAAGAAAUUAAGCGAGAAGACACUCGCGAGGGUGCCCGCGCAGCCCCCCUCGCGAGGGUUGCGAAAGAAAAGAAGAGUCAGGCGAGCGGCAAAGACAAGAAAAACAGGCCGGGGACGGUGCACAACAUCAAAAGCAACUCCAACUAAAGUCCCAAACAAAGAUGAACUAGCCAACUGCAGAAAGCAAAUGAAAAGCUGCGUCCAUCACCUAAUCUAGUCUUCGACGUCUUCUCACCAGCUCGGAGCUAAGUGCUGCCACUGGGCGUGGGCGGGAGCCCCCGAGGCCCAGGGGCGGCACUCCGGAGACUCCGGGGCGUGUACAGCCCCAACUCAUUAUUACGUGAGAGUGUCAUGGGCGGCGAGCUUCACAGGCAUUGUCCUUCUUCACAGGCACCAGGCCUUUUCUUGGGGGGUUCGAGCUUCACAGGCAUUGGCCUUCUUCACAGGCGCCGGGCCUUUUCUUGGGGGGUUCGAGCUUCAUAGGUAUUGGCCUUCUUCACAGGCACCAGGCCUUUUGUCACGGGGACUGGUCCUCACUUCAAGGGUAGAAUCUCCGGAUGUGCUGAAUGUUCCACGCGUUUAGGAUGGGCACCCCAUCCUGGGUCUCCAAGCGUGCGGAGCCGAGCCUGGAAACAUGAACAACCUUGAACGGGCCCUCCCACAUGCGAGAGAGCUUGUGCAGCCCUUCCCUGGAGAGCACCCGCCUGAGAACGAGGUCCCCUACCUCGAGAGUCCUGGGUCGGAUGUUGCGGCAAUGGUACCGCCACAGCGCCUGCUGGUAUCUUGCCGUCCGCAGCGCGGCCUCCCGAUGGCGUUGCUCCCCCAGCACAAGAUCUGUCCCCCGCAUGGCGUCCUGCUGCGCUUCGUCGAACGCCAGGACCCACGCGGAGCGAUGCUUGACCUCGUGAGGAAGGACUGCCUCCGCUCAGUAGACGAGGAAGAAUGGGGUUUCACCAGUCGACUUGGUUGCGGUCGUGCGGAUGGACCACAGCACAGACUGGAGCUCGUCGUACCAGCCCUUGCCGCAGGCCUCCAACUUCUUCUUGAAGGUCCUGGUCUUGAGGCCCUUCAGGACCUCCGCAUUGGCUCGUUCAGCCUGGCCAUUGCUCCGAGGAUGCGCCACCGAAGCGUAGCAUAUAUGCGUUCCAAGGUUAGCACAUUAUGUUUUGAAGAGAUUGCUGGUGAAUUGCGAACCAUUGUCGGUGAUGAUGCGAUUAGGCACUCCGUAUCGGCUCACGCGGCCCUUGAUGAACUUGACUACAGAGCCCGCUGGGAUGGUGCAGACAGCUUCCACCUCAGCCCACUUGGUGAACUUGUUGAUGGCAACAUAGAGGUAGCGAUAGCCCCCUGGCGCUCGGGGAAAUGGGCCCAAGAUGUCCAGCCCCCAAACUGCGAACGACCAUGAGAGGGGUAUGGUCUGCAUGCCCUGAGCCGGCUGCUCGAUCUACUUGGCGUGGAAUUGGCAGGCUUCACAAGCUUUCACCAGCUCGACAGCGUCGUUGAGUGCUGUGGGCCAGUAGAACCCGUUGUGGAAUGCCUUGCCAACAAGGGUUCGUGACGACGAGUGGUACCGACAAUAUCCAUCGUGUAUGUCUGCCAGCAGCUCCUUCCCCUGUUCCCUGGAAAUGCAACGUAGGGACACGUCGUUUGGCCGCUUCCGGUAGAGCUCUCCAUCUUGAAUGCAGUAGGUCGUGGCUUGCCAUGCCACAUGUUCUGCAUCCUCCUCCCUCUCCGGCAGGGUCCCUUGCAUUAGGUAAUUCUUGAGUUCUGCGGUCCAACAUCCCUCCUGAGGCUCCAGCGCCAGGAGCAAGCGUGCUCCUGAGGUCGGGCCACAAGCCGGAGCUCCUGAGGCAGGUGGUUGAGGGAGCUCCUCCUGAGGCUGCGUUGCGCUUGACGGUGGCGGCGUCGCCGAGGGUUUAAAGAGCCUUUCCUCGAAGACACCAGGCUCUAGAGGCAGCCGCCUAGAUGCCCUUUUGGCGAUGUCAUCAGCCUCUUGAUUGGUGCCGCAGGGCACAUACUGCAACUCCAAAUCCCAAAACUGCUUCUCAAUUCUGCGGACCCCAGCUAGAUACACCUCCAUGUGCUCGUCCCUCGGCUCAUACACCUUGUUGGAGAAGUUGAUGAGGAGCUGUGAAUCGCCUAUGAUGAUGAGGCGCUUUACCCCCAAGGCCACUGCAGCUUUCAAGCCCGCUAUCAGCCCCUCGUACUCUGCUAUAUUGUUGGAAACCUUCUCUCCACGCUAGAAACAGAGUUGCACGGCGUAGUAGAGCUUGUCCUGAGUGGGGGAUAUGAGCACCGCGCCAGCCCCCGCGCCAUGUCACGAGAAGGCUCCAUCGAAGUACAUAACCCAACCGUCUGGCGCCUCACUCCCUGGGGAAAGUGACCGGUCUUCGCCUGCUCCAAGCCCUGGCGCCUCUGUCCAUUCUGCUACAAAAUCUGCAGGUGCAGCUCCCUUAACGCCCCUCGUCAUGCUGAAUUCCAACUGAAAAGCUUGCAGCUCGAUGUUCCAUUUGGCAACCCUUCUUGCUGAGUAGGGACUCCUGAGUACCCUCUCUAAUGGAUAUGCCGAGACGACCUUGAUGGGGUGACCUUGGAAGUAGUGCCGCAGCUUCCCAGAAGCCACCAACAGCGCGAGCAGGAGCUUCUGGGGCAUGGGGUACCGUGCCCUUGCAUCCCUCAGCACUGUGCUGACGAAGUACACGGGAUGCUCAACGAGGGUGGGCGCAGCGACGGAGCCCGCAUCCUCCAGGGAGUUGAGCGCCUCCUGAGGCGCAAGAGCCCCUGGCUCCUGACAGGGCUGGUGGGGUCCCCUCAGCCAUGGAGGUGCCUUCCUGCUGAGGCUGACGUGUAUCUGCCGAGGGCGUGACCCUCACGAGGCCUUCCUGGCCUAGGGCUGCUGCGACUAGGGCCGCGGCCGAUGCGGUCUUGGCCUGGCGCUCCUCCCGGACCGCCACCAGAGCUGCGCUGGCGGAGUAUGGUGUGGCGGCAAGAUAAAGCACCAGGGGCUCCUGCGGGCGUGGCGCUACCAUCACAGGAGGGCUGGUCAGGUACUUUUUGAGAUCUUGGAACGCUUCAUCAGCCUCUUGAGUCCAUUCGAACGGGCCCUUCCUCUUCAUUAGCUUGAAGAAGGGCAGAGCGCGUUCCCCCAGCUUGGAUAUAAAACUCCCUAGUGUGGUUACUCGUCCGGCGAGCUUCUGCAUUUCCCUGAGGGUUUGCGGCGGACUCAUGUCUUCGAUUGCCAUGACCUUCUCCGGGUUAGCCUCGAUCCCUCUGCGGGACACGAGGAAGCCCAGAAGCUUGCCAGAGGAAACACCGAACACACACUUCUCUGGGUUGAGCCGCAGGUCCACUUCACGAAGGCUCGCGAAGGUUUCUUUUAGGUCUUGUAUCAAAGUCUUCGCCUCCCGAGACUUCACCACUAUGUCAUUGACAUAAGCCCCGGCGUUCCUCCCGAGCUGCCGACCUAAGGCGAUGUGUAUCAGCCGCUGAAAGGUUGCACCUGCGUUGCGCAAUCCGAACGACAUGCAGGUGUAGCAGUACACCCCACACAGGGUCAGGAAAGCCGUCUUCUCCACAUCUUCGACAGCCAUCUUAAUUUGGUGAUAGCCCGAGAAGGCAUCCAGGAAGCACAACAGGUCACACUCAGUAGGAGAGUCGAUGAUUUGAUCGAUGUGGGGGAGUGGGAACGGAUCUUGUGGGCAAGCCUUGUUGAGGUUGGUAAAAUCGACGCACAUGCAUUCCUUCCCCCCCUUCUUCGACACAACAACGGGGUUCGCCAGCCAUUCCAGAUAGCGAACCUCAUGAAUGACUCCCGCAGCUUCCAGCUUGCGGGUUUCUUGGAUGAUGAAAGCCUGCUUCUCGGUGGAUUCCCGCCUUGCCUUCUGCUUCACGGGGCGUACGUUGGGGCAUACGUUCAGGUGAUGCUCGAUCACCUGCCUGGGGACCCCCGCCAGCUGCUUGGGUUCCCACGCGAACACCUCCUUGUUCGCGCGCAGGAACUUCACUAGGGCCUCCUCUUGUUCGGGGUCGAGAUUAGCGCCUAUAGUGAAGGUGGCGCCGAAGGAUCCAUCCUCGUCGACUGAUACUUGCUUGGUCUCCGCUUUGUCUUGGGUGAACAACUGCUUCUUCUUGGUGGGUGCAUCCCCCUUAGCCUUGAGGGGAUCGACGCUGGUGGGCUGCACUACUGCGGCCGCCUUGAAAGCGAGCUUGAGCGCCUGCAGGGCAUCUUUUCCAUCUCCGGCUAUGGUGAGGACACCGCUGCUCCCGGGCAUUUUCAUCAAGUUGUAAGCCGGGUGGGUUGCUGCCAUGAACUAGGCCAAUGCCGGGUAGCCGAGGAUGGCCUUGUAUGGGAGGCCGAUGGGGGCAACGUCGAAGUCGACCAGCUUCGUGCGGAAGUUGGCCUGGGUGCCAAAGGUUGCCGGAAGACGGAUCUGCCCCAGGGAGCCAGUGGAACGGCCCCCGACGCCCGAGAAGGGCUGGCUGGGUUGGAGUCGCUCCAGCGGCACAUGGAGGAGGCUGAAGGCCUCGGCCGAGAGCACAUUGAGGCCAGUCCCGCUGUUGAUGAGGGUCCUGGUGACGGCCACCUUGCAGAUGGUGGGAGUGCACAACAUCGGGAGCGCACCUGAGCAAGCGGCGUUGGCGGGGUGGUCAUCCAAGUUGAAGGUCAAGUUAGCCUUGGGUGCCACCCAUCCCGGAUGAUCUUGGCAGCGAGUGAGGGCAGCGCCGAUCUGGCGGAUGAACAGCUUGACGUGGCGACUCGCGGGUAGGGCUUGCAAGCCACCUAGGAGGGCCGCGACGACGGGGAGCGCCGGCGCCACGUGGUGGGCGAGGAAGAGGCUGCGUAGCUCCUCCCAGGAGGUCACCGAAGACGCUAGUAAGUGGAGCAGCCACAUGCGCGGGACGCUGACGAGGGCCAUGGUCAGCCAGUUGGCCAUGACCCGGUCAUCGCCCCCGGCCUUGAGGACGGCCUCCUCAUAUGCCAGCAGGAAAGCUAGCGGAUCCGCCGCGCCGUUGUAGCGCGGCAGCAUCUCUGGCUUGAACUUGUCUGGCCACCGCACCUAUCGCAAGGCGGGGGCCAGAGCUCGGAGUCCCCAGGGCCCGGUGCCGGCCCCUGCUGAGGGAGUCCUGGAUUAGGGGGUAUCCGGACAGCCGGACUAUAUACAUCGUCCGGACUAUUGAAGCAUGAAGAUACAAGACUCAAGACUUCGGCCCGUGUCCGGAUGGGACUCUCCUUUGCGUGGAAGGCAAGCUUGGCGAUCUGGAUAUUAUGUUUCCUUCCUUGUAACCGACUCCAUGUAAACCCUAGACCUCUCCGGUGUCUAUAUGAACCGGAGAGGAUGGUCCUUAGCAGGCCGAUCACAUUUACAAUCAUACCAUCAUAGGCUAGCUCUUAGGGUUUAGCCUCUACGAUCUCGUGGUAGAUCUAAUCUUGUACUUCUCAUAUCUUCAAUAUUAAUCAAGCAGGAAGUAGGGUUUUACCUCCAUCGAGAGGGCCCGAACCUAGGUAAACAUUGUGUCCCUUGCUUCCUGUUACCAUCAGCCUAAGACGCACAGAUCGGGACCCCCUACCCAAGAUCCGCCGGUUUUGACACCGACAUUGGUGCUUUCAUUGAGAGUUCCUCUGUGUCGUCGCUUCGAGGCUGGAUGGCGUCUUCAAUCGCCAACAACAUGGUCCAGGGCGAGACUUUUCUCCCCGGACAGAUCUUUGUGCUCGGCGGCUUCACACUGCGGGCCAAUUUGCUUGGCCAUCUGGAGCAGAUCGACAGCUACGCCCCUGGUCACCAGAUUAGGUUCGGAAACUUGAACUACACGGCGGACAUUCGCGGGGACUUGAUCUUCGACGGAUUCGGGCCUGUGCCAGGAGCGCCGGACAGUCACGACGAGCACGGCCUAGACCUGUUGUCGGACAAUGCUCAGGACAUCAUCCCUGCAAUAGCCUCGGAUUUAAAUCCGGAACAGGUCGCGUUGCCCAAGGACAGAGGGGUGGACCCCGCCCCGCAAGCCGCAUACUCAUCGGCGGUAGAGCCGAACACAAGUCUCACCUCUGUGGAGGCCUGUAACCCCGGGCCCUCGGACUCAUAUCCGGUUUUUGGUUCCGGUCCGCAUACCCUCGAGCCAGCCAAGCCAGGUUGGGCUCCGGUAAUGGAGUUUACCGCUGCGGACAUCUUUCAGCACCCGCCCUUUGGCGACAUGCUGAACUCAUUAAAGUCUCUCUCUUUAUCAGGAGGCUUUGGGCCGAACUAUGUCCGAUUUCAGUGGGAAGUAGGCGACGAAGGAAUUCACUGCCCACCCACCACCCACUUGAUUGCCACGGUCGAUGAUUUAACAGACGUGCUUGACUUCGACUUUGAAUACAUCGACGGUAUGGACGACGAUGCAGAAGACACACAGGAGCCACCGCCCACAGGGCGGUGGACAACCACCUCUUCAUACGAUAUAUAUAUGGUGGACACUCCGAAAGACACAAAUGGCGAUGAGACAAUGGAGGAUAACCCUUCCAAGAAGAAAGCAAAACAUGGGCGUCGCCAGUGCCACUCUAAGCCCCGCCAAGGAAAUACCGGCACCGGAGAUGAAAACAAACCGGAUGAUGCCGAAGAUGAAUACAACCCCGAUCAGCCCGCCUUCGAGCGGGCCGAGCAGGAGGAUGGGUAGGACAACCUAGACGAACAGGCGACGGACGGGUAUCCGGAGGAGGAUAGCUACAUGCCCACCUCCGAAGAUGAGAUUAGCCUCGGCGACGACGAGUUUGGCGUGCCCGAGGACCCCGCGGAGCAGGAGCGCUUCAAGCGCCAGCUUAUUGCCACUGCGAGAAGCCUGAAGAAGAAGCAGCAGCAGCUUCAAGAUGAUCAAGACCUGCUCACAGAUAGAUGGACAGAAGUCCUCGCAGCCAAGGAAUAUGGACUCAAGCGCCACAUGGCUGACCGGCCGCCUCGAGGUCGGGAUAAAACAACAUAUCAGCCCGAAUACCAGCCUGCACCCCCGCGCUAGUUUACUACGGCCCAGGGCAAUACUUAGGACCUGCGUGAUAGACUGGAUAACACUGCAGGACAACCAAGAUUGAUCUACAGAUCACGGGGGCGUGCCGUAGCACAUAACGAUGACCGUCAUACCGGAUACACUAACAGCAAAUCCGGCCGGGCCGAACAUAACCAGUCAGACGCAGCCGGACUGUGUCGCGACAUAGCCCGGCACAGAGGCGCCGCACACCCCCUCUGCUUCACUAAUGAAGUGAUGGAUCAUGAAUUCCCAGAAGGGUUCAAACCCGUAAACAUCGAAUCAUAUGAUGGCACAACAGACCUCGCGGUAUGGAUUGAAGACUUCCUUCUCCACAUCCACAUGGCCCGCGGAGAUGAUCUACAUGCCAUCAAGUAUCUUCCCCUCAAGCUCAAAGGACCCGCCCGGCACUGGCUUAACAGCCUGCCAGCAAACUCCAUUGGCAGUUGGGGAAACACGGAAGACGCAUUCCUUGACAACUUCCAAGGCACAUAUGUGCGACCUCCGGAUGCCGAUGACUUGAGCCACAUCACUCAACAACCUGGAGGAUCAACCAGGAAAUUCUGGACCCGGUUCCUAACUAAAAAGAACCAAAUAGUUGACUGUCCGGACGCCGAAACCCUGGCGGCCUUCAAGCAUAAUAUCCGCGACGAGUGGCUCGCCCGACACCUCGGCCAGGAGAAACCCAAGUCCAUGGCAGCUCUAACGACACUAAUGACCCACUUUUGCGCGGGCGAGGACAGCUGGUUGGCUAGCAGCAGCACUAUGCCACAUUCUGGCACGUCAGGUGUCCGUGACAAUAAUGGCAAGCUACGGCACAACAGACACAAGCGACGAAAGAACGGCGACAACACCGAAGAAACAGCAGUCAAUGCCGGAUUCAGCGGAGUAAAAUCCGGUCAGCGGAAGAAGCCAUUCAAAAGAAACAAUUAGGAACCGUCCAGUCUAGACCGUAUACUGGAGUGCUCGUGCCAAAUUCAUGGCACCCCAGACAAGCCAGCCAACUACACCAAUAGAGACUGCUGGGUAUUUAAAUAGGCCAGCAAAAUAAACGCCGAAAACAAGGACAAGGGGCUGCACAGCGACGAUGACGAGGAGCCCCAGCGUCCGAACACGGGGGGACAGAAGAAAUUUCCCCCCAGGUGAAAACGGUCAAUAUGAUCUACGCCACUCACAUCCCCAAGCGGGAACGGAAGCGAGCACUACGGGACGUCUACGCGAUGGAGCCAGUCAUCCCCAAAUUCAACCCAUGGUCAGCUUGUCCGAUCACCUUUGAUCGUAGGGAUCAUCCUACUAGCAUCCGUCAUGGCGGCUCGGCUGCAUUGGUCUUAGACCCAAUCAUCGACGGAUUCCACCUCACGAGAGACCUUAUGGAUGGCGGUAGCAGCCUGGACCUGCUUUACCAGGACAUAGUGCGCAAAAUGGGCAUCGACCCUUCAAGGAUUAAGCCCACCAAAACCACCUUUAAAGGUGUAAUUCCUAGAGUAGAGGCCCGUUGUACGGGCUCUAUAACAUUGGAAGUGGUCUUCGGAUCUCCGGAUAACUUCCGAAGCGAAGAGUUAAUCUUUGAUAUCGUCCCUUUCCGUAGUGGUUACCACGCACUGCUCGGGAGAACUGCAUUCGCUAGAUUCAAUGCGGUACCACACUAUGCAUACCUCAAGCUCAAGAUGCCAGGCCCACGUGGGGUCAUAAUAGUCAACGGAAACAUGGACCGCUCGCUCCGUACAUAAGAACAUACUGCAGCCCUCACGGCAGAAGUACAAUGCGGCCUCCUCCGGCAAACCACCAAUCCGGCGAUGACAACCUCAAGCACCGUCAAGCGAGUUCGGAGCACCCCGCAAUAGGACCACCAGGCAUGCCAAGAGCACGACUAGCAGUCCGGCCUCCGCUCAAAUCCCAUCAAAGCAGCAUUCGUGCCACGCGUACACAAUUACGCACUCAAAAUACCGUGGGCACAGGUGGAGGCGCAGCAGUGGCUCAGUCAAUAGUGCGGUAUCGCCGCCACACACCUUCGUAACCUUUCCUUUUACCUUUCAGGACAUUGCUUUAGUGCAGCCUCUUCAGAAGAGCCGGAUUGUCGGACUUACAUAGGAGAGAAAACCAAGGAGGCAACAGGCUUUGCACGCAGAAGGAAAUACCCAGGUGGAAUCUAUUUGCGAUCGUUAUACCUGCUUUAUCUAUCUGUACGUAGCCUGCCCCUGGAUAGGAUAUGUCAAAUAAUCCUAUUUAUCUCCGCUUAAUGCAUCCAUUGUAAACAUACGCUUAAACGUAUUAUUCAUCAAUGGGAGAUCAUAUAUAGCGUCAGCUUAUUAUUCUUAUUUGAGCAUUUUUUCUUACAUAUGUUUAUUCGAUAUUGCACCCGUACACCAUGGUACGUUCAGUUUGCCAGGGGCUUCUUAUGGCGCCCCAUAAUACGGCAAGACAAGUCCAAACACUUUCAACAGUGCAGCACCCCGAACUUAUAGCAUUAUAUGCAUCAGCUCCGAAUCAUGUCUUGGGUCUACAGUAGGGAUAGCCCGGCUCCCUUGUUUUGGUGCCUUACGUUCCGUUAUAUCGGCUAAGGUAGCGUAGGGAGAACUACUGCGAUUGUGUCCCAGUUCUUCCGGACGAGCACCUCAGUAGAGAAAGCCGAAAACUGACCGGCAUGAUGUGGCGAGAGCUGGUCGCUGUUCGAGAGGUCUUAAAAUCCUUAAAGAUUUUUCCGCUUUAGGCGAUAAUUCGGCUUUGUCCGAUCUAGGUGUAUAUAGCGCCCCAAUUCGGCCUUCCGGAUUAUAGGGGCUUCACCAAAAUUUAAAAUUGUAGACUUCUAUGGCUAAGUGAAGGUUAUAAAGCCGCAUAGUCUGAUUGCCUUGUUCGCUGCGCCAGACGCCUCCUUAAGGGACCAAACAUUAGGAUAAAGAGUGUCCGGGUUUUCCACGAACACCCCAGUACUAGUUACAUGGGGGCGGAAGCCGACGACUGGCCUACUUUCAGAAUUUUAUAAACAGCCGCACAGAAGGUAAUAUUUUAAAUAACAAAAGCGCUACAUAGCGCAAGUAACUUUGUCUUUAAAUUACAAACAUGACAGACGUGAAUUCAUUCAAAAAUGGUGUCCUUGGUACAUUCAUCGACCACGAGGCGAGCGCCCUUCAUAACGCCUUCAUAAUACUUUUCCGGAUAGCGAUGCGCCUUGGCCUCCGGCGGCCCGUCCUUCACCAGCUUCUCCGCAUCCAGCUUGCCCCAAUGCACCUUCGCACGGGCAAAGGCCCGACGGGCACCCUCAAUGCAAACGGAUCGCUUGAUGACUUCGAGACACGGACAGGCAUUCACCAUCCGCUUGAUCAGGCCGAAAUAGCUCAUGGGCAGGGGCUCACCGGGCCACAUCCGGACUAUGAAAUCCCUCAUAGCCACUUCGGCCGCCCUGUGGAGUUCGACCAACUGCUUCAGUUGGUCACUCAGAGGCAUUGGAUGUUCGGCCCCAGCAUACUGGGACCAGAACAGCUUCUCUGUUGAGCUCCCCUCCUGGACACGGUAGAACUCCGCGGCAUCUGAUACGCUGCGUGGCAGGUCUGCGAAUGCCCCUGGAGAGCUCCAGACUCUGGUAAGUAAAAUAAACGCCUCCUCUAGAUGUUUGCUUUGCAUAAAGAAUUUCUUACCUGCCGCUAUCUUUUUGGCCUCCUGGAUCUCCUGCCGUGCCUUCUCGGCUUCGGCCUUGGCAUCUUUUAUACUUGAAAGGGCCUUCGUAAGCUCGUCCUCUUUCGCCUUAAGCUCAUGCUCCACGGCCUCGAACUUCUUGUUGAGAUCCUGGAGCUCUUGUUGUACCUCUCCCACUCUAGCAUCUUGCUUUUCGCGCUCCUUGCGUUCCAAGGCUGCCUUGUGUUCGGCCUCGGACAGCAUUUUCUUGAGAGACACCACUUUGGUGGUGGCCUCUGUUACCAAAUCACGAUGCUUCGUCGUUAGAAUAACCAAUUUUAUCUAUCAUUCAUUAUAUGAGAGAACGGAAUCAUUCACCUUUGCUCUCUUCGAGCUGCCUCCUUGUGAGGUCGAGCUCUCCCUGCGCCUGCUCCAGGUCCUGUUUUAGUCCGGCGAUCUCGGCCGUACGAACCGCAACGGCAAGCAGCACAGCCUGCUUAUUCACAUUCAAACUUGUUGUUAGACUCCUGCGGAUUAUAAUUGACCCUCCAUUUGGUUUUUCCUUCCGAACACCAAACAGAGUAUCAGGGGCUACUACCUAUUGGGUGGUAAUUUCACACAUUUUUACUACUUACCUCAAAGCCUGUUAGUAGGCUGGUGCAAGCUUCGGUUAGUCCGCUCUUGGCGGAGAACACCUUCUGAACCACCGCACUCAUAAGAGUAUGGUGCUCUUCAUCCAUGGAAGCGCCUCGAAGCGCUUCUAGCACACAAUCUGACACCUCGGGCGUAGCGGAAGUCGUCAGCACAGACGACUCGCCCUCCUUAACGAGGGGCUGCCCGCCUGAGUCCAGAACCACGGGAGGUUCCAGAACAGUGUUCAGCUGAGAGUCCGGCUUACUGCGGCUCUCACCAACACGACCCGCGGGGAUCUUGAACCCCGCGUGUCUGACGUCUGGAAUGCCGCCUUGGGGCGCCUCCAGAGCCACCUCCCCCCGCUCUGGGAGCCUUUGGGAUAACACCUCCGUGUCAUCUGCAGGCUGAGGAGUAGUGGCCAUCAGGAGCGAAUUCAUUGCCGAAUCGCUCAAGGACCCAUCCGAAGACGAUGCCUCGGGAUGGACCCUGGCCGAACUACAUACAAGUUCGGUGUUAUGGCAAAACUAUGAAGCAAAAUUACGAUAGAGUGCGGAUACUUACGAUCGCACUAGGGGCUUCUUCCUGGGCAGCCACCCCUCCUCGCUAUCAGCGGCGGUGGCGGAGUAGUCCGGAAGGGACGCUUUUCCCUUCUUGGACGUCCCAUCCUCCCCCUCCGAGGUGGCCUUCCUCUUUAUCUCCCCCCAAUACGGGGAGGUGGAGUUUCUUCUUGUUUCCCCCCGCCUUCGCAGGAGGAAUCUGCCUCGUCGUCAUCGGACGACAAGGGUAUGACGGCCUUACGCCGGGGGCCUCUCCUGGUCCCCUGCUCCGCCCUCUCAGGCCCCUCAUCCUUUCUGGAUGGGGCGGCCUCCUCUUCUUCUUCUUCCCCUUCAUGGGAGGAGUGUGCCUCGUCGUCUUCGGACAAGGCUUCUAGCGCAACCUUACGCCAGAGACCCUGUCGGAUCCCCUAGGCCUUCUUAUCGGCCUUCUUCUCUGGCCCCUUGUAGGGUGCGGGGACCAGCGUCUCCGUCAGGAGAGCAUUAGCUGGGCUUUAUGGCAGCGGAGCCGGACAGUCAAUCUGCUCUGCUAUCUCCACAUAAUCCUGAACAAAUAUGCACAAUUACUUAAGGCUCCCCCAUGAAUAUAUUGGGAAGAACCGAAUCCGAUGGCAGCCUAAGAACUCACCUGAGUAGGAGGCCACGCGGCGUGGAGCCCACGGUCCUCGGAUAUGGGAGGAGGUACUUCGGAGGCCUUGAACAAUGCCUUACACGCAUUUUUGUGCUUCAUGCCGUAGAGCCUCUGAAGCAUCUGGUGUUCGGUCGGGACGAACUCCCACAGAUUGAAUGCCCGCCUUUGGCACGGCAGAAUCCGGCGAACGAGCAUGACCUGGAUCACGUUGACAAGCUUGAUGUUCUUGUCCUUCAUGCCCUUGAUGCAGUUUUUGAGUCCGGUCAGCUCUGUAGAUUCACCCCAGGACAUGCCCUUAUGUUCCCAGGAGGUGAGCCGCAUGGGGGUUCCGAAUCGGAACUCGGGGGCCGUCGCCCAGUUGGCGUCGCGCGGCUCGGUGAUGUAGAACCACCCCGAUUGCCACCCCUUCAUGGUUUCCGCAAAGGAGCCGUCAAGCCAGGUGACGUUAGGCAUCUUGCCCACCAUGGCUCCUCCGCACUCCGCUUGCUGUCCGCUCACGAUCUUCGGCUUCACGUAGAAGAUUUGCAGCCACAAGCUGAAAUGAGGCUUGAUGCGAAGGAAGGCCUCGCAUACGACGAUGAACGCCGAGAUGUUGAAGACGAAGUUCGGGGCUAGAUCAUGGAAAUCUAGCCCGUAGUAGAACAUGAGCCCGCAGACGAAGGGGUGAAGUGGAAACCCCAGUCCACAAACGAAGUGGGCGAGAAACACGACCCUCUCAUGGGGUCCUGGAGUUGGAAUGACCUGCCCGUCGUCUGGUAGCCGGUGCGCUAUGUCUACGACCCAGUAUCUGGCCGCCCGCAGAUUCACGAUAUUCUUCUCCUUCACGAUGGAAGCCACCCACUUACCUCCUGCUCCGGACAUGUUUAGAUGUGCGGAGAAGACCUAGACUAGGGCGCUAGAGCUUGAGGGGGCAAGAGUGGGCAAAUGAGGAAGAAGGCGUGGGUGAGAAUGAGGGUCAUUUAUUCCUUUAUAGAGGCGACGAUAGUGGUGCGCCUCCCCACUUGCCUGUUGAGAAUUGCUUGAUUCCCAUGUGCCACGAUUGAUGGCACGGUGGGAUUACCCAUACCCGUAUUGAUGAGAAUCCCGCGAUAAGGGGACACGAUCUCUGCUUUGACAAGACGUGUCAAGGAAACUGCCUCGUAAUACACAUUGUGGCUGGUUGUGGGAAUUGGUUUGAAUAAUGACCCGACCGUAAGGACAUAUCGCGUCGUCUAAAAAGUUGUCAGUUGAAGUAUCAUUCUCUCUACGGUGGUAUGUGAAGAUCAUUUUGCAGAUCCGGACAUGGUCUACGUGUUCGAUAAUAACCUUGGAGUAUUUGGAGAAGGAACCCGCCUUGCAAUGCCGAAGACAAGACUGCGCGCUGGACUCGUCAUCAUUGAAGCCUGGUUCAGGGGCUACUGAGGGAGUCCUGGAUUAGGGGGUAUCCGGAUAGCCGGACUAUAUACAUCGUCCAGACUAUUGAAGCGUGAAGAUACAAGACUCAAGACUUCAGCCCGUGUCCGUAUGGGACUCUCCUUUGCGUGGAAGGCAAGCUUGGCGAUCCGGAUAUUAUGUUUCCUUCCUUGUAACCGACUCCAUGUAAACCCUAGCCCUCUCAGGUGUCUAUAUAAACCGGAGAGGAUGGUCCUUAGAAGGCCGAUCACAUUUACAAUCAUACCAUCAUAGGCUAGCUCUUAGGGUUUAGCCUCUAUGAUCUCGUGGUAGAUCUACUCUUGUACUACUCAUAUCUUCAAUAUUAAUCAAGCAGGAAGUAGGGUUUUACCUCCAUCGAGAGGGCCCAAACCUGGGUAAACAUUGUGUCCCUUGCUUCCUGUUCCCAGCAGCCUAAGACACACAGAUCGGGACCCCCUACCCAAGAUCCGCCGAUUUUGACACCGACACCUGCGGCCGGAGCGGGCGGCGUGUUUCCCGCCAUGAGGGUGAAGCGCGGCGUCGAUGGAGAACGGGUCAUCGGCAGGGAGAGCUCCGGUGCACCCCUACCUGGCGCGCCAAAUGUUGGAUGUUGGGUUCCGGCAAACCCUUAAGGUUCAAACUCUGGGGUGCGCCUGAAGAUCUCUCCCAUGCCGAUCCACGUCCCAACGCCUCGCUAAGAAUCCAAGCUAACCGAUGAACAACACGAGGGACACGGGAUUUAUACUGGUUCAGGCCACCAUUGUGGUGUAAUACCCUACUCCAAUGUGUGGUGUGUGGAUUGCCUCAGGGGCUGGUGAUGAACAGUACAAAGGAAGAACAACCUCGCGAGGGGUGUUCUUGUGGUGGUGUUCUGCUUGGGAAGGAUUCGAUCCCAGCUUUCUCAAGAUGAGCCUCCGUUCGAGAUCCGUUCCUCCCAGACUAGUUGAGUUGUCCUCCUACUGUGGUGGCUAGUCCUAUAUAUAGAGGCCCUGGUCCUCUUCGAAAAUAUUGAGCGGGAAGGGCGCCAACAACGGCCAUUUUGAAGGGGAACAUCUAGUAUAACUUAUCCUGACUAAAGUUGGUCUUCGACUGCCAAAGGCUCUGGUGAUGACGCCGUCUUGGGCUCCACGGUGACCUCCAUCCUGCCGCUUUGCUGGUCUUGGUCUCGUUGCACCGGAAUGUCAACCUUUACUUGACGCCUCGGUACUCCGCGCCUGCGCUUGCCCCCUUUGCACCAAAGAGGAAACAAGGACACUACACAGGUCGACGCCCGCCUGGCGCCCACCUGGUCUUGAUCGUCAUGGCUUGCGUCAUGAGCACCUCGCGAGGUACCCUUGCCUUGAUCUCUCCGCCCCCUCGCGAGCCUGCCUGGUCAGGCCACUCCUGAGGAAGCCUCCUGUUGUCCGCCCCGCGAGGGUCUUGAGCUUGAGCUGAUGAAGAUGGGAUGCACUGGGCCACCACCUGAGCCACGCCGCAGGCCGCAGGCAGGCAAGUCUGGGGACCCCCGUUCCUAGAAUGCCAACAGGCUCGCUUAGCCUGGAGGGGAUUAAUGGCUCUUUGAUUACCCUUAUACCUAAGAUGCUUGCUCCUCAAGGCCCGGGAGAUUUCAGACCAAUCUCCUUGACUAACACAUGUCUCAAGUUCUUAACCAAGUUACUUGCCAAUAGGUUACAGUCUGUGAUACUUAAGUGCAUCCACAAGAAUCAGUAUGGGUUUUUAAAGUCGAGGUCUAUUCAGGACUGUCUGGCAUGGGCAUUUGAGUACAUUCAUCAGUGCAAGCAAUCUAGGAGACCUACUCUGAUCUUGAAGUUAGAUUUUGCUAAAGCCUUUGAUAAAAUUGAGCAUGAGGCCAUCUUGCAAGUUUUACAACACAAGAGUUUUGAUGUUAAGUGGUUAGCUUGUGUCAAGGAAAUUCUAUCUUCUAGCUCUUCUUCAGUUUUGUUGAAUGGUGUGCCAGGAAAACAGCUUCAGUGCAAGUGUGGGGUUAGGCAAGGGGACCCCUUAUCUCCUUUGGUUUUUGUAAUUGCAGCUGAUCUCUUGCAAUCGGUGGUUAACAGAAUGUUGACUGAUGGAGUUUUGACCCUGCCAAUACCUUCCCAUGAUCCACAUUUCCCUAUCAUUCAAUAUGCCGAUGAUACCAUAUUAACUGUACCUGGAGUGGAUUCUCAACUUAUUGCCCUCAAGGAGAUGCUGAAUGUUUUUUAUGCUUCGACUGGCCUCAAUGUGAAUUUCCAAAAAUCCACAAUGGUGCCUCUUAAUGUGGAUGUUGAUGAGGCCACUAGGCUUGCUGUUGUGUUUGGCUGCUCCUUGGGAGCACUUCCUUUCACAUAUUUGGGCCUUCCCAUGGGAACUACCAAACCAAGGAUUCAAGAUCUUAUGCCGUUGGUUGACAUGGUUGAGAGAAGACUUUCUGCAAGCUCUGCCAUGCUGAAUCAGGGUUCUAGGCUUCAGUUGCUUACUUCUGUGUUGUCUUCCAUGCCCAUAUACUUCCUCUGUACAUUGGACAUCCCAAUUGGCAUAAUUAAGCAUCUUGAAAGAAUUGAAAGGCAAUGCCUUUGGUGUGGUAAUUUGGACACUCCCAGGCAGUCCCUUGCAGCACGGGAUUUGGUCUGUAGACCUAAGGACAAGGGUGGACUUGGCAUUAUUAAUUUGCACCUGCACAAUCAGGGUUUGCUCAUCAAGCACCUACAUAAAUUUUUCAACAAGGAAGAUGUCCCUUGGGUCUCUCUCAGCUGGAAUAAUUAUUAUGAUGGCGUAGUACCUCAAGCCACUGUGUUAUGUGGCUCUUUUUGGUGGAGGGAUGUUUUUAGACUGGCUGACACUUAUAGAGCUAUCUCUUCAGCAACUGUGAAUCAAGGGGACUCUGUUCUAUUUUGGUCUGAUAGUUGGAUAUUGAAUAAUUCAAACAGACCACUAAGAGAUUGUCUGCCUCAUUUGUUCUCUUUUGUCAAAGAUGAUAAGAUCUCUGCCAUGGAUUUCCUGGAAUCAGAGGAUGUUGCAUCAAUGUUCCACUUACCAAUUUCAUAUACAGCAACUUCUGAAUUAUAGCACCUCCUCCACUGGGUUACUUUUUUGCAUACGGAUGCCUCUAUACCUGAUGUGUGGUCUUGGCCUUCGAAGUCUGGUUAUUCUACAAAGAGUUUCUACACCAUAAUGCACUCCCGCCUCCCAACAAUUCAUCCAUGUGUUUGGCUUUGGCGAAGCUCCUGCAUGAUGAAAAUCAAGGUUUUUGGUUGGUUGUUGUUUUUUGAUCGGCUCAACACACGGGAUCUCCUUCUCAGGAGGCACUCGAGGACUGACCAAGAUGACAAUUUUUGUGUACUUUGUCCCACACGCGUGCAUGAAGAUAGGUUUCACCUUUUCUUCAGUUGCAAUUUUAGUCAUAGGGUAUGGUCUUAUCUGCAGAUUGAUUGUGCGCGGGGACAAGACUUGAUCACCUGCCUAUUGCAUGCCAAGAAGGAUUUCCAACACCCAUUUUUCUUUGAGGUUAUGCUCACUGCAGCCUGGUGCAUCUGGACCACCAGGAAUGGAAAGAUCUUCAGAUCGGAUAGUGCUUCUUUUGGUGUCUGGAGGAGUAAAUGUGUACAUGAUAUCUCCUUGUUGUAUCAUAGAGUGAGGGAGAGUGUUAAACCUGUAUUCCUGUCUUGGGUUAACAACCUACCCUAGUGUGUUGUAGUUUGUUUCAUAAGUAAGUAGGUAAGUUUAGUUCUCUUCUCACCUCCUUGCUCCCCCUUGUAAUUAUAUGUACCUCUCUUUAUUUAUUUGAAUAAAAGACUGUGGAGCUAUUGCUUCACAGUAAAUAGUCAAAAAAGCAUAAUUGGAGGGCAGUUCCUUACCUCCCCUUGUCCUUUGAGGGAAAUACCUUAGUAUUUGGAUCCUUCAGAUUCUUCAUAGUGAUAAAUUGAUAAUAAUCCCAAGUGACUCAACAAAUAUAGCUAUGCUCCCCGGCAACGACGCCAGAAAAAGGCCUUGAUAACCCACAAGUAUAGGGGAUCGCAACAGUUUUCGAGGGUAAGUAUUUAACCCAAAUUUAUAGAUUCAACACAAGAGGAGCCAAAGAAUAUUUGAAGGUAUUAGCAGCUGAGUUGUCAAUUUAACCACACUUGGAGAUUAAUUAUCUGCAGCAAAGUGAUUAGUAGCACAGUAGUAUGAUAGUUUUGAUGAUAGCAGCAGUAGUAACGGUAACGGUAACAGAGGUAACAGUGAUAUUGUAUCAGUAACGAUAAGAGUAGCAAUAGUAGUAACUUAGCAAGAACAAUAUGAGAUAAAUUCGUAGGCAUCAGAUCGGUGACUUGUUGGAUGAUAUUCAUCAUGUGACAGUUAUAACCUAGGGCGAUACGGCACUAGCUCCAGUUCAUCGAUACAAUGUAGGCAUGUAUUUCAUAAAUAGUCAUACAUGCUUUAUUAAAACAACUUGCAUGACAUCUUUUGUCCUACCCUCCCAUGGCAGUGGGGUCCAUAUUGGAAACUAAGGGAUAUUAAGGCCUCCUUUUAAUAGAGAACCGGAACAAAGCAUUAACACAUAGUGAAUACAUGAACUCCUCAAACUACGGUCAUCACCGAGAGUGGGCCCGGUUGUUGCCACUCCGGGGUUGUCAGAUCAUAACACGUAGUAGGUGACUAUAACUUGCAAGAUCGGAUCUAACACAUGGAUAUAAUGAUGAAUUCAUAAACGGUUCAGAUCUGAAAUCAUGGCACCCGGGCCCAAAGUGACAAGCAUUAAGCAUAGCACAGUCAUAUCAACAUCAAUGUAAGGACAUAGUGGAUACUAGGGAUCAUGCCUUAACAAAACUAACUCGAUUACAUGAUGAAUCUCAUCCAAAUCCUCACUGACCAGUGAGCCUAUGAAGGAAUUACUCGCUCCCGAUGGGGAGCAUCAUGGAAUUGGCGAUAGAGAUGGGUUGGUGAUGACGAAGAACGAAGAUCCCCCUCUCCAGAGCCCCAAACGGACUCCAGCUCUGCCUCCCCCCCCCGAGGAAGAACAGGGCUUGGCGGCGGCUCCGUCUUGUGGAUCGUGAUAAUUAUUUCUCCCUAAUUUUUUCUGGAAUAAUGUGAUUUUAUAGUAUCAGGGGGUUCGUCAACGAGGCCACCAGGUGGGUACAACCCACCUGGGCGUGCCAGGAGAGGGGGGGGGGCGCGCCCUAGUGGGUUGUGCCCACCCAGGGGCCCCUCUCUGGUGGGUCUUGGCUCCAAAAAUCCUCUUUUAUUUCAUAAAAAUUCCUUGCAAAGUUUCCUUCCAUUCCGAGAACUUUUAUUUCUGCACAAAAACAACACCAUGGUAGUUCUGCUAAAAACAGCGUCAGUCCGGGGUUAGUUUCAUUCAAAUCAUGCAAAUUAGAGUCCUAAACAAGAGGAAAAGCGUGAGAAAAAGGUCGAUACAUUGGAGACGUAUUAGUGUCUUGUUCAUCGCCAGCCAACAUUCUGGGUCGGAACGGAGAAACUGCGUCAUCGUGUUCAUCGGGAGGCAAUCGGCUUGGAAGGAACAUCUGAUCGAAAUGAGGACUGGCGUACCGCAAAACGGACGAAAUGGCCUUGUGUUCGAACACCUAGGGUCAAAACGGGAUCCUAUUCAUCGGGAGGGGUCUGGCGUACCACAAAAUGGAGAAAACGGACUUGUGUUCGAGUUCCUACGAUUGAAAUGGGUUCCUAUUGAUCGGGAGGGGUGUGGCAUACUAAAAAAUGGAGGAAACAGACUUGGGUUGGAGCGCUAUGGUCGAAACGGGGGUCCUCUUCAUCGGGAGUGGUGUGGCGUACCGCAAAAUGAGACUCCACGGGCUACUGUUCAUCUCCACCGUCGACCUCCUCCAGCCUCCAUGGGCUACUUCUCAUCCACUGUCGACGUCCUCCAGCCUCCACCUAUGACUGUUCAUCCACGGGCUCCUGUUCAUCAAGCCUCCACUGCUCCUCCACCGGCUACUGUUCAACAAGCCCUCUCCACAGGGUCCUGUUCAACCACCCCUCCACGGGCUACUGUUCAUCUAGCCCUCGACCGGCUACUGUUCAACCAGCCCUCCACGGGGUCGUCUUGUUCAUCCAGCCCUCCAUGGGGUGCUGUUCAUCCACCCCCAACCGGCUCAACCGAUCGGUGUCCUGUUCAUCCAGCAGCAACGGCCUCCACACCCCCACGAGGUCCUGUUCAUCCAACCCCACCGGGAACUGUUCAUCCAACCCCCAACAACGCUCAAUGUUCAUCAAGAGGCAGCAGGCUCGAUCGGCUUCAGUUAGCAGCAGUAGCGAAGGAAUCGCUCGAUCGGGUUUAGUUAACAGCAAGGGGUCGAUCGGGGUUCAGUAACGUUGCUAGUGCAAUCGCUCGUCUUCAGUAGGCGAACGCCUCGCUCGGGUUCAGUUAGAGCCCAAUGCCUCACACCCACGCGCGUAUGUGUAUGAGAUAAAUGUGCAUCGCUCAGCCCCCGACCACCCACCGUAAGGGAACUCCCCGAAAUUUUGCUCGCCCUCACUUUUACCACAAUUUUUUUCCAUCAUGGAUGGCCCAAAGAAUGUCAUGCAGGUGCGCCUCAGGCCCGCCCAGGACAAAAAGCCCAUUUCCAGUCAUGAUUUUUUGUCAUAGAAGUAGGAGCCCACCACAUGUAUGGUGAUACCGGGUUUUGUCAUAAUUAUCGUCAUAGAAGUGUCAUAAGUAUGACAGAAAAAAAUUCGUUCGGCCCAAAAUGUCACAGAUGUGUCUUUUUUUGUAGUGUUGUAUGAUGCAAAAGAAUAUUGUUACCACACGUGUGUCACCCUGGCUUAGAGAAACCAGAACGCCACAUAUUCCAUCCGAGAGAUCAAGAUGAAGUCUUCUGGAAUACGUCACUACUUAGAUAGAACAAACCAGCUUUCUAUUACAACCUGAAUACGAAUACAAGGUCUCCGAUAUUACAAUGAGUAACACCGGCACGGCGACACCACGCCAACCACAGUUGCUCUAUGCAAGAAGUAUAACAACACGAGGCAGCGGAACCUCUACUGGCAGCAGAAGAACUAUUGGAAGCGGAACACCUAUUGGUAGAACAACGAACGGGGAUGAUGGACUCCAAUCCGCAGGGACUCAGGCUGGAACGUUUAUCCUAGCUUGCGAACACAGGAACCACACCAAACAAGCAAGCAAUCCAGGCAUGACCUACAAACUGGCAUGACACGCCAGGUCAGUACAUUAAAUGUACUUCCAAGCUCACAAUAACCAAAAGCAGUCAAGACAAACAACAACAUGGCAUUAGCAGGUUAAAUCAAUCAUGAACAUGAUACUAGCAGAACAACAUGGCAUGCACAACCGAACAUAAUACAACUUUAGCAUGGCAUGAGCAUAUGAACAUGAUGAUACUCAAUGCAACAAGUUAACAUUAUCAUGCGCCAACUUACUCUGCCCGGGUUACCUCGUAACCAACACAUGCAUCAACUUACCCACAUCGGUAUCCACGAUACCUCCGUGAUCAUCUCGUGGUCACAUAAAGAUCAACCAACUCACGAUACCUUCGUGAUCCUUCCUCGAGCACAGCCAAUUUCUUUCUCGUCAAUGAACCAGGGUUGUUAUUAAUCAAGUUAUUAUUAUUGUUGGCUCAUAGUGUGACCAACUCCGAACUAGGCCCAUAUCCGCGGGCGCAGCUAUCGAUAGAUUAAACACACACUUUGCGGAGGUUAGCACACUGUACCCACACGACGGAACCCAUGGCCUCGCACUACCAUACGUGUGGACCAAUGGCGUUCCAACAAAACCGAUCUAUUUCCCAUGACACUCUGCCAGCCACUCCGACCAACUCCCUAUCUGGGCUAAGUCAUGGGUGGCCCUGUGCCUACCAAAGGCAUCAACGGCCACCAUCGUGGCAAAAUAAACGGUCCCAAACGGGGACAAGGUACCAUAACAACAACAACGGGCACACAAGAUUUAUGUGCGCCUACCUGAUCAAGGUAGCGUGUGCCCAUAAGCUUCCCUCGUUGGAGGAACCGACGAGAGGCAUCACAACAGACCCAGUUAGGUCCUUCCCAUAAAGGAAAAUGUUGUUGCACUGGUCAUCUCUAUUCAGUGGCACCAUGACUCAGCCAACAGUUGGUCAAGUUCAUUAUUAUCCGGUUAAACUUGAAUGCAAUAAGCUAAGCAAUAAUAAAAUAACAUGAUGCAACUACAAUGCAUGAGCAUGAUACCAACAUAAGCAUAGAUGUGCAACCAUAACAAAUCAUUGAGCAUAACAACAAUGAAGCAUUAAACCAUAUGAGCAUGUCAUAUUGAUGAGCAUAAGCAUAACAUAACCACGAGUAUAGCAUGACUACUAGCAUCAGAAAUAAAUACCGUGCAACAACAUAACAAGAAUACUACCAAGUGAGCAUGUAACCAACUGGAUGCAAAGUAACAUGCAUAGCAACAGUACUUGAUAACAAACGGUAAACAUGCAUCAGAAAGAACACCACUACUACCAGCAUGUAUUACUACCAACAAGCAUGACAUGUGAAAAUGAUUCUAGCAAGUAGCACAGUAUAACAUGAUGCAUCAGAACAUAGCAUGAACGUGAACAAGAAUCCACGAGCAUAACCGAAGCAACGACAGUAGUAGCAAAAAAAUAGGCAGAUAACAGGCAAACUUUUAUUGAAUAUUCAAGUUGAAAACCAAGGCUACUGCAUGACAAUCAUGCAAGUGGUUGUUGUAGCUUGCCUAGCGGUGACGGAGACUCCGGGAAGAAGUGCGGUGAAGCUGCGAAAACGAAAUGCCGGACAGUUCUCUCUCGAAGGGGGCUGAUUAGAGGCGAGGGCGAAAUGGUCACUUUCACUAUGGGACCACCUAGUGAAAAUGUAACCAACAGAAAGAGCUCGACGAGACGAAGAGGUGAGCGUUGGUUUCACCUUGAUCGGAGCUACAGUUGAAAAGCUAUGAGGGGUGGAAGUUCAGGGACCAAUUUGUAACUAUUUUCUCCACGAACAAGUCCCUGAGCUGAAAAACAGAAAGCGCAUUUACAAGAUUACGCCUUCGGAACAUAGAAAGCACUCUGCGCCUCAGUAGACUGAAAUUCGCUUUCAGAAAGUGGAAAUGUAUUUUUAUCUCAAGCUAAAGAGGUGUACGUUUUCAGAAAAGGAAAAUGCAUUAUAAGAAAAUGUGCUUCCACUUAAAAAGCGCAGGCAUGGGGUUGUGCCACUUACCGGUGGGACCAGGGGACAGGUGUGGCCCAGCGGCAGGGGCGCUGGCCUCGUCUUCUUCCUCCUGCUCGUUCACGCGGGGAACAGAGGAGGCAGGGGAUCAGCGCGCUGCCGGCGAUGGGCCCGGCCAGCUCCGACCAAGGCGAGGCCACCGGCAGGUGUGCGGAGGUCCACCGCAUCCAUUUAAAGGCCAAUGGAGGCACGGGGAGGAACGGAGAGGACAGGAGGUCGCAGCAAUGGGGAAGAACAGAGGCGGCAUGGCGGUGGUCUACGGCAACGAGGCCAGGUAUCUCCGACGAGGCUGAGGGGUCGGGAUGGACCGCGGGGCUCAGGGGAGUGCUCUAGUGGUGCUGGGAGGAGGAGAGGAGCCCCGGAUGGUGAAGACGACGAGGCGACCGAGAGGAACGGGUGGCGGUCGGAAGGGGAGCACGCGGCCAGGGUGGACUCCGGCGACGGACGAGGGGGCCGAUGACUCCGGUGAGAAAAUGAGGCGAGGGAGGGAGCUAUGAGCUGCGGGAGGGGUCGAGGGAGCUAUAUAUAGGCGUGGGAGGGCUUUGGGAGAGCUCGAGAGAGCCCCAGCUCGAAGACAAUGGCGGAGCAGAGGCUGGACAUGUCAUGGGCGCAGUGACGGCGAACACAGUGUAAGGGCGGGGCAGCGAUGCAGGGUGAAGCAGUCGAGCACGGGCUACCUCCAGGACAAGGAUUGAGGUCAAGAAGCGGGGGGAAAUGACGGGAAUGUGGGCGAAAACGUGCCAGAGCACGGUUUUGGGCUGAUGCACCCUAUGGUCACCGCGUGAGCUGGAGCAAGCGACUCGUUCUGGCCAAACCGACCAUGUCCAGUAGAAUGACCAUUAUACCCUGAGUCUAAACAAAGCAACAAGUCGGUUCAGGGGCAAAGAAGAGAUUUGGAGGAGGAGCCAAAAGAUUGUGGCAGCAACCUGCUUGUGCUGCAUAGAGGGGACACAAACUUGGCAAUAAAGGAACUGAUUUGUCUGGUGAUGAUCACACACUAAGGUGAUGUUGAUCACCAAAAAUCAGCUUAAGAGGAGGAGCUUAGAGGGUGGUUGCUGUAGAACGUGACAUACUGGCCAGAAUUAGAGAUUUGGAUGAUGCUCUCAUAUGGAGAGGCAAAUUGAGCUGAAAUUGGGCAUGGCCCAAUUAUUGGAAUAUAUGAAGAUGCUCGAAAAGUUUCAUGUCAUUUGGAUUAAGCAAAAUGGCACUUGCUUCACAAAGCAUCUCACAUGACAGAAUUUUGGAUAAAUUGCACAGGGCAAUUGGAUAGAUGAAAUGAGCCAAAAAAAUUGGUGGAUGGAUUUGAUAUGGAUAGGAGAAUGCCCUCGAAACUUCUUAGCUUAAAUGAAGUAAUUUAAAAUAUAGUUGCUUCACAAACUGAAAAUCUGACCAAAAACCAAGAUUUGGAGCUGUGCUCACAUAAACGAGUUAGAUGAGCUCAAAUUUGGUGGAGAGUCAUUAUUUGAUCAUACGAAGGACCUUGCAAAAUUUCAAAUUAUUUGGAUAUGCCUAGCUAGUACUUCCUUCACAAUGUCUUCCCUCAGACAUGAACUUUGAAAAAUUGCCCAAGAAUAUUUACUAAGCAAAUUGAGUUGAAUUUUGGCAUGGUGCAAUUAUAUGGACAGCAAAAGAUGUCCAAGAAGUUUGGGGUCAAUUGAGAAAAGCUAAAUACCACUUGCUUUGCAAUGUGCCAUUUAGGGCAUAAUAGGAAAAUAAUUAUUGGAGGAUUAUUUUUGAACAUGGCUAUGAAAAGUUUUGCCAUAUUUGAGGAAGAUAGGACGCAAUUGGAGUGGCAGAAGGAUGGGUUUCUUCACAACCUAUGGCAAAUAGGAUAAUUCCUUUAAUAGAAAAGAAAUAUUCCCAAUAAAAGAAUAUUUGGAUUUGGGCUAGGAUGAAAAUGACAUGAGCUAGGGAUGGUUUUGGGGAUGUCAAGCCACUAUAAAACCUAGGAAGACCUGAUCUUCCCAAGUUUUGGAACCACAUAGCCACAGAAAAGAAAAUCAAAUCAAGAAAUCCAAGAAAAUCAAAGGAAAAAAGAAAAGGGCAAAAUCCAGUGUUACAAACCUUCCCGCCUUAAAGAAAUCUCGUCCUCUAGAUUUGUUUGGUCAUGGAUAAAUAAUUUUUCUGACUUUAAAAAACCGUUUCCAACUCGGGUUUCUUUUAUUCAUUCUAAUAAUAGUCCCACUGAAUUGGAUCUGACUGACUUCCUUGAUCUGGGGUGGUUUGCUUCACCGUAUCUGACAUUCUGCCAGGACUUACCUCAUAUGUUUCUGUUCAUACUGACUCAAAAUUUUCCUUGACAUCUGCAGGCCUGGCUGAGGUCCAGAAGAUUAUCAUUCCUCGCAUACGUGUCCUUCACGAUAUUAAUCCUUGCUGGAGAUGUUAUUCUUGUAUUGAGUACCGAGAAUAUUCCACGGAGUUGGGAACACAUCUUCCCGUGGAACUAGGAAUCUCUUCUAUCCAGAUAUCAGACUACUUGAAUAUAUGCAUACCUUUUAGGUUCAAAACAGUAAUAGGAAUCAUACUUGUCUUUUUGAUGGAUUCUGACUUCUUGCAGGAGUUUCUGACUUGUCUUACCUGACAUCACUGUCUUUCAUAUCCAAUCUGUACCAAAAUUUGACUGUCGCUUGACGUGACUGAUAGAAAAGUGCAUCUUCUCCGGAUGAUAACAUUUGCAGACCUGGCUGACGGUGAUAUUGGCAAAGAAUUCCUUUCACGGCAGGCUAUUCUGUAAUUGCUCCCCAUAUGCGAGAGAUAACAAUCCUCAAAGUAUGUGCUCUCACACUGAUUCUUCAUUUUUCCGGUAUCUCCAUGUGGAUAACAGUCCGUGUGAUGCUCCAGCGCGUGCUGAGGUCAAUAUAUUGAGUUGUCCUGGGUUCGAACGCAAUGAAGUAGACCUCUCGGGAGUAUCUUCACUUGGUAUUUGAUAUGAAAUAUCACUGUCUUGGGCAUACAUACCACACAAUAACCGGCAUACCUGUAUUGUCGGUCUUGCUCUUUGAUUAUACUUACUUCAUCUGGAUCCUUAACUGAAAGAGUGGGGCCUUAUAUAUCAUUGAUUAGUUUCGCGGCCCUGAAUACUGUCAUGUGCAUUAUCUUGCAAUCAUACCUUGGUCUUGUUCAUGUCUUGAGUCUCGGGAUAUUUAUCCAGUUCACGUGUGCUUAUACUGAUCUCAUUAUUGUUGUUGAUUAUACCAUACAGUGACAGGAUUAAUAACAUCACCCUGUCGGAUGUGUCGGUGUUCUGGGAACGGGGGUCCCCACACUUGCCUACCUGCGGCCUGCGGCGUGGCUCAAGCAGUGGCCCAGUACGGCCCGUCUUCAUCAACCCAAGCUCAAGACCCUCGCGAGGGGCCAAGCCUCGUGGGGCGGACGACGCAAGGCUUCCUUAGGGGCGGCCUCGCCAGGCAGGCUCGUGAGGAGGCAGAGAGAUCAAGGCAAGGAAUACCUCGCGAGGUGCUCGUGACGCAAGCCAUGACGAUCGAGGCCAGGCGGGUGCCAGGAGGGCGCCAGCCAGCGCAGUGUCCUCAUUUCCUUUUUGGUGCAAAGGGGUCAAGCGCAGGCGCGGAAUACCGAGGCAUCAAGCAAAGGUUUCCCUAUCGGUGCAACGAGACCAAGACCAACAGGAUGACAGGACAGAGAUCACCGUGGAGCCCAGGGCGGCGUCAUCGCCAGUGCCUUUGGCAGACGAAGACCAACUUUAGUCAGGAUAGCUUGUACUAGCUGUCCCUCUUCAAAAUGGCCGUUGUUGGCUUCCUUCCCGCUCAAUAUUUGGGAAGAGGACCAGGGCCUCUAUAAAUAGAGAUAGCCACCACAGUAGAAAGGGAUCGAAUCCUUCCCAAGUAGAAUCCCGCACCAACUGAAGAACACCCCUCGCGAGGCUGUUCUUCCUUUGUACUGUUCAUCGUCAGCUCCAGAGGCAAUCCACCACACCACACACUGGAUUAGGGUAUUACACCACAACGGUGGCCCGAACCAGUAUAAACCUUGUGUCCCUUGUGUUGUUCAUCAUGUAGCUUAGAUCCGCGACGAGGUUUUGGGGCAUGGAUUGGUAGGGAGAAGAUCUUCGUGCGCACCCCAGAGUUCGAACCUUAAGGGUUUUGCCGGAACCCCACAUCCGACAUUUGGCACGCCAGGUAGGGGUGCGCCGGAAUCUUCCUCCCGCUUAUCUGCAUUCGCUGCUUCAUCGCAUCCAUGUCCGGCGACUCGACGGCCAAUGCUGACCACUGGGCGGCAUGGCCUGCCCAUGCCGCACCGCCUGCCCAAGGUGACCUCAACCCCGCACCUCAGGCAGCCCGCGCUCCGCAGAAUGCUGUGGAGCGCGGCGACGCGGUCAAGCGCCGCCUGCCCUCACUCUGCGGCAGGUGCGAUUAGCAACAAGGGCCUCAAACCACACCGCGGCCACAACAUCGCACACCCAACGAGAACAGGCGAACAUGAAGGCCGUGCUCACGGUGGCUUGGGAGCUGCUACGGUGUCGGCUGCACGAGAGUGGCCAUGACGUGAUGCUGGAACGCGUCGCUGAGCUCCUGGAUGCCGCAGCUUCAGGGGCUCCUCCUUUCUGCGUCCAGCUUCCACCCCAGGCCCCAGGUGGAUCAUACGGCAGACCCAGCCACGCCCGUGUGCCCUCAGGCAUACCCCAAGGCUCCAUCAAUACCAGCUCAACCAUCGGUGCAUGGCAUCAAGUUGCACCAGCACCACCCCCCGGUGAGCGAGGGGAUGCGCAUCACCGCCGGCGGCCCGGGCGGGCCGCCGCCCUAUCACCCCCAAGACGGUGCUUCGAGCCAGCCUGCGUGUAGCAUGGGGCACUAUAGUGAAGCCUUCGGGGUGGCAGCCUCGGAGGCUUAUGUGCCCCAUAUGGUGGAUCUGGAAUACGCGCUAGAAGACGACCCUGGCUCGUUCCUCGGGCCAGGCUGGGAGGAAGAGACACCAGAAGCUGAGCCUCUCCAGGAGCCUCAAGGAAGCCUCAUCGGCCACGCCAGCGGCAGCAACUACCGGGUACCACUGAUUCCUUAGGAGCAAGCUUAUGCUAAUCAUGGGUCGCAGGGGGGUUAGGUCACUACAGCGGAAGGCUGCCCUAGCUCGGCAGCCUCCCUUCCGCCAGGAGGGGUGCACUGGGGGCUGCAAGAGAGGGGCCGAGAGCCAGGCCCCUCCCCACGACACGCGGAGCAAGGUGAUUUUCGGAGGUAGGCCCUCUGCUGGGGAGGUGCCGCAAGGCCUGCCCCCGGCAGAGGACCCAUGGUCGUCGAGGGAACCGCUUGCGUCCGCUUUACCCCAUUGGAAACGUCCUUGGUUUCCGAUCGCCGUCAAUGGUGGUCAAGGGUGGCACAAGGCGGGGCCCUCGGCUAGCGAUAUGAAGCAAGGCCGGUACCUGUGAAGAAGGCCCAGUGCCUGUGAAGCUCGCCGCCCGUGACACUCUCACGUAAUAAUGAGUGGGGCUGUACACGCCCCGGACUCUCCGGAGUGCCGCCCUCGGGCCUCGGGGGCUCCCUCCCACGCCCAGUGGCAGCACUUAGCUCCGCGCUGGUGAGAAGACGUCGAAGACUAGACUAGGUGCCGGACGCAGCCGUUUUCUUUCUACCUUCCUUUCUGUAGUCGAGCUUCCUUGCUUCGGAUUUAAGUUAAAGUUGAAUUUUCAUUUGCGUAUGUGCGGGGAGGGGUGUUUUGUCUCGAUUUGUGUGUUUUCUUGCGCUCCAGUUUCUGCCCUGUUUAGGAGUUCGCACCAGCUGCCUCCCCCUCGUGAGCCUCUCGCAGGCGGGGCUGGGCUCAGCACACGCAUGCAUGUCGUCCCGCGGCCAGCACUCGCUCUCGCGAGGCUCUCACCGUGACAUCGGCAGGUCCCCCAGAGGAUCCAUGGAGGAUCGCAGCCCCACAGGCCUACCCAUGGUACGUCCGGGCUAAACGUAAACCAUAGCAAUUAAUCCAUCAAGGGGCCCGCAACAUCACACCGGCGUGCAUUUGGCAACAUUCUUAAAAACAUGUGGACGACAAUCCUUUUUACAUGAGGGGCUUCCCCUCCCAAAAUGCUCUUACAACCUCUAGGGCCGCACCCGAGUUUCUCUACGCAGGAUAAACAGCAGGGGGAUAUGAGAUCAAUCAGACAUGUCGCUCAUUGCAUCCUCUUGGUCGUCUCCAGAGGCAUCAUUGGCACCACCGUCACUGUAACUAGCAUCACCAUCGCCGUCAUCAACGCCAUCUUCACCGCCGUUCACCACAUCACCUUCGUCCGCAGGAACUACCACCCCAUCAUCGCCAGCAGCGAAGGCCCUGACAAGUGCAUCUAUGUUGUCCUCCACCCACCGCGCCAGGUCGCCUCGAAUGGCCACGGGCACUGGAGCGAUGAUGGCGUCGAAGUCGAAGUGGGGAUCUCUAUCCUAAAGAUGGCUGAAGACACGGGAGAAUGCACGCCCGAGCAGGCCGCGACUCCUCUCCUCGACAAGCUGGCGAGCUCUCUCAAAGCGAUUCUCCAGAUGUGUCACCACGUCAGUGAAGAACUGAAGAUAACCGACAUAGUUGGUCACAUGGGGUUGCGGAGCGUUCGCAUCAUAGAUAUUGCCCAGGGCCGUGUUGGCCCUGUCCCUGAGCGCUUGGAGCAUGGGGCCAUGCAUAUGCACCAGCGUCUGCCUCUGGAGAAUUUCUUCUCUGUUUUGCCGUGCAACGGACUCAGCGUCAUCGACCUGCCAUUGAAGAAGAAGCAGCUCGGCGCAGGAGGAGGCCAACUCAGUGUGCGUCGAGACCAGGGCGGCGGCGGAGGCCUCCGCGCGCUGCGUCGCUUCGGUCAGCUUGGACCUAAGGGCGGGAGUCCUGCCUGCAGUCUCGGCUUCAAUCAGCUCCAUCCUCUCGUCGAACUCGUGCGCCAGGCCCACGUGAUCCUCCUCCACGCGGCAGUCAACCUCUUCUUGGAUUCAGGCCUCCCACGCGCGAACAUCAUCCUCCUCUAGGGUAACCUGGCGCUCUCUCGUCUCCAACCGCUCGAGCUCAAGACUACGCUCUGCAGCCUCCAGCGCGAGCGCUUCCUCACGCCUCCGGAGCUCCUCCUCCUCGGCGGGCGUCGCCUUCAGCGACGCAAGGGCGGCCUGACACAACUCCACUUGCUGCUCCAGGGAAGUGCUCUAGGAUUGGAGCUCCCACGCGUGCUUCUCCAUGAUCUCGCGCCGUUGGUUUGCCUCCCGAGCCUCCUCAAUAGCUCAGGAGCAGGCCUUUCGCGAGGCUUCGAGGGAUGCUUCGGCCUUUAUCAAGCUCGCGCUGAUGACAUGCGAGGCUGACUGCCACCCUCAGCUUGCGCCACUCCUCAACCAGCCGUAGGCCUUCGGCUUCAGGACAUGCAUCCACAUCCGCAAGCUCUCCACCGAGCUGGCCGAUAGCGUCCAUCGCCUUCUGGAGGCACUCUUGACGAACGACAAUGCGCUCCCGCGUUCGCCUAAGCACGUCGUUGAUGCCGUCCUCUGCUGCUGGCAUUGGUGGAGGGCCCUGAAGGGGUUCACCCCCUCUCGGCAAGGGGCUGGGGGCUGGCGCUCCCACAAUCACCGGACGAGUACCGCAAGGGACCCUGGCCGGCGCAGGUCCAUCCCCGGGAGAAGAACCAAGGAUCAGCUUCAACCAUUCGCCGUCCAUGAUCACAGAAGGAGCCAGGGGCAGGCCGGUCGCGCCUCGGGCGAAGUCGCGAAGGAAAGCCGGCAAGGGCACGGGCUCGAGGCGCCGUGCAGGCCGGCUUGCUUCUUUGGCCGAACUCGCGUCAGGGGCAGCACGCCGGCUCAGGACGCGCAAGGCCAGUGAUGGAGGCAAGGCCAGAGGAGAUUUCUUCUUAGCAGACUACGCAGGCUUGGCAGAAGGGAUCCUGAAGGGCCACAAUCGGGGAAGGGACCAGCGAUUGAGGAAUUACAAAAAUAAGGCACUUACUCAUCCGUCGUGAAGUAUUCCUGUGCUUCAACGAUCGGCAGGGGUGCUCAUUGCCACUUGUAGACUCCUUCCUCUUGCGGAGGGCAUCAAAGUCUAUGUGGAACCGACCCAGGCUCUCAACAUGAGGGCCGGCGUGUGGCACAGACGAAGAAGUGCCUGGGCAGCCUGCCUUUGGGGCGCCAAGCUGAGAGGAGCGAUCGGGCAUCGCUUCUUGGUGGCCUGUCGAGGCCUUAGGGGCUUCAGCCUCGGGAGCUGUAGGUUGUGCCCCCUCGUCAACAACUAUCUCAGGGCGGGCUUCGCACCGGAAGACGACGCUUCGGGAGCUCCUCACGACAUCGGCAUCUCGACACCAGAUCCCACAGCCUUCAGCGAUGCUUGCCUCCUUGCACCCCCUCCCGAGGCAAGGUCGGUGUUGGCAACGGGGAAGGGAGCCACGGCAACAGGAUUCUCGUGAGGCCCCACGAGGCCAGCCGGGCGCAGCCCCCAUUCAUCAAAGUGAGGCAUCUACCUCGCGAACUUGGCUCCGCCCGAGCAGAGAUACAGGAGGCUGCCCCCAUGCCAGAUAUUGCCCGACGAGGGGUUGCCUGUCAAGACCUCCAGAACCUUCCUCAGCAUUUUAGGCGCCAGCUCCAUAUCCUGGAGCCUCAUGCGGUCCUGAGGCCCAGUCAGGGUCCACAUCGGUCGAGAAUGGCGCUGGAGAGGAGCAACGCGACACUGGAAGAACUGCUUCACCACCUUGGGCGCGGUCACGCCGAGCGCUCUCAACCUCCCCAGCCGACGCCAGAUGAAGGAAAGACGGGAGAUCACGAGCCUCUCGUGGCCCCAGUCCGGAUUGGGGACAGCGGGCAGAGUCGGAUGCGAGAGCAGGGGGCUGGGCAUCCCGACAUCCACAUACAGCCACCGCGUCCGGAACCCAUUCAUAGAAGGUGAGAGGCUAAAAUCAAUCCUGAGGCGGCCGACUUUGCCACAGCCUGGAAGCUCACGCACCCCGAGCACUUCAAUGGGUCGGUCAGGCGCAAGGAGAAGAAGUGACGCAAGAGGGCAAUGGAUGGGGCGAUGCCCACCAUGUCUUCGCAGACAAAGGCGAAGACAUCAAGAAGAGUAAUGGAUUGAGGAUCAAGAUGCAUCAUAUGGAUCUAUUAAUGGGAAAGCACCGCAUUGAAGAAAGCAGAGAAAGGGGGGACCAGACCAUCCCACAGGGCGUCGACGGAGAAUCGAACCUUAGUGACAAUCCUGUCAAUGGAGGCAUGGGAUGCAGGCCAAACCAUCGUCCUUCCACAUUCAUUGAAGCUAGAGGCGAGUGCGGGGCAAAUCUUCUCCAAGGCCUCCAGAUUGACUACCAACGACCGGCCGACGGCGGGCUCACGCUAGAUGAGGACGCGGGCUUCUUCCCCUUAUCCUUGCUAGUUGGUGCCAUAGCGAUGGAAGGGGCAGAGCUCAAGUCAGAUUGGAAGCGGGAGCAGAGGUUUGAGGAAGAGAGGGGAAUGGGAAGCACGUGGGCAGCAAGGAGGGAAUAACUGUGUAAAGCUUUGUGUCCACCUAGCCAGGCGGAUAUUGGGGGAGCAUGGGGAAGCUGAGACGCCCACGUCCAAUCAACUGCCACGCAGCGACCAAGGCCGCAGGCUGUUGGGGCCCGCGGCGCUCCGCACUUGCCCUUUGGCUUUGCUGCUAAGCCAGGUCCGAGUGCACCUUGGGACCGGGGGCUACUAUCGGCGUUCUAGGAAUGGGGGUCCCCAGACUUGCCUGCCUGUGGCCUGCAGCGUGGCUCAAGCAGUGGCCCAGUAAGGCCUGUCUUCAUCAACCCAAGCUCAAUACCCUCGCGAGGGGCCAAGCCUCGCGGGGCGGAAGACGCAAGGCUUCCUCAUGGGCGGCCUCGCCAGGCAUGCUCGCAAGGAGGCGGAGAGAUCAAGGCAAGGAAUACCUCACGAGGUGCUCGUGAUGCAAGCCACAAUGAUCGAGGCCAGGCGGGCGCCAGGCAUGCGCCAGCCAAUGCAGUGUCCUCAUUUCCUAUUUGGUGCAAAGGGGGCAAGCACAGGCGCGGAGUACCGAGGCAUCAAGCAAAGGUUUCCCUAUCAGUGCAAUGAGACCACGACUAGCAGGACGGCAGGACGGAGAUCACCGUGGAGCCCAGGGCGGCGUCAUCGCCAGUGCCCUUGGCAGACGAAAACCAACUUUAGUCAGGAUAGCUUGUACUAGCUGUCCCUCUUCAAAAUGGCCGUUGUUGGCUCCCUUCCCGCUCAAUAUUUGGGAAGAGAACCAGGGCCUCUAUAAAUAGAGAUAGCCACCACAGUAGAAAGGGAUCGAAUCCUUCCCAAGUAGAACCCCGCACCAGCUGAAGAACACCCCUCGCGAGGUUGUUCUUCCUCUGUACUGUUCAUCAUUAGCCCCAGAGGCAAUCCACCACACCACACACUGCAUUAGGGUAUUACACCACAACGGUGGCCCGAACCAGUAUAAACCUUGUGUCCCUUGUGUUGUUCAUCGUUUAGCUUAGAUCCGGGGCAAGGUUUUUGGGCGUGGAUCAGUAGGGAGAAGAUUUUCGUGUGCACCCUAGAGUUCGAACCUUAAGGGUUUUGCCGGAAGCCCACAUCCGAUAGGAUGUGCAGGGAUGUUCUUGAUAAUCACUGCCAAGAUUGAGGCCUCAAUGUUGUCUUUCUUCCAGACUUGUCGAUCCUUGCAUCGCCCACUGGUUUGUUGUCUCUUGAAUAACCGGUGAGGUUGUCCGAUGCAUGCCGUGAAUUCUUCCUUGUGUGAGAGACUUGCAUGAACCUGGCAUCAUACUCACUGUAUGAAGAAAUAUCUGAUUCUGGAAGUAUACCUUUGUUCUGACUGAUUCUGGUUUCCGACCCAACUGUGGAAGAUUUGCCACUUUGAAAACACAGCCAUAUGCUGACAAUCCAUUGUUUAUUUUCUUGUACCAGUGCCAUACUGAAGAAGACUGGGCAGCUUGCUUCGGAAUCCAUCGGGGUAUCGUGCUGCAGAAGACUGGAUAGCUUGUGCUCGAAGCUUUCUGCAGAUAUCUUGCUGAGGAAGGCUAGGUACCGUACCUUAUAAGCUUCCCCCCCUUAAAUACUUACUAGGGAAGACUUGGUACCUUAUGCCAAGAGCUUUUGCAGUAUACAAUUGAAAUGACUGAAUAUCUUGCACUGGAAUCCAUUCCCACCUUUCUGAUGCAGACUGGUGAAUUGUGUCUUGUAUGCUUUGCUGAUAAAUUGUGGAGAAGGACUGGACUGAUCUUCUUUGUGAAUGGAUGAACAUUUAUAUUCUUGUCAUUCCGGCUGCUGAUAAUUUCUAUGACAAGAAUUGUCUAACUAUCCUUCUUGUUGAAUUCCUUGCAUAUUUGGACUGACUUCUGGGUAUCGCAUGCUUCAAAUCUGAUUCAUGACAGUCUCAAUCAUCGUGUAUGAACAAUACCUCUGAUUUGAAAUGCACUGUUGGACUUGGAUCCAAUUUUGUUCUCUUGCUGACUUAAUCAUUGUUGCAAUAAUGGUGUAUCUCUAACGGGUACUUGUUACUAAAAGUCUGAGCAGAAUAUACUUGUAUUCAGACCAGAUGUCUGCAAUACCAUGCUAUCAUAUGAAAAUCCCAUUAGUUUUAACUAAGUCCUUCAUAUAUAUCUAUACUUAUCAUGGCUUCGUCUGAUCCGGUAUCGGUUGAUGAGCAGCUUGCAUAAGGGGGUAACACCGAAGAUUUAGAACAAAGAAGCACAAGAAAAUGAUCGAUUGCAAUAAAGCACACAACAAACAAGCUCCAAAACUAAUCCACACAGGCACACACAAGCAUAAACAAGCAAUUAUACUAUAGCAGAUGCACAUGCACUACACAAAUGACUACACCCUACGCUUGAGCUAACGCUCGGGGACUGACAAAGAAGCUAAGGGAGUAGCGAGCGGAACUGCUGACUCCGAUACUCUGGAUGGAUGAGGCGGAUGGGUUGGAGAAGCUGGCAGAGACGGAGGCAGGGAAGCACCAAGAAAUCUCCUGGCUCAAAUGGCGUCUUAGACUAACUCGGAAAUAAGAAGGCACUCGACCGUCCUAUAAUGGGACAUGACAAGGAUAGCCGGGUCAUCCUGGGGGUUGACAGGCGGGAAUUGGAUCCGCUUAGGAUUCUCAAUGAUGGUGGGAUAGAAUUGAUAAGCACGGUUCUCUUGCACCAUGCUCUCUUGAUGACAAAGGUCGGUGAUUGUUGCCAUAGCGGCAAGCUGAAUGGCACGCUCGGGAGUAGCGUUGUAACCACCAUGGAAACUAUAGGUGCGCUUACCAAUAGGAAUCAGGGUGACAAAUGGACAUGGGCAACAUACUCCAGGAUUCUUCCUCCGGCAGAAAACUGGAAAACUUGAUAAUGGGGUGGAUCUCCGCGGGGAUAAAUGCCACACCACAUGUCGCCAAGGAGGUGGCAAAGCUGAGAGAUAAAGGAGUGGGGUUGAAUGCAAUAGGAACAACACCGGGAGCUCUAGGGAGGGCACUUAACUCAUGGAAGCUGACCGCCAUCUACGCAUGAAACAGGGGUUAGGGAUAACCGAAUAAGACUAUAUGCAGCAACCAAAUGCAACAACCAAAUGCAGCAAGCAAGGGCAACAACCAGACCCUAUACUACCGUUUUCUAACGUUCCAGCGGACUAGGACGCUCUACAGCCAGACCUGCUCUAAUACCAAGCCUUGUGGCACCCCAGCUCAGAGAAACCGGAACGCCCCGUAUUCCAACCCAAAGAUCAAGAUGAAGUCUUCUGGAAUACGAUACUACUUAGCAUAGAACAAACCAGCUUACUAUUACAACCUGAAUACGAAUACAAGGUCUCCGAUAUUACAAUGAAUUACACCGGCACAGUGACACUACAUGAACUACAGUUGCUCUAUGCAAGCAGCAUAACAACUCGAGGCAGCGGAACCUCUACUGGCAGCAAAAGAACUAUUGGCAGCAAAACAACGAACGACGAUCAUGGACUCCAAUCCGCAGGGACUCUGGCUGGAAUGUUUAUCCUAGCUCGCGAACACAGGAACUACACCAAAUAAGAAAGAAAUCCAGGCACGACCUGCAAAAUGGCAUGACACACCAUGUCAGUACAUUGAAUGUACUUGCAAGCUCACAAUAACCAAAAAUAGUCAAGACAAACAACAGCAUGGCAUUAGCAGGUUAAAUCAAUCAUGAACAUGAUACUAGCAGAACAACAUGGCAUGCACAACUGAACAUGAUACAACUUUACCAUGGCAUGAGCAUAUGAACAUGAUGAUAAUAAAUGCAACAAGUUAACAUUAUCAUGCACCAACUUACUCUUCUCGGGUUACCUCGUAACCAACACAUGCAUCAACUUACCCACAUCGGUAUCCAUGAUACCUCCGUGAUCAUCUCGCGAUCACAUAAAGAUCAACCAACUUCGGUAUCCAUGAUACCUUUGUGAUCCUUCCUCGAUCACAACCAAUUUCUUUCUCAUCAUUGAAGCAGCAUUGUUAUUAAUCAAGUUAUUAUUAUUGUUGGCUCAUAGUGUGACCGACUCCGGACUGGGCCUAUAUCCGCUAGAGCGGCUAUCGAUAGAUUAAACACACACUCUGCAGAGGUUAGCACACUAUACCCAUGCCAUGGAACCCAUGGCCUCGCACUACCGUAUGUGUGGACCAAUGGCGUUCCGACAAAACCAAUCUAUUUCCCAUGACACUCUCCCGGCCACUCCGACCAACUCCCUUUCUGGGCUAAGUCAUGGGUGGCCCCAUGCCUACCAAUGGCAUCAACGGCCACUGUCGUGGCAAAAUAAACGGCCCCAAACGGAGACAAGGUACCACAACAAUAACAAUGGGCACACAAGGUUUACGUCCACCUACCAGAUCAGGGUAGCGCGAGCCCAUAACCUUCCCUCGUUGGAGUUACCAGCGAGAGGCAUGACAACAAACCCAGUUAGGUCCUUCCCGUAAAGGCAAAUGUGGUUGCACUGGUCAGCUUGAUUCAGUGGCACCAUGACUCAGCCAAUAGUUGCUCAAGGUCAUUAUUUCCAGUUAGACUUGAAUGCAAUAAGCUGAGCCAUAAUAAAAUAACAUGAUGCAACUACAGUGCAUGAGCAUGAUACCAACAUAAGCAUGGAUGUGCAACCAUAACAAAUCAUCGAGCAUAACAACAAUGAAGCAUUAAAUCAUAUGAGCAUGUCAUAAUGAUGAGCAUAAGCAUAACAUAACCAUGAGUAUAGCAUGAAUACUAGCAUCAGAAAUAAAUAUCGUGCAACAACAUAACAAGAAUACUACCAAGUGAGCAUGUAACCAAUUGGAUGCAAAGUAACAUGCAUAGCAACGGUACUUGAUAACAGACGGUAAACAUGCAUCAGUGUCGGUGGAAAACGACACCUAUGGGAUCACUGGAAUCCCUUCUACAGUUUCGGGGCGCGGGAUCGUGAGCGAGCGGGACUAGCGGGUGGCACAAAGGGGAUUUACCCAGGUUCGGGCCGCAAAUAUGCGUAAAACCCUACGAUCCUGCUUCGCUGGUUGUAUUAGUGUUCUUGAGUUCUUGAACUAGCUCUGGAUGCUGCGAGGUUCAAAAGAGCCGAAUCCUUUCUCCGUAUUCCAUGGGACUCCUUUUAUAGGCGAAAAAGGGGUUGCCACAGUGGCACAAAGGAGGUGGAAAGUGCUACAGCAUUGCGUGGUUAUCGCUAGCAUUACAAGACAAGACGCAUUAAAUGCGAGGCUUAGGUGUCCUUCACUUUACUGGGAGACGGGGGAGAGGCCCGUCCCGUCCGUCGCUGCCCCUCCUGGCUUCGACACGCGCCCCAGCCAGCAACGCAUGCAACGCCAUGUAGGCAGGCAGGCAGCUGAGGUGGCGUAGUGGUGGAGCCUCCACGAAGGUUUGCAUGUUGCCACGCAGGUGCCUGCCCAGCUGGUUAGGUCGGCGGCUGCGUACGAACGGCGGUUGGAACCUAGCUGGCGCGGGCCUGGCAGUGGCCUUGCCGGGGCACUUGGCGAUGGUCUUGCCGGGUGACCCGGCAAGGGUCUUGUCGCAGCACGCUGGCUUCCCCGGCAAGGAUCUUGCCUGGGGGCCCUGUGGGUUUCUUUGGUGAGGAUGGUUGCCUUCCUAUCCUCUUUUGAUCUUGAUUGCUCUUUGUCUUCACAAAGAUCUGCAUGCCACCACGGAGGUGCCUCCCGAACCCUGUCCCAACGUGUCUGCUCAGUGUUGGCGGGCUUGAAGGUGGCUCGCUCGGCUGGUGUGGACGAGCUACCCCGGCAAGGAUCUUGCCGGGGCUGUUGAGGCUGCCCCCGACAAGGGUCCUUGCCGGGGCAACCUGCAUUUCCCGUGUGACCUUUGUGGUCUUGGUCCUUUGUCAUUUGCUUUGCUAGUUCCUGUGGCUUUGGCUUUUCUCCGGCUUCCCUCUCUUGCCCUGCUCAUGUGUGGGUGUGGCAGGUGGCUCUGACUGCCCGUACACAAGUAAAGGGGUCAAAAGCUGGGCCCCUCCUUUUGUACACCGACAGGAGCCCUUGGGCCUGGGUCACACAUAGGCGCAGCACGUUAUUGGGCCAGGCCCAGAAUGGUGCGUGGGCAGUUGAGGCAGAUUUUACCGCGACCACUGUUCCGCCCGCCGCACUUCCCCACGACCUGCAUUGAACGCGUGAUGUGGGGGUCGUGCGCGUGCGUGACAUGGGGGGCAUGUGUGGGAUGGCGACCGCACGCAUGUGUCGCAUCGCAAUUAAUGGAAAGGAGGCGGCCCGCGUCUUCCCCAUAAAAAAGGAUAACCGCGGGCGCGCUACUCACUUUUCCCCUUUCCUGCGCCUCCCUCCAUCUUGAAACCGCCGCCCCCUUUCUUCUUCCUCGAGCCCCCUGUUUCUUCUCAUCGUCGACGCGCUUCCGUCAUCCCCUGCUUUCUGCGACCGCAAUGGCGCCCAAAUCCUCCAAAGGAAAGGGGGCAGCCAAGGAUGCUGGCGCGGCGGAGCCGUCGGAGAGCGAGCUCGUGGCGCGACGGGUGCAGUUCGCCCUCUUUCCCUCGACGGUCGACGUGCCCAUGCUCCGAGAGUACUACAAGGUCCUAUGGGGCGUGAAGACGGGGGGAGAGACGACGGGGCAUCCGGCCACAUGUGUCGUCCCCGCCAGCGCCAGGCCCUCCCCAAAUUGGUACCCAUUCUUUGUCGACUACUUCUCCUGCAGGCUCUGUCCCCCUUUCUCUGAUUUCUUCAAGGAUAUCAUGUACACCUUCGGCUUCCGCCUCCUGGACUUCACCCCAAAUGUCAUGGCAUGUAUGGCCCUUUUCGCACACCUUUGCGAGGGCUUCGUCGGGGUGUAUCCCAGCAUGGCGCUCUUCCGCCACUAUUUCUCCCCUCAGAUCCAAAAGGGAGGCGUCAUCACCGGCAGCGUCACUUGGAUCCCAAGGGCCAAAGGAGCAUACCUGGACGGCGCCACGAAGGAGAGGUGGGAAGAGUGGCGGGGCCGGUGGUGCUUUAUCGAGGAGGAGAAACCAUCGGCAUUAUGUGAGGUCCAUCAGGUGGCACCGGUCCAUGGAAAGGACUGGGGCAACAUCGAUGUCAACGAUGAGAAGCUCACGAUCGCCACCACCAGGAUCCUCAGGCUUACCCGGGCCGGGCUCACCCUCGAGAUGAUCGGCGCGGACUUCAUCCACUGCCAGAUUGCCCCUCUGCACGACAAGGGGAGGCCGGCCUGGCUUUUUUUGAAUGCUGCUGAUAUCAUGAGGCUCCGCCCUAGCCUCGACCAUAAUAUGACAGUGCUGAGGCAUGCUCAUCUCUGCCAGCGAAUCUUCCAGCUCGAGGUUAAUGAAGAGGGUGAGGUGGAGUGGUCCGGCAAGGCGGCAAUGGCUACCGUGAAGGACGACAAGGUGGACAAGGAUCCCAUCUUCAAGUUGCCGACGGGGGUGGUCCCGCUCAGCAACAACUCUUGUCGGUUGGGUAUCAUCACCAUGAUGCCGCUUUUUAAUGGGCAUGGCCUCGACCCGAGCUGGGUCGAGCCUGACGAGCUCAGGGUGCAGGAGUUCUUCGACACCUUGCACGAGGCAUAUGUCGCCGACGAGCCGUGGCUUGUCCAGGACACUUCUCAGGAGGAGUUGGAGUACAUCGCCCGUAGGUUGCGGGAGGCAAGGCUUGCCGAUGAGUCGGCAAGGCUUGUCGUGGAGGCCGGCAUCACCGGCGGCACGGUGAACAGUGCCGCGGUGGAAGCGGAGGAGGAGGACCUCUCCCGGUGGGCGGCGGCCGCUGGGGAGGCCAGCGGCGCCAGCGCCGGGGCCCCCCUUGUCGAGGAUGUCGUUGACAGGGCUUCAGAGGAAGAUGAUGAGGAGGAGAUUGCGGCCUCUGUCCCUCCAGCCACUGGGAGGGGGCGAGUUCUGGGGCGGGCUGCCUCCGGCGAGCCGGUUCGCCCAGGCUGGGCCACGCAGUUGCGGCUAGCGCAGGGAGUGGCGACGCGCCAGACAAGGGCAGCGGUGACGAAGAAGGUGGCGGAGGCCGAGGCAGCAAGGAGGAAGACAACUGCUUCCUUGUCGUCCAGGCGUGCCCAGAAACCACCGCCCUUCCCGCCGCCGACACACAUUGGCGCGGGGAUUGCCUUCGACUUCGGGCCCCUCAGCCCGGACCUAUACUCUGGGUCACCCAGCCUGGCGAGGAAAAGGAAGGCACCAGAGGAGGAGGAGGAGGAGGAAGGAAAUGACGAGUAAGCCUCUGCUUUCCUCCCUCGUUCCCCGCACAUCCCCCGUUGGUGUUACUCAUUUGCCUUUAUUUUGCAGGGAUGUGGAGACGCUGGCCCAGAGGACGAAGAGGGCCCGGACGUCGGCGAGUAGCCAGCCCUCGGCAGGCACCUCCGGCACGCCUGUGGUGGUGUCGAGCAGCCCGGACAGCAGCCCCCGGCCCAACCCCCAGCGUGAGUCCAUCACCCUCCCUCCAUCAGCGUGUGUUAUGCAUGAUGUUUCAGUGCUAACCCUGCCGUGGAUGCAGGGGAGCAGCACCAAGGGGAGCCACGAAGGGCUUCUCCUAUCGUGCCUCCUCUGUCAACCACAUCGCCUCGAAGGGCGUCCCCGGCAAGGGCACCAAGCCCCGAGGCCAUGCGCACGGAGGAGGAGGAGGAGGAGAAUGCAGGCUUCGGUGGCUUUCCUUCGGCACCGGAUCUAGGCGGAGAAAGGGCUUCCGCCUCUCGGCCUGGCAUAGGUAGGCUACCCGUUUUUUGUUUACAUUCCUCUUUUCCUCUUUUUCUCACCGGCUUUUGAUCUUGGCUCCACCCCGUCUCUUUCUUGGUGUCUAGGCCCUUCUUCAGAGGAUGUCGACACCACCAUCAAGGACGUCGCCAGGGAGCCCGCGUCGGAGGCAGAGAAGAUUGCUGCCGAGGAGAGCGCCAGGGGUGCCGCCGAAGACGCUGCCAAGGGGCCCACUGAUGGCCUCGACAAGGAGCGUGUCGAGGAGCCCGGCAAGGGGCCCGCUGAGGGGACCGGCAAGGCCACUGCCGAGGAGGCGGUGGUCGACGACCAACCCUCCUCCUCCGCCGCCUCUGGCUCCGGCAAGUACCUAAAGGUGAGCGAUUACCUCUUCGUCCACAUUCCAGGUGCGUCAAGCUCCAGAGCCACAGUCAAGGGGGAAUUGCUUGACAACGAGGAGCUCGCUGCCGCCGGUCUUGACGUCGUUGACGAGCCGAGCAUCGACGGUGAUGGCUCCCAGGAGGAGCGGCUGCUCCGGGCCAUGGGCGUCAACUUCCAGAAACUCCAUGCUCUCCACCGCGCUCGCGUGGACAAGGCCAAGUCCAAGACGGUGGUGGUGGAGAAAGUGGAGGCAGAUUUUGAGGAGCGUGUCAUCGAGGCACAAGGUUGGUGGCGCCAGGCUCAGGACGAGCUGAAGGCCGCUCAGGGUGAGCUGGCCAGGCGCGACCUGGAGCUCACCAUGAGGCUGGCUGACAUCAAUAAGGCCCAAGAAAUGGCAAAGAGGCUGGCCGACGAGGCCGCAGCCGUCUGGUUCCAGCACGAGGCCGCGCUGAGGACCCAGGAGGAGGACCUUGCCGCGCACGAGGAGAAGCUUGCCGCCACUCUCCGCGGCAAGGAUGAAGAAGUGGACAAUCUUGUCCUGUAGCGGACCCAAGAGCUAGAGUGGAGGCAUCAGGAGGCACUCAACGCCCUGGCUCAGGCUCAUGCCGGCAAGGUGAAGGAGCUGGAGGAUCAAAGUCUGAAGCUGUCCCAGGAGAAGGACACGCUCAACGACGCCCUGACAGAGGCACAGGGCGAGAUCAUUGGCAAGUCUGGAGAGCUCUCCGAAGCCAACGCCUCCAUCAAAGACCUCAAGUUGAAGCUGGGAGAGCUCGAGGAGGUGUUGUCGGGAGGGACUCCUGACAAGAGAGAUGGAGACGGAGAAGCAGCUGCUGAGGAACGAGACCGCCAACCUCAAGGAUCACAAGGCGGGCGAGCAAGGCUGGCUUGAGUGCCUUGCCGCUGUCACAAACUCGGCUGCCGACUAGCUGGCCAUCAUGGGGGUGCCGGGCAUGGAGUACGCCCCAGAAGUGAACCUGAGCCCCAACGCCAACCUGACCAUAUACUUUGAGAAGGUCGUUGGCGCCUUGAAGCGGCUCCACUCCAACCGGGCGGCCUCCCUUGCCGAAGAGUCCCGGAUUCUUUGCCAGGGGGCCAUCACCAGGGUGCUCGUCAAGAUAGCGCAUUGGCAUCCUGACCUCGACUUCGAAGCGGUGCUGAAGAGCUUGCCAGAGGAUGCUGACAUCGCAGCGCUCAACGAGCAUAUCGAGCCCAACCUCAGCCGCAUGGACAAAAUCAAGAGGUUGGAGGGCCAUCGCCGGGACUGAGCACCUCGUUUCUUAUCGCUGCUGUAGGAUCAUGACCAAGACAAUGCUAUCUUUAGUUAGAACCGCGGCAGCAAUUUAUGUAAUAUAACUCUGCAGUACCCCUGAAACUAUGCAUGUUAUUUUCCUGUUAGAUUUUCCUUUGUAUGUAUGCCCCACGUCGACUAGGUAGGCUUGACGGUGCGUAAACCCCGGGCGGCACCUUGAGGACGAAUCCUCACUAGCCUGUCGGGUGUGCUUGCUGCCGGCGAAGCACCUUACCGCCGCCAGCGCGGCCGCUCGAUCUGUCAAGCUUGACUCGAGUCAGAAACGAGAGCGUAGCUGGUGGCAGAAGGCUACCCUGUCGCUCUCGAUGCGGCCGCUCAAACUGUUGAGCGGGCUCGAAACAGAACAAGGGUGUUGCCAAUCGCAGGAGGGCCCCUUCGCGUACAGGUUUCCCAUGCAUAGGUAGAACCAUCGAGGAUAACAACCUUAUAUUUAAGGAUAAAAACUUAAAGUUUAGCAUGACUUAGCUCUUUCGUCGCCGCCUCGGCAUCCUUCGUGCCAGCAGGAAGCGCCGCCCUCUUAGCCGCUUUCUCCGCAGGAGCCGCGAUGAUGAUGAACUGCUAGGCCUACCCCUAGGCCAGAUUCUCACAAUUUGCGCCUCCUACCUGGCGCGCCAAAGAUGUCGGUGGAAAAUGACACCUAUGGGAUCACUGGAAUCCCUUCUAUGGUUGCGGGGCGUGGGAUCGUGAGAAGAGCGGGACUAGUGGGUGGCACAAAGGGGAUUUACCCAGGUUCGGGCCGUAAAGAUGCGUAAAACCCUACGAUCCUGCUUCGGUGGUUGUAUUAGUGUUCUUGAGUUCUUGAACUAGCUCUGGUUGCUGCAAGGUUCCAAAGAGCCGAAUCCUUUCUUCGUAUGCCAUGGGCCUCCUUUUAUAGGCGAAAAAGGGGCUGCCACAGUGGCACAUAGGAGGUGGAAAAGCUACAGUGCUGCAUGGUUAUCGCUAGCAUUACAGGACAAGACGCAUUAAAUGCGAGGCUUAGGUGUCCUUCACUUUAUUGGGGGGCGGGGAGAGGCCCGUCUCGUCCGUCGCCGCCCCUCCUAGUUUCGACACGCGCCCCGGCCAGCAACGCAUGCAACGCCAUGUAGGCAGGCAGGCAUCUGAGGUGGCGCGGUGGUGGAGCCUCCACAAAGGUUUGCAUGUUGCCACGUAGGUUCCCGCCUAGCUGGUUGGGUCGGCGGCCGCGUACGAACGACGGUUGGAACCUGGCUGGCGCGGGCCUGGCAGUGGCCUUGCCGGGGCGCUUGGCGAUGGUCUUGCCGGGUGUCUUGUCGCGGCGCGCUGGCUUCCCCGGCAAGGAUCUUGCCGGAGGGCCCCGUGGGUUUCUUUGGUGAGGAUGGUUGCCUUCCUAUCCUCUUUGAUCUUGAUUGCUCUUUGUCUUCACAAAGAUCUGCAUGCCACCACGAAGGUGCCUCCUGAACCCUGUCCCAACGUGUCUGCUUAGUGUUGGCGGGCUCAAAGGUGGCUCGCUCGGCUGGUGUGGACGAGCUGCCCCGGCAAGGAUCUUGUCGGGGCUGCUGAGGCUGCCCCCGACAAGGGUCCUUGCCGGGGCAACCUGCAUUGCCCGUGUGACCUUUGUGGUCUUGGUCCUUUGUUGUUUGCUUUGCUAGUUCCUGUGGCUUUGGCUUUUCUCCGGCUUCCCUCUCUUGCGCUGCUCAUGUGUGGUUGUGCCAGGUGGCUCUGACUGCCCGUGUAAAAGUAAAGGGGUCAAAAGUUUGGCCCCUACUUCUGUACACCGACAAUCAGAGAGGAAACCACUGCUACCAGCAUGUAUUACUACCGACAAGCAUGACAUGUGAAAAUGAUUCUAGCCAGUAGCACAGGAUAACAUGACGCAUCAGAACAUAGCAUGAAUGUGAACAAGAAUCCACGAGCAUAACCGAAGCAACGACAGUAGUAGCAAAAAAAUAGGCAGAUAACAGGCAAGCUUUUAUUAAAUAUUCAAUUUGAAAACCAAGGCUACUGCAUGACUAUCAUGCAAGUGACUGUUGUGGCUUGCCUGGGGGUGACGGAGACUCCGGGAAGCAGUGCGGUGAAGCCGCGGAAAUGAAACGCCAGACGGUUCUCUCUCAAAGGGGGCUGAUUAGAGGCAAGGGCAAAAUGGUCAUUUUCACUAUGGUACCACCUUGUGGAAAUGUUUCCAACAGAAAAAGCUCGACGAGAAGAAGACGUGAGCAUUGGUUUCACCUUGAUCAGAGCUAUGGUUGAAAAGUUAUGAGGGGUGGAAGUUGAGGGACCAAUCUAUAAAUAUUUUCUCCACAAACAAGUCCCUGAGCUAAAAACAGAAAGCGCAUUAAGAGGAUUACGCCUUUGGAACAUAGAAAGCACACUCUGAUCCUCAAUAGACUGAAAUACGCCGUUAAAAAGUGAAAACAUAUUUUUUUGUGAAGCUAAAGAGGAGCACAUUUUCAAAAAAGGAAAACGCAUUAUAUGAAAAUGCGCUUCCACUUAAAACGCGCGGGCCCGGGACUGUGCCACUUACCGGUGGGACCAGAGGGACAGGUGGGGCCGAGCAGCAGGGGCACUGGCCUCAUCUUCUUCCUCCUGCUCGUUCACGCGGGGAAUAGAGGAGGCAGGGGAUCAGCGCGUUGCCGGCGACGGGCCCGACCGUCUCCGGCCAAGGAGAGGCCACUAGAAGGAGCGCGGAGGUCCACCGCGUCCAUUCAGAGGCUGAUGGAGGCGCGGGGAGGAGCAGAAAGGAGAGGAGGCCAUGGCGACGGGGAAGAACAGAGGUGGCGUGGCGGUGGUCUACGGCGACGAGGUCGGGAAUCUCCGACGAGGCUGAGGGGUCGGGGCGGACUGCGGGGCUGUGGUGUGCUCUGGUGGUUUUGGGAGGAGGAGAGGAGCCCCGGAUGGUGGACACGAUGAGGCGACUGAGAGGAAUGGGCGGCGGUCGGACGGGGAGCACGCAGCCAGGGUGGACUCCGGCGACAAACGAGGGGGCCGAGGACUCCGGUGAGCAAAUGAGGCGAGGGACGGAGCGAUGAGCUACGGGAGGGGUCAAGGGAGCUAUAUAUAGGCGCGUUAGGGCUUUGGGAGAGCUCGGGGGAGCACCAGCUCGAAGACAAUGGCAGAUCAGAGGCUGGACAUGGCAUGGGCGCGAUGACGGCGACCACACAGUAGCAUCUCAGGGCGAGGCAUCUGUUGGGGAUCAUUGCAGAAAUUAAAAAAUUUCUAUGCAUCACCAAGAUCAAUCUAUGGAGUUACUAGCAACGAGAGAGAGGGGAGUGCAUCUUCAUACCCUUUAAGAUCGCGAGACGGAAGUGUUACAAGAAUGCGGAUGAAGGAGUCGUACUUGAAGCGAUUCAGAUCGCGGUGGAUUCCAAUCUUAGCGCCGAACAACGGCACCUCCGCGUUCAACACAUGUGCAGCCCAGUGACGUCUCCCGUGCCUUGAUCCAGCAAGGAGGAGGGAGAGGUUGAUGAAGAAGGAUCCAACAGCAGCACGACGGCGUGGUGGUGAUGGAGUGGCAGUUCUCCGGCAGGGCUUCGCCAAGCUCGCGUGGAGGAGGAGAGGUGUUGGGAAGGGGAGGGGCUGUGCCUUGGAUGUGGUGUUGCAGCCCUCCCCUCGCCCCUCUAUUUAUAGGAGAAGGGGGAAGGGGGGCCGGCCCCUCUAGAUGGGAUCUAGAGGUGGGCGGCGGCCAGGGGGAGGGGGCUUGCCCCCCAAGCAAGGGGAGGCGCCCCCCUAGGGUUCCCCCAACCCUAGGCGCAUAGGCCCUAGGAGGGGUGGCGCCCAACCCACUUGGGGCUGGUUCCCUUCCACCUACAGCCCAUAUGGGCCUCCGGGAUAGGUGGCCCCUCCCGGUGGACCCCUGGAACCCCCCGGUGGUCCCGGUACAAUACCGGUAUACCCCCGAAAACAUCCGGUGACUAUAUGAUGACUUUCCAUAUAUAAAUCUUCACCUCCGGACCAUUCUGAAACUCCUCGUGACGUCCGGGAUCUCAUCCGGGACUCCGAACAACAUUCGGUAAUCACACACAAAUCUUCCUUAUAACCCUAGCGUCAUCGAACCUUAAGUGUGUAGACCCUACGGGUUCGAGAAUCACGCAAACAUGACCAAGACAGCUCUCUGGCAAAUAACCAAUAGCGGGAUCUGGAUACCCAUGUUGGCUCCCACAUGUUCCAUGAUGAUCUCAUCAGAUGAACCACGAUGUCGAGGAUUCAAGUAAUCACGUAUACAAUUCCCUUUGUCAAUCGGUACAUUACUUGCCCAGGAUUUGAUCGUCGGUAUCCCAAUACCUCGUUCAAUCUCGUUACCGGCAAGUCACUUUACUCGUUCCAUAAUGCAUGAUCUCGUGACUAACCACUUAGUCACAUUGAGCUCAUUAUGAUGAUGCAUUACCGAGUGGGCUCGGAGAUACCUCUCCGUCAUACGGAGUGACAAAUUCUAGUAUCGAUUCGUGCCAACCCAACAGACACUUUCGGAGAUACCUGCAGUGCACCUUUAUAGUCACCCAGUUACGUUGUGAUGUUUGGUACACCCACAGCACUCUUACGGUAUCCAGGAGUUACACAAUCUCAUGGUCUAAGGAAAUGAUACUUGACAUUAGAAAAGCUUUAGCAGACGAACUACACGAUCUUGUGCUAUGCUUAGUAUUGGGUCUUGUCCAUCACAUCAUUCUCCUAAUGAUGUGAUCUUGUUAUCAAUGACAUCCAAUGUCCAUAGUCAGGAAACCAUGACCAUCUUUUGAUCAACGAGCUAGUCAACUAGAGCUCACUAGGGACAUGUUGUGGUCUAUGUAUUCACACAUGUAUCACGGUUUCCGGUUAAUACAAUUAUAGCAUGAACAAUAGACAAUUAUCAUGAACAAGGAAAUGUAAUAAUAAUCAUUUUAUUAUUGCCUCUAGGACAUAUUUCCAACAGUCUCCCACUUGCACUAGAGUCAAUAAUCUAGUUACACUGUGAUGAAUCGAACACCAUAGAGUUCUGGUGCUGAUCAUGUUUUGCUCACGGAAGAGGUUUAGUCAACGGAUCGGCGACAUUCAGAUCCGUCUGCACUUUGCAAAUAUCUAUGUCUCCAUCUUGAACAUUUUCAUGAAUGGAGUUGAAGCGGCGCUUGAUGUGCCUGGUCUUCUUGUGAAACCUGGGCUCCCAAGCAAGGGCAAUAGCUCCAGUGUUGUCACAGAAGAGAGUCAUCGGCCCCUACGCAUUGGGAAUAACUCCUAGGUCAGAAAUGAACUCCUUCAUCCAGAUUGCUUCACGUGCUGCCUCCGAGACUGCCAUGUACUCCGCUUCACAUGUAGAUCCCGCCACGAUGCUUUGCUUGCUACUGCACGAGCUUACUGCCCCACCAUUCAAAAUAUACACGUAUUUGGUUUGUGACUUGGAGUCAUCCAGAUCUGUGUCGAAGCUAGCAUCGAUGUAACCCUUUACAACGAGCUCUUCGUCACCUCCAUAAACGAGAAACAUAUCCUUAGUCAUUUUCAGGUACUUCAGGAUAUUCUUGACCGCUGUCCAGUGUUCCAUGCCGAGAUUAUUUUGGUUCCUUGCUACCAAACUUACGGCAAGGUUUACAUCAGGUCUGGUACACAGCAUGGCAUACAUAAUAGACCCUAUGGCCAAGGCAUAGAGGAUGACACUCAUCUUUUCUCUAUCUUUUGCCGUGGUCGGGCAUUGAGCCGAGCUCAAUUUCACACCUUGCAACACAGGCAAGAACCCUUUCUUGGACUGAUCCAUAUUGAACUUCUUCAAUAUCUUAUCAAGGUAUGUACUUUGUGAAAGACCUAUGAGGCGUCUUGAUCUAUCUCUAUAGAUCUUGAUGCCUAAUAUAUAAGCAGCUUCUCCAAGAUCCUUCAUUGAAAAACACUUAUUCAAGUAGGCCUUUAUGCUGUCCAAAAGUUCUAUAUCAUUUCCAAUCAAAAGUAUGUCAUCCACAUAUAAUAUAAGAAAUGCUAUAGAGCUCCCACUCACUUUCUUGUAAACGCAUGCUUCUCCAUAAGUCUGCAUAAACCCAAAAGCUUUGAUCAUUUCAUCAAAGCGAAUGUCCCAACUCCGAGAUGCUUGCACCAGCCCAUAGAUGGAUCGCUGGAGCUUGCAUACCUUGUUAGCAUUCUUAGGAUCGACAAAACCUUCCGGCUGCAUCAUAUAAAAUUCUUCCUUACGAUAGCCGUUAAGGAAUGCCGUUUUGACGUCCAUUUGCCAUAUCUCAUAAUCAUAGUAUGCGGCAAUUGCUAACAUGAUUCGGAUGGACUUCAGCUUUGCUACGGGAGAGAAAGUUUCAUCGUAGUCAACCCCUUGAACUUGUCGAUAACUGAUAUGUCUCCAACGUAUCUAUAAUUUAUGAAGCAUUCAUGCUAUUAUAUUAUCUAUUUUGAAUGAUUAGGGGCUUUAUUAUACACUUUUAUAUUACUUUUGGGACUAACCUAUUAACCGGAGGCCCAACCCAUAUUGUUGUUUUAUUGUGUGUUUCAGUAUUUCAAAGAAAAGGAAUAUCAAACGGAGUCCAAACGGAAUGAAACCUUCGGCAGCGUGAUUUUUGGAAAGAUUAUGAUCCAGGAGACUUGGAGUGCAAGCCGGGGGGUCAGCGAGGAAGCCACGAGACAUGGGGGCGCGCACACACCCCGUGGGCGCGCCCUACCCUCUCGUGGGCCCCUUGAGGCUCCCCCGAGCGACUUCUUUCGCCUAUAUAAGCCUACGUACCCUAAAACAUCGAAUAUGACGAUAGAUCGGGAGUUCCACCGCCGCAAGCCUCUGUAGCCACCAAAAACCUCUCGGGAGCCUGUUCCGGCACCCUGCCGGAUGGGGAACCCAUCACCGGUGACCAUCUUCAUCAUCCCGGCGCUAUCCAUGACGAGGAGGGAGUAGUUCACCCUCGGGGCUGAGGGUAUGUACUAGUAGCUAUGUGUUUGAUCUCUCUUUCUCGUGUUCUCUCUUGUGUUCCCUCUAUGGCAUGAUCUUGAUGUAUCCCGAGCUUUGCUAUUAUAGUUGGAUCUUAUGAUGUUUCUCCCCCUCUACUCUGUUGUGAUGAAUUGAGUUCCCCCUUUGAAGUUAUCUUAUCGGAUUGAGUCUUUAAUGAUUUGAGAACACUUGAUGUAUGUCUUGCCGUGAUUAUCUGUGGUAACAAGGGAUAUCAUGUGCCACUUGAUGUAUGUUUUGGUGACCAACUUGCGGGUUCCGCCCAUGAACCUAUGCAUAGGGGUUGGCACACGUUUUCGUCUUGACUCUCCAGUAGAAACUUUCGGGCACUCUUUGAAGUACUUUGUGUUGGUUGAAUAGAUGAAUCUGAGAUUGUGUGAUGCAUAUCAUAUAUUCAUGCCCACGGAUACUUGAGGUGACAAUGGAGUAUCUAGGUGACAUUAGGGUUUUGGUUGAUUUGUGUCUUAAGCUGUUAUUCUAGUAUGAACUCUAUGAUGGAUUGAGCGGAAAGAAUACCUUUAUGUUAUUUUACUACGAACUCUUGAAUAGAUAGAACAGAAAGGAUAACUUUGAGGUGGUUUCGUACCCUACCAUAAUCUCUUCGUUUGUUCUCCGCUAUUAGUGGCUUUGAAGUGACUCUUUGUUGCAUGUUGAGGGAUUGUUAUAUGAUCUAUCUAUGUUAUUAUUGUUGAGAGAACUUGCACUAGUGAAAGUAUGAACCUUAGGCCUUGUUUCCUACCAUUGCAAUACCAUUUACGCUCACUUUUAUCACUUGUUACCUUGCUGUUUUUAUAAUUUCAGAUUACAAAUACCUUUAUCUACCAUACAUAUUGCACUUGUAUCACCAUCUCUUCGCCGAACUAGUGCACCUAUACAAUUUACCAUUGUAUUGGGUGUGUUGGGGACACAAGAGACUCUUUGUUAUUUGGUUGCAGGGUUGCUUAAGAGAGACCAUCUUCAUCCUAUGCCUCCCACGGAUUGAUAAACCUUAGGUCAUCCACUUGAGGGAAAUUUCCUACUGUCCUACAAACCUGUGCACUUGCAGGCCCAACAACGUCUACAAGAAGAAGGUUGUGUAGUAGACAUCAAGCUCUUUUCUGGCGCCGUUGCCGGGGAGGUGAGUGCUUGAAGGUAUAUCUUUAGAUCUUGCAAUCAAAUCUUUUUGUUCUUGUUUUAUCACUAGUUUAGUUUAUAAAAGAAAAACUAAAAAAAUGGAAUUGAGUUUGUCUCAUACGCUUCAUCUUUUUAAUAUCUUUUGUGAGUUUGAUGAAAAGGAAAAUUGUGCUCAAGUGCUAGAAGAAGAAAUCUAUAGAAUGUUUGAUACUAAAUCUUUAAAUGAUGAGCAUGAUUGCAAUAUUGUUAGUAUGAAUUCCUUGAAUAUCCAUGAUGCUAAUGAUAUGCAAAGCUACAAUCUUGGGAAUGCUAUGUUUGAUGAAGAUGAUAUUUUUUUAUCCCCCAAGUUUUGAUGAGCAAAUUUAUUAUGAUGAAAGCAUGCCUCCUGUUUAUGAUGAUUAUAUUGAUGAAAGUGGGUUUGGAAGAGUGUCAACUUUAGGAAGCAGUGAUCCCAAUAUUUUGGAGGAUGUUGAAUCUUAUUAUGAUGAACAUGAAAGUGGAUUUGGAAGAGUGUCAACUUUAUUUAGUGAUGAUUCCACUAUUUCGAAAGAGGUUCCAAUUGAUUAUGAAAACAAAGUCGCUAUCUAUGAUGAUUAUUGUGAUGAAUUGUAUGCUAUUAGGAAUAAUGAUAACCAUGAAACUUGUCAUCAUGAUUUUAGUUUUCAAUUGGAUUAUGCCUCACAUGAUAAUUAUUUUAUUGAGUUUGCUCCCACUACUAUUCAUGAGAAGAAAUUUGCUUAUGUGGAGAGUAGUAAAUCUUCUAUGCUUGUAGAUCAUGAGAAGAAUGCUUCAGGUGCUGGUUAUAUUGUUGAAUUCAUUCAUGAUGCUACUGAAAUUUUUUAUGAGGGAGGAACAUAUGCUUGUAGGAAUUGCAAUAAUAUCAAGUUUCCUCUCUGUGUUUAAAAUCUUGAAGUUAUGCUUGUUUUACCUUCCUAUGCUAGUUGAUUAUUGUUCCCAUAAGUUGUUUGCUCACAAAAUACCUAUGCAUAGGAAGUGGGUUAGGCUUAAAUGUGCUAUUCAUAUGAUUCAUGAUGCUCCCGUUAUGUUUCAAUUCUUAUCUUUUAUGUGAGCAUCAUUGCCAUCAUCAUGCCUAGCUAGAAAGGCAUUAAAGAAAAUCGCUUGUUGGGAGACAACCCAAUAUUUAUCCUUACUGUUUUUGUGUGUACACAUGAUUAUGUUACUGUAGUAAUCAUGUUUUAUAGCUUUUGUUUCAAUAAAGUGCCAAUUAGAACCUUUGGGAAGACUUGGGUGAAGUUUAUGUGAUCUUGCUGUAAAAAAAUAAAAACUUUUGCGCUCACGAGAUUAGCUGCCAUUUUUUACUGGAGAGUGAUUUUAGGUUGAUUCUUGUUGAAGAUGAUUAAUAGACAAAUUCCUCAGGUCCAGCAAUUUAUUUCAGAAUUUUUUGAGUUCCAGAAGUAUAUGUUUGAUACAGAUUACUACAGACUGUUCUGUUUUUGACAGAUUCUGUUUUCUAUGUGUUGUUUGCUUAUUUUGAUGAAUCUGUGAGUAGUAUAGGAGGGUAUGAACCAUAGAGAAGUUGGAAUACAGUAAGUUUAACACCAAUAUGAAUUUAGAAUGAUUUCACAACAGUACCUAAGUGGUGAUUUAUUUUCUUAUACUAACGGAGCUUACGAGUUUUGUGUUGAGUUUUGUGUGGUUGAAGUUUUCAAGUUUUGGGUAAAGAUCCGAUGGACUAUGGAAUAAGGAGUGGCAAGAGCGUAAUCUUGGGGAUUCCCAAGGCACCCCAAGGUAAUAUUCAAGGACAACCAAGAGCCUAAGCUUGGGGAUGCCCCGGAUGGCAUCCCCUCUUUCGUCUUUGUUCAUCGGUAACUUUAUUUGGAGCUAUAUUUUUUCGCCACAUGAUAUGUGUUUUGCUUGGAGCGUCAUUUUAUUUUGUUAGCAUUUGCUUGAUGUUAUUUAUAAUAAUGUUUUGCAUCUAUAUUUUCAAUAAAAAUGUCGAGGAUAGCCUUUACCAUGCUUAUUUUGCUAGUAUACAUGUUGCUAUUUGAAAACAGAAUGUUUACCGCUGUUGCAAAAAUUCCCUAGAAAAGACAGAGAGUGAUAUAAUGUUGAAUCUUUUUGCAUAAUGAGAUAUGAUAAAUCUUAUACUGCUUAGUAUGUUUCUUAUAAUUUUUGGAGUUAGGGAAGUAUGAUGAAUCUUGCAUUCUUUACAGACUAUACUGUUUUGGCAUAUUGCUAUUAUAUUUGCAUUGUUUGCAUAUGCUUGCUUGUUUAAUGAUUCUAUUUUAGGAUAGGAGUAUUAAAUAUGCAGAGAAAUUUAUUAUGCAAUGUUGAAUAAUAAUCUAAGUGAUUUGUUACAGUAGAAAAUGAUAAGGUUUUGCAUUGUUUUAUACUAACUUAUCUCACGAGUUCUUGUUGAGUUUGGUGUGGAUGAAGCUUUCGAGAUUUAGGAAACCAUGACAUGAAAGGAAUUAAGGAGACACAAAAGCUCAAGCUUGGGGAUGCCCAAGGCACCCCAAGAUAAUAUUUCAAGAAGUCUCAAGCAUCAAAGCUUGGGGAUGCCCCGGUAGGCAUCCCACCUUUCUUCUUCAACAAUUAACGGUUAGUAUCGGUUGAACCUAAGUUUUUGCUUCUUCACAUGAGUUGUGCUAUCCUUGAAUUGUCAUUUUGUUUUGCUUUGCUUGUUGUUUGAAUACAAUACCAAGAUCUGAAAUUCUUAAAUGAGAUAGAGUCUUCACAUAGUUGCAUAAUUAUUUAGCUACUCAUUGAUCUUCACUUAUAUCUUUUUGGAGUAGUUUUUCAUUUACUCGUGUGCUUCACUUAUAUCCUAUGAGUAAAUGGUUGAAUGAGUUGAGUGUCAUAGAUCUGAAAUUAUAUAUGUUUCAUUUUCUUAUCCCAUGGGGAGUAAUGACUUCACAUCUAAGAAGUAGAGGUUGUAAAUUUAUUGACGGUUAGCAAGCAUUGUAUUGGUCAUUUGAACAAUUCAUGGAAGAAUAUUGAAGGAAGAGAUAUUUCACAUAUAAAUAUAUUAUCAUAGGCAUCUUUUAUAAUUGUGAGCACUCACUAAGUAUGACAUGCUAAAGAGUUGAUGUUGGACAAGGAAGACAACGUAAUGGGUUAUGUUUUCUCACAUCUCAGUUAAAGUAUAUUGUCAUGGAUCAUUCAAACAUGUUGAGCUUACCUUUCCCCCUCAUGCUAGCCAAAAAUUCCUAGCACCAAGUAGAGAUACUACUUGUGCUUCCAAAUAUCCUUAAAACCAGUUUUGCCAUGAGAGUCCACCAUAUCUACCUAUGGAUUGAGUAAGAUCCUUCAAGUAAGUUGUCAUCGGUGCAAGCAAUACAAAUUGCUCUCUAAAUAUGCAUGACUUAUUAGUGCGGAGAAAAUAAGCUUUGUACAAUCUUGUUAUGGAAGCAAUAAAAGCGACGGACUGCAUAAUAAAUGUCCAUAUACAAGGGGCAAUAUAAAGUGAUGUUCUUUCGCAUUAAGAUUUUGUGUAUCCAACCCAAAAAGCGCAUGACAACCUCUGCUUCCCUCUGCGAAGGGCCUAUCUUUUACUUUAUGUCGUUUACUUUUAUGCAAGAGUCAAGGUGAUCUUCACCUUUCCAUUUUUCAUUUUAUCCUUUGGCAAGCACUUUGUGUUGGGGUGAUCCUGAUAUAUAUAUCCAAUUGGAUGUACGUUAGCAUGAACUAUUAUUGUUGACAUCACCCAAAGGUGAAUAUGUUUGGAGGCAACAUUGUAAGCCCCUAUCUUUCUCUGUGUCUGAUUAAAACUUCAUAACCAUAAAUAUUGCGUGAGUGUUAGCAAUUGUAGAAGACUAUAUGAUAGUUGAGUAUGUGGAGUUUGCUAAAUCAAAGCUCUGACAUAGACCCUUCCUAAAAAUAAGAUGAAUUGCAAUUGUUUGAUGGCUAAGAAUGAAGUUUGCUAGUUUUCAAGAAAGUUUAUAGUCUAUGCUUUAACAUGUGAAUUGUUUGUUACUUGAUUAUGAAAAGUUUUAUGAGAUGAACCACUGUUAUGACAUAUAAACGUGCUAGAAAAGGUGACUGAAAUUAUCAUUGAUCAAACUUGUGCACCUUCUAGCAUUCACACUUCAUAAAUUCUUUCUUUUAUCAUUUACCUACUCAAGGACGAGAAGGAAUUAAGCUUGGCGAUGCUGAUACGUCUCCAAUGUAUCUAUAAUUUAUGAAGCAUUCAUGCUAUUAUAUUAUCUGUUUUGAAUGAUUACGGGCUUUAUUAUACACUUUUAUAUUACUUUUGGGACUAACUUAUUAACCAGAGGCCCAGCCCAUAUUGCUGUUUUAUUGCCUGUUUCAGUAUUUCGAAGAAAAGGAAUAUCAAACGGAGUCCAAACGGAAUGAAACCUUCGGCAGCGUGAUUUUUGGAAAGAUUAUGAUCCAGGAGACUUGGAGUGCAAGCCGGGGGGGAGGGGGGGUCAUCGAGGAAGCCACGAGACAGGGGGCGCGCCCACCCCCUGGGCGUGCCCUACCCACUCGUGGGCCCCUCGAGGCUCCCCCAACCGACUUCUUUUGCCUAUAUAAGCCUACAUACCCUAAAAACAUCGAAUAUGAAGAUAGAUUGGGAGUUCCGCCGCCGCAAGCCUUUGUAGCCACCAAAAACCUCUCGGGAGCCCGUUCCGGCACCCUGCCGGAGGGGGAACCCAUCACCGGUGGCCAUCUUCAUCAUCCCGGCGCUAUCCAUGAUGAGGAGGGAGUAGUUCACCCUCGGGGCUGAGGGUAUGUACCAGUAGCUAUGUGUUUGAUCUCUCUUUCUCGUGUUCUCUCUCAUGUUCCCUCUAUGGCACGAUCUUGAUGUAUCCCGAGCUUUGCUAUUAUAGUUGGAUCUUAUGAUGUUUCUCCCCCUCUACUCUCUUGUGAUGAAUUGAGUUGCCCCUUUGAAGUUAUCUUAUCGGAUUGAGUCUUUAAUGAUUUAAGAACACUUGAUGUAUGUCUUGCCGUGAUUAUCUGUGGUGACAAUGGGAUAUCAUGUGCCACUUGAUGUAUGUUUUGGUGACCAACUUGCGGGUUCCGCCCAUGAACCUAUGCAUAGGGGUUGGCACAUGUUUUCGUCUUGACUCUCCAGUAGAAACUUUCGGGCACUCUUUGAAGUACUUUGUGUUGGUUGAAUAGAUGAAUCUAAGAUUGUGUGAUACAUAUCGUAUAAUCAUGCCCACGGAUACUUGAGGUGACAAUGGAGUAUCUAGGUGACAUUAGGGUUUUGGUUGAUUUGUGUCUUAAGGUGUUAUUCUAGUAUGAACUCUAUGAUGGAUUGAGCGGAAAGAAUAGCUUUAUGUUAUUUUACUACGAACUCUUGAAUAGAUAGAACAGAAAGGAUAACUUUGAGGUGGUUUCGUACCCUACCAUAAUCUCUUCGUUUGUUCUCCUCUAUUAGUGGCUUUGGAGUGACUCUUUGUUGCAUGUUGAGGGAUUGUUAUAUGAUCUAUCUAUGUUAUUAUUGUUGAGAGAACUUGCACUAGUGAAAGUAUGAACCUUAGGCCUUGUUUCCUACCAUUGCAAUACCGUUACGCUCACUUUUAUCACUUGUUACCUUGCUGUUUUUAUAAUUUCAUAUUACAAAUACCUUUAUCUACCAUCCAUAUUGCACUUGUAUCACCAUCUCUUUGCCGAACUAGUGCACCUAUACAAUUUACCAUUGUAUUGGGUGUGUUGGGGACACAAGAAACUCUUUGUUAUUUGGUUGCAGGGUUGCUUGAGAGAGACCAUCUUCAUCCUAUGCCUCCCACGGAUUGAUAAACCUUAGGUCAUCCACUUGAGGGAAAUUUGCUACUGUCCUACAAACCUGUGCACUUGCAGGCCCAACAAUGUCUACAAGAAGAAGGUUGUGUAGUAGACAUCAAUAACCCUUAGCGACAAGUCGAGCUUUAUAGAUGGUAACAUUACCAUCCGCGUCCAUCUUUUUCUUAAAGGUCCAUUUAUUUUCUAUCGCUCGCCGAUCAUCGGGAAAGUCUGUCAAAGUCCAUACUUUGUUUUCAUACAUGGAUCCUAUCUCGGAUUGCAUGGCUUCAAGCCAUUUGUUGGAGUCUGGGCCCUCCAUCGCUUCUUCAUAGUUCGAAGGUUCACCGUUGUCUAACAACAUGAUUUCUAGGACAGGGUUGCCAUACCAUUCUGGUGUGGAACGUGUCCUUGUGGACCUACGAAGUUCAGUAGCAAAUUGAUCCGAAGUACCUUGAUCAUCAUCAUUAACUUCCUCUCUAGUCGGUGCAGGCACCACAGGAACAUCUUCUUGAGCUGUGCUACUUACCGGUUCAAGAGGUAGUACUUCAUCAAAUUCCACUUUCCUCCCACUUACUUCUUUCGAGAGAAACUCUUUCUCCAGAAAGGACCCAUUCUUGGCAACGAAAAUCUUGCCUUCAGAUCUGAGGUAGAAGGUAUACCUGAUGGUUUCCUUAGGGUAUCCUAUGAAGAAGCAUUUUUCCAACUUGGGUUCGAGCUUUUUAGGUUGAAGUUUCUUACAUAAGCAUCGCAUCCCCAAACUUUUAGAAACGACAGCUUAGGUUUCUUCCCAAACCAUAAUUCAUGUGGUGUCGUCUCAACGGAUUUAGAUGGUGCUCUAUUUAAAGUGAAUAGUUGUGUCUAAAGCGUAUGCCCAAAAUGAUAAUGGUAAAUUGGUAAGAGACAUCAUAGACCGCACCAUAUCCAAUAGAGUGUGAUUACGACGUUCGGACACACCGUUACGCUGAGGUGUUCCAGGCGGUGUGUGUCGGUGGGAAACGACACCUAUGGGAUCACUGGAACCCCUUCUGCGGUUGCGGGGCGCGAAAUCGCGAGAAGAGCGGGACUAGUGGAUAGCACAAAGGGGAUUUACCCAGGUUCGGGCCGCAAAGAUGCAUAAAACCCUACGAUCCUGCUUUGGUGGUUGUAUUAGUGUUCUUGAGCUCUCGAACUAGCUCUGGGUGCUGCCAGGUUCCAAAGAGCCGAAUCCCUCCUCAGUAUGCCAUGGGCCUCCUUUUAUAGGCGAAAAGGGGCUGCCACAGUAGCACACCGGAGGUGGAAAGCGCUAUACUGUUGUGUGGUUAUCGCUAGCAUUACAGGACAAAACACAUUAAAUGCGGGGCUUAGGUGUCCUUCAAUUUAUCAGGGGACGGGGGUGAGGCCCAUCCCAUCCGUCGCCGCCCCUCCUGGCUUCGACAUGCGCCCCGGCCAGCAACGCAUGCAGCGCCAUGUAGGCAGGCUGGUAGUUGAGGUGGCGCGGUGGUGGAGUCUCCAUGAAGGUUUGCAUGCUGCCAUGCAGGUGCCUGCCUAGCUGGUUGGGUUGGUGGCUGCGUAGGAAAGGCGGGAGGAACUUGGCUGGUGCGGGCCUGGCAGUGGCCUUGCCAGUGCGCUUGGUGAUGGUCUUGCCGGGUGGCCCGACAAGGGUCUUGCCGUGGCACGCUGUCUUCCCCGGCAAGGAUCUUGCCAGGGAGCCCUGUGCAUUUCUUUGGUGAGGAUGGUUGCCUUCCUAUCCUCUCUUGAUCUUGAUUGCUCUUUUUUCUUCACAAAGAUCUGCAUGCCACCACGGAGGUGCCUCCCGAACCCUGUCCCAAUGCGACUGCUCAGUGUCGGUAGGCUCAAAGGUGGCUCUCUCCGCCGGUGUGGACGAGCUGCCCCGGCAAGGAUCUUGCCGGGGCUGCUGAGGCUGCCCCCGGCAAGGGUCCCUGCCGGGGCAACCUGCAUCGCCCGUGCGGCCUUCGUGGUCUUGGUCCUUUGUCGUGUGUUUUGCUUGUCCCUACGACUUUCGCUUUUCUUUGGCUUCCCUCUCUUGCCCAUGUGUGGUCGUGGCAGGUGACUCUGACUGCCCGUGCACAAGUAAAGGGGUCAAAAGCUAGGCCCCUACUUUUGUACACCGAUAGGAGCCCCCGGGCCUGGGCCACACAUAAGCGCAUCACGUUGUUCGGCCAGGCCCAGAACAGUGCGCGGGAAGUUGAGGUUGAUUUUACCGCGGCCAUUGUUCCGCCCGCUGCGCUUCCCCAUGACCCGCAUUGAACGCGCGACAUGGGGGUCGUGUGCGCAUGACGUGGGGGGUGCUGGCGUCACCUUGUGGUGGACAGUAAAGAGGCGGCUUGCUUGUCUCUUUGAGACCGCAGGGCCGCCCCCCAUUUGCUGCCCCUGCUCGAGAACCGUCGUCCCACGCGUCCCCUUGUGCCACAUUCGCCGCAUGCAGAGUGAAUGACAUGCGCAGGGGUCGUGGGUAGUUGCGCGUGUGUGGGUUGAUUCCCUUGCGCCUUCAAUGGAACAGGGAGGGCGGUCGACGGCCCCACUCGCUGUCAUUCAAGAGGCCGGAUAGGCUGGGAGGGGGCAGCCGAGUCCUGCCCCGACCACUUCAUAAAGAGGGGAACGAGAGGGAUAGUGCCUCUCAGUCAUUCGCUAUCUGCCUCUCUCCAUUCCUUCUUCCUUUCUUCUUCUACCAUGGCGAGGGGGCAUGGCGAUGCUUCAUCUGUGGCGGCGAGGGUUUCGUCCAGACAACACAUCACUCCUCCCCAGGAACUUGUAGCGGCAGAGCCGACCGCUAGAGGGAGGGGGAGGGGGCAAGGCCGAGGUCGCCGUGGAGCUCGAGGGAGAGGAGGACGGGGUGGCAGAUCCUCCUCGCGCCCUCCAGCAGCCCUUCCUCCGAUGGAGGGCCAUGCUGGGGAUAAUCCCUGUGAAUUCUUCAUCAGGCUGCGCCAUCCGCCACACAGUCGCCUUUGCCUUCCGACUCCGUUUGCGCGGGAGAUGGAGCUGGAUCCGCCGCAGGCGCUGCGGCUACACAUGAGGGGUUGCUAGAACAGCAGCACGUGGGGCGACGUCGAGUUCCCUUCCCCCCACGUCAUGUAUCUUCACCAAGGGUGGAAGACCUUCGCUCGCCUCCACAGCUUGACGGACGGGCUCGCUCUGCAUUUCAAACUAAUGGAGGGCGGCCUUCUCUCCGUCAAGAUCUUCGGGCACUUCGGGACCCGCGUGAGGUGCUGCAUGGAGAGCUCCUCCGACGAUGAAGAGUCCUCCUCAAGCGAGAGUGGCGAGGAAGACAACGGCAGCGAUGAUGAGGGCAGCGGGCGGCAGGAUGACGGGUCCGACUAGGCGUCGGGCGUCGCUCCGAGCGGCACCGACGGCCCCAUCAUCCGCGUCACCAGCUCCUUGAACUUCUCGGGGUUGCCUCCUUGGGCGGCCGGUGUAGGGAGGCUGCGGAAGAGGAAGAGGACGAGUGGCGAGGCCGUCAAGUCAGAGUACGCGGACACCGAUGCCUUCAUCGUGUGUUGGCGUCCUGCCGCCUCGUCUUUGAGCUCUGCCUCCGGCGCCGCCAUCACCAUCCAGCCCUCGGACAGCCGCCGAGAUAUCCUCUUGGUGUCUUCUGCCACUCGUAGCUUGCCUAGGCGCCCCUUUUGCCCUUUUGUCUUUUUGUUCCAUUUCCUGAGGAGAGGGACAAGAAAGGGAUUACGGGCACUGUAUCUUUUUAGUUCUGUAAGCCUUCGGGCCUUUGUUAGCUUUAUGACUCGUAUUCCCCUUGUUCAUGUUUUUCAUUUCGUAUGGACUGUACCUAUACGGGAUGUUUUUUAAUGAAAAAGGGACGUUUGCCGGGAUUACGUUUGUGGGAGGAACCCACGGCAAGGGGUGAAUCCUUGACAUCUUUCUAGACAAACGUUUUUUCCUGGCAACAGGCCUUGCUGUCUCCCCACUUCGCUUGACCCUUCCCAUGCUCUUGGCGGGGGCAAGGAUGAAGUGGGCUUAGGCCCCUCGCUCCCUUCCUCUGCUGACGCGGCUACGACCAGAUCUAGACCCAUGAAAUAAUCCUUAGGUGCCGAAAAAAGGGAGCACGGUAGCUCAGAGAUAGGACGGGGUUUCAUGCAUCCCAGUCCAUAACGAAACGCAUGAUAGGGAUAAAAGUUAUCUGGAUCUGCAGCCCUCGGUGAUCUUGGCUUGCCGUGGGGAGAUCCUUGUUUUUUUGCAGCUCCUGGCGAUUCUGGCUUGCCGGGGCUCGGGCGCCGGUUCGUUCCCUUCCUUCCAAAAUAGCUCGGCAAGAAUACUUACGUGCCCUGCGAACCAAAGAAGACAGGGAAGGACAAAAACGCACACCCGACCUCUAAGCUAGGGGUUAGUUGCCGCCAAGCACUAUCAACCCUAACCAAGGAAGAGACUCAACCUAGCAUGCGUGAUAUAACUUAGGGCGCCAGCGCUUCGUUUAUUUAUGCUCAGGGUCUGCGCCUGGAUUUGUACAAAGGGUUACAUGCCUUGCCGGCAAGGGUUCUACAAAAGGAUGGCUUGCCGGGAGGCCCGGCAGCUGCGCCUUAUGGGUAAAACUUGCGAAGAUGCUCGAUGUUCCAGGAAUUGCUCACCGGGACGGCAUCUUCGGUCUCCAGGCGGACUGCGCCGGGCCUGGUGACUUGCAUUACCCGAUAAGGGCCUUCCCACUUUGGCGUCAACUUGUUGGAAUUCUUGGUCGACUGAACAUGCCGAAGAACAAGGUCGCCUUCCUCAAAACUCCGGGCAUGAACCUUGCGGCUAUGGUAGCGGCGCAAAGCUUGCUGGUAGCGUGCUGCUCUUACAGCCACCCGGAGACGAUCUUCCUCGAGGAGCGUUGCGUUAUCCUGGCGCAGUUGCUCUUGCUCAAGAUCAUCAUAAGAGAGCACUCGAGGUGACCCGUAUAUGAGUUCCGUGGGGAGAACUGCUUCUGCCCCGUAAACCAGGGCAAAGGGUGUCUGGCCGGUGUCUCGAUUUGGCAUCAUUCUGAUUGACCAAAGAACCGCCGGCAACUCCUCAAUCCAGCGUCUUCCGCUUUUGUGCAGCCUAUCAAAAGCCUUCGUCCUCAAGCCUCGCAGGACUUUAGCGUUUGCUCUCUCUGCUUGGCCGUUGCUCCGUGGAUGCGCCACGAAGGCAAAACAGACCUGCUGCUGAGAUCCUCAAUGUAUUGCAUGAAGGCAUGGCCUGUGAACUGCGUGCCGUUAUCGGUGAUGACCCUGUUGGGUACUCCAAAAUGGAAAACUAGUCCCUUGAAGAACUUGAUGGCUGACUGCGCCGUUAUCUUCCUCACUGCCUCCACCUCUGGCCACUUUGUGAACUUGUCAAUGGCAACGUACAAGUACUCAAAGCCCCCGACGGCGCGGGGGAAGGGGCCCAAGAUGUCGAGCCCCCAGACCGAGAAGGGCCAGGAGAGAGGGAUGGUUUGAAGGGCUUGAGCUGGUUGAUGAAGUUUUUUCGAAUGGAACUGGCACGCUUCACACUUGGUUACUAGUGUUGUCGCAUCCUAGAGGGCGCUGGACCAGAAGAAACCCUGCCGGAAAACCUUGCCGGUAGGGGCCCUCGACCCUAUGUGGGAGCCACAUAUGCCUCCAUGUAUCUCUGCCAACAGCCUUAGUCAUUCCUCCUGGGAGACGCACAUCAACUUCACCCCAUUCGGUCUUCUUCUGUAUAGCACGUUAUCAAUGAACUGGUACAAAGCAGACCGGCGGGCCACUCUGUCUGCCUCUUCCUGCUCCUCAGGAAGCUCUCCUUUUUGAAGGAAACGAACGGUGUGUUGUUCCCAUGCUGGAGCCUGUGGCUCGACAUCAAGGACCAAAGGCGUCUCUUUUGCCGUAGGGGCAGCCGCCUCCAUGGCCAUGACCUGAGGUCCUGCCGGAGUUGGUUACCCUGCGGCAGGAUCGGCAUCCACGGCAACAUCUCCGCCGGCGGCUCCGGGGAGCUCGGUGGGGAAGUACUUGCCGGGGCCUAGCUUCCUUCGCUUGUUCUGCCCAGUCGACGGCUGAACGGAUGGUUGAGUUAACUGAAGCACAAAAGUACCUGGUUCCACAGGUAGCUUUAGGGCGGUGCGCUUUGACAGGUAGUCAGCGACAUCGUUCUACGCUCGAGGGAUGUGCUCCGCUUGUAUACCAUCAAAACGUUCCUCCAGUUUCCUCACUUCAUCCACGUUGGCUUCCAUCAAAGGGAUUUGAUAAUCUUUGUUAACCUGCCUGAUGACGAGUUGUGAAUCGCCCCUGACGAUGAGCUUUUUGACUUUGAGGUCCGCCGCGAUCCUGAGACCGGCGAGCAAACCCUCAUAUUCGGCGGUGUUGUUGGUUGACAUCUCCCGGGGAAAGUGCAUUUGGAUGACGUACUUGAGGUGCUCCCCGGUGGGUGCGACAAGCAGCACACCAGCACCGGCGCCUUGCAGUGAGAAGGCCCCAUCAAAGUACGUCAUCUAGUCACCACUUGUUUCCUCGCCGGGGAGAGUGGUAUCUUGUACCUCUUCGUCGGGUGUCGAGGUCCAUUCAACAACAAAUUCCGCCAAGACUCUGCUCUGGAUCGUCGAGGUGCUUUCGAACUUCAAGCCGAAACUCGACAGCUCUAGGGCCCAUUCCACGAUCCUUCCUGUUGCAUCUGGGUUAUGUAGUAUCCGUUGUAAUGGAAGGCGUGUAACCACGGUGAUCUCGUGCGCCUGGAAGUAGUGGCGCAACUUCCUCGAGGCCAUAAGGAGGCCGAAGAGCAACUUUUGCACACCUGAGUACCUCGACCUAGCCCCCUGUAAAAGGGAGCUGACGAAGUAAACUGGGUGCUACACCACCUUCUUUCUUUGCACCACUUCACCUGGCCAUGUGGGUCCUGUCGUACUAGCGUCAGGCUUGCUGGGAUCGAGUCCUUCCGGGAUCGAGCCCUGUCGGGGAGGGUUCCGACCCGUCAUCCAUCGGCUCUGCCGCCGCUGCCGUCUUCUCGUUAACCUCUCUCUGUGCCACCAAUGCGGCGCUAACCACUUGAUUUGUUGCCGCUAGGUAUAACAGCAACGGCUCUUGCGGUUUAGGCACAACUAGCACUGGGGCAGAGGAAAGGUACUUCUUCAAAUCUUGCUAUGGUGCCUUGGCCUCCGGGGUCCACUCCACCGGGCCCGUCUUCUUUAGGAUCUUGAAGAAGGGGAGGGCAUGCUCCGCGGACUUGGAGAUGAAUCUGCUCAUGGCGGCAACGCAGCCAGUGAGCCGACGAACAUCCUUGAUCCGCUUGGGUGCCUCGAUCUGCUCGAUAGCCUUAAUCUUGUCGGGGUUUGCCUCAAUCCCGCGCUGCGACACAAAGAACCCGAGAAGCUUGCCGGAUGGGACACCGAAGACACACUUCUCAGAGUUCAUCUUGAGGUUAAUCUUGCGCAGGUUCCUAAAGGUUUCCUCCAGGUCUUGCACGAGCGUUGCUUUGUCCUUAGUUUUGACUACUAUUUCAUCCAUAUAAGCUUCCAUAUUUCUAUGUAGCUAGGGUUCAAAACCGAUCUGGACUGCUCUUGCAAACGUUGAGCCAGCACUCUUCAACCCGAAAGGCAUCCGUAAAAAGCAAUACGUGCCACAUGGGGUGAUGAACGCUGUCUUUUCUUCAUCUUCUUUUGUCAUAAAGAUCUGGUGGUAUCCCGAAUAGGCGUCGAGGAAUGAUAACAGGUCACAUCCGGCCGUGGAGUCAACAAUCUGGUCGAUGUGAGGUAACGGGAGGGGAUCCUUUGGACAAGAUUUAUUGAUGUCUGUGUAAUCAAUACACAUCCUCCACUUCCCGUUUGCCUUGCGCACUACUACCGGAUUGGCCAACCACGUCGGAUGGAGCACUCCCCUUACCAGGCCAGCCGCCUCUAGCUUCCUAAUUUCUUCCGUGAUGAACUCUUGCCUCUCCAGAGCUUGCUUCCGUACCUUCUGCUUGACGGGCCGCGCAUGAGGACAGCCGACAAGGUGGUGCUCAAUCACUUCCCUGGGAACGCCGGGGAUGUCGGAGGCUUGCCAUGCAAACACAUCAACAUUUGCCCGCAAGAAAGUGACAAGCUCGCCUUCCUAUUUGCUGUCGAGGGUGGAGCUUAUGACGAAAGCCCCACCCGUGCCGUCCUCCUUGACAGGCACCCUCUUGGUCUUUGGCGGCGCAGCUCUGGGCUUCUUGCUCCUGUCGGCGGAGCUCUCUGGCACGUCCUCGACGGCAGCACAACACCCCGAAGAGGUGCGCUUGCCGGAGUGGGUGCGAGGGGUCUCACCGAUCUUGCUCCCUCCCGGGGUUCUGUCAGCAGGAGUAGGUGCCUUGGCGGCAGCUACUGCAACCGCUUCCCGAUAGAGUUGGUCGGCGCAAAUCAGUGCAUCUUUCUUGUCGGAGGGGACGGUGAUGAUGUUCAUCGGCCCGGGCAUCUUCAACAUGUUGUAGGCAUAAUGUGAAGCUGCCAUGAACUUGGCUAGUGCCGGGCGGCCGAGGAUCCCGUUGUAUGGCAAGGGGAUUUCGGCCACAUCGAAAACAAUCCUCUCGGUUCUGUGAUUCAGCUCGCCUCUGAAGGUCACAGGCAACGUGACCUUUCCCUUCCGCUGGCUCCUCCCCGGGUUAACCCCUUGGAACGUGCAUGUUUCCUCGAGGUCUCCAUCAGGGAUCUGUAGCUUCUUGACCACGGCAGGCGAGAUCAGGUUCAGGCAGGCCCCGCCAUCGACCAACAUUCUUGUCACCUUGAGGUUGCGGAUCAUUGGGGAAACCAACAAUGGCAAGCACCCGACCGCAGUAGUGCGGUCAGGGUGGUCCUCGGUAUUAAAGAUGAUGGGUGUGCUGGUCCAUUUUAGCGCCUUCCGUGCGUCAAAUGAUGGCUCCACUGUUGUGAUCUCACGCGCCCACUGCUUGAGCUGGCGGUGGGAUGUAUGCAGCGAGGCGCCACCAUCAACGCACAUGGCCUCUAUGGCUUUCUGGAACUCGUGAUCGCUGGACUCGUCAUCCCCGUCGUGGUCAUCAUCUUCUUGUUUCUUGUCGCGGCCCCUGGCGGGCCUCUCCUGCUGACUGUCCUUGCCGCGGCGGCCUCCUUGGCCGCCACGUUUCUUGUCGGGCCCCUCGGCACCGUCUUGGCCCUUCUCCUUGUCUUGCUACUCGUACUCGGCCUUCUGCUUUUCAGCAAGCAGCUCUACUUGCUGGCAGUGCUGGAGGUCAUGGCCCUUGGUGCGAUGGAUCUUGCAAUACUGCUUGUCGGAGCCUCCUGGCUUGUCGGCGGCCUCCAAGGCCCGGCAGGCGACACACCCGGCAACCUCCUUGCCAGGUUCGCUCGCCUUGGUCUUCUUGGUGGCGCAGGUGUCGUCGGAUCCCUCGAUGGCAAGCAUGGCCUUGCCCUUGCGUUUCCUGUUACGGCGCCAGCCCUUUUUUCCUGGGGUGGCGGUAUCGCCUGUGGAAUCGGUUUCCGCGCCGGCUUCUUUGCCGGGGUACUUCCUUCCCUCUUCAGCGCGAGCGCAUCGGUCGGCCAGAACAUAGAGCUCGGCCACAUCCUUAACCUUGUUCAUUGCCAGUUCUUCGCGCAUCUUGCGAUUGCGCAUGUUCUGGUGGAACACACUGAUCACGGCGGCGGGAUGAACAUCGGGGAUGUUGUACUUCACCCGGCUGAACCUCUGGAUGUACUUGCGCAGGUUUUCUCCUUCCUUCUGGGGGAUGAUGUGUAAAUCACUCGCCUGGCCAUGAGCCUGGUGACCUCCGGUGAAGGCGCCAACAAACUCAUGGCACAGAUCCUCCCAAUAAGAGAUGGAAUCCAUCCACAAGUGCAUCAACCAUGACAUGACAUUAGGCUUGAGUGCCAACAAGAAGUAAUUGGCAAGCACCUUAUCAUUGCGGGCCCCAGCAGCUUGCAUCGCGAUGGUGUAGAUGCUGAGGAAUUCCGACGGGUGAGUCUUGCCAUUGUACUUCUCGCCAAUGCCAGGCUUGAAAGUGCGGUGGGAGGGCCACUGGAACUGCCGCAGCUCACGGGUGAAAGCCGGACAGCCCACCUCGUAGGGUAGGCCGCCGUAGCCCCCCGGUGCCGGGUGAUCCGUAGUGGCCCCUGCCCGCCUAUCCGACUGGUGGCGCGUGUCGCGGUGGUGCUCGAUGGUGGUUCGAGCGUCCUCAUGAGCCUGCUCCCAAAGGACCAGGCGCUGAUCGCGAUUGGUUUGCGGGUUGGACGACGUGAUGGAGACAUCAUCAUGAGCAUCGUCACGACGGGUUGUCGCCCACGACGGCAGGUGCUGAGGAGGGGAAUACACCGUAGCCGCAUCGCCUUCGGCUCGGCCCCUGCUAGCAGGGGGUGGCACGACGGAGCGACGGCCCACGGGUUUCGCCGGUCGCAGCUCGUCGUCGUUGGCGAUGUCGACGAGGCUCCGGACGGUGGCCCUCCACUCAUCAAGCUUUUCCGCCGAGGGGGGAAAGUCAAGGAGGAGCUGCGCGCGCGCCAGGGCUUCUGCUGGCGUGGGUGGCGGCGAGAGUUGGGUGGACCGCGAUGCGCUUUGACUCCUAACCAUGUUAGAAGGAGCCCCAUCACGACUCCGCAACCGCCCGCCACCUUCGUCGGCACCUCGGCGUGCACGCUGGCCUUCCUCAUCCUGCGAAGGAUGCAUAGGGCUUUUCCCAGGGCGGCGCCCUGGGCCACCAGUGCGGCGGCGCUGCUCAUCAUGUAUGAUUUGAGAGGAGCGCGUCGUAGGUGCUGGCAUUGGUGUCUUAGAGGUCGCCGCGCCAUUGGUAGGCGGCAUGACAACGCCCCUGGAGGGCCCCGCGCCGCCUGCGGGGGGUUCGACGUCGUUUCUUGGGCCGGCGCCGCGUGGAUCGUCGCCCAUCGGGCCCGGACCGCCAGGGUGAUGCGGGUGUACGCGGACCGCACCGUGGGUUCUCUCCGCGACUGGCCCGCUACUGGCCUGCAGCGGUGAUGGUAGUCUGGUUCCGGACGAGCCAAUCACCAUGGUCGUCUUCUUCUUAGGAGCCAUGGCGAUAAUGAACUGCUAGGCCUACCCCUAGGCCAGAUUCUCACAAUUUGCGCCCCCUACCUGGCGCGCCAAAGAUGUCGGUGGGAAACGACACCUAUGGGAUCACUGGAAUCCCUUCUGUGGUUGCGGGGCACGGAAUCGCGAGAAGAGCGGGACUAGUGGAUAGCACAAAGGGGAUUUACCAAGGUUUGGGCCGCAAAGAUGUGCAAAACCCUACGAUCCUGGUUUGGUGGUUGUAUUAGUGUUCUUGAGCUCUCGAACUAGCUCUGAGUGUUGCCAGGUUCCAAAGAGCCGAAUCCCUCCUCAGUAUGCCAUGGGCCUCCUUUUAUAGGCGAAAAGGGGCUGCCACGGUAGCACACCGAAGGUGGAAAGCGCUAUAGUGAUGCGUGGUUAUCGCUAGCAUUACAGGACGAAACGCAUUAAAUGCAGGGCUUAGGUGUCCUUCACUUUAUCGGGGGAUGGGGGUGAGGCCCGUCCCGUCCGUCACUGCCCCUCCUGGCUUCGACACGCGCCCCGGCCAGCAAUGCAUGCAACGCCAUGUAGGCAGGCAGGCAGCUGAGGUGGCGCGGUGGUGGAGUCUCCACGAAGGUUUGCAUGCUCCCAUGCAGGUGCCUGCCCAGCUGGUUGGGUCGAUGGCUGCAUAGGAAAGGCGGCAGGAACUUGGCUGGUGCGGGCCUGGCAGUGGCCUUGCUGGUGCGCUUGGCGAUGGUCUUUCCGGGUGGCCCGACAAGGGUCUUGCCGCGGCGCACUGGCUUCCCCGGCAAGGAUCUUUCCGGGGAGCCCUGUGGGUUUCUUUGGUGAGGAUGGUUGCCUUCCUAUCCUCUCUUGAUCUUGAUUGCUCUUUUGUCUUCACAAAGAUUUGCAUGCCACCAUGGAGGUGCCUCCCGAACCCUGUCCCAAUGCGACUGCUCAGUAUCGGUAGGCUCAAAGGUGGCUCACUCCGCGGGUGUGGACGAGCUGCCCCGGCAAGCAUCUUGCCGGGGCUGCUGAGGCUGCCCCCGGCAAGGGUCCUUGCCGGGGCAACCUGCAUCGCCCGUGCGGCAUUCGUGGUCUUGGUCCUUUGUCGUGUGUUUUGCUUGUCCCUACGGCUUUGGCUUUUCUUCGGCUUCCCUCUCUUGCCAAUGCGUGGUCGUGGUAGGUGGCUCUGACUGCCCAUGCACAGGUAAAGGGGUCAAAAGCUAGGCCCCUACUUUUGUACACCGACAACGUGAGUUGUGAAACAAUUCCACAUUUCCUUAAGUGCAUACCAAACUCGUGACUUAAAUAUUCUCCCCCACGAUCUGAUCGUAAGAACUUUAUUUUUCUGUCACGUUGAUUCUCUACCUCAUUCUGAAAUUCCUUGAACUUUUCAAAGGUCUCAGACUUGUGUUUCAUUAAGUAGACAUACCCAUAUCUACUUAAGUCAUCAGUGAGGGUGAGAACAUACAAUAGCCACAGCGAGCCUCAACUCUCAUUGGACCGCACACAUUAGUAUGUAUAAUUUCCAAUAAGUUGCUCACUCGCUCCAUUGUUCCGGAGAACGGAGUCUUGGUCAUUUUGCCCAUGAGGCAUGGUUCGCACGUGUCAAAUGAUUCGUAAUCAAGAGACUCCAAAAGUUCAUCUGCAUGGAGCUUCUUCAUGCCUUUGACACCAAUGUGACCAAGGCGGCAGUGCCACAGGUAUGUGGGACUAUCAUUAUCAAUCUUACAUCUUUUGGUAUUCACACUAUGAAUAUCUGUAACAUCACGUCCGAGAUUCAUUAAGAAUAAACCAUUGACCAGCGGGGCAUGACCAUAAAACAUAUCACUCAUAUAAAUAGAACAACCAUUAUUCUCGGAUUUAAAUGAGUAGCCAUCUUGUAUUAAACGAGAUCCAGAUACAAUGUUCAUGCUCAAAGCUGGCACUAAAUAACAAUUAUUGAGGUUUAAAACUAAUCUUGUAGGUAAAUGUAGAGGUAGCGUGCCGACGGCGAUCACAUCAACCUUGGAACCAUUCCCGACGCGCAUCGUCACCUCGUCCUUUGCUAGUCUCCGCUUAUUCCGCAGCUCCUGUUUUGAGUUACAAAUAUGAGCAACGACACCGGUAUCAAAUACCCAGCAGCUACUACGAGUACUGGUAAGGUACACAUCAAUAACAUGUAUAUCACAUAUACCUUUGGUGUUGCCUGCCUUCUUAUCCGCUAAGUACUUGGGGCAGUUCCGCUUCCAGUGACCAUUUCCCUUGCAAUAAAAGCACUCAGUCUCAGGCUUAGGUCCGUGCUUUGGCUUCUUCCCGGCAACUGGCUUACCGGGCGCGGCAACUCCCUUGCCGUCCUUCUUGAAGUUUUUCUUACCCUUCCCUUUCUUGAAACUAGUGGUUUUAUUGACCAUCAACACUUGAUGUUCCUUUUUGAUCUCCACCUCCGCUGAUUUCAGCAUUGAAAAUACCUCAGGAAUGGUUUUCACCAUCCCCUGCAUAUUGUAGUUUAUCACAAAGCUCUUGUAGCUAGGUGGGAGAGACUGAAGGAUUCUGUCAAUGACCGACUCAUUCGGGAGGUUAAUGUCCAGUUGAGACAAGCGGUUGUGCAACCCAGAUAUUUUGAGUAUGUGCUCGCUGACAGAACUAUUCUCCUCCAUGUUACAACUGUAGAACUUGUCGGAGACUUCAUAUCUCUCGACCCAGGCAUGAUCUUGGAAAACCAUUUUUAGCUCUUGGAACAUCUCAUAUGCUUCGUGCUGCUCGAAACGUUUUUGGAGCCCCGGUUCUAAGCUGUAAAGCAUACCACACUGAACCAGGGAGUAAUCAUCAAAACGCGACUGCCAGGCGUUCAUAACGUCUGGAUUCGCCAGGACGAGUGCUUCACCUAGUGGUGCUUCAAGGACAUAUGCUUUCUUGGCAGCUAUGAGGAUGAUCCUCAAGUUCCGGACCCAGUCUGUAUAGUUGCUACCAUUGUCUUUCAGCUUUGUUUUCUCUAGGAACGCGUUGAAGUUGAGGUUGACAUGAGCGUGGGCCAUUUGAUCUACAAGACAUUUUGCAAAAGUUUUUAGACUAAGCUCAUGAUAAUUAAGUUCAUCUAAUCAAAUUAUUUAAUGAACUCCCACUCAGAUAGACAUCCCUCUAGUCGUCUAAGUGAUACAUGAUCUGAGUCAACUAGGCCGUGUCCGAUCAUCACGUGAGACAGACUAGUCAUCAUCGGUGAACAUCUUCAUGUUGAUCGUAUCUUCUAUACGACUCAUGUUUGACCUUUCGGUCUCUUGUGUUCUGAGGCCAUGUCUGUACAUGCUAGGCUUGUCAAGUCAACCUAAGUGUUUUGCAUGUGUAAAUCUGGCUUACACCCAUUGUAUGUGAACGUUAGAAUCUAUCACACCCGAUCAUCACGUGGUGCUUCAACACAAUGAACUUUUGCAAUGACGCACAGUUAGGGGAAACACUUUCUUGAAAUUAUUAUGAGGGAUCAUCUUAUUUACUACCAUCGUUCUAAGCAAAUAAGAUGCAAAAACAUGAUAGACAUCACAUGCAAUCAAAUAGUGACAUGAUAUGGCCAAUAUCAUUUUGCUCCUUUUGAUCUCCAUCUUCGGGGCGCCAUGAUCAUCAUUGUCACAGGCAUGACACCAUGAUCUCCAUCAUCGUGUCUCCAUGAAGUUGUCUCACCAACUAUUACUUCUACUACUAUGGCUAACGGUUUAGCAAUGAAGUAAAGUAAUUACAUGGUGUUAUUUGGUGACACGCAGGUCAUACAAUAAAUAAAGACAACUCCUAUGGCUCUUGCCAGUUGUCAUACUCAUCGACAUGCAAGUCGUGAUUCCUAUUACAAGAACAUGAUCAAUCUCAUACAUCACAUAUAUUUCAUUCAUCACAUCCUUUUUGGCCAUAUCACAUCACACGGCAUAUGCUGCAAAAAACAAGUUAGACGUCCUCUAAUUGUUGUUGCAAGUUUUUACGUGGAUGUUAUAGGUUUCUAGCAAGAACGUUUCUUACCUACGCCAAAACCACAACGUGAUAUGCCAAUUGCUAUUUACCCUUCAUCAGGACCCUUUUCAUCGAAUCCGAUCCGACUAAAGUGGGAGAGACAGACACCCGCUAGCCACCUUGUGCAACUAGUGCAUGUUAGUCGGUGGAACCUGUCUCACGUAAGCGUACGUGUAAGGUCGGUCCGGGCCGCUUCAUCCCAUGAUGCCGCCGAAACAAGAUAAGACUAGUAGUGGCAAGUAAAUUGACAAAAUUGACGCCCACAACAAACUUGUGUUCUACUCGUGCAUAGAAACUACGCAUAGACCUAGAUCAUGAUGCCACUGUUGGUGAUCGUUGCAGAAAUUAAAAAAUUUCUACGCAUCACCAAGAUCAAUCUAUGGAGUAACUAUCAACGAGAGAGAGGGGAGUGCAUCUUCAUACCCUUGAAGAUCGCGAGAUGGAAGCAUUACAAGAACGCGGAUGAAGGAGUCGUACUCGAAGCGAUUCAGAUCGCGAUGGAUUCCGAUCUUAGCACCGAACAACGGCACCUCCGUGUUCAACACACGUGCAGCCCGGUGACGUCUCCCGCGCCUUCAUCCAGCAAGGAGGAGGGAGAGGUUGAGGAAGAAGGCUCUAAUAGCAGCACGACGGCGUGGUGGUGAUGGAGUGGCAGUUCUCCGGCAGGGCUUCGCCAAGCUCGCGUGGAGGAGGAGAGGUGUUGGGGAGGGGAGGGACUGCGCCUUGGAUGUAGUGCUGCAGACCUCCCCUCGCCCCUCUAUUUAUAGGAGAAGGGGGAAGGGGGGCCGGCCCCUCUAGAUGGGAUCUAGAGGGGGCGCCGGCCAAGGGGGGAGGGGGCUUUCCCCUUAAGCAAGUGGAGGCGCCCCCCUUAGGGUUCCCCCCCCAACCCUAGGUGCAUGGGCCCUAGGGGGGUGGCGCCCAGCCCACUUGGGGCUGGUUCCCUUCCACCUACAGCCCAUAUGGCCCUCCGGGAUAGGUGGCCCCUGUCGGUGACAAAACCGGCGGAUCUCGGAUAGGGGGUUCCGAUCUGUGCGUCUUAGGCUGAUGGUAGCAGGAAGCAAGGGACACAACAUUUACCCAGGUUCGGGCCCUCUCGAUGGAGGUAAAACCCUACUUCCUGCUUGAUUAAUAUUGAAGAUAUGUGGAAUACAAGAGUAGAUCUACCACGAGAUCGUAGAGGCUAAACCCUAAGAGAUAGCCUAUGAUGGUAUGAAUGUAAUUGUGAUCGUCCUUCUAAGGACCAUGCUCUCCGGUUUAUAUAGACACCGGAGAGCUAGGGUUUACAUGGAGUCGGUUUACAAGGAAGGAAACAUAAUAUCCGGAUCGCCAAGCUUGUCUUCCACGCAAAGGAGAGUCCCAUCCGGACACGAGCCGAAGUCUUGAGUCUUGUAUCUUGACGCUUCUAUAAUCCGGACGAUGCAUAUAGUCCGGCUGUCCGGAUACCUCCUUAUCCAGGACUCCCUCAGUAGCCCCUGAACCAGGCUUCAAUGACGAUGAGUCCAGCGCGCAGUCUUGUCUUCGGCAUUGCAAGGCGGGUUCCUCCUCCGAAUACUCCAAGGUUACCAUCGAACACGUAGACCGUGUCCGGAUCUGCAAAAUGAUCUUCACAUACCAUCAUAGAGAGAAUGAUACUCUAGCUGACAACUUUUAGAUGACGUGACAUGCCAUUAGGGCCAGGUCAUUAUUCGAACCGUUUUUCACAACCAGCCAAAGCGCGUAUUGCGAGGUGGUUUCCUUGACACGUCCUGUCAAAGCAGAGAUCAUGUCCCCUUAUUGCGGGAUUCUCAUCAAUACGGGUAUGGGUAAUCCCCCCAUGCCAUCAAUCAUGGCGCUUGGGAAGUAAGUGAUUCUCAACAGGCUAGUGGGGAGGCGCACCGCUUUCGUCGCCUCUAUAAAGGGAUAAGAGUUCCUCAUUUUUACCCACACCUUCUUCCUCCCCUCGCAUACUCUUGCCCCCUCGAGCUCCAGCGCCCUAGCCCAGGUCUUCUCCGCAUAGUUAGUCAUGUCCGGAGCAGGAGGCAAGUGGGUGGCUUGCACCACGACGGAGAAGAAUAUCGCGAAUCUCCGGGCGGCCUGAUACUUGGCCGCAGACAUAGCGCACCAGUUACCUGACGCGGGGCAGGUCAUUCCAACUCCAGGACCCCACGAGAGGGUCGUGUUCCUUGCCCACUUCGUCCAUGGACUGGGGUUUCCACUCCACCCCUUCGUCCGUGGGCUUAUGUUCUACUACAGGCUAGACUUUCAUGAUCUAGCUCCGAACUUCGUCCUCAACAUCUCGGCUUUCAUCGUCGUGUGCGAGGCUUUCCUCCGCAUCAAGCCUCAUUUCGGCUUGUGGCUCCAAACCUUCUGCGUCAAGCCGAAGAUUGUGAGCGGCCAGCAAGCGGAGUGCGGAGGAGCCAUGGUGGGCAAAAUGCCUAAUGUCACCUGGCCUGAAGGCUCCUUUGCGGAAACCGUGAAGGGGAGGCAAUAGGGGUGGUUCUACUUCACCGAGCCGCGCGACGCCGACUGGGUGCCGGCCCCCGAGUUCCGAUUUGGGACCCCUAUGCGGCUCACCUCCUAGGAACAUAAGGGCCUGUUAUGGGGCGAAUCUGCAGAGCUGACUGGACUCAUCACCUGCGUCAAGGGCAUGAAGGACAAGAACAUCAAGCUCGUCAACGUGAUCCAAGUCAUGCUCAUUCGCCUGAUUCUGCCGUGCCAAAGGCGGGCAUUCAAUUUGUGGGAAUUCGUCCUGGCCGAACACCGGCCGCUCUAGAGGCUCUAUGGCAUGAAGCAUAAGAACGCAUGGAAGGCGUUGUUCAAGGCCACCGAGGUACCUCCUCUCAUAAUCGAGGACCGCGGGCUCCACGCUGCACGACAACCUACUCAGGUGAGUUCUAAUGCGAUCACCGAAUUCGGUCCUUCCCAGUAUAAUUGCAGGGGAACCUCAAGUAAUUGUGCAUAUUUGUUUUAGGAGUAUGUGGAGACGGCGGAGCGGAUCGACAGUCCGGCUCCGUUGCCGGAAAGCCCAGCCAAUGAUCUUCUCACGAAGAUGCUGGUCCAGUUGCCUUAUAAGGGGCCGGAGAAGAAGGCCGACAAGAAGGCCCCGGGGACCCGAAAGGGUCUCCGGAGUAAGGUUGCGCAAGCCUCGUCCGAAGAUGACAAGGCGUACUCCUCCCCCAAAGGGGAAGAAGAAGAAGAGGAGGCCGCCCCGUCCGGAAAGGAUGGGGGGACUGAGACGGUGAAUCAGGGGGCCAGUAGAGGCUCCCGGCGUAAGGCCGUCAUACCCUUGUCGUCUGAUGACGACGAGGCGGAUUCCUCCCACGGAGGCGGGGAGGAACAAGGAGAAAUACCACCUCCCCGUGUCGGGGGAGGGAAGAAGAGGAAGGCCGCCCCGGUGGGGGAGACUGGGACGUCCAAGAAGGGAAAAGCAUCACUUUCAGACUACUCCGCCACCACCGGUGAUAGCGAGGAAGGGUGGCUGCCCAGGAAGAAGCCCCUCAUGCCGUCGUAAGUAUCCACACUCAAUCGUAAUUUUCGCUUCAUAAUUUUGUUUAUAAUGCCGAACUUGUAUACAGUCCGGCCAGGGCCCAUCCGAGAGUGUCGUCUUCGGACGGGUCCUUGAGUGAGUCAGCAAUGAACCCACUCCCGACGGCCACGUCUCCUCGUCCUGCGGAUGACAUAGAGGUGUUGUCCCGAAGGCUCCCAACGAUGGCGGAGGUGGCCCUAGAGGCGCCUCAAGGCGGCGUCCCAGGCGGCGGACUCGCGGGGUUCAAGGUCCCCGCGGAUCGUGUCGAUGAGAGCCACGGCAAGCCGGGCUCCCAGCCAAACACUGUUCCGGAGCCUUCAGUGUUUCCGGACUUAGGUGGGCAGCCCCUCGUUACGGAGGGAGGGCCGUCUAUAUCAAGGACUUCCGUUGCGCCCCAGGCACCGGAUUGUCUGCUGGAAGCGCUUCGAGGCGCUUUCCUAGAUGAAGAACACCAUACUCUCAUGAGUGCGGUGAUUCAGAAGGUUUCGUCCGCCAAGAGCGGACUAACCGAAGCCUGCACCAGCCUCCUAACAGGCUUUGAGGUAAGCAGUAAAAAUAUGUAAAAUUAUAACCCGAUAGGUAGUAGCCCCUAAUACUUUGUUUGGUGUUCGGAAAGAAAAACCAAACGGAGGGUCAAUUAUAAUCCACAGAAGUCUAACAAUAAGUGUUGAAUGUUAAUAAACAGGCUGUGCUGCUGGCCACUGCUGCUCGCACAGCCGAAAUCGCUGGCCUAAUGCAGGAUUUAGAGUGGGCACAGGGAGAGCUCGGCCUCGCGAGGAGGCAACUCGAGGAGAACAAAGGUGAAUGAUUCCCCUCUCUCAUAUAAUAAAUAGUAAAUAAAAUUUGAUUAUGCUAACGAUGAGAUGUCGUGAUGUGGUAACACAGGCUGCCACCGAAGUGGCAUCUCUUAAGAAGGUGUUGUCCGAGGCCGAACACAAUGCGGCCUUAGAACUCAAAGAGCGCAAAAAGCAAGAGGCCCGAGUGGGCGAGGUACAAGAAGAGCUCCAGGAGCUCGGCAAGAAGCUCGAGUCUACGGAGCAGGAGCCUAAAGCAAAGGAGGUCGAGCUUGUGAAGGCCCUUAUAAAUACAAAAGACGCCAAGGCUGAAGCCGAGAGGGCUCAGCAAGAGAUCCAGGAGGCCAAGAAAAUAGCGGCGGGUAAGAAUUUUUUUUAUGCAAAGCAAACAUGUGGAGGAUGAUUUUAUUUUACUUACUCGAAUCCGAAGCUCUCCAGGGCAUUUGCAGACCUGCCACGCAACGUAUCCGACGCCGCGGAGUUCUACCGUGCCUAGGAGGGGAGCUCAACGGAGAAGUUAUUCUAGUCCCAGUAUGCUGGGGCCAACCAUGCAACGCAUCUGAGUGACCAACUGAAGUAGUUGGUCGAACUCCACAAGGCGGCCGAAGUGGCUAUGAAAGAUCUCCUCGUCCAGAUAUGGCCUGGCAAGCUUCUGCCCACCAGCUGCUUUGGCCUGAUCAAGCGGAUGGUGGAUUCCUGUCCACGACUGGAAGUCAUCAAGCAGUCCGUUUGCAUUGAGGGUGCCCGCCGGGCCCUUGCCCGCGCCAAGGUGCAUUGGGGCAAGCUGGAUGCGGAGAAGCUGGUGAAGGACGGGCCACCGGAGGGCAAGCCGCAUCGCGUCCCCGAGAAGUAUUAUGAUGGCGUUAUGAAGGGUGCUUGCCUCAUGGCCAAUGAAUGUACCAAAGACAUAAUUUUUGAAUGAAUUCACCUCUAUCAUGUUUGUAAUUUGAAGAUGAAGUUACUUGCACUAUGUAGCACUUUUGUGAUUUAAAAUAUUACCUUCUGUGCGGCUGUUUAUCAAAUUCUGAAAGUAGGCCAGUCGUCGGUUUCCACCCCCAUGUAACUAGUACUGCGGUGUUCGUGGAAAACCCGAACACUCUUUAUCCAAAUUUUUGGUCCCUUAAGGAGGUGUCCAUCGUAGUGAACCAGGCAAUCGAACUAUACAGCUUUAUAACCUUCACUUAGCCAUAGAAGUAUAUGAUUUUAAAUUUCGACGAAGCCCCUAGAAUUCGGAAGGCCAAAUUGGGGCGCUAUACACGCCUAUAUCGGACAAAGCCGAAUUAAUGCCUAAAGUGGAAAAAUCUUUAAGGAUUUUAAGACCUCUCGAACAGCAACCAGUCUCUCGCCACAUCAUGUCGGACAAUUUUGUGCUUUCUCUACUGAGGUGCUUGUCCGGCAGAACCAGGGCACAAUCGCAGUAGUUCUCCCUACGGUACCUUAGCCGAAUUAAUGGAACGUAAGGCACCAAAGCAAGGGAGCCGGGCUAUCCCAACCGUAACCCAAGACAUGAUUCGGAGCUGAUGCAUAUAAUGCUAUAAGUUCGGGGUGCCGCACUGUUGAAAGUGUUCGGAUUUAACUUGCUGUAUUAUGGGGUACCCUAAGAAGCCCCUGGCAAACUACACGUACCAAAGUGUACGGAUGCAAAAUUAAAUAGACAUUUAUAAAAAAAUGCUCAAAUAAAAAUAAUUAAGCUGACACUAUGUGUGGUCUCCCAUUGAUGAAUAAUACGUUUAAGCGUAUGUUUACAAUGUAUGCAUUAAGCGGAGACAAGUGGGAUUAUUUGACAUAUCCUAUCCAGGGGCAGGCUACGUACAGAUAGAUAAAGCAGGAACAACAAUCAUAAAUAGAUUCCACCUGGGUGUUUCCUGCUGUGCCAAAAGCCUGUUGCCACCUGGGUUUCUUCUCCUAUGUAAGUCCAACAAUCCGGCUAUUCUGGAGAAGCUGCGCUAAAGCAAUGUCCUUAAGGGUAAAAGGAAAAGUUACGAAGCAAUACCGUACUGUUGACUGAGCCCCUGAUACACCUCCGCCUGUGCCCAUGGUAUUUUGAGUGCGUAUUGUGUACGCGUGGCACGAAUGCUGCUUUGCUGGGAUUUGAGCGGAGGCCGGACUGCUAGUCCUGCUCUUGUCGUGCCUGCUGAUCUUGUUGUGGGGUGUUCCGCCCUCGCUUGACGGAGCUUGAAAAUGUUGUUGCCGGAUUGGUGGUUUGCCGGAGGAGGCCGCAUUGUACUUAUGUUGCAAGGGCCGCAGUAUGUUCUUCUGUACGGAGAGAGCGAUCCAUAUUCCCGUUGACUGUUAUGACCCCGUGCGGGCCUGGCAUCUUGAGCUUGAGGUAUGCAUAGUGUGGUACCGCAUUGAAUCUAGCAAAUGCGGUUCGUCCGAGCAGGGCAUGGUAACCACUGCGGAAAGGGACGAUAUCGAAGAUUAGCUCUUUGCUUCGGAAAUUAUCCGGAGAUCCGAAGACCACUUACAAUGUUAUAGAGCCCGUGCAACGGGCCUCUACUCCAGGAACGACACCUUUAAAGGUCGUUUUGGUGGGCUUGAUCCUUGAAGGACCGAUGCCCAUCUUCUGCACUGUGUCCUGAUAAAGCAGGUUCAAGUUGCUGCCUCCGUCCAUAAGGACUCUUGUGAGGUGAAAUCCGUCUAUAAUUGGGUGUAAAACCAAUGCAGCUGAGUCGCUGUGACGGAUGCUAGUAGGAUGAUCCCUACGAUCAAAGGUGAUAGGACAAGCUAACCAUGGGUUGAAUUUGGGGAUGACUGGCUCCAUCUCAUAUACGUCCCAUAGUGCUCGCUUCCAUUCCUGGGGGGGGGGGGAUUUCUUCUGGCCCCCCAUGUUCGGACGCCGGGGCUCAUCAUCGUCAUCGCUGUGCAGCCCCUUGUCCUUGUUUUCGGCGUUUAUUUUGCCGGCCUGUUUAAAGACCCAGCAGUCUCUGUUGGUGUGGUUGGCUGGCUUGUCUGGGGUGCCAUGAAUUUGGCACGAGCGCUCCAGUCUAUGGUCCAGACUGGACGGUCCUUGAUUGUUGUGCUUGAAUGGCUUCUUCCGCUGACCGGAUUUCGAUCCGCUGAAUCUGGCAUUGACCGCCGUAUCCUCGGUGCUAUCACCGUUGUUCCGUCGCUUGUGUCUAUUGCGCCGUGGCUUACCAUUAUUGUCCCGGACAUCUGAAUUUCCACAAUGUGGCGUAGUGCUACUGCGAGCCAACCAGCUAUCCUCGCCCGCGCAAAAGCACGUCAUUAGUGUCGUAAGAGUUUCCAUGGACUUGGGUUUCUCCUGGCCGAGGUGUCUGGCGAGCCACUCGUCAUGGAUAUUAUGCUUGAAAGCCGCCAGGGCUUCGGUGUCCGGACAUUCGACUAUUUGAUUCUUUUUAGUUAGGAACGGACUCCAGAAUUUCCUGGCUGAUUCUCCGGGCUGUUGAGUUAUGUGGCUCAAGUCAUCGGCAUCCGGAGGUCGCACAUAUGUGCCCUGGAAGUUGUCAAGGAAUGCGUCUUCCAGGUUUUCCCAACUGCCAAUGGAAUUUGCGGGCAGGCUGUUUAGCCAGUGUCGGGCAGGUCCUUUGAGUUUAAUGGGAAGAUACGUGAUGGCAUGUAGAUCAUCUCCGCGGGCCAUGUGAAUGUGGAGAAGGAAAUCCUCAAUCCAUACCGCAGGGUCUAUGGUGCCAUCGUAUGAUUCGAUGUUUACGGGUUUAAAGCCUUCUAGAAAUUCGUGAUCCAUCACUUUAUCAGUGAAGCAUAGGGGGUGUGCGGCGCCUCUAUGUUGGGCUAUGUCAUGAGGCAGUCCGGCUGCGUCUGACUGGUUGUAUUCGGCCCUGCCAGAUUUGCUGUUAGUGUAUCCGGUAUGACGGUCAUCGUCAUGUGCUUUGGCGUGCCCCCGCGAUCCGUAGAUCGAUCUUGGUUGUCCUGCGAUGUUAUCUAGUUUAUCGCGCAGGUCCUGGGUAUUGCCCCGGGCCGUAGUAAACCAGCGCGGGGGUACGGGCUGGUAUUUCGGCUGAUAUGCCGUUUUGUCCCGACCUCGAGGCGGUCGGUCAGCCGUGGGGUGCUCGAGUCCGUAUUCCUCGGCUGCCAGGACUUCUGUCCAUCUGUUUGUGAGCAGAUCUUGAUCAGCUUGGAGCUGCUGCUGCUUCUUCUUCAGGCUUCUCGCAGUGGCAAUAAGCCGGCGCUUGAAGCGCUCCUGCUCUGCGGGGUCUUCGGGUACACCGAACUCGUUGUCGCCGAGGCUAAUCUCAUCUUCGGAGAGGGGCAUGUAGUUGUCCUCCUCCGGAUACCCGUCCGUCGCCUAUUCGUCUGGGCUGUUAUGCCCAUCUUCCUGUUCGGCCUGCUCUAAGGCAUGCUGUUCGGGGUUUUAUUCAUCGUCGGCACCGUCCGGAUUAUUAUCAUCUCCGGCGCCGGUAUUGCCUUGGCGGGGCUUGGAGUGGCGCUGGCGACGCCCAUGCUUUGCUUUCUUCUUGGAGGGGUUAUCCUCCGUUGCCUCAUCGCCAUUCGUUUCUUUCGGAGUGUCCACCAUAUAUAUAUCGUAUGAAGAGGUGGCUAUCCACCGCCCUGUGAGCGGUGGCUCCUGUAUGUCUCCUGCAUCGUCGUCCAUACCGUCGAUGUCUUCGAAGUCAAAGUCGAGCACGUCGGUUAAAUCAUCGAUCGUGGCGACAAAGUGGGUGGUGGGUGGGCAGCGAAUUCCUUCGUCGCAUGCUUCCUACUCCAGCCGGACAUAGUUCGGCCCAGAGUCUCCUGACAAAGAGAGAGAUUUCAAUGAGUUCAGCAUGUCACCAAAGGGUGAGUGCUGAAAGAUGUCCGCAGUGGUAAACUCCAUUACCGGAGCCCAACCUGGCUCGGCUGGCUCGAGAGUGAGCGGACCCGGACCAACAGCCGGAUAUGAGUCCGGGGGUCCGGGAUUACAGGCCUCCAUAGCGGUGGGACCCGUGUUCGGCUCUACCACCAAUAAGUGUGUGGCCUGCGGAGAGAGGUCCAGCCCUCCGUCCAUAGGCAAUCCGACCUGCCCUGGAUUUAGAUCCAAGGCUGGAUACCCAUGUUGGCUCCCACAUGUUCCACUAUGAUCUCAUCGGAUGAACCAUGAUGUCGAGGAUUCAAGUAAUCCCGUAUACAAUUCCCUUUGUCAAUCGGUACUUUACUUGCCCGAGAUUCGAUCGUCGGUAUCCCAAUACCUCGUUCAAUCUCGUUACCGGCAAGUCACUUUACUCGUUCCAGAAUGCAUGAUCCCAUGACUAACCACUUAGUCACAUUGAGCUCAUUAUGAUGAUGCAUUACCAAGUGGGCCCAGAGAUACCUCUCCGUCAUACGGAGUGACAAAUUCCAGUCUCGAUUCGUGCCAACCCAACAGACACUUUCGGAGAUACCUGCAGUGCACCUUUAUAGUCACCCAGUUACGUUGUGACAUUUGGUACACCCAAAGCACUCUUACGGUAUCCGGGAGUUACACAAUCUCAUGGUCUAUGGAAAUGAUACUUGACAUUAGAAAAGCUUUAGCAGACGAACUACACGAUCUUGUGCUAUGCUUAGUAUUGGGUCGUUAUCACUGACAUCCAAUGUCCAUAGUCAGGAAACCAUAACCAUCUCUUGAUCAACGAGCUAGUCAACUAGAGGCUCACUAGGGACAUGUUGUGGUCUAUGUAUUCACACAUGUAUCAUGGUUUCCGGUUAAUACAAUUAUAGCAUGAACAAUAGACAAUUAUCAUGAACAAGGAAAUAUAAUAAUAAUCAUUUUAUUAUUGCCUCUAGGGCAUAUUUCCAAUAGCAUCGAUGCAGCGUGAAGCAGUCGAGCAUGGGCUACCUCCAGGACAAGGAUUAAGGUCAAGACGCGAAGGGAAACGACGGGAACCUGGGCGGCAAUGUGCCAAAGCACGGUUUUGGGCUGAUGCACCCUGUGGUCACCGCGUGAGCUGGAGCAAGCGGCACGUUCUGGCCGAACCGGCCAUGUCGAGUAGAAUGACCAUGAUACCCUGAGUCUAAACAAAGAAACAAGUCGGUUCAGGGGCAAAUAAGAGAUUUGGAGGAGGUGCCAAAAGAUUUUGGCAGCAACCUGCUUGUGCUGCAUACAUGGGACACAAACUUGGCAACGAAGAAACUGACUUGUUUGGUGAUGAUCACACACUAAGGGGAUGUUGAUCACCAAAAAUCAGCUUAAGAGGAGUUCAGAGGGUGGUUGCUGUAGAAAGUGCCAUACUGGCCAGAAAUAGAGAUUUGGAUGAUGCACUCAUAUGGAGAGGCAAGUUGAGAUUAAAUUGGCCAUGGCCCAAUUAUUUGAAUAUAUUAAGAUGCUCAAAAAGUUUCAUGUCAUUUGGAUUAACCAAAAUGGCACUUGCUUCACAAAGCAUCUCCCUGGACAGAAUUUUGAAACAUUGCAUAGGGCAACUGGAUAGAUGAAAUGAGCCAAAAAUUGGUGGUGGGAGUUGAUAUGGAUAUGAGAAUGCCCUGGAAAAUUUUCAGCUUAAAUUAACCAAUAUAAAAUAUAUUUGCUUCACAAACUGAAAAUCUGACCAGAAACCAAGAUUUGGAGCUGUGCUCACAUAAAUGAGUUACACGAGCUCAAAUUUGGUGGAGAGUGAUGAUUUGAUCAUAUGAAGGACCUUGCAAAAUUUCAACUUAUUCGGAUAUGCCUAGCUCGUACUUCCUUCACAAUGUCUUCCCUCAGACAGGAACUUUAAAAAAUUGCUCAGGAAUAUUUACUAAGCAAAUUGUGUUGAAUUUUGGCAUGGUGCAAUUAUACAGACAGGAAAAGAUGUCCAAGAAGUUUGGGGUCAAUUGGGCAAAUGUAAAUACCACUUGCUUUGCAAUGUGCCAUUUAGGGCAGAAUAGGAAAAGAAUUAUUGAAGGAUUAUUUUUGAACAUGGCAAUGAAAAGUUUUACCAUAUUUGAAGAAUAUAGGACCCAAACAAUUUAUGAGAAUUAUUUGGGAAUUUUUGGAGUGACAGAAGGAUGGGUUGCUUCACAACCUAGGGCAAAUAGGAUAAUUCCUUUAAUAGAAAAGGAAUAUUCCCAAUAAAGAAUAUUGGGAUUUAGGCUAGGAUGAAAAUGACAUGAGCUAGGAAUAUUCCCAAGUUUUGGAACCACAUAGCCAUAGAAAAGCAAAUCAAAUCAAGAAAUCCAAGAAAAUCAAAGGAAAAAAAGAAAAGGGCAAAAUACAAGGUGUUACAACACGUACAUAUCUUAUGAUUAUUUGUGUUGCGGUAGAGACAAUUAAUUAGCAUCACUUACUUUAUUUCUAUUUUGUGGUACUGAAGUAUAUUAUGCCAUGAGGUAUUGUACGCAUUACUUCUUUUUGAGAAGGUUUUAAGAGGGCAAGUUAUAACUAACCAACUCCUUAGAUUAAGUUAAAAGGUGUCUAUGAAGGCCAUGUUUUGUGCGAUUAUUUUUGUCAAGUGAAGGAUAAUCCAGUUCUAGCCCCCCACACACAUGACGAAGCCAUCCUUGCCCCAUCUGCAAUAUAUACGAGCCACAUCCCAUAGGGAAUGUGUAGAGAAGAAUAUGUCUUAGAGAGGAUAAGGUUGAUAGAGGUUUUGAUGGCGGGCCCCAUUGGAACAUGUGUCAAGCGGAGGAGGAGGUAUACAGGAGAAAAAGAUUAGUCACGUGAAAAAAGUGUUUUCCAUCUUUGAGACAUUUUGGACAAGGAAAGUGCGUGCAUUAUCAUCUGAUAAAUCUCAAAUUAAUGUGUCUAUAUGAAGGACAUUAUUUGGUGAGUAUUUUCUUCAAGCAGAGUAUAAUCACCUCACGUAGAAACAGUUUGACCCGCCCACGAACUCGGUGAAGCCAUCCAUGCAUCGCCCGCAAUAUAUAUGAGUCUGGCCCAUGGGAUGGCUCCCCUCUCACCGUUUUGGCCCCGUACUCAGACACCCAGAAUCCCCCACAUCCUAAUGCAGUCAUCGACUUCCCCACUAUAGGAAUCAGAACCAACUCGCACAGGGGGGUGCUGCCACCGCACCAGGGGUAGCUCACGAGAUGAACACGAUGUGGAUUGGUAACAAGACAACGCACAAGGACGAGGAUGGUUUCACUAUGACAUUCUCCCUGUACAGGGCACUCACUACAUCCUCACGCACAAUGACGCCCGCAGCUAUGCAUCUAUCCUCUUUUGCUCCCUCGUCAAGCGAUAAACUGUCCUCGAGGUGCUCCGCAGGACCAAGGUCAAGGGCUCCUUCAUCCAAAUCAAGUUUGUGUGGUCAGUAAUCUCUCACCUCCCCUCUCAACCAGCUGGAUCAUCUCCCACCUUGGACCCCCACUCUGAUCUGACUGUAGGUUGUCAACCUGUGAUGUUAUUUUUCGGUUAAUUACGGUGUCGGUGCUUGUGAUUUGGCAUGAUGCCACACGAGAGGGAUAUUUAUCGUCCCAUAGUCUUGCCCUUUUAUGAUGUUUGGGCUAUGUCGGAUGAUAUAUGUCGUUAUAUAGUCCUAGUAUGGUGAUUGUUCCUUGUUCGAGGGUGAAAUUGUUAUGUUGGUGUUGUUUAAGAUUUAUUCCCUCGUGAUACUUACUUCUGCAAUUCCAACUUUAAUUUUCUAUGAAAUAGAUGAAUAUCUAGUCCCCAUGGUAUGCUUUUACUUUAAGUUUUAAUGGUGUACAAAUACUGAAUGAACCCUGGUUAGUAGUAGUUUUCUAUUUCUCGAGUGAAAUUGCUCCAUUCAUGUGCUAUUUUUGUGUAAUUAGUUGUGCACCAGUGCCACAAUUUGAUGUUAUUAAGUUUGUGAUUUGAUAUAACUAUACAAUGCAUGUUACCCCUGAUCUGUUUCACUUUAAUUUAGAACAAGUAAAUUCAUAGCAAUCUCAUACUCCCUCCAUUCCUUUAUAUAAGGUGUAUUUCUUUUUUGAUAAAAUUCCGGAAUGUAAGGUGUAUUUCUUGUAAUUCCUCAUAAUUCCCGUGUUAUCCCUCCAGAAAAUGGAAAAGUAUCUCUCUCCUAAUUGUUUGUAUCUCUCCUUGUAGCAAAAGAAGGAAAGUAUCUCUCUAUCGAUUGCAUGUAUCUCUUAUAUCCCUGGACUAACUGAUUUACUUGCGAGUAACCAGCAAAUUUCCCAGGGGUAAUUUCGUCCUAACAUGUCUAUAAUUCUGUGCCUUGGUCACCGUGUCAAAAAUAUUACAUGUUACAUAAAUGAACGGAGGGAGUAGUAUUUAUUUCUAGGACUGCUUGGAUGAGGAUUUUAUUCUUCUAUUUCAUAACAUAAAUAGUAUGCUUCUGAUGGCUUGUGUUUGUUGAUUGGUUUUUGCAUGCUAGAGCUAUUACAAACGUAUGGGUUGGUGGAAUUAGUUCAUCUAUUUCAAAGUACAAGGUAGACAAAGAGUUUCGAAUGAUUGGAAAGAUUGAAGGUGUUUAAUUCUCAUUUAUCAAACUUCUGCAUACAUCGACUUUGAUAAGCUGGAAGAUCACAUUUCUUCUUAUAGAGCCUUGAAUGGGACAGAUUUUGAGGGUCUCAUGACGCAACAUUCCUCUUUGGCAUAUAGUUUGGAGGGAUAGGUCAAAUCCACAUGACUUAAUUAAACAUGCUUAAACAUAUUAACAUAAUAACAAUUUUCCAACUUGUAUGAUGUAAAAAAAUGUUGUUACCACAGAUAUAUAAACUUAUGAUUAUUUGUUUUGUGGUAGAGGCACUUUGUUUUAUUAGGGUUGUUUACAUUAUUUCUAUUUGUCAUAGUGAAGUAUAUUAUGUUAAUGAGAUAUUGUAUGCAUUCCUUCUUUUUGAGACAUUUUUAAGAGGGAAAGUUAUUACUAACAAAAUCCUUGAAUUAAAUUAAAAUGUGUAUAUCAAGACCAUGUUUUUGCGCGUAUGUAUCUGAAGCGGAGGGUAAUCGUGUUCAAUACUAAUGGUUGUUUAUCUGUGAAAAUGAAAGACACUUCAAGUUUUGUAUGUAGGAGUAGGACUUCGGUUUCUGUUUUUGUUUUUCUUAGGGAUUUCCAUGUGUCUAGACUUUAGAUUGCUUUACUCUUCUGAUAGUGAUUAACAGAAACAACAGAUGGAAUUCCUUACCAUGUUGUGCCCUGCAGGAAACUUGUGUGAUGGCCAUCAACAAAUUGAAGACAUAUGUGUGAUAUUUUGAAUGUAAGUAGUGUCCUUCUCUCUGCGUGUGUGCUUCUGUGUAUUCUAGCUUUACUCUUUGUGUCUAUGGUAUGAUUAUAUUAGCUCUGUAGUCUACCUUCACUUCCAUUUGUAUAUUGAUGCAUAAAAAAUAAUAGUACUUGGCUAAUAAGACUUUCCGUGAUACAUGCUCAUUAUUUUGUUACUAAUGUGGCUUAUGUAUUUACUUCGAGAAGAAUUUCCAUCAUGUUUCUCCAAAGUGCAUUGCACCCCCAGUUUCAUGGCAAUUUCAUUUCUGCCAUAAUUCUUCUCUAGGUUGGGCAUACAUAAAUAAAUAUCACUUUCAACUUUCUAUAAUUUGUAAUAUGGUCUGUUCUGACUAUCAAGCCUCUUAAUUUCCAAUAUAUUUCCAACAAAUUAUGUUGCUUCCUAAUUUUUAGUAGUGACCUAAAAUGUCUUAUAUUAGUUAAUAGAGGAGCACAAUAUGGCCUGAUAGACAUUCUUAUCAUUCUCUCGGUCUCUGGUUUCGUUUUCAACUCAGAUGCAUUAAUCAAGGUUAUGUUUUACAACCAUGUAUCUAAAGGAUGGUUUUCCCAUUGAUUACAUAUGUGAAAGGUGGGUGAUGCUUCCCCUCUCAACUGGCCAGAUCAUCUCCCACCUUGGACCCCCAGUGUGAUAUGACUGCAGGUUGUCACCCUGUGAUGUUAUUUUUCGGUUAAUUAUGGUUUCGGUGCUUGUGAUUUGGCCCGAUGCCACAUGACAGGGAUAUUUAUCGUCCCAUGGUCUUGCCCUUUUAUGCGGUUUGGGCUAUGUCGGAUGAUAUGUGUCGUUAUAUAGUCCUAGUACGGUAAUUGUUCCUUGUUCUAGGUUGAAACUGUUAUGUUGGUGUUGUUUAAGAUUUAUUCCCUCUUGAUACUUACUGGUGCAAUUCCAACUUUAAUUUUCUACGAAAUAGAUGAAUAUCUAGUCCCCAUGAUAUGAUUUUACUUUAAGUUUUAAUGGUGUACAAAUGCUGAAUCAACCUUGGGUAGUAGUAGUUGUUUAUUUCUCGAGUGAAAUUCCUCCAUUCAUGUGCUGCUGUCGUGCAAUUAGUUGUGCACAAGUGACACAAUUUGAUGUUCUUAAGUUUGUGAUUUGAUAUAACUAUACAGUUCAUGUUACCCCUGAUCUGUUUCACUUUAAUUUAGAACAAGUAAAUUCAUAGCUAUCUCCACUAUUUAUUGCUAGGACUGCUUGGAUAAGGAUUUUAUUCUUCUAUUUCAUAACAUAAAUAGUAUGCUUCUGAUGGCUUGUGUUUGUUGAUUGGUUUUUGCAUGCUGGAGCUAUUACAAACGUUUGGGUUGGUGGAAUUAGUUCAUCUAUUUCAAAGUACGAGGUAGACGAAGAGUUUCAAAUGAUUGGAAAGAUUGAAGGUGUUCAAUUCUCCUUUGUCAAACUUCUGCAUACAUCGACUUUGAUAAGCUAGAAGAUGCCAUUUCUUCCUAUAGAGCCCAGAAUGGCACAAAUUUUGGGGAUGUCAUGAUGCAACAUUCCUCUUUGGCAUAUAGUUUGGAGGGACAGGUCAAAUCCAUACGGGUAAAUUAAAUAUGCUUAAAAAUAUUAACAUAAUAACAAUUUUCCAACUUGUAUGAUGUAAAAACAAUGUUGUUACCACAUAUAUAUAAACUUAUGAUUAUUUCUUUUGUGGUAGAGACACUUCCUUUUAUUAGGGUCGUUUACAUUAUUUCUAUUUGUCAUAGUGAAGUAUAUUAUGUUAAUGAGAUGUUGUAUGCAUUCCUUCUUUUUGAGACAUUUUUAAGAGGGAAAGUUAUUACUAACGAAAUCCUUGAAUUAAAUUAAAAGGUGUAUAUCAAGACAAUGGUUUUGCGCGUAUGUAUCUAAACCGGAGGGUAAUCGUGUUCGAUACUAAACGUUGUUUAUCUGUGAAAAUGAAAGACACUUCAAGUUUGUAUGUAGGAGUAGGACUUCAAUUUCUAUUUUUGUUUUUCUUAAGGAUUUCCAUGUGUUUAGACUUUAGAUUGCUUUAUUCUUCUCAUAGUGAUUAACAGAAACACCAGAUGGAAUUCCUUACCAUGUUGUGCACUGCAGGAAACUUGUGUGAUGGCCAUCAACAAAUUGAAGACAUCUGUGUGAUAUUUUAAAUGUAAGUAGUGUCCUUCUCUGUGCGCGUGUGCUUCUAUGUAUUCUAGCUUUACUCUUUGGGUCUAUGGUAUGAUUAUAUUAGCUCUGUAGUCUACCUUCACUUCCAUUUGUAUAUUAAUGCAUAAAAAAUAACAGUACUUGGCUAAUAAGCCUUUCCGUGAUACAUGCUCAUUAUUUUAUUAGUAAUGUGGCUUAUGUAUUUACUUCGAGAAGAACUUCCAUCAUGUUUCUCCAAAGUGCAUUCCACCCCUUGUUUCAUGGCAAUUUCAUUUCUGCCAUAAUUUUUCUCUAGGUUGGGCAUACAUAAAUAAAUAUCACUUUCAACUUUCUAUAAUUUGUAAUACGGUCUGUUCUGACUAUCAAGCCUCUUAAUUUCCAAUAUAUUUCCAACAAAUUAUGUUGCUUUCCUAAUUUUUAGUAGUGACCUAAAAUGUCUUAUAUUAGUUUAUAGAGGAGUACAAUAUGGCCUGAUAGACAUUCUUAUCUUUCUCUCAGUCUCUAGUUUCAUUUUCAACUCAGAUGCAUUAAUCAAGGUUAUGUUUUACAUCCAUGUAUCUACAGGAUGGUUUUCCCAUUGAUUACAUAUGUGAAAGGUGGGUGAUGCUUCCCCUCUCAACCGGCCAGAUCAUCUCCCACCUUGGACCCUCACUGUGAUCUGACUGCAGGUUGUCACCCUAUGAUGUUAUUUUUCGGUUAAUUAUGGUUUCGGUGCUUGUGAUUUGGCCCGAUGCCACACAAGAGGGAUAUUUAUCGUCCCAUGGUCUUGCCCUUUUAUGCGGUUUGGGCUAUGUCGGAAGAUAUGUGUCGUUAUAUAGUCCUAGUAUGGUGAUUGUUCCUUGUUCUAGGUUGAAACUGUUAUGUCGGUGUUUUUGAAGAUUUAUUCCCUCUUGAUACUUACUGGUGUAAUUCCAACUUUAAUUUUCUACGAAAUAGAUGAAUAUCUAGUCCCCAUGGUAUGGUUUUACUUUAAGUUUUAAUGGUGUACAAAUACUGAAUCAACCUUGGUUAGUAGUAGUUGUUUAUUUCUCGAGUGAAAUUCCUCCAUUUAUGUGCUGCUAUUGUGCAAUUAGUUGUGCACAAGUGACACAAUUUGAUGUUAUUAAGUUUGUGAUUUGAUAUAACUAUACAGUUCAUGUUACCCCUGAUUAGUUUCACUUUAAUUUAGAACAAGUAAAUUCAUAGCUAUCUCCACUAUUUAUUGCUAGGACUGCUUGGAUGAGGAUUUUAUUCUUCUAUUUCAUAACAUAAAUAGUAUGCUUCUGAUGGCUUGUGUUUUUUGAUUGGUUUUUGCAUGCUGGAGCUAUUACAAACGUAUGGGUUGGUUGAAUUAGUUCAUCUAUUUCAAAGUACGAGGUAGACGAAGAGUUUCAAAUGAGUGGAAAGAUUGAAGGUGUUCAAUUCUCAUUUGUCAAACUUAUGCAUUCAUCAACUUUGAUAAGCAGGAAGUUGCCAUUUCUUUUUAUAGAGCCCUGAAUGGGACAGAUUUUGGGGAUCUCAUGACGCAACAUUCCUCUUUGGCAUAUAGUUUGGAGGGACAGGUCAAAUCCAUACGGGUAAAUUAAAUAUGCUUAAAAAUAUUAACAUAAUAACAAUUUUCCAACUUGUAUGAUGUAAAAACAAUGUUGUUACCACAGAUAUAUAACCUUAUGAUUAUUUGUUUUGUGGUAGAGGCACUUUCUUUUAUUAGGGUCGUUUACAUUAUUUCUAUUUGUCAUAGUGAAGUAUAUUAUGUUAAUGAGAUGUUGUAUGCAUUCCUUCUAUUUGAGACAUUUUUAAGAGGGAAAGUUAUUACUAACGAAAUCCAUGAAUUAAAUUAAAAGGUGUAUAUGAAGACCGUGUUUUUGCGCGUAUGAAUCUAAACCGGAGGGUAAUCGUGUUCGAUACUAAAGGUUGUUUAUCUUUGAAAAUGAAAGACACUUCAAGUUUGUAUGUAGGAGUAGGACUUCAGUUUCUAUUUUAGUUUUUCUUAGGGAUUUCCAUGUGUCUAGACAUUAGAUUGCUUUAUUCUUCUCAUAGUGAUUAACAGAAACACCAGAUGUAAUUCCUUACCAUGUUGUGCCCUGCAGGAAACUUGUGUAAUGGCCAUCAAAAAAUUGAAGACAUCUGUGUUAUAUUUUGAAUGUAAGUAGUGUCCUUCUCUGUGGGUCUGUGCUUCUGUGUAUUCUAGCUUUACUCUUUGUGUCUAUGGUAUGAUUAAUUAGCUCUAUAGUAUACCUUCACGUCCAUUUGUAUAUUGAUGCAUAAAAAAUAACAAUACUUGGCUAAUAAGCCUUUCCAUGAUACAUGCUCAUUAUUUUAUUACUAAUGUGGCUUAUGUAUUUAUUUCGAGAAGAACUGCAAUCAUGUUUCUCCAAAGUACAUUGCACCCCCAGUUUCAUGGCAAUUUCAUUUCUGCCAUAAUUCUUCUCUAGGUUGGGCAUACAUAAAUAAAUAUCACUUUCAACUUUCUAUAAUCUAUAAUAUGGUCUGUUUUGACUAUCAAACCUCUUAAUUUCCAAUAUAUUUCCAACAAAUAUUGUUGAUUCCUAAUUUUUAGUAGUGACCUAAGAUGUCUUAUAUUAGUUUACAGAGGGAGUACAAUAUGGCCUGAUAGACAUUCAUAUCUUUCUCUCAGUCUUUGGUUUCAUUUUCAACUCAGCUGCAUUAAUCAAGGUUAUGUUUUACAACCAUGUAUCUACAGGAUGGUUUUCCCAUUGAUUACAUAUGUGAAAGGUCUGUGAUGCUUCCCCUCUCAACCGGCCGAAUCAUCUCCCACCUUGGACCCCCACUGUGAUCUGACUGCAGGUUGUGACCCCGUGAUGUUAUUUUUUGGGUUAAUUACGGUUUCGGUGCUUGUGAUUUGGCCUGAUGCCACACGAGAGGAAUAUUUAUCAUCCAAUGCUCUUGCCCUUUUAUGCGGUUUGGGCAAUGUCGGAUGAUAUAUGUCGUUAUAUAGUCCUAGUAUGGUGAUUGUUCCUUGUUCUAGGGUGAAAUUGUUAUGUUGGUGUUGUUUAAGAUUUAUUCCGUCAUGAUACUUCUUGGUGCAAUUCCAACUUUAAUUUUCUACGAAAUAGAUGAAUAUCUAGUCCCCAUGGUUUGGUUUUUCAAGUUUUAAUGGUGUACAAAUACUUAAUGAACCUUCGUUAGUCGUAGUUGUUUAUUUCUCGAGCGAAAUUUCUCCAUUAAUGUGCUGCUGUUGUGUAAUUAGUUGUGCACAAGUGACACAAUUUGAUGUUCUUAAGUUUGUGAUUUGAUAUAACUAUACAGUGCAUGUUGCCCCUGAUAUGUUUCAUUUUAAUUUAGAACAAGUUAAUUCAUAGCUAUCUCAUACUCCCUCUGUUCCUUUAUAUAAGGUGUGUUUCUUUUUUGAUAAAAUUCUGGAAUGUAAGGUGCAUUUCUUCUAAUUCCUCAUAAUUCCCUUGUUAGCCCUCCAGAAAAAGGGAAAGUAUCUCUCGCCUGAUUGUUUGUAUCUCUCCUUGUAGCAAAAGAAGGAAAGUGUCUCUCUAUCGAUUGCAUGUAUCUCUUAUAUCUGUGGACUAACUGAUUUACUUGCCACUAAUCAGCAAAUUUCCCAGGGGUAAUUUCAUCCUAACAUGUCUAUAAUUCUGUGCCUUGGUCACUGUACCAAAAAUAUUACACCUUACAUAAAGGAAAGGAGGGAGUAGUAUUUAUUUCUAGGACUGAUUGGAUGAGGAUUUUAUUCUUCUAUUUCAUAACAUAAAUAGUAUGCUUCUCAUGACUUGUGUUUGUUCAUUUGUUUUUCCAUGUUGGAGCUAUUACAAACGUAUGGGUCGGUGGAAUUAGUUCAUUUAUUUCAAAGUACGAGGUAGUCGAAGAGUUUCGAAUGAUUGGACAGAUUGAAGGUGUUUAAUUCUCAUUUAUCAAACUUCUGCAUACAUCGACUUUGAUAAUCUCGAAGCUACCAUUUCUUCCUAUAGAGCCCUGAAUGGGACAGAUUUUGGGGGUCUCAUGACGCAACAUUCCUCUUUGGCAUAUAGUUUGGAGGGAUAGGUCAAAUCCAUAUGGGUUAAUUAAAAAUGCUAAAAAAUAUUAACAUAAUAACAAUUUUCCAACUUGUAUUAUGUAAAAAAAUGUUGUUACCACAGAUAUAUAAACUCAUGAUUAUUAUUUUGUGGUAGAGACACUUUCUUUUAUUAGGGUCAUUUACAUUAUUUCUAUAUGUCAUAGUGAAGUAUAUUAUGUUAAUGAGAUAUUGUAUGCAUUCCUUCUUUUUGAGACAUUUUUAAGAGGGAGAGUUAUUACUAACGAAAUCCUUGAAUGAAAUUAAAAUGUGUAUAUGAAGACCAUGUUUUUGCGCAUAUGUAUCUAAAGCGGAGAGUAAUCGGGUUCGAUACUAAAGGUUGUUUAUCUGUGAAAAUGACGGACACUUCAAGUUUUGUAUGUAGGAGUAGGACUUCGGUUUCUAUUUUAGUAUUUCUUAGGGAUUUCUAUGUGUCUAGACUUUAGAUUGCUUUAUUCUUCUCAUAGUGAUUAACAGAAAUAGCAGAUGGAAUUCCUUACCAUGUUGUGCCCUGCAGGAAACUUGUGUGAUGGCCAUCAACAAAUUGAAGACAUCUGUGUGAUAUUUUGAUUGUAAGUAGUGUCUUUCUCUCUGCGUGUUUGCUUCUGUGUAUUCUAGCUUUACUCUUUGUGUCUAUGGUAUGAUUACUUAGCUCUAUAGUAUACCUUCACUUCCAUUUGUAUAUUGAUGCAUAAAAAAUAACAGUCCUUGGAUAAUAAGCCUUUCCAUGAUACAUGCUCAUUAUUUUAUUACUAAUGUGGCUUACGUAUUUACUUCAAGAAGAACUUCCAUCAUGUUUCUCCAAAGUGCAUUGUACCCCUAGUUUCAUGGCAAUUUCAUUUCUGCCAUAAUUCUUCUCUAGGUUGGGCAUACAUAAAUAAAUAUCACUUUCAACUUUCUAUAAUCUGUAAUAUGGUCUAUUCUGACUAUCAAGCCUCUUAACUUCCAAUAUAUUUCCAACAAAUUAUGUUGCUUCCUAAUUUUUAGUAGUGACCUAAGAUGUCUUAUAUUAGUUAUAGAGGGAGUACAAUAUGGCCUGAUAGACAUUCAUAUCUUUUUCUCAGUCUUUGGUUUCAUUUUCAACUCAACUGCAUUAAUCAAGGUUAUAUUUCACAACCAUGUAUCUACAGGAUGGUUUUCCCAUUGAUUACAUAUGUGAAAGGUGGGUGACGCUUCCCCUCUCAACCAGCUGGAUCAUCUCCCACCUUAGACCCCCACUUUAAUCUGACUGCAGGUUAUCACCCUGCGAUGUUAUUUGUUCGGUUAAUUACGGUUUCGGUGCUUGUGAUUUGGCCUGAUGCCACAUGAGAGUGAUAUUUAUCGUCCCAUGGUCUUUCCCUUUUAUGUGGUUUGGUCUAUGUCGUAAUAUAUAUGUCACUAUAUAGUCCUAGUAUGGUGAUUGUUCCUUGUUCUAGGGUGAAAUUGUUUUGUUGGUGUUGUUUAAGAUUUAUUCCCUCAUGAUACUUCCUGGUGCAAUUCCAACUUUAAUUUUCUAUGAAAUAGAUGAAUAUCUAGUCCCCAUAGUUUGGUUUUUCUUUAAGUUUUAAUGGUGUACAAAUACUGAAUGAACCCUGGUUAGUAGUAGUUGUUUAUUUCUUGAGUGAAAUUGCUCCAUUCAUGUGCUGCUGUUGUGUAAUUAUUUGUGCACAUGUGACACACUUUCAUGUUAUUAAGUUUGUGAUUUGAUAAAACUAUACAGUGCAUGUUACCCCUGAUCUGUUUCACUUUAAUUUAGAACAAGUAAAUUAAUAGCUAUCUGAUACUCCCUCCGUUCCUUUAUAUAAGGCGUAUUUCUUUUUGGAUAAAAUUCCGGAAUGUAAGGUGCAUUUCUUCUAAUUCCUCAUAAUUCCCAUGUUAGCCCUCCAGAAAAGGGAAAGUAUCUCUCUCCUGAUUGUUUGUAUGUCUCGUUGUAGCAAAAGAAGGAAGGUAUCUCUCUAUCGUUUGCAUGUAUCUCUUAUAUCCGUGAACUAACUGAUUUACUUGCCACUAAACAGCAAAUUUCCCAGGGGUAAUUUUGUCCUAACAUGUCUAUAAUUCUGUGCCUUGGUCACCAUGCCAAAAAUAUUACACCCUACAUAAAGGAACGGAGGAAGUAGUAUUUAUUUCUAGGACUGCUUGGAUGAGGAUUUUAUUCUUCUAUUACAUAACAUAAAUAGUAUGCUUCUUAUGGCUUGUGUUUGUUGAUUGGUUUUUGCAUGAUGGAGCUAUUACAAACGUAUGGGUUGGUGGAAUUAGUUCAUCUAUUUCAUAGUACGAGGUAGACGAAGAGUUUCAAAUGAUUGGAAAGAUUGAAGAUGUUUAAUUCUCAUUUAUCAAACUUCUACAUACAUCGACUUUCAUAAGCUGGAAGAUGUCAUUUCUUCCUAUAGAGCCCAGAAUGGGACAGAGUAUGGGGGUCUCAUGACACAACAUUCCUCUUUGGCACAUAGUUUGGAGGGACGGGUCAAAUCCAUAGGGGUUAAUUAAACAUGCUUAAAAAUAUUAACAUAAUAACAAUUUUCCAACUUUUAUGAUGUAAAAAAAUGUUGUUACCACAGAUAUAUAAACUUAUGAUUAUUUGUUUUGUGGUAGAGACACUUUCUUUUAUUAGGGUCGUUUACAUUAUUUCUAUUUUUCAUAGUGAAGUAUAUUAUGUUAAUGAGAUAUUGUAUGCAUUCCUUCUUUUUGAGACAUUUUUAAGAGGGAAAGUUAUUACUAACGUAAUCCUUGAAUUAAAUUAAAAGGUGUAUAUGAAGACCAUGUUUUUGCGCGUAUGCAUCUGAAGUGAAGGGUAAUCGGGUUCGAUACUAAAGGUUGUUUAUCUGUGAAAAUGGAAGACACUUCAAGUUUUGUAUGUAGGAGUAGGACUUCAGUUUCUAUUUUAGUUUUUCUUAGGGCUUUCCAUGUGUCUAGACUUUAGAUUGCUUUAUUCUUCUCAUAGUGAUUAACAGAAACACCAAAUUGAAUUCCUUACCAUGUUGUGCCCUGCAGAAAAUUUGUGUGAUGGCCAUCAACAAAUUGAAGAUAUUUGUGUGAUAUUUUGAAUGUAAGUAGUGUCCUUCUCUUUGCGUGUGUGCUUCUGUGUAUUCUAGCUUUACUCUUUGUGUAUAUGGUAUGAUUAUAUUAGCUCUGUAGUAUACCUUCAUUUCCAUUUGUAUAUGAUGCAAAAAAAUAACAAUACUUGGCUAACAAGCCUUUCCAUGAUACAUGCUCAUUAUUUUAUUACUAAUGUGGCUUAUGUAUUUACUUCGAGAACUUCCAUCAUGUUUCUCCAAAGUGCAUUGCACCCCCAAUUUCAUGGCAAUUUCAUUUCUGCCAUAAUUCUUCUCUAGGUUGGGCAUACAUAGAUAAUAUCACUUUCAACUUUCUAUAAUCUACAAUAUGGUCUGUUCUAACUAUCAAGCCUCUUAAUUUCCAAUAUAUUCCCCAAUAAAAAUGUUGCUUCCUAAUUUUUAGUAAUGACGUAAAAUGUCUUAUAUUAGUUUAUAGGGGGAGUAUAAUAUGUCCUGAUAGACAUUCAUAUCUUUCUCUCAGUCUUUGGUUUUGUUUUCAACUCAGCUGCAUUAAUCAAGGUUAUGUUGUACAACCAUGUAUCUACAGGAUGGUUUUCCCAUUGAUUACAUAUGUGAAAGGUGGCUGGCGCGUUUCAAGAAACGGGACCUCAUGGUAGAAUCACCAUCUUCAGCUACAUCAAUGCAUCUUUAAGUCUCCUUAGAAUUUGUACUCAACUCAAAAUACAAAAUACCAAGUGUAUGUUCUUUAGACAUGAAAUUGAUGAAACCUGAAGUGCCUACCGCAAUCCAAUCGAAUUACAGAUCAAUAAGUUCAAUGAAGAGCUCGCAAAAGCAUGGACCAGACAUGUGUAGCAUUUUCCACGCACAGGGCCCAAGUAGUCUGAGCUCUUGGCUCUAGCUGCAAACACGACCCUGCAAUUCAUCUAUAACGACAAUUCAAUGCUUGUUCCGAUUACAGAAGCCAUCAGUAUUUAAGCUGAUCCAAUUGGAGUCCUCAUCCCGUUUGGAGGAUAGUAGUUCAAGACAAGUGAACUAGUAGUUUAGAUGCAAGUGAAUUCAGUUGUUUCUGUACAUAUUCCUCUUUUGUUGUGUGUUCGCAUAAUUGUAGGCUUAACAUUUUAGUUCUUAUCGGUCGCUAUGCCUAGCACAAUAACCAAAGUCAUGUCUACUGAGAAAUAAGAUAAUGUCUAACUAUGUAUGUUUCUAUUUCUUUGUGUUUAUUUUGCUAGAUAGAUUGAGGCGAUGCAAACUUGAAUUACGAAUGAGCUAUUUGUCCUUGGUUAUUAAAGCAUAAUGAAAACUUUGAACUAUGUGUUGGGUAAACUUGCUUAUUUUGAGAAGGUCAUACUCAUCCAUUCUUGGCGUUGGGGUAGGUUUUUUACUGUUCUAGUGAUGGGAAAGGUGUCUGGAUGAUAUUGGAUCGGGAAUACAAAUGGUGCCACCCACGAACACGGCGCAGCCUCGCCCGCAGUAAAUACAGUCCGGCUCCAAACCAGUUCCCUCACCCCGUUCUAUUUCCUGUCUCAGAUAGGAGAAAUCCCCAUAUCCUAACCCUAGCUCUCGCCGAUCUCCCCGACGAAGGAAUCAGAGUCCACUAGUGCUGGAGACGUCACCACCACCAUGUAGGCCGCCCACGAGACAAAAAUACCGUGGCAGCAACCCGCCCGCGCAUGCGGGCGAGGAUGACGUCAUGAUGGCCUUCGUCCCACUCGAGGCACUCGAUUAUGUUGUCAUGCGCACUAGCUCCCGUAGCUAUGCACUCGUCCUUUUCCGCUCCAUCACCAAGUCUUGGGCCGCCCUUAAGAACCUCCGCGCGUCCAAGGUCAAUGGCCCCUUCAUCCGGAUCGAGUUCGCCUGGCCGGUAAUUUCUCAACCCCCCUUCUCCCCCACUUGUAUCCGCUCCCAACUUGGAUCCCUCUGGAAUCCAUUGUUGCAAUUCAUGAUGUGAAUUUUAUGGUAAUUAGGACUUUGGUGCUUGUUAUUUGCAAUUUAUUUAGGUGGUGUGGGCUGAGGCCUCUAGUAGCUCUAAAAUAUAUAAUUAUUCCAGCAGCAGCGCACGGGAUCAACAACGAUAGGGUGGUUUGGUGGACGCUUACAGGUGGCUAGGGACAGUAGCGCUCAGGUUCCAGGGGAGCACGGCAUACGAGGCCCGUGAGAUGGUGGACGAGCACGUGGGGAGCCAUUGGCAAUGUGAAACUUAGACACCAGUGAAUGGCCUAGCAGGAAGCGGUGGCAGUGGGUUCCUGGGCAGCAGUGGCGGCCACCAUAGGGACAUUCAUGUGGUGGGAGACAUCGGUGCCAUGCGGGGAGGAUGGGUCAUCAGAAUUUUCUUUUUAACUGCGAUCCAUCUAGAUUGGGGGAAGAAGGGUCGUGUUGGUCAAUUUUUAUCUCUAUCUUUAGCAAAUCGUUUUCCGAAUUGGGGAAUAACGGUCGGGUCUGGCAUCCCAUUUUUCUUCUGGAUCUUUAGCGAAUCAUUUUAUACCACUUAUGGAUGGCAGUGGUGGGUAAUUGCUUUUCUAGAUCUUUAGCAAAUCGUUUUGCGGGUUGGCAAACAAUGGUCAGGUUGGCCAGCUCUUUUUUUAUCUUUAGCAAAUCAUUUUCUACCACUUAUGGAUGGGGGUGGUGUGUAAUUGUUUUCCCGGAUCUUUAGCAAAUCAUUUUCCAGAUUGGGGAACAAGGGUCUGGUCGGGCGGUUCAUUUUUUUGGAUCUUCAGCAAAUCAUUUUAUAACACUUUCAGAUGGGAGUGGUGAGUAACUGUUUUUCGGAUCUUUACCAGAUCAUUUUGUGGAUUGGGUAAUGAGGGUCCGGUCGGCAAGCUUUUUCUAGAUCUUUAGCAAAUCGUUUUGUACCACUUAUGGAUGGCAGUCAUGAGUAAUUUUUUUCUAGAUCUUUAGCAAAUCAUUUUCCUGAUUGGGGAACAAGGGCCGGGUCGGGCAGCUCUCUUUUUUAUGGAUCUUUAGUGAAUCGUUUUCUACCACUCAUGGAUGGAAGUGAUGGGUAAUUGUUUGCAACUUCAUGGGCAAUGUCAGGAUGGACGACUAGAAGCACAAAUCCCUUUUAUGGUCAUUUGUGUUGUGGUAGAGACACUUUCUUUUAUUAGGGUCAGGACGAACGGGUAGAAGCACGAACCACAGAUACAUAAACUUAUGAUUAUUUGUGUUGUGGUAGAGACACUUUCUUUUAUUAGGGUCAUUUACAGUAUUUCUAUUUGUGGUAGUUAAGUAUAUUAUGCCAAUGAGAUAUUGUAUGCAUUCCUUCUUUUUGGGAUGUUUUUAAGAGGGAAAGUUAUUACUAACCAACUCCUUGAAUUAAAUUAAAAGGUGUCUAUGAAGGCCAUGUUUUGCGAUUAUUUGUGGUGUGGUGGAAACACUUUCUUUUAUUAGGGUCAUUUACAUUAUUUUUAUUUGUGGUAGUGAACUAUAUUAUGCCAAUGAGAUAUUGUAUGCAUUCCUUCUUUUUGAGAUGUUUUCAAGAUGGAAAGUUAUUACUAACCAACUCCCUGAAGUAAAUUAAAAGGUGUCUAUGAAGGCCAUGUUUUUGCGAUUAUUUUUCUCAAGCGGG
rnacentral:lncRNA from 1 species